GGUAAUAUAUUUUAAACUUUGUUCUUUUCAAUUGAUAUAUCUAUUCCUACUUAAAACUUAAGCACCAAGAAAAGAUUGUUUUUUCCCCUGUGUCCUUUCUAUUUCUUAACUCUGUGUGGAUAUAUGCUCUAUCUGCUAAUCCAUGAUUUGAAUCAGAAAAAUCUGAAAGAUAUGAAGUGGAAGUCCAAGUAAACAUGUUUGCUACUAUCUUACAUAUUACUAACGAAUUAUGAAAAUUAUUUCUAGCGUAAUGGUGUAAAAAUUCAAUGAUAUGAUCAACUCAUAUUUUUGCAGGCUGAUAAUCAGAUGAACAGUGAUGUCAUGAGUGUUGAAUAAAGGAAGUUUAGAUGCAUGGAGCCAAUGUUUCUCUUCCCUGUGUUUUUCCAUUACGUUCAAUAAAAAAUUGCACUUUAUUGUAUGUUGAACUUCAAAAUAUUGGUAGUUUCUUUUUACUCAGUGUGUUGUAUUGCUGUAAUCAUUUUACCUUGCUUUAGCUUUUGACUAUGGAAUUACUGCUGCUUUCAUUUUACCUACUUAUAAUUUUUUUUCUUGACAAAGUGGCAAAUAGAAAACUGCAUGGUCUUGCGCUCUUACUUUAUUGCACCUAAUGUAAUUUGCCUUAGCUUGAUGAGUAUGGUCAUUGUACUUUGAGCAGGUUUUGCUAAGUAAAUUAAACUUACUUUUAUGUAAUAUUUCAUUCACGUACAUAUAUAUUUGGAACCUAAUAGGAGAGGCUUAUUCUCUUAGAGCGACCCGUUGUAAUUUUUUCAGGAUUUCGAAGAUCGGAAGCCAAUGGAAGGAGAGACUUGUAAGUUUUGGGUAGAAUUAUGAGUGAGUUAUAGAAAUUUCAACCAAAAAUUGAGAUCUAUUGUAGUUUGCUAUAGUUGCAAUAUAACUCCAAAUCCUUCAUUGUCUUUAAAUUGUGGUUGGGUUCUUCCAUCGUAUCCAUAAUUGUGUUAAAUACAUUGAUAAAUAUAUUCCUUCUAAUGUGCAUUACAUCUAAAUUAAAUGCCACAAAGCAUAUCCAAGAAUGUGUUUAAUCAAUUUAUUUUUUCUUACAAGCUUUAUCGGUUAUAAUUUUGGGAAGUUUCUUAUAGUGGUAACUUGACGUGUAAUAAAUGAUGCUACCAAUGGCCUGAUUUUGUAAACAGGGCAGGUUAGUUUCUGUUUAACAGAACAUUUGAAGACUUGUUUUAUGCAAACAUUAAUUAUUGUAAACAAGAUUAGAGUUGUCAUCCUUACUUUGGCUUAACAUUUUAAACAGGUAAAGAUUUGGUAUUUGAUUAACCUUUGGAAAAGGAACGUAAUGUACAGGCCCCGUUUUCAUUGAGAAGUAUGGUGCGUCUAUUAUGAAACACGACAUCAAGCCGGUCCCCAAUAUAAAAGCACAAAAAAAUAAAAAAAAAUAAAAAUAAAAAAAAAAAGAAAAAGGAAAAGGAAAAAAAUGAUUCAUUCUACAGGCUUGCAUAUAUGCAAUCACAAUAAGCUUAACCCUUUAUUUGUCAUCAUUUAUUUUAAAUUAUUUUUCAUUAUUUUUUCUACAACACUCAUUAUUAAUCACACAUUCUUCAUUAAAUAAUAUUACACGCAGAUCAAGAAUUUUUCUUUCUUUUUUAACCACACAUUCUUCAUCAAUUACUAAUUCAUAAUACAUUUUUUCAAAUUAUCAGGGCUCAAGCAGGAACAUAAAAGGCGAUCAUUUUCCAAAAACAUAAUUCAAACAUAUCAUUUCUUAGUACAAAAAGAUGAUCAAAACAGUUCCUUAUAAGUUGCGAUCAAAAGAGGGGGCUAGAUUAGAACCAUAACGCGUUAGGAGCGAUUAAAACUUACCUUGAAAACCCAUUUUUUAGUACAAAGUUUCGAAAAACUUCAGCCUUGUUUCUUCAAGACUUUAACAUCCUGUCCCACGCUAGGGACUCCAACCCGCAACUCUCGCAGGCAAACUGAUAAUGUAUUUUAAGUGAGUGCGCUAAAUACUCCUUGUUAUAAAUAGAAACUAAAUCUUCUUAUAAAGUUGGGUAACAAUAAUAAAAUACUUAUGCAAUCUUGUUUCCAUAAAUCAUAUUCUGAAGCUGCUCUCGGAGCAUAGCCCAAUGGUACAAAAGACAGGAGUGAGGUUAUCUCAUGUCUUGCUGCAGCCGCAAUGUAGGGAUUCGAUUCCUACGAUAUAGAAUUGGAUUCCUUGUAGGCGCAAUGUACAAGCAACUCUUGUUCCCUGGCCUAUUGGAGCACAUCCCGCGAUUUACCUCCCUCACAAAGCUCUAGGGGUUGGACGAUGGAGAUCCUUAAGGUUGGGGUUUAACCUUUUUUUUUCAUAUUCUGAAGCAGUAAGUGACUAUCUAGUUUGUAUAGAAUAUUUUGGAAUUCUUCAAGACUCAGAGCCUUCUAUAGAAUUUGUGAACUGCUCAUCAGGUUUUAAACUUCCGGCAUUCAUUGCCUCCAUAAUUAGUUUGUAGUUGUGCUUUGCAAAUUGUUUAGCAAAUCAACAUUUUACAUUAUUUGGUGAACUUGGUGUUAGGGAAUAUGGUAUGACACAUCUCUGAUUAUGACUUGUUUCUUUAGUUGUGGCAUUCAUUUUUAAUAUCGUGUGUUAUUAUACUAUUUCAUUUUAUUACCUAUAUUAAAUAAUGUCCGUAAUGGAGUAAUUUCUUGGCUUAGUCUAUCUUAUAUAAAUAGUUUUUACUAUUAUUCAUAUGCAGAUAAUGCAAUUCAUAGAUACAUAUUUUAUUCACCUAAUAAUGGUAAUGACAAAAACCAUUUAUUUCUUGUCUCUUACUAGCUCUUCCGCUCUCAAUGUUUGGUAGGUUUUCAACUCUACUUCACAGCUCAUCACAGGCAACCACAUAUACUUCUCAUAUUGGUCUAAAAUUGGUGGUGACAAUAAGAUAAAAGAUGUAUUUUAGACAUUUUUUAGGGUGGAUCAGUCAGUUCGACCCAUUUGGUAUGAACUCAUGACAUUCAUAUCCCAUCUAGGCAAUAUGUCAUAUGCCGGAAAGGCAUUAAUUGUCUACAUCAACACAACUUUCAUUUGAAAAUUCUUCUUUAUGUAUAUGUCGUAAGUUUCUUCUUUGUAUAUAUGUAGUAAGUUUAAACUCCUUUACCCAUAAUAGUUUUACUUCAUCCAUUAGGCGAUUCACAUAAAGAUUUAACUGGGACUCUUCAAUGGCGAGAAAAACAUACUCAAAAAUUGCAGUCAUAUUACAUGCACAUACAAAGUGGGAGAUCACAUCCCACUGCAUUCGUCACAAUUUUUUGAUGGAUAUAGUUUCUUGUAACUUGUGGGACUAAGGAUCCACCAGAGUCUGACCAUGGGUAAAGAAUGGUACCCCGUGUACAUUUUUCUCAUAUUGUUGGUACCUUGGGUUGAAUGACAUGUUUACUAUCAAAAAUUUCAGACAAUGGCACAAGAGGGCUUUCUUUAGAUGUCUCCAUUUCUUAUUGACGAUUAGUGGGAUUGUCACUCUUUUUACUUUUCAGCCAAUAGAGAUUUAGGUGUUGCUCUCAACCCUAAUUGUGUGCUUGCUCGUACGGAUUGUACUGCAGGUAUGUAUCGUCUGAACAUACUGGAUUGACAAAAUUUUAUGUCUUUGUGUUGAGAACAAAUUCCAUUCUCCCAAAGGCAUGUCAUCAUCAUCACGGCAUAUUGAUCCUCUUGAAGAGACAUCCUUUGUUUAUCCUGUAUUUGGUAGGCCAUUAAUGUAAAUAUCAAUCUCAAUAGCAAAGCAUCUGCAUCAACUUCAUACCUUGUACUUGAAAAUUAGGUAGUCCAUGUAUUACUGCUAAGUGCAGGUCAUCUUCAUCAAGUUCAACAAGUUUAUGAUAUCCUUUCAUUAUAAAGCGUGAUAAGAUGGAGAAAUCCUCCAUGCAUGUCAUCUUCAUCAAUUUCGGAAUCUUUCAUCUCAUAUUGUUGUUGUGCUCUUGCUUCUUUUCGUUUCCUAAAACCAUAGAAACAAGUAAAUCAAUUGGAAAAAAAAAAUAUUCAAAAUUUAAAUCAAAGUCAGAAUUAAAAACAAAAACUAAAGUAGAUAAAUUGGUCCCCAAUAAAGACACUAAAAACUUAAUUGUAUGAUCCCCCAAGUGUACGGAUCGUGACAAGUAACAAUAAUGGUAGGGGAGGAGGCAGUGGGGAUGGAGAUGGGCUAUAGCCUAGCCCUACCCCCACCCCAUAUGGAAAAUUAAGAAUAAAUUGUGUAAUUUCGAUCUAAAUAUUUGUGUUAGUCCAACUCUAAUUUGAAUUCCAAUUUGAACCUAGCUCUACAAUUAUUAAAUACUAUUUUUCACAUUAUUUUAUUUUUGAAUUAGGCAUUUUAUUUAAUACAUGUUUGACUAAAUUUACUUAUAAUAAUUAAGUAAAUUUUAUAACAGAUAAUUUGUAUUGAUCGGAUCUAAAAAUUAAUUAUUUUAAUAAUUAGAGCCACUACAUCCUUGUACGGUGGAGAUUAAAAUUUGAAUUUGAAUUUAAAAUAAAAUUCAGCAACUAAUUUUAACCGCAUAUUUUAUGGAACCCACAAAUUUUUAACCACACUUUUCAAUUUAUUAAAAAUUUGAUUUUAAAAUUCAAAUUUUAAUUUUAACCGCAUAUUUUAUUGAACCACUACUUUUUAACCACACUUUUCAAUUUAUUAAAAAUUUAAUUUUAAUCCCCAUCAAACACAGGGGCUACAUGUUUUGCUAAGUUUUAAAAUAAUUAAUUUUUUUCUAUGUUCAUAUAUUACUUAUUCAUACUUAGAAGAAAAAAUACUUAUUUUAACAAUGAAAUAGAUAUUAUGAUCAAAAUAAAUAUCUUGAUAUAAAUUUGAUCUUGUUAGUAAAAAGAAUAUUUGUUAAAAUUUAUUUAUUUAUAAAUUAAUCUAUAUAUAAGUAUAUUCUUAAAAAUAAGCUGAACGUGGACAUGAAUUAAAUAUUUAAAUCUAAUUUCUUAGGACUCUCUUAGCUGAUUCUUCUCACUUUGAAUAUGAUUCUUUACUCACUAUGAAAUGAAAUGAAAUAGAAGAUUCUAUCCACACCAAAAUAGUAUUUUGAGAUAAUAACAUAUAUUGAUAUAUUAUUGACUGCGUGUUUAGACCAAAACUUUCAACGAUUUGAAAAAGGUUGAUCAUCAAAGUUAUUUAGAGUUGUGUUCAUUAAAAUAUUUUCUUAGCUUUUCAUUAGUGGAUAUGUAUUAUUUGCUUAUUUCGAUCAUGAUUAAGUCAAUUUAUAUUUUUUUAAUGUGAGCGUCAUUUUCUAUUUGGUAAGAAAAGAUAAAAAAGAUCUAACGGGACAUCUUAGAGUGAGAUAUCUCGAUUUCUUAUAUUUCAUUAAGUGUCGUGUACCCUUUGUCGUAAAUGUCAUAAGUUUAGCUUCUUGGGUUCAUUCAAAAUUUUUUAAAUUUCAGUCAAUUCUAACAUCAUUUUCUAACUCCGCCCCUGAAUAAUGGAUGACGAUAUCUUACCCACAAAGACUAAGUAUCCACUAUCAAUUUCUAUUUUAAUCCGGUCUUAGCCUAAAACAAUGUAAUUUUAUAAUUAAGUUAUCGUAAACUAUUCAAAAUUAAUCUAAUUUUUAUGAGGCUUUUAGAUUAAGUGGUUGAAAAUUUCGAUUUCACUUAGACCAUUUAACAUUCAUUCAAUCCAACAUCAUUCACAUGCCCAAGUUUUAUUUCAUCUCUAUGUAAAUUCACACAUAUAGAAGAAUUCAAUUGUUUGUGCCUGAUCACUUCAGGAGCAAGUUUGAUAAGAAACCAAUCAGGUGUAUAUUUGUGAGAUAUGACAACAUAAGGAAAUGGUCCAGAUACUACGACCCUACAAUCAACUGUGGGUACACGUCAAGCAACGUAAUAUUUGAUAAAGCAAGAUGUCGGGACCUUAUAACCAAUCAUUUUUACAUGUCAAGAACACAUGGCAUUUGAAGAAGCAUCUUUAUGGUGGACAUUGUAGAUGGUGGAGUUGCUAGAUUCAAAGGAAAUGGAUGACAAAUUAAAAAAGGAGAUCACUGAAGCACAACAAAGCCCUAAAUAAACGAAAAAUGCAUAAGAAUUAAUUGACAAUAAGGAGUCUAAUAUUGCAAUACAAAAUUCUUGGCAGAUGGGUAUAUAUCAGUCAACAUUAGAAGAGAUAAGGCUGAGUCAAUAAGAGGAGGUUUAGGAAGAAUUAAACCCCCAACCACAGUUGAUAAAAUUAACUAGAUAGAGAAAAACAAAUCCCAAGUAUGCUAAUAUAGCAAUAGAAGAAGAUGAUAGUAUCAAAGAGCCAAAGACCUUUAAAGAAACACACAAGAAAUGAAGAAGAGCAACGAAAGAAGAGGUCAUGGCUCUAAGGCAAAAUAAGACUUGAGAUUUGGUGCUAAGGCUUGAUAGAGUAAAGCCUAUAUCCUGCAAGUGGAUAUACAAAGUAAAGAAACGUCUUGACGGAUCAAGAAAGAUAUAAGACCGGACUAUUGUGGAUUAUUGCAACAAUAUGGAUUGGACUAUGAUGAAAAAUUUAAUCAAAUGGCAAAAAUUACUACAAUUCUAUGGCAGAUGGAUGUGAAAAAUGUGUUUCUUCAUGAGGGCUUGAUUGAGACAUAUACGUAGAGUAACCAAAUGGAUUCGAGAAAAAAGAAAAGCCAGGAUAUGUUUGCAAGUUAAAGAAUGCUCUCUAUAGGUUAAAGCAACCACCACAAGUAUGAUACAAUAAGAUAGCUGAAACUUGGUAGCACUAGCAGACUCAAGUCUAUUUAUUAAAGCACAAAAUAGAAAAUUAACAAUAGUGCUAGUAUAUGUGAAUAUCUUAUCAUCAUUCGAGAUGAAGAAGAUGAAAUUCAACAAACCAGAAAUAAUCUAUCGAUGAGAUUCCCAAUGGAAGAGUCUGGAGAGCUAAAUCAUAUUAUGAGACUCAAACAAAAGUUUAGGAUGACUGAUUACAAACCAAUAUGAACACUAAUUGAAAUUGGAUAAAUGCAAGGACUUGGAUAAAUGCAACCAUGUACAUGAAGCUAUUAGAAAGCUUGAUCUACUUAACGCUAACAUGACCUGACAUUGCAUAUGCAGUUGGAAUAGCUGCAUCAUGGAAAUGUUGAAGAAGCCACCUUGAAGUAGUACGACGGAUCUUAAUGCAUGUAAAAAGAACAAUUGAUUAUGGACUCUUUAACAAGAAAAAUGAAGAUUCCAAGGUAUUGACUACUAUGUGAAAGUCCAAGAAUAGCUAACGAAGAGAGGUGAAUUGUUUAUUAAAACUUUUUUGAGAAUUAAUUUUAAAUCUAAAACAGUAUGAUAGCAAAUGAAAUAAUUAGAUAAAUAAGCACAAAUGCAAAAGCAAUAAGUAAAAGGGGAGAGAAUGUCCAAACGAUGUAAAUUAGGUCCUUUUGAUUAAGUUGGGCUUUCACUGAAAAUUAGAAAUGGGAAAAUCAUAUUUUUAGGUUUGAACUAAAUUAAUUAGUUAGCAAAUUUAUUUAAAAAAUAAAAUAAUUUGACUUAUUUAAAAUAAAUAAAUUUAAAAAUUAGGAAGAUUCAGUUUUUCGACUCUUGAUUUAGAACCGAAUAUCAAACCAAACCUAUCGGAUCUCAAUUCAAAUACCUGUUCUAGUAUUUAAAUUAAGACGAAUUGCUCGAUUUGGUUCAGUUCAAGUUGGGUCCGGUUCGAUUCUGAAGUUUCGUUCGACCCUAAUCUUAAGUAAAAGUUUAUGUGACGGUGAGAUUUAUAGCCUGCUAAAAUUGAUCAAAAUUUAUAAAUUUUAUGUGAAUGUUGAGGGGAAAGAAUGCAAUUGGACAAAUAUCAGAUAGUUAUGAUUGAUCGUUGUUUGUGUAUAUGUCAAUUAUUUGAUAAAUAAGUUUAUGAUGUGCUCCAAAAAUUAAAUUAAAUUUGUAAUUUAUGUGACACAUCCCUAUUGUUUUAUUUACAGUCAGUAAUUGUUAUUAUUAUAUAACUUUCAAAAUAUUGAUUAUUAGAUUUGUUGAGCGGUGCUAAGCACCCGGCUAUGUGCAAUGGAAUCCAUACCUACAAUUUGUCAAAUGAUGCACACUUAUCCAUUCGAAGUAAUAUAGGUAAUAAAUCCCAAUACCACAUUUACAUGGGUAUUUAACGCCACUUAUACUGAAUGACACCCCAUAUACAUACACACACAUUUCCCCCAAUUUGGUAUAAAUUAAAAUUCUGAUUUAAUUUAAGUAAAAGUUAACAAUUAAUUUUAACCACUCAUUUUAUGAAACCCUCACAUUUUUUCAUUCACACAUUUUCAUCAACUUUUAUAAAGAUCUACAAAAAAUCUGAUUUUAAACCCCCACCACGGGGCAUAAUUAACACUCUCACACGCGACCAUCAACCUAAACAAUUAGAUUUUUGUCUAGUUGCUCUCUCUGUCUCUCCACACACACACACACAUACACACACACACACACUCUCUCUCUCUCUCUCUCUCUCUCUCUCUCUCUCUCUCUCUCUCUCUCUCUCUCUGUGUUUGAUGGUCAUUAUUGUGUUAAUGUGAUGUGGGCAGUGUGACGUAUGCUCAAAUUUGCACUAGACAGGAUAUAGCCUAUACAGUCAGUGUGCUUAGUGGGUUUCAGUCAAAUCCAGGACAAGAACAUUGAAAAGUAACUAAGAAAGUUAUGAGAUACUUGAUGAAAACUGAAGAUUAUAUACUUACAUUCUAGUGUUCAAAUCAUCUUGAGGUGGUAGGCUACUCAGAUUCUAAUUUUGCUGGAUGUCAAGAUGAUUUAAAAUCGACCUCAAAUUAUAUUUUCAUGUUAGCUGAUAGUGCUAUCUCUUAGAAAAGUGUUAAACAGACUCUAGUGGUAUCUUCUACUAUGCAAGCUGAAUUUGUGGCAUAGUAUGAGACUACAGUUCAAACCGUUUGGUUAAAAAAUUUCAUCUCUGGGUUGAAAAUUAUUGAUUUCAUCUCAAGACCAAUCACUAUCUAUUGUGAUAAUAGUGCAGCAGUAUUCUUUUCAAAGAAUAAUAAAAGUUCUGGUGGAUCAAAGCACAUUAAUAUAAAAUAUUUGGUGGCUAGAGACAGAGUCAAGAAAGGACAGACGAAUAUAGAACAUUAAUACAAAGACGAUGAUUGCGGAUCCUUUGACCAAGGCACUCUCUCCAAAAGUCUUUUAAACACACAUGUUGCUAAUAUAGGCAUUGUGAAAACAUUUGAUUUUUUGGUUAGUGGGAUAUAUAUAUAUAUAUAUAUAUAUAUAUAUANGGCUUGAUCCUUUUAUAGGAUAUGUAGGCAAUCUAUAAGUUUUUAGGUACAACCCCCUCUUCCAAAAUAAAAUAUAUUUUUUACAAUCCAUGAAUUAUUUUGAGCAUGCAUUUGAUUUAUAUAUUUUAUUAUAUUAUUGUAAUAUCGAAAUAUGAUAGAUAAAGAUAUAAGAUGAGUCUCUUUUGGAGACAUGUGGCUUCAUUUUGAUCUGAAGCAUUAUAAGGAUCGUUAUGAAUUAGCAAAGAUUUUUUUUUAAAUCACAUUUGAUGCUAAACUCAUAUCACAUACUAUCGCAUUGGUUGGAGGAUGGGGAUCCAUGUCGAUAAAAAUGUUGGUAUUGUAGCUUUGGAAUGGUCUUGCAUCGUUUAAUCUGUGUAAUGAUUUCCAUGUUCAGUGUUAAAAUUCUUGUUGGAUCGGAUCAUGUUGCGUAAGUUGUUUUCAAUAGAAUUAUACUUUUGUGGCCGCCUAUGUAGUCUAAUUCAGUUGUUAAAAGUUUUGUUAUAGUAAUCAAAUAUUUGCCCAAAUAGGAGAAUGGUGGAAUGUCUCUAAUAUGUGAUUCACAUUUGAGCAUUUAUUUUACAGGUUAGAUGUAUAACUCAUAAUAAUAUUUGUGAUUGGGCCAAAAUUUAUUAAGUAAUUAAUUGGGCAUUUUACAGUUUACGAGUUGUAUUUAAAAUGAUGUGGUAAUUUUAAAUAUGUGGACCGAAAAUAUAUAUAAGCCCUAAUUAGAGUUUAAGUCGUAAUGGGCCGGUUUGAUAAUUUCCUAUAUAAAAGCUAUGUUCCCUCUCUUUUCCAUAUUAUUUUUAAUAACUUGCCCCAUUGAUGACUAAUAUUUCGUGAGGAGUAAGGAGGUGAAAGCUGCUAUUAAUCAUAUCAAUAAUGGCUUCUACAUGUAUGAAUUCAAUUUAUCAAUUCAUUAUUUUGUGAUUCUUAGGAACACUUCAGCCUUUCUUCAAUUAUUGUCCCUUUCCCUCCAAUAAAUCCAUUAUUAGUUUAUUGGAAAGAAAGAAUGGAAACUAUGCUCCAUAUAAAUCUUGAGUGUUAUACGUAUUACCAAAAGUUUAAAGCUGCUUUUGUUUUUCAAGUUGUCUCAAAGUUAUCAGCAUUUGCAAAUACAGGAAAGAUAAAAGUUAAUAUAUUAAUUUGGUUGCUUGCUAUCGGUCAACUUAAACAAUAUUGACUCUAAUAGUCUUUUGAAAGUUAAAUGCCCAUAUCAUGCAAUUAGAAAACCAAUUAAAAUGAUUUAAAUGGGUUACGAUUUAAUAGAAAAUGUCGAAAACAUUAAUUAAAAAAUGAAAUCUAUUUUACAAAUUCCAAUACACUAUGUUCACUAACUACUAUUUUGGGUGCCAAAAUGCACUUUUAAAUGGAUUGUUUGCCAGUUUUUAUUUUUUCCGUAGUUCGGGAGAUUUAGCCCCUUAUUGUGGUUAUUUUUUUGAAAAACAUUGUCUUAAACAGUGUUUUUUUUGGAGAAUGUAUAGUUAAAAAGUGAAAAAAGUUUUGAUGUUAAGUGUAUAAUAUUUUAUUUAGUAGAUGUGAUUGAAAAUAAGUAUAUAUAUAUAUAAAAAAGACUUUUGAAAGAAUAGUAGACAAACUGGGACUUAAUUCAAUGAGAAGUUUAUUUUGUUGUAAAAAAAAAUGGCUACAAUCAUUUGACUAUGUGAAAUGUGACCUUUCACAAAGCCCUUGUUUGAACUCCAUCCUUAAAAAAAAAAAAAAAUACAUUUUAAACAGUAUUUUGACAUUAUUUCAACCAUACAUUAUUCAUUACAAUAAUGUUACACGAAAAAUCCAAUUUUUUAAAAAAAUUUUAACCACACAUUUUUCAUUGAUAUAUUAUUUAAAAAUUCAUUCUUGUUAGAAGAGUGGGCUUCAAACAAGGGCAAAAUGUAUUUGGAAGUCUAACGAGUCUCCGUGUGAAUUAAGUGUUUGUUUGGUACAGAUUUUAAGUCAAUUAAAAUUAAUUUUUUGAUUAUUAUUUUACUAUUCCAGUCGUUAUUUUUGAAUUCUUCUCUCACAAGUAGGAUCCAUUUUAUUUCUAACAAUUAAAAAAUUAAUUAUCAAAAUCCUUAUCAAACAAGCACUGAGCCUGCAACUUGCUACUUUUAAGAUAUAAGCGUUUCAUGGAUUUAACAUAAUAACAUGUGGUAGGUGGUAAAGAUGAAAAGGAUUAUAGAUUGACUUGGGUAGACCGAUAAAUGAGCCUAAAGUUGAGACCAAAUUCAUCCAAAGUUAAAUAAAAAUAUAAUUUCUCUCAUUUACAGUUUUUAGGAUUAUACAUCUACCAUAUAUAGGCGAAUUCGUGGUAACGAAGAAUUAAUUUAAGAAGAAAUGGCGGACGAAGCUGCCAAGGGACAGAGGGAGUAAUUUUUUUUUAAAAUAAUAUAAAAUAAAAUUUCUUAACUGUAAAAAAAAAAAAAAAUCAACCUAUAUAAAUGAAACGGGUCAAUGUUAAAAUGGAAGCAAAUAUCUUUAUGGGACAUAGAGCAUACAAAUUAUAUUUUUUCUUAUUCCUUUUUAAUUAAAAAAGAAAGGGAAUAUGGAUUGACUUGUUUAGACCUAGUCUCUGUUUGGUAGGUGGUAAUUUACAUAACAAGACAUCAUAAUAUAGAAAUUUUCUAUUUUAGUCCUUAAAAUUAAAUAAUGGUUGAAAUUUGAUAAUUUUUAUUUGAUUUAUUUGAUUAAUAUUUUUAUUAUUUGAUUUAUUUGAUUUUUGUUUGCUCUAAGUAGCCCCCUAAUUGGUAUUAGAGUCAUUAGUAAUGGCAAAAAAAUUCGCCCCGCUCCGCCUCGAAUGGGGCAAAAAGACCCGCCCCGAUGGGUUGGCUUGGCUUGGCUUGGCUUGGCGGGGCGGGGGAAAUAUUUAUUUAUUUUUUUUUUUACAUUUUUAAAAUUUCAAGUUAUAUUAUUAUUAGUUAAUAAAAUACUAAUGUAAAAUUUUAAUUAAUUACAAAAGAAAUAAAAUUUAGUCAAAACGUAAUUUUAUUUGAAAUUGUUUAAUUUUUAACAUUGUUUAUUUCAAGUGUUUACUUUGAAUUUUAAAAUUUUGAAUUUAUAUUUUAUUCUCUAAUAAUAACAUAAUUUGAAAUUAAAAAAAAUUAAAUGGGGCAACAAAUGGGACAUGGCGAGUGAGGCGGGGUGGGGCGUGGGUGAGGCGUCCCCGAACCCACCCCACUGCCAUCCCUAAGAGCCAUAGAGAUCAUGAAAAAACCUAUAAAAAUAGAUUACUUAAAGAAAUAAAAAUCUCUAGAUUAAUACUAAAAUUUUGCAAAUAAAUAAAAGUUUAACUAUUAGAAAGUUAAAGGAAUAUUUAGAUUAUACAUCUUAAUCAAAUAUUUAUAUACAAACAUAAAGAUUAUGGAAAUUAAAAUAAGAAAAAUAGAUCAUUAUUGGUAUUUAGAAGAAGAAAAAGAUAGCUAUAUAUUUUUAGAACCUAUUCAUAAUAGAUUAAAAAUAAUGACUUUAACAAUAAUUAAAGAACUUCCUAAAGAAAUAAAGGAACAAAUAUUCGAUAAAUUAAUAAUAGAAAAAAUAAAAGAUAUAUAUACAUACGAAAAAAUUAUUAAUAUAUAUGAAGAUGAAGAAAAUAAUUUAUAUUAUAAAGAAAAAUAUGAGUACAAGUAAUAAUACACAUUUGAAAUUAAAUAAACUACUUAUAAAAAUGGAUAAAAUACAAGAAGAAAUACGAAAUAUAAUGUUAAUACCAGAAGAAAUGAGAAUAUCAAAUAAUAGACAAUUAUUAAAAUUAAAAUGUGAAAGAUUAAGACUUGGGAGCAAAUAUUUUACUAUAGUAAAAGAAGAAUUAGUAGAUCCAGAUAUAGAUGAAAGAAAAUUUGGAAAAACAAUAGAUAAAAAGGAAGAUAAAAAAUGCAAAUUAACCGACGAGUUAGAAAUAAGAAAAAAUUAAGAUAUCAAUAAGUGAAUAUAUGGAAGUAUUAAAAUUAUUAAUAAAAAUGUUAAUAAAUGAUAUACAAGAUUUGAGAAAUGAAGUAAAAGAAACAAGAAACGAUAUAAAUAUAUUAAAAAUUGAGAUUAGAGAAUUAAAAGAAAAUAACAAAAAGAAAGAUAAGAAAAUAGAUAAAAAAAAACUUAUAGAAAAAGAGAUGACUCGAAUAGGAAAGAAACAUAUAGAAAAAGAGAAUAUAGUAAUAGAAACAGGAAGUAUCGAUGAUGAAUUUAGAAAAAAUAUAUUAUCAAAAAUAUUAGAAUAGGAAGAAAAAUCACUAGGAAAAUUAAAAAUAGAAGAAAAAGAAAAUAAAAAUGAAUGAAGAAUUAGAUUUGUUAAUAUAAAAUUUCAAUCAACUAAAUCUAACUGAUAUAAGUGAAUACCAAGUUUUAAUGAAUAUUGGAGGAGGACCUAAUCCAGGAGGAACCUCUAAACAGGAAUUACAUAAUACAGAUGAAAGUUAUGCACCUAUAUAUAAUAAAUCAUAUAGACAAUUCUAUAAUAAAGUAAGAGAUAGACAAUCACCUAGAUUUGAACUAAAUGAUAAUUAUGAUAAACCAAUUAAUCAUGAAGGAACAAAACUAGAUUUAAAUUAUAAAAUAGCUACUAAAAAAACCUUAUUAACUUGGGCAGAUUCAAUGAUAUUAUUCUUUUUAUAUAACAAAGAUGACACGUGGGAAAAUAUUGAAAGAAGAAUAUAUUUCUUAAUAGCAUCAUUUGAAGGAGAUGUUAGAAAUUGGUGGGAAGGAAUAAGUAAUGAUACAAAAAUAUUAAUAAAAAGAAAUGUACAAAUACGAAUAAUAAAAGCAGAUAGACAAGGUAUAGAAAAAUUAGUAGAAUAUAUUUCAGAUGAAUUUUUAGAAGAAAAUUGGAUAAGAAAUGCUGAAGAAGAAUCAAUAAGAGAAAAAGAUAAAGUUAAAAUAAAAUUAAUAAAUUUAACAAUAUGUGAUAUGUGUAAAAUUAAAGAAUAUACUUGUGAAUUUAAGAAUUACUAUUAUAUUCAAUUUUAUAGUAAUGAAAAUCAAGAAGUAUACCAAGACAUGUAUUAUAAUGAGUUCUCAGGUUCAUGGUGAAUAUAUUUUAAAAUAGAAUUUAAAAAAUAUGUUAGAGAUAAUACUCAAAUAUCUAGGACUUUAGAUUCAAGAAUAAAUUUUUUAUUUGAAAGACUUGUAUAUAUAUGUCAACGGAGACAAUUAAUGAAAAAAAUCAGGAAAAUUAACUAAAAUAUGUUGUGAAGAUAUGGAAACGCCUGUGCAAUGAGAAUGUAAUCCUGAAAGAAGAAUUAAUAAAAGAAAAUAUAAAAAUAAAAAGUUUAAAAAAUUUAGAAAUUUUAAUAAAAAAUGUAUAAAAUCUAGAAUAAGAUAUUAUAAAAGAAAAAAUAACCCAUAUAAUCAACAGAAGAAUAAAAAGAAAAAUAUAAGUGAAUGUAAGUGUAAAUGUUGGAAUUGUGGAAAAAUAAAUCAUAUAAGUCCUGAUUGUGAUAAAAAGAAAGUUAGAAUAUUACAAAAAGAAAACUUAGAAAUAAAAGAUGAAUUAAGUGAAAUAUCAGAUAUUGAAGAAUAUUAUAAUAAAAAAAUACAUAUAAGUGAAACGGAAGAGAAUGAAUCAGGAUCUAAAUAAAGAUAUUGAAGAAAUAGAAAGUAAUAAUAUAAAUAUACAAGAAUAUGAAAAAAUAGAAGGAUAUAGAUUAAAAGUCACUUUUGAUAAUAAUAAGUUUAGAAAAUUGUAAAAAUUAUCCUUAGAUUUAAAAAUAGGAAAAUGGGAAGUCUUUGAUAGAAUUUGAAAAAGAGAAAGAAUAGUAAUAAAUGAAUAUCACAUAAUAGAAAAAAUCAUAGAUAUAAGGACAACUUAUAGGCAACAUAAAUUAAAUCUUUUAACAAAAAAUACAGUUGAUGAAUUAUUAACAAAGAUUAGCAAAAAAUAGAGUGAAAAAAUCCAAAAAUUUUAUUUAGCAGAAAUAUAAAUAAUGUUUAAAUCAUUAUUUAGAGAAGGGAAAGACUCACCCUUAACUAUAACUUUAGAUGAUGAAAAAAUAAUAAAUUUAAAAGACAGUCAUUUAGAAACAAUAGAAGGAAAUUUGACAUAUCAAAAAAUUAUGUUUACAUGUUAUUCAAAAUAUUGUGUAUCAUUGAAAGAUAGAAACUUUAAUGAAGUUUUAGGACUACAUUUCAAACUUCGUAGAGAUGAUAUUAUGCAACCAGGUGACCAAAUUAUGACUAUAGUAUAUAGAAUUUUAUACACAUUUACCAAUUCUAAUUAUAUAAAUAUCUAUUCCAAUAAACCAUAUAUUGAAGUACAUAAAGAAUGUAAAGAUAUUGGUAAAAUAAUAUAACCAAAUAAAUAAAUAAGUUUAAUUCUAGAAGAAUAUGAAUUUAGUAUAGCAAAAAAUAAACCUGAAAUAACAGAAUUAAAUGAAGGAGAAUAUUCUAAUAACAUAAUAUUUAAGAAUGGAAAAUUAAUUAAAAGAUCAAAAAGCUUUAAAAUACCUAAUAAAAACUAGUUAGAAGAAAUCAAUAAAAUAAAAGAAAUAAAAUUAUAUAGAAAUGUUGGAAAUAUGAAAAUAGAAGGAGAAUAUUAUAAUGGAAGAGAACAUAUAAAUGGACCAAAUAUAUUAAUAGAUUCAAGAGCUAGUGAAUGUCAUAUACCUUCAAUUAGAAAUAAAGGAUUAGUAACUCAUAAAACUGAGCCAUAUAAAUAUGUAAAUUUUGAUGGACAGGAACAUAUUACAGAUUUGGAAGUUGAGGUACCAAUAAAAAUAUGAGGAAUAGAUCUUUUAGUACCAUUUUACAUAGAUAGAAGUAUAGAUAUAAACCCUCAUAUACUUUUAGAAAUGAGUUGCAUAAAUGGAUUAGAAAAUUAUAGUAUAAAAAGAAAAUUAUUAUAUAUUGUUCAUAAUGGGCAAACUACACUAUGUAAAAAGAAUUAGAUGAAUAAUCAGAUAAGUUUUUCAUUAGCUGUAUAUAUACAAAUAUUCUAGAAACAAAUAUAACAACUUGUGCGUUAAUAGAUACAAGAAGUGAUAUAACAAUAUUUAAAAGUUUUUUAAUAAAAUCAUGGGAUAAAAAUAGUAACAUAAAAAUAACUGGAGUCACAGAAGAAAGUACUCGAUAAUUAAUAGUUUUGAUAAAGUAAAUAUAAUUUUUGGAAGUAAACAAGUUACAAUAAAUAAAGUAUAUAACUAUGAUAAACUAGAAUGUGAUAUAUUAUUAGAAAAUUGUUUUAUACAACAAAUUUCAAUAUUAUAAGCAAAAUAAUUAUAUGAUAAUGCUACAAACAUCUUGUGGACACUUAUUAAAGAUUUCUAGAGAAUUUAAAACUUAUAGAGUUCAAUCAGUUCAGCGUGAUGAUAAAUGAGAGAAAAAAUCAAUCAUAAAUAAUGAAAUAAAAAAUAAAAGAAUAAUAUGUAAAAAAGUUCUAAAAACAGAAAUAGAAAUGAAUAUAGAAAAAAUCAUUAAACAACUAGAAAAAAUUUAUGGAGAAAAUCUAUUAUUAUUUUGGAAACCACAUCACCCAAAGGCUAAAGUAAAAUUAACAGAAAAUGUUAUAAUAAGAGUCAGGCCAAUGAUGUAUACUAUAGAAGAUACACAAGAGUUUAAAAAUCAGAUAAAAGAAUUGUUAGAAUAAAAACUUAUUAGACCUAGUAAUAAACCUUAUAGUAGUUCAGCCUUUAUGGUUAUGAAACAUUCUGAACAAGUUAGAAAAAAAGCUAGGAUAGUCAUAAAUUAUAAAGAAUUAAAUAAAUAUACUAAAUUUGAUUGUUACUUUCUACCAAAUAAAGAAGUGUUAAUAAAUCUUGCAAGAGGAAAACAAUAUUAUUCUAAAUUUGAUUGUAAAUCAGGAUUUUGGUAAGUAAAAAUGGAAGAAUAUUUAGCACACCUCAAGAAAAAUAUGAAUGGUUAGUUAUGUCAUUUGAUUUGAAAAACGUACCACAAAUAUAUCAAAAAAGAUGGAUAAUAUAUUUAAAAAGUUUAAUGAAUUUCUAAUAGUUUAUAUUGAUGAUAUAUUAAUAUGUUCUAAUAGUAAAGAAGAGCAUAGAAAUCAUUUAAUUCAAUUUAUUAACGAAUGUAAAAAAGAAGGAAUUGUACUAUCUAAAAAAAAGUUCUAUAAUAGAAAAACAAAAGAUAAACUUUCUUGAAUUAUCCAUAGAUAAAAGAUGGAUAAAAUUACAAACUCAUAUAUCCAAAAAGAUAGAAAGUUUUCCAGAUAAAUUAGAAUCCAAAGAACAAAUUCAAAAAUUUUUAGGAUGUUUAAAUUAUUUAGAAGGAUUUAUUGAAAAUCUUUUUAAAAAAAGAUAUAAAAUUCAAGUUUUAUUUAGAAAAAUAAAUAUUAAGGGAUGGAAUGAAAAACAUACAGAAAUAGUUAAAUCAUUAAAAGAAGAAUGCAAAAAUUUAUCAAAAUUAAGAUUAUCAGAUAAAAAAGAUAAUUUGAUUGUUAAUACUGAUGCCUCAGAUAAAUAUUGGACAGUAAUAUUAAAAAUAGAUCUUAAUGAAAUUCGUAGAUAUUCAAGUGGAACCUUUAACCAAGCAGAAAUAAAUUAUACUACUCAUGAAAAAGAAUUACUAACAAUUAUUAGAUGAAUAAAAAAGUUCUCAUUGUUUUUAUUAUCCAAGAAAUUUAUUGUUGAAACUGAUAAUUUUUAAGUUGCAGGAUUAGUCAGGAAUCAGUUACCCUCAGAACCUCAAUACAGAAGGCUUCAUAGAUGGCAAGCUUAUUUAGCAUUUUAUAAAUUUGAUAUAGUCCAUAUUAAAGGAGUUAAUAAUUUUCUUACAGAUUUUCUCAGCAAAAACAUAGAAUUUGCUGAUGGAUAAAAUCAAGGUCAUGGAAUUAUACCAAUCUAUCAUACACAUACAAAAAAAGGAUGGAUGUACUUAAAGAAGAAUCCGAUGAUAUAAAAUCUGGAACAACCCAGGUUUCAGAAAUGUUCAACUCAAAUAUAAAAAUACUGUUGAAUAUCACUACUGAGCAUAAAAAAUAUGCUAUAGAACUCAAAAAUCAAGUUGAUGCUAUUGCAGCACAACAAAAAUCUAUACCGUCUGAAACAGAUAUACCAAAGAGCUCAAAAAUGAGUUUUCCAAAUCAAUACCAAACAGGGACAACUGGAAGCAGCAGGGACCCAAACGUGACAACAUACCAACUGAUAAUAAAGGAGAUUCCAUUUCUGUAUCGUCAAUUAAGAAAGUUAUGAUACAUGGAGAUAAAAGAGAUACCAAAACAAUUAAUAUCAUAGACCAAGAAGAUAAAAUCCCUUUAAAUCCAAACGAAGAAAAAUAUGUUGACAUAGUCAAAAUCGCUUAUAAAAUAAAAAUAAGUGAUUCAUAUUUCAUUUCUCUGAGAAAUAAUGUUUAUCCCUGAAUAACAGCCAUGUAAGGAGGUGACCCUUCAUUUAUAAAAAUUAUGACAGACUGUGGAUUCAUGGAUUUGAUUUAUCCAAGAAUUUUUUUUUAUUGAAAUUUCAAAGUUUGAUGACAUAUUCAUUAAGGAAGUAUCCAGAUUUGCCAAGGGAAGGAAGAUAUUUUUAAAAUUCUAUUCAAUUAGUCCAUAGUAUGAUGGAGUUGUUUACUAUCCAAUUGAACACAUAAUCUCAAUUGGAUAUGUUGCAGCCAAUUUUCAAAUUGAUGUUACAGAGAAUAAUAGGAAAGUCCCAACAGAGACAAAAUCAUGGAUUAGACAUAGAAAAACACUUGAAAUUAAAGCCAUUUACAACAUUGUCAAAAAAUUGUUUGAUAAAAAAUUCUCGUGCUUGUGCCAAUAUGAAAAAUGGAUGCUGGUAUCCAAUGGAGGAUAUGCAAAAUCAGAAAUUUUAAAAGACUAUAUUAUAAGAUUUGAUAUACAUAAAUUUUCAGAAUGUCUUACCUCUAUAAAAGAAUCCUGCCAGCUAAGAAAGUGCCCCAACUGCAUGUGAAGAAAUGAAAGAAGAAGACAAAGCACCUUUUGACAAAGGUGUAUGAAGGACAAUAAUACUACAUGUGAAGACAUUGAAGAUAAAGAGCAAUAAUAGAAAAAUAUGCUCUUUGGAUAUAAAAGUUGAACCAACAUGUGAAGAUGUAGGCCCAAGGAAGAAAAUAGAGAGACAAAAGUGCCUUUACUGAUGUAAUCAAUGAUGCAAUAGAGUCUCAUAAACUUGUAUAAAUAAAGACAUUACCAUAGAAGAAUAUCAUCUCAUCCUAUCUUGAAAUCUCUAGUUGUAAGCAAUAGCCCAUUCUCAGUUUGAAAAACCAGUUUUUCUGAAAAUCCCUUUGUAUCAAAUAGAAGUCUUGUAUAAAUUUUGAUAGAAAUAAAAUUCCAAUAUUUUUAUAUCAAUAUGAGUUUCUAAAUCUUUUUCCCAUAAAUUUUUGAAGGAUUUAAUAAAAAGUUUUCUUCUUAAUUUAGCAAAAAGAGAGUUUUUUGUUUUAACAGAAGUCUAGAAUUUUAUUCUUUAAAAGUUGAUACAUUGAGAGCAAGUAGCUGAAAUAGUAACAAUUUCGUGAAGGCUGGAAGCCGUUGAAGGAAGCAAUUUACAAAUUUAGAGCUCGAAGGUCAAUCGGUUCUAAAAAUACAGGUUUAGAUCAAACGUAAGGUAAAACUAUUAAACUUUUGCUAAAAUUAGAAUGAAUCUUUUUAAGAGCUUAAAAGAAUCACGGGGACAAUUGCAUGAUGAUUAUUUUGAUAAAUUCCAGGAUAUACAAUUGAAGGAUUAAAUAAUUUAUUAAAAAGAAAUAAAGAAUAUUAUAUCUCAAUUAAAAAAUAUAAAUUUACUAUUUGAAGAAUAUGAUAUUUUACUUAGAAAAUAUGAUAUGUAUGUUGCAGAUUAUUCCUAUUUAUUAGAUCAUAGAAUGAUUUUAUAUUCGAUUAUUCAAAAUAGAGUAAAUAGAAGAUAAAAUGAUUAAAAGAUUAGAACAUAUGUUACAAUAUAAAAAGAAUUAUUUCAUUAAAAAUAAUAUAGACCUUUCCAUAAAAAAGAAUAGGGAUAUGCCGAAUAGAAAAAUCUCCCAAUUCAUCCAAAGUUACAUAAAAAAGGAAAAAGAAAAAAAAAAAAUUCUCCCAGUUUCGGUUUUCAUGAUUAUACAUCUACCAUAUAUAGCCGAAAUAAUGGCACCGAAGAAUUAAUUUAAGAAGAAAUGGAGUACGAAACUGCGGUGGGAUUUCUGCUAGAAAACUUAAAGCAGCUACUUCUUUACAAUGCACAUCUGAUUGAUGUGAAGAGCGAUGUCGAAUCUCUGCAAAACGAACUGCAAUUGCUCAAAGCCUUUCUCAAAGAUAUGGCAAAAUGGGACAACAACCCUGAAGUCCUAAAUACAAUCGUGAAGCAAAUCAGAGAUAUUGUGUACGAAGCAGAAGACUAUGUGGACGUGUAUGUUGCUCAUUCAGCUAUGCAGAAGGCUCGAAAUGGCUUAAAGAAAGUUAUCCAUAUAUUCGAUCAUACGACGAAGCUUCGAGAUAUGGCAGAGAAGAUUAAGUCUAUAAGGGCCAUGGUCAACGAUACAUAUCAGAACAAGAAAUUUGGGUUUGAAGCCCUGCUAGUUGCUGCUCCUCUCGUCGAAAAGAAAGAGGUAAAUUGCCAUUACUCUGGUUAGUGAUUUUAAAUCUUUGUUAAUUGAUUAUGUUUACAAUUUAUCAGUUCCGAGCAUUUUUGGCUUAGCAUAAUAAAAACUUGUUAAUUUGCUUAGAAAUAAAAUUUAAUUCUGGGCAUCUCGAGUGAAUCUUGAUAUUAGAAAUUAGGGGAGUAUUUUUUGAACAAAGAAACGCAAGAUCUGAUGAAUUCGAUAAGAACAAAAAAUUAAGUUGACCAUACCUCCUUUGUUAUUUCAGGAAUUAAUUCAUUUUAACACUAAUUAGAGACGGUUUGACGCACUUCACUACUUGUAGAAAAUUUUAUAAGCAAAUUACUUUAGAACAACUUUCUCCAAACAAGCAAUUUGAGAAAACGUGUUUCACAGUAGCUUCUUUAUAAUCUUUUCAAAAGCCUACUCUCUACAUAAUUCAUUAUAAUAGACGUGUCAUUAAAAUAUAUGAUUAAUAAAUUAUGUUUAUAGUUCUGUUUGACAUCCUUUACUUAAUUUAGUUUGUUUCUCGUAUUCAUUUUUAACCACACAUGAGUAAUGUUUGGUGUACAGAAAUAUUCUUACAGAAAAUUUACGAAUAUCUCACAAAGUGUGGACCUUGCAUGAAUAAAUAAUGUCAAAAUACUCACCCACCCACCCUGCCCAUUUGAGGUAUCUGUAGGGGUUCCGUGAAUUGAUUAAAUUGCGUUUGGCUGAGCCACAUUUCUUCCCCUCUUCUUCUCCCCCCCCCCCUCCCCCCUUCUUAUCUUCUCCUCCCUUCUCCUUCUCCUUCUUCUUUCUUUCUUAUUCAUCCUACAUCAAAUUGGUAUCAGAGUUAAACCUGGUUCCAACUUCUACAAUUGAACACAUUAACUGGAGUUCUAAGUUUUGGAUUUCGCCUUAUAACUGAAGCCCUACACAAACCCAGCCGCCAUCUUCGUCUAUUACAUAUAACACAACCACCACCGUCAACCUACUGCUGCAACACCCGUUCACCAUCUCUGCCUUUAUCAAUCAUCUAUUACACUCAACAAGAUACCCAUACAAACCCGGCAAAACUACAAAUCAGCACCGCCAGCUACGGUAAAUUCACCAACACCACCCUUCAUAAUACACACGGCCAUCUAUCUACUACAUACACGCAACUCCCAAUUCACUCCAUAUACCCAUCAAAACGUACUACUUACAGCGACCAGAAACGGAGCCAUCGCCUAUCCGAACUGGCCCCGUUGCGACAAUCCGGAGUACCCACCUCGCGGCCGCCGCUCCACUCGUGACCGCCAGGGACGCCGACCAUCGAUUUCCCCUUCCCAGAUUGCUAUUCUACUUGCCGACCGCCGUGUCUUCACUGGUGCCAUCGCCGUUUGAUUUUCAGGCCUUUUCAAUUGGGCCGUGGUUAGUAGUUAGGUUUUGAUAUUCUAUGGCAGGAAAAAAAAAAAAAAAAAAAAGAGGAAAAAAAAAAAAAAGAAAGAGAGAAGAAAAGAAAAGAGUAAAAAAAAAAAAAAAAAAAAAGGAAGUGAAAAAAAAAAUGAAGUGAAAAGAAAACGUAUUUUCUAUUAUUUGUAGGUACUUCUUUUUUAUUCCUGUUGAUUUGACACGGCUACUUCAAUGGACGAAAGGGAAGUUACUAUUUUUAUUUAUCUUUGGUUUAUAUUACUGUUUCGUUUUAAAAUUGCAUCAAUAUUUUCUGUGUGCUGCUGUUAUUCCAGUUUUUACUACCUAAACUCACGUAAUUGGAUCCAUUAACCUCAUUAAAUCUCAUUUUAACCUGCUUAUUUUACGUGAUUAGGUUUUUUGACUAGUAUUUGACCAUUACUUUAUUAUUUUACAUAAACCAGCAGUACUAGCUUGUUGUAUAUAAUUUUAAUCUCAAAAUUUAUUUAUUAAAAAAAAAGAUAAAAGAAAUAGCUCAAAUUUUCAUUUUCCAUUACUUGCAUUUUUUGUUCUUUGAUUUCUCUAUUGCAUGUCAUUAAGUUGCUAUUACAGUGCAUGUAGUUACAUAUUGGUCAUCUUGUCACUUCUAGCUCCAGUACCUUAAACAUGAACCCCUCACAAUUCGAUGCACUCACCCGACAAAUAGCGGCUAUUCAAACUCAAAUGACCGCUACUCUUGAAGAGAGUAAGGCCCUAUCUGUCAGUUUGAAAAAUUUUAAACACAUUCCUCGUUCAAUUGAUGUUGAUAAUUCUAAGGUGUCUCAUAAUAGACAACAUCGUCGACAAGGUAAUCAAAAAUACUUUCGACUCGAUCGUAAGGAUAGGGAUAGGAAUAGGGAUCAGAUUCAUGAGCGAGAACGAGAUAAUUUUGAAAUUCUUACUCAAUGGAAUGUUCUUAAACAAGGAAAUCAAUUAGUGACUGAGUAUAUCGCGCAAUUUGAGGAAUUUCGAACCAAAUGUCAUUUGAUUGAGGAUGAGAGCACGACUUUGAGUAAGUUUAGCCAAGGUCUGAGAGAUGAUCUUAAGCGCGAGCUUUUCCUUCGAGGUGUCACUACUCUUGAUCAUGCUUACUCUUUAGCUCGAGAUUAUGAGUUGAUUACUAGUACUCCAUAUGAAAAGCAUGGUCAUCGUCGUUCACCCAUCUCAUUUGCGUCGCCUCAUCAUAAGUCUAUCAUAAAACCUUCUCCGUCUAAUGUUCCUCCUAUUUGGAAAAAUAAUUGUAAAGGUCGUGAUAGUCCAAGAUCUUCUUCUUCAUGUAGAAAGAAUAUUGACAAUCAUCCUUCGGUGUCAUUGGCUCCACUUCCUCCCGUUAAGUCCUUUCUAGGACUUCCCCCAUCUGAUGUUCCUCCAAUUUUGAAAAAUAAGGGUAAAAUUUUUCAUAAUCAUCAUUUGGUUUCAUUGGCUCCAUCUUCUCCCGUUAAGUCCCUUCUAGGACCUCCCCCUUCUAAUGGUUCUCCAAUCUUGAAAAAUUAGGGUAGAAUUUCUAAAACUCCAAGGUCUUCUUCUCACUUGUUGUGCGUCAACUGUAAAGACUUUGGUCACAUUUCUUCUAAAUGUCCUAAUCGAACCUUAGUCAUGGAAGAAUGAAAGAAUGUAAUAGAGGAGCCGUUAGAAGAUCUAGUCUAUGAACCUAAACUUGAAGAUUUUGAUGACUUGGAUGAUAGUGGGGACACUUAGGUGGAAUCCGGACUCUUCCCGAGACUUGGGAUACUAUACCCCUUAUCUCCGACAAUUCUCGAUCACAUGUUAUAUGUCGUACCCUUACCCAAGUUAAAGAGCUUGAUGAUGUCACCAGUCACCCUUGGAAAAUCCAGUCGCAUGUGGUUAACACUAAGGCAAAAUUAUCUACCAUUGACCAACCUCAAAUUGAUGGUCAAAACAAGAGUGCUAACCAAAAUCCUGACAAUUUAUUACAGUAUCCAGUCCAGAAAAAUCUUGGGAAUUGGGACUUGAUCCUUCCAACUGUUCAAAUUGCAUAUAACAAUCCUGUGAACUGGUCUUUAGGUCUAAAACCCUUUGAAGUUAUUCUUAGUUGUGAACCUUUGAAACCUCUAAACCUUAUUCCCAUGCAUCCACAUGCUUGUGUGUCUAUGUCAAUUGAGGUAGUUGUAUCACAUUUUCAUAGCUUGCAUAUUGAGAUCAAUAAACAAUUUGAAGCAAGUAAAGCAUUAUAUAAACCUCAAGUUGAUUGACAUAAACAACACUUUGAAUUUAAUAUUGGGGAUUAUGUUAUAUUGCAAGCGUGUAAUGCGGGUCUUUUUAAAAUUUCAAAGCAUGUUGGUCAAAAUGCCUAUGUCAAUGAUCUUUUAUCACAUUAUGACCAUCACCCUAUUUUAUUUGUUAACGACUUCGAUACUUACAAUGGCUAUUUUAACACUUUUGUUGAUACUUUUCUAUCUCUACCUGAGAACUCCCAUAUCGAAUCUUUUGCUAUGUCUAUUCGAAUGCCACCAGUCGCAGCACACAAAGAUAAAAUUGAUGUAAUUUUAGAUGAACAGGUUGUGUUAAUCAUUGAUGGAGAGAAUCGGUGCUUCUUUAAUUGUUGGGUAGAUCAACGUUCUUAUUGUGCUCCACUUUAUGCGCAAUCAUGUGAAGAUUUUGGAGAUGAGUUGUAGGAGUACUUGUUAUUUGGAGUCCAAUGUCGGUACUUAAUUAAAAUGAGGGAUCAUCCGCCUUGGUCGGAUCAUAUUCUUGAGGACAAGUUGCCAUUUGUAUUGUUAUCAACCGUGGAGUUCUGAUAUUUGGUUCUUCAAAAAGAUCGUCCACCGUGGUAUGAGUUCAGACAUUGAAGAUUGACGGUAGCUCAUCGUCAUUUGUUCACUCGACAGAGUCGAGUUUUUCUUCCACCCCGGGAGAAUUGAUGCGGACAUCACUUAUAUUAUUAUCGCACUAUUUUACUUUUCUAGUUAUUGGGCUUGUAUUAUUGGUUUGGCCCAAACCUAUUAUUGGUAGGGUUAUGCUUUUACUAUUUAUAUGGUUUUCAGUUGUAAUUUCAUUAGAUGAUGAAUUGAUUAAAUUGCGUUUGGUUGAGCCACGUUUCUUCCCCUCUUCUUCUUCCCCCCUCGGUUCCCCUUCUUCUCUUCUCCUCCCUUUUCCUUCUUCUUUCUUUCUUAUUCAUCCUACAUCACACAGCCUAAUCAAGGUACUUAUUCACCUUCCAACCCUGACUUCGAAAUGUGUCGUCGCCCUUUUCCAUCAAUUCCAGAAUUUCGAAUUAUCUCUCUUCAAAACCAAUCGGUCCACAUGUUCGGUCUUUUUUGUGUUUCGCCCAUGAAGAAAUAACCUUGCAAAAUGAGCAAAAUUCUUCCAUCCCUGGUGCAUUUAAAUUGCUCAGGGUGUUAGACAGUAAACCCAUCCAUUUCACUCGUUUUCCUCCUGACCUAACUCUACUUGUUCAUUUGAGGUAUCUUGUUCUGUCGUGGGACUUCAAAAUACUUCCAGCAGCCCUUUCCAGCCUUUGGAACAUACAAACUCUUGUAAUUGAGACAUCAUCAUGCACCCUUGAAAUCAUAGCAGAUGUAUGGAAUGUGAUUCAAAUGAGGCAUCUAAAAACAAACGCAUCCACAACAUUGAAAGGCCCUCUUGCUAAAUCAAGAAAAAGUGAAGAAGCAUCUUCGAACUUCAAAACACUUCCUGCAAUAUCACCUGAAAGUUGUACAGAAGAUGUCGUUUCUGCAGCUCCAAACCUAAGAGAAUUGGGUAUUCAGGGCAAUUUAGCUAAACUAUUUGAUACCAAGGGUACUGGAUCUAGUUUGUUUGACAAUCUGGGAAAAUUGGUUUACCUUGAAAAUUUGAAGCUAUGGAAUGAUGCAUUUCCUCCUGAAGGAAAAAUAUAUAGCCUUCCCCAAAGCUACAAAUUCCCAUUGAAGCUAAAGAAGCUAACAAUAGUAAGCACCAGGAUCGUUUGGUGGCAUAUUUCUACUUUGGGACUGUUGGAAGGCCUUGAGAUCCUGAAGUUGAAAGAAAAUGCAUUCAGAGGGGACCGUUGGAAGUCCCAGGAUGGAGGUUUCCGUUCUCUGAUAGUCUUGUAUAUUGGAAGGACAGAUUUAGUUUUGUGGGAGGCUUCUGCUCUUCAUUUCCCACGACUCAAGUGCCUCCGUCUUAAUUACUGCAGCAAGCUUCAUGAAGUCCCAUUCGAACUGGCCAAUGUUCCAAGCUUCCAGAUAUUGGACUUGAACUGUACCAGCAGAUCAGCAGCUAAAUCUGCCAAGAAAAUUUCGGAGCAUUAAAAGCAAAUUGGUGGUAGUGGAUUUAAGCUUUCGAUUUACCCUUCAGAUCAUGAUCAAUGAUCUCCAUUUGUUCAAAGCUCAUAAAUGCUACUUCACAGGUAAUAUAUUUUAAAUUUUGUUCUCUUCAGUUGAUAUAUCUAUUCCUGCUUAAAACGUAAGAAACAUAUAUUUCAUGGGAUGAUCCUGGUUAGAAUUAUUCUUCCUAAAUAUUAGCACCAAGAAAGGACUGUUUUUUCCCCUGUGCCCUGUCUAUUUCUUAUCUCUUUGUGGAUAUAUGCUCUAUCAGCUAAUCCAUGAUUUUUAUCACAAAAAUCUGAAACAUAUGAAGUAGAAGUCCAAGUAAACAUGUUUGCUACUAUCUUACAUAUUACUAAUGAAUUAUGAAAAUUAUUUCUAGUGUAAAGGUGUAAAAAUUCAAUGAUAUGAUCAACUUAUACCUUGUGCAGGCAGAUAAUUAGACGAACAAUGAUGUCAUGAGUGUUGAAUAAAGGAAGUUUAGAUGCGUGGAGCCACUGUUUCUUUUCCCUGUCUUUUUACAUUUCGUUCAAUAAAAAGUUGCACUUCAUUUAAAUGUAUGUUGAACAUCAGAAUAUUGGUAUUUCUUUUUAUUCAGUGGGUUGUAUUGCUGUAAUCAUUAGACCUUGCUUUAGCUUUUCACUAUGGAAUUACUGCUGCUUUCAUUUUACCUACUUAUAAUUUUUUUUCUUGACAAAGUGGUCAAUUUUGAAGAGGCAAAUAGAAAACUGCAUGGUCUUGCGCUCUUACUUUAUUGCACCUAAGGUAAUUUGCCUUAGCUUGAUGAGUAUGGUCAUUGUACUUGGAGCAGGUUUUGCUAAGUAAAUUAAACUUUAUGUAAGAUUCUAUCCUCCAGCAUAUUUGGAUAUGCAACUUCUCUUCCUAAUAAAAAACAUAUAAGUCCCACGUUUGGCUAAUAUUUAUAAACGUAUUAUAAUCAAUAAAUCACUUUUUAUCCAUACAUUCAUGAGAGAGACCAUUAGUAAUUUUUUUCCAGGAUAUUGGGAAUUGGAAGCUCAUGGAAGGAGGAAGGAGAGACUUAGAUUUUGAAGUUUGGUAUAGUUGCAAUAUAACUCCAAAUCCUUAACGGUCUUUAAAUUGCGUUUAGAUUUUUCCAUCGUAUACAUAAUUGUUUUAAAUACAUUGCCAAAUAUAUCUGUUGGCUGAGAUUAUGGUUUUGAAUAAAACUACACUUGUUUCUCGCAAAUGAAAUCAAGGGAAAAUUUAUAAUUCACAUAUUUCACGUGUAUGAAAGUAGGACAAAAUGGUUUCAGCUGUGUGAAAACAGGGGAAAUCACUCCAUUAGAUAUUCAGCAACAGAAAAUAGGGGAAACAGAUGGAAAAACGAGAUAAAGGACAGCAAUAGGAGCUUUCCUUACUUCACAAGAUUCUUACAAGAUUCUCGUUAUAUGAUUAUGACAUAUUUUUGCUACUUUUACGAACUUUAAAACAAUGCAAAUUACAUUUAUAGUUCUCAUUCAUUUUAUAAAUUUCUUUGACUUUUCUACUAAAAACACAUUAUAUAUUAACAUUCUCCCCCUCAACGCGUUUUUCUUAAACUCCAAGUGCUUCUAUUAAUUGUUUGGUAAGAGGAAAUUACACUAAAAGUCAAUUUUUGGAUUUGGCAAAAAUGUCACUUUUUUAAAAGUCUUUGCAAAAUUGUCAGAUUUAGACAUUUUUGCCCCUUUGAAUAAUUUGAAUACUUUACAUGUCCUUCAUUAAAUUAGAUAUGACUAGAUGAAAAACUGUUCAAAAACUGUGUAAAUGUCAAGGAUAAAUGACUCAUUAGAUGAGCUUGGACCUGUCCCUUAUGCUAGUUACGUGUAGUGUAAUUUUUGUCUCGGUUCAAGUGUCGAGAAUGACAAACAAUCGGUCGAGCUGUCAUGCAAUAUGUUGUUUAUGAAUCCAUAUUUUGCUUGUGAAGUUGAACAUAUAUUUUUAAAUAUCUGCAAAUGAUAAUGGAAUGAUAAUGGCGAUGUAAGUUAAAGAUAAAAAAUGUAAGUUGAUAGUAUGCUGGGGAACAUCGUAAGUUGAAAAUACCGUUACGACAAGUAUGCAAGCUUCAAUGAAAUUUUCAGUUUAUAAGGGUGAUAAGCAGUAAAGAUAAGAAAAAAGAGCCACAUGCGCUGAUUUAUUAAACAAGUUCAAAAAGCACUCCAACUAUUAAAUUGUUCAAAGUAAUUCAAUUUAAUUAUGCUAAUUGUCCUUUCCUUUUCUCCGUAGUAAUGCUAUUUAACAUUGGUGGUGUUUAUCAUUUAUGUGUCAAUUAGUUCACUAUAUACAAUUUACUAAUUACAAUGUACUUGGUGGGGGAUUAAAAUUAGAAUUUUUAGUGAAUUGUGAUAGAAGUUUUUCAAUUGUCUGGUUGAAUCAUUUUGACCAACUAUAGAGUUGGAGUGCCUUUUGUACGUUUUUAAAGAUUGAGCAAUUUAACUUUUUAGUUAUUUUUAUUCUUUUUUAAGAAAUCAACAAUUUACCCCUUUUCUUUCUCUUUAUUGCUUUUUUACCUUUUUCCUUGUCUUUAUUGCUUUUUGUACAUUUUCAGUGAACAAUUCUACUUUACAAUCAUCUAUUGAGAAUGAGGAAAACAUCUGCUAGGACUGACUGUUUCACUGUUGGGAUGUUGUGCAGAUUGUCAACAUAAGGAUCUGUAAUUUUUAUGCCAACAUAAUGUGCAAUAACAUCCGCAAACAAUAAUGAUAAGAAAAUGAUAAUAUAACUUUAUAAUGUAUAGUACAGUAGGGGAACAUUGAACAUAUAACGUCUUCAACGACAUGGAGCGGCUGUUUGAGAAACUUGUGUUACAUUGGGGUUUGAACAUGUGAUUCGAUUUUGACCAACUUGACCACAAUGAGUGCAUUUCUUGAGUCGUGUGGUAGACUCGAAUCUAUAACGCUUAUGUCGUGUCGGUGGUCUACCUAGAAGAAGACAUACGAUGGGUGACAAAAUAAGAAUAUAUGUAAUUAAGCUCGGCUAUGAUAAUACUAGUUAGAGCUAAAAUGGAAGUGGCUUUGUCCCAUCUCCACUUCCAUUCGUCGUCCACUUAAAUAAACUUUCCCCCAUGCAACACGAUGAAUUUCAAAUGAUGACUCAUACCUGAAAUCUAUUUAGAUCCAUGUAAUACCAAAAAGGGAAAGAAAGGCUGUCGAGAGUUUUCAAAUGUCAAAAUCGAUAGUUAAAUUGUCUAUCCCGACAUCUUGUAAAUGUUGAAUUUGACAGUUCAAAUGUCUAACUCGACAAUUUCGAAGAUACUAUUCGACAGUUGAACGGCCAUGACUUUUGGGGAAGCUUAAAAAACGUGUUUGAAUCUUUGGAAGAAAUUAUUGAAAACAUUAAUGGUGAUAAUCAAUUCUCAACUACAUCUCUAAAUCUUUCCAAAAAUAAAUAGGGAAUAACUCAAUGCUUUAUUAAUAUGGCAUCCUUCACAUUUUCUAGAGGAUGUUGGUAUAUUUUCCUUUCAAAAAUAUAUCAAAAAUCAAACAAAUCAAUGAAUUCUUCACAAUUUUCAAAUAAAUAUGACCAUGUUGUAUUCAACAUUUAAAAUAGUAAAUUAUAAGGUGAAAUUAUAAACAAUUUCUAAUAGUUAACCUUUGAAAAAUAGAUGAUCAAUCCAAUAGCUUUCACUUGUUGAUGAUGGAAUGAAGAUAAUGAAUAGUGAGAAUUUAUGUGUUUUUUUCACUUUUUAAUUUUUUUUUUUACCAAAAUUUAUAUUACACAUGUAAUAAUGAUAUUUCAAAUAUUUAUAAUAUACAAAACAAAUUAUUACAUCACAACAUUAAUGGCACCCAAAUCAAGCAUUAAAUGCUCAUAAAAAGGUGUCACAAAGGGUAUUAUGGACAUUUCGUAGUAAAAAGUGAUAUUUUUGGAAGAAUUUGGUGCAAAUGAAAUUUUUUUUGUGCAUUUUCAAAUUUAAUGGCAUUUAUGAAAAUUUCCCUUGUUGUAAUCUCUUUGUUGGAAGUGCCUUUGUGAUGAUAUUAGAAAUUUGCUCUUUGGACUCGCAAUGGAUGAGUUCUUCUCUAUCUUCAAUUGCAUCUCUCGUGAAGUGGAACUUGAUUGCAAUAUAUCUGGUCCGACUAUAAAACAUGGAUUUUUUGACAUAACAAUAACUAAUUUGUUGUCACAAAAUAAUGGUGUGGCUUCUCCUUCUCCCCAAUGUCUUCUAAAAUUCUUCUUAGCCAAAUGACUUGUGAGGUUGCAAUCAAGGUUGACAUAUGUUCAACAUCAGUUGAGGUUGACCAACUAUUUGUUGCUUCGUGGAUAGCAAGAAAAAUACUCUCGAACCAAGUGAAAAUGCAUAACCGAAGGUGCUCUUCAUAUCAUCAACACAACCUCCCAAUCACUAUCACAAAAACCAUUUAACUUCACUUCUAAAUUCUUCUCAAAUCUGAUCCCAAAAUUUAUAGUCCCCAUUUUAUAUUCCAAAACUCUCUUUCCAACACCAAAAUGCUUAUGUGAUAGACUAUUCAUGUACCUUGAAAGUAAACCUCUGGCAUACAUAAGAUCCGGUCUUAUAGCGGUAAGAUAAAGCAAGUUUUCAAUCAAGCUUCUAUAAGGAGUUUUAUCCAAUUUCUUCUCCAUCAUCCUUCAUCAAUUUCUCGUUGCAAGCAAGUGAAUUUUCAAUACUUCUACAUCCAAACAUUCUGGAAUUUUUUAAGCAUACUUCAUUUGAGAAAUAAACACUCAAUUUCCAUAUUGAUAUAUUUCCAUACCAAGAAAAUAAUGUACCAGCCCCAAAUCAUUCAAUUCAUAUCUUUUCAUCAUGUCAACUUUAAAUUCUUCAAUUAUUUUUGUAUUUUUUUUUGUAAACAUCAAAUCAUCAAUCAAUGUUACCUUGAUGUUUCAUGUACAAGGUUGAUGGUAAGUGUGUUUUUACACACUUAUUAGGCACUUUAAUGAGCUAAUUAUUGAUGUAAUUGAGUAGAUUCCUAUUCAUAAUUGUGUAAUUAUCGUGUUUGUAGGCUAAAAUUCCAAAUUGAAAGAGAAAAAGGCUAAAGGAAGGAAAAAUGACCCAAAAAUGGACAAAAGUAUGACUAUGGGGACUAAAAUGUACAAGUCAGAAAGUUCAAGGACUCAACACUACACCAAAAAAGGCUUUUGCAACGGUCUUUAGACCUUUUGCAGCGUUUUAGCGUGUGUUGCGAAGGUUGAUGUUGCCAUUAAGGAGAGAGUUUUUGCAACGUUGCAAAAGUCAAUUUUUUGCAACGUUGUAGAUUGACUUUUGCAGCCUUUAAACAACGUUGCAAAAGUCUAGCUUUUGAAACGUUGAUCAAAAUUGAAAAUGACACUUUGUGAACAAGUUUUGGAAUUGCAAAAAAAUUGAUAAUUUCAUUGCAAAUUUUUGAAUCAAUACACUUGAACAUUAGAGCGUGAUACAACACCACCUAAUAAAAAGGAGUUGGAGUUAAAGAGUUUCUGUUGCAUCCACUAUAUAGCUCGAAACUACAAUAAACUAUCCAAAGAUCAAUACUUCUUUUGUUCCUUUCUCACAGUCCCUAUGCCUCUGCUGCCGGUCUUCAUUGCUUCCAGCACCUAUAAAAUGGCAAUUACUCGCAUUAAAAUAGCCACUUCACUACAGAUUGACAAGGCAAUUACAACACAAUACAAAUUACAUGCAUGAAAUCUCAUUGUCAUUUAGAGCUAUGCUUAUGUUAAUGAAAUAUGGGAAUGGUGUUUAUGUAAAGCAUUCUGUGCUAAUGAGUAAAAAUUCAGAAAAAUGACAGAUAAUAAAAAAUGCAAACAUCUCAAACCAAAUAACAUCUAGAACCUACAAUCACCAACAAGCAAAAUACUAACUCCUAACUUCAGAAGUAACUAAUAGUCGAUCACUAACAUGAAAAAUAUGAACCGAUUUAUGAGGUUUCCUCCCAAAAUUUAAUCAGUGACCAUUUCUUUGCUGAAUGUUAUAGACAUCAAAAAUAUGUAUUCUGUUGUGAUAUGGCAAUGUUGAAAAACUAAUUAUAGUGGUGUUACUCUAGAAACUAAGAAAUAAGGAUGAGGGAAGAAAGAAGUAAAUCUACUUACUAAUGAAUCUAAAUUCCACUAAGAAGCUAGAAAGCUUUCAAUUAAUAAGAAACACUAAUGUAGCAACUCUACCAUAAAUGACAUAAUUGACAAUGCUUCAAGAAAGAAAAUAUCCAAACUUCUUAGAUCCCACGUCUUAAUUUCAAUGUUUAGCAACUAUGGUUAAUGCAGAUUCCGGUAUGAUGAACCUACACAAAAAAUGCCUUGUGGAUGCUAGAAUAACUACCAGUCUACCAUACAGGGCCUCUACAAUGUAUAAGUCAGAAAGUUCAAGGACUUAAUUAGUUUCAAAUUAUGAAGGACUUGAUUGAAAAAGAAUUCAAAAUUCAAGGACUAAAUUAGAUGAAACCAAAGUUGGAGGUCUUGAUGUGCAAUUCUUUUGAGACCAAACUGAAGAGAAGGAAAAAAGGCUAAGGAGUGUGCCUAAGCUCCCAAUUUUGGACAACUGAGAGCAACCAAAGGACUAAGGUGCGCACCUCAUUUUGUAUUAGGCACGUGUCUUAGGCUGAAAAUCAAGACCCCUGUGCACAUUUUAAUUUUUUAAGGGCUCUUCUUGUAAUUUGGCUGGAACCAUUUUUAUUCUUUUUAAACACCCUUUCUCACCAUUCUAUCUUCAUCUUGAACAAACCUUAGCCUAGAGGAGAUAAAGAAGAAUUGGAGAAAGGAGAAGAUUCAAACUAAGAUUUUGGAGUUCAAGGAAAGAUUUAAGAUUUCAACCCUAUUUUUAUUCAAGAAUACAUUUAAAAAAAUGAUUUCUCCUUUCAUUUUGUAUCUUUUCAUUAGCUCCUUCAUUUUGUAAUGAAUUUCAUCACAUUCUCCGUGUCCUACCCUUACUUGACAAUGGGUUAAGGGUGUAUAGUUGGGAUUUAUUAAUAUCAAUAUAUUUGCCAUUUAAUGAUAAGGUGCCAUUGUUCUUGUGCAUUUUUUUACUAUGUUUACAUUUUCAUCAUUUGUUUGGCCAAUAGAUGAUUGGAUUAGGUGGUUUGUGCAAUUACUGAGAGAUGGUUGUACUUUCUAGACCAAAGUAAUUAAUGUCCUAGGUUGUUUUAGGAUAUAGAGAUAUACUCCUAACCCUAACUGACCCAUUGAGUUAUUUUCACUACAAUUUAAUGCGGCUGGUUGUGUUUUUAUCAACAUAGAGAUAUAGUGGGUAAAGCGAAUCAAUUAAAGUUAGUUUCACUUGAGAGAGGUAACUAACUAAAAUUGGAAAAUUGAGUCUAACAUUGGUAAUUUAUAUUUUUGGUUUGUUGAGAUAUUAAUGAAAUGACGGUAAGGUGAAAUCAUAAAUCCCAACCCAUCUAAAUUUUGGAACCUUUUUCCUUUCAUAACUAUUAAUUAAAUUUAAGCCUACAAGUAUUUUUUUUUAUUUCUAAUUUUCAAGAUUUAAUUGUGUACACCUCUAUCACUAAUUUGAAUCAACUUUCGUGUAAUUGGAAGAAGCACUAUUCGAGGGAUCGACUCGGACUCAAAAAGUUCAUUGUAUUACUUGUAAGCGACCCAUGCACUAUGGUAUGCACUUUUAGCGAACAAAUUUUUGGCGCCGUUGUCGAAAAAUGUUUAAUUCAAUUACAAUCUUUGUUGAUUCUAAUUUUCACAAUUUUACUUUUGGUCUUUUUUUUUUUUUUUUUUUUUUUUUUUUUUUUUUUUUUUUUUUGUAGUUUUUAUAUCUUUAUAGUGAAACUGACUUCUUAAUUUUGGUUUCUCUAGGUCUUUGGUAGUGCAUGCUUCAUUCGAGAAGUUUUGAUCUUUUUGAACUUGAUUCGGAUAUUGAAAGGACUUUCCGAAAAAGGCAAUGAAAACAAAGAGAAUUAAGAUGCUAAGAACUAAUUGAGAUGGCAAACCAAGGGGGUAAUGUGGAACCUAAUGCUCAACCAAAAAAUAUUCCUCGAGGUGGCAUGCCACUAGCUUUUGGUAACCUAGCAGGUAGGGCUCAAGGGCCCAUUGUAAAUGAGGAAGAUAUGCUAUUUGGGGACUUCAUGAACUCACCCGUGUUAGAGAAUGAAUCAAGUAUUGUCUACCCUUCAUAUGGACAUCCAAACUUUCAACUUCAUUCGGAUGUCAUCAGUUUGUUCUCCAACACCAUUCCAUUCUAUGGGAGAAUUGGUGAGAACCCUCAACUCACUUGUUGCACGAAUUAUAGAGAUGUUGGAAUUUUUAAAUAUGAAGGCGUGAAUGUGGAAGCAAUCCGGAUGAGGUUAUUUGUUCAAACUUUGAAGGAUAAGGCAGGGAAUGUGACGCCAGGUAGGAUAGUGAUUAUCCUAUUGGUUUGUUGUAGCAGAUAAUUUGCAAGAAAAGAACGUCAGAAAACGCCCAAAAAAUCAGAGAAAAUACUCUGAAUUCAACUCAAUAUUAUUAAUAAUGCAGGAUCCUCAAAAUUAACCCACAAGCCGGGUUAAAUAGCUGCGAAAUACGAAAUUAUGGAAAAAUUACCAAAAAUGGCAAAAUCUCGAAAUUAUACCAAAAUAAAUUAUUAAGUAAAAGAAGUAAAUUGCCAAAAAUUUGGCUCAAUUCGAGUUUUCUAACAUAUGGAAAAAGAAAAACGAAAUAUUACCAUCAAUAGUAAAAAAUAACUUAAAAUUGAAUUUUGGAAAGGAAAACAGUGGAUUUUGGGCUCGAAAUUGACGUCCACCAAGCAUAGCCGAAAAGAGCUUUUUGGAUUGGGGUCAUAAUAGCGAUUCCGAUAACCGUAGCCAAAGUUAUGGCCAAAUUACCAAAGACGUGUCAAUUCCCCCAAUUAAGGAAAUAAUGGCGAUUCACUUUCCAUCUUUGCGCCGAUCUGCCAUCUCAUGGUAUCUUAGUGUCAUCAUCGUGCUAUCUGACAAAUCAGUAUCACUCGACUCGGAUCUUCCUGCAUCAGAAUGGCUUGAAACUUUAUCGCCCUGAAGUAUAAAUAGUUGGGAGAAACUUGUUCAGAAAUUUACAACCAAAUUCUUUCCACCCACACGAGUAGCCAAACUCAAGCAUGACACAACCACUUCCAACAAUCUGAAUUUGAGAGCUUUCAUGAGGCUUGGGAGAGGUUUAAAGAUAUGCUUCGAAAAUGUCCAAAUCAUGGAAUCACAAGGGGGCAACAAGUGAAUUAUUUUUAUGCCGAGUUAACUCUUUGCCGUUCAGAUGUGGAUUCAUCGUCUAAUGGCUCAAUCAAGAAGAAGAGUAUUCGGAAAGCAUAUGAUCUAUUCAAGGUCAUAAGUGAGCAAAGUGCUAUGUGGCCGGAUAGAGGUUCAAAAGAGGGGUUGGUGAAAUUACCACUAGACGUGGGGUGCAAUUGCUCGAAAUCACGGUGAUACACCCGAAGGCUCAAAUUGACAGGGCACCCAUUGAAGAAGAAGGGGUUGUACAAGAACGUAAUACAAAGGAUGAAGCGACCAAGGAAGAUGAAUCGGAGCCAUCAACAUCAAAGUAUCCAACACCGGUCAAGGCCUAUGUGCCUCCUAUUCCCCUCCUACAAAGGUUCUACAAAUAGACAUUGGAUGCUCAAUUUGGAAAAUUUUUGGAAGUCUUCAAAAAUCUACACAUAAACAUUCUCUUUGCUGAUGCGUUGGCCCAAAUGUCAAGUUAUGCCAAAUUUAUGAAGGAUAUUCUUUCAAACAAAAGGAAACAAUAAGAACAUGAGACAAUGAUGCUAACGAAGGAAUGUAGCGCCAUUUUGUAAAAGAAGCUAUGGCCAUAAAUCAAAGAUCCAGGGAGUUUUAUUAUUCCAUGCACUAUUGGUGAUUUAAAUUUUAGUAAAACUUUAUGUUAUCUUGGUGCUAAAAUUAAUUUGAUGCCUUUGUCUAUUUUCAGGAAGCUGGGAUUGGGAGAAGCUAAGGCCAGCACUGUCUCAUUACAAUUGGCUGAUCGAUCAAUUAAAAUCCUUAGGGUGUCAUUGAGGUCGUGUUAGUCAAGGUGGACAAAUUCAUAUUUUCGGAUGAUUUUAUAAUUCUUGACAUGGGGGACUAUGACAUCCCUAUCAUUUUGGAAUGAUUGUUCCUUGCCACCGGUCGAGCUUUGAUUGAUGUAAAAGAGGGGCAACUCAUUCUAAGAGUCCAAGAUGAACAAGUUACAUUCAAUAUCUUGAAGGCCAUCAAGUAUUCCUCUGAAUCCGAUUCAUACCUUCGAGUGGACGUUGCUAAUCAUAUGGUUGCCGAUUCUUUUUAUGGGCUUUCUAAGGAUCAUCUCGAAACAUGUGUUGUCCAUUCUUCAAAUAUCAAAGAUAAGAUCCUAAAGUUGAGCAUAUGGCACAUUAUUUGAAGGCUAUACCUUCUCGGUCUUACAAGAGGACACCAAAUUUUGAGGACUUGGAAAAGAGCUCUUCACUACCAAUACCAUCUCUUCAACAGGCACCUAUACUUGACUUGAAGCCUCUUCUAUCUCAUUUGAGGUAUGCCUAUUUGGGAGAGUCAUCUACACUUCCAAUUAUCAUUGCUAAUUCCUUAAGUGAUUUGGAAGAAGACAAGUUACUUCGGGUGUUGAGGGAACACAAGGAAGCCAUUGGUUGGACUAUUGCAGAUAUUUGGAGAAUUAGUCCUUCGGGUGUCGAGGGAACACAAGGAAGCCAUUGGUCGGACUAUUGCAGAUAUUUGGAGAAUUAGUCCUUCACUAUGCAUGUAUAAAAUCCUUCUGGAUGAUGAUUUUUAAACCAUUAGUGGAGCAUCAAAGGCGGUUGAAUCCCAACAUGAAAAAAGUGGUAAGAGCCGAGGUAGUAAAGUGGCUUGAUGCGAACAUUAUUUAUCCGAUUUCAGAUAGUGCAUGGGUGAACCUUGUUUAAGUGGUGCUAAAGAAAGAAGGUAUCAUUGUUGUGGAAAAUGAGGAUAAUGAACUUAUGCCUACUAGACCCAUGACCGGUUGGAGGGUAUGCAUUGACUACCACAAGCUUAACAAGGCUACAAGGAAGGAUCACUUUCCCCUUCCUUUUAUUAAUCAAAUGUUUGAGCGGUUAGCGCGGUAUUCUCAUUACUGUUAUUUGGAUGGGUAUUCGGGCUAUAAUCAAAUUCCAAUAGCCCCAAAGGAUUAAGAGAAAAUUACCUUUACAUGCCCAUAUGGUACAUUUACUUAUAGAAGGAUGUCGUUUAGUCUUUACAACGCACCCACCACUUUCUAAAGGUGCUUGAUGGCUAUCUUUUUCGACAUGGUGGAAAAUGUAUUGAAGUUUUUAUGGAUGAUUUCUCAGUGUUUGGAGCCUCAUUUAACGGAUGCCUAAGCAAUUUAUAGAUGGUGUUAAAAAGAUGUAAGGAAACCAAUUCAAUACUUAAUUGAAAAAAAUGCCAUUUCAUUGUCCAAGAAGACAUAGUUCUUGGCCAUCGAAUUUCACAAAAAGGGAUAGAGGUUGACAAGGCAAAAAUCCAAGUCAUUGAGAAAUUACCUCUACCAACCUUGGUGAAGGAGAUAAGGAGUUUUUUGGGACAUGCCAGAUUUUAUAGGAGGUUUAUCAAGGAUUUCUCGGAGAUUGCAAAGCCGCUUUGCUCCUUACUUGAGAAGAACACUCCAUUUGAUUUUUUUCAAGAGUGUAUUUAUACUUUCAACACUCUUAAAGAGAAACUCAUCAUGGCUUCUAUCAUUGUAGCUCUGAAUUUGAAUCUGCCGUUUGAGCUUAUGUGUGAUGUACAUGAUUAUGCCAUUGAGCAAUUUUAGGGUAAACAAGAGAUAAAAUCUUGCACGUUAUCUACUAUGCUAGCCAAACUUUAACCGAUGCUCAACUGAACUAUGCCACUACUGAAUAAGAGAUGCCUGCAGUGGUAUUUGCAUUUGAUAAAUUUCGAUCUUACCUCACUAUGUCGAACGUGAUUGUUUACACAGACCACUCAGUCCUCAAGUAUUUGCUAGCAAAGAGAUGCCACGCCUCGGUAGAUCAGAUGGGUACUUCUUCUACAAGAGUUUGAAUUGGAAAUUUGAGAUAAAAGGGGAUAAAAAAUGUUGUUGCCGAUCAUCUGUCUUGACUUGAGCAAACCGAAGAAGUAGUGGAUGGGGAGAUAAAUGAAGAAUUCUUUGAUAAACAACUCUUGCAAAUUAUGCAUAUUCUACAAACCAUUUAUACACCAUGGUAUGCAACCAUUUGAACUUCCUUGCUAGUGGUAUCACUGUCCUAGAUCUAUCUUACCAACAAAGGAUGAAGUUCUUUGCCGACAUCAAGCAUCAUUUUUAGGAUGAUCCUUUGUUGUUCAAACGGGCCCAGAUCAAAUUAUUCGGAGAUGUGUACCGGAAGAAGAAAUGGAGCAAAUCCUUGAGCAAUGUCAUUCCUCUCCCUAUGGUGGUCACGUUGGUACCAUAAAAACUACAUCAAAGGUACUUCAAUUCAAUUUCUAUUGGCGUACCUUGUUUAAAGAUGCUUACACUCUUGAUUCCAAGUGUGACAAAUGCCAACUCAGUGGUAAUAUCUCCAACCGAAAUGAAAUGCCUUUGAAUUCUAUAUUGGAGGUGGAGGUUUUUUGUGUUUAAGGUUUAAGGUAUUGAUUUUAUGGGACAUUUUCCUCCUUCAUUCUCAAAUCAAUACAUAUUGGUGGUAGUUGAUUGUGUGUCAAAGUGGGUAGAAGUGGUGGCUUUAUCUACUAAUGAUGCUCAAGUGGUAGUAAGCUUUUUAAAGAAAAACAUUUUCUCUCAUUAUGGCACCCCCGAGCUAUCAUUAGUGAUAAAGGUAAACAUUUUUGCAAUCGUCUCUUUGAUUCACUAUUGACCAAAUAUGGAGUAAAGAAUCGUAUGGCCACUCCUUGUCAGCCCCAAACUAGUGGCCAAGUUGAGAUCUCAAAUCGAGAGUUAGAGAGGAUACUUGAAUAGACGAUGAGUGCCUCUAGAAAUGAUUGGUCCAAGAAAUUGGAUGAUGCAUUAUAGGCUUACCUUACCACGUUCAAAACGUUCAUUGGUAUUUCUCCCUAUCGUCUUUUGUUUGAAAAAGCUUGCCACCUCCCAGUAGAACUUGAGCAGUGGCCUUAUUGGGCGAUAAAAGCUUUGAAUUUUGAUGUCAAAUCGAUUGGUGAGAGAAGAUUGCUUCAAUUGAAUGAACUUGAUGAACAAUGCUUUGAUUCAUACGAAAGUGGCCAAAUUUAUAAGGAAAAGACAAAGACAUAGUAUGACCAAAACAUUGUAAAGCGGGACUUCUUUUUUGGGCAACAAGUUCUUCUUUACAAUUCUCGACUCUGAUUGUUUCCUAAACAGCUCCGCUCGAGAUGGUAGGGUCCUAUCACCAUCGCUAAAAUUUUUUCACAUGGAGUGGUUGAACUUCAUCAUGAGGAAAAGGGAAACUUUAAGGCUAACAUACAACGGUUGAAACCAUACUUUGGAGGUGAUUUUUCAAAGGAGAAGUCAUCCAUUCCUCUUGCCAAUCCGGAGUGAACAAGGCCUAUAGUUGAGCUAGGGACUAUAACCAAGCGCUUGUUGGGGGGCAACCCAACUUUCUCAUCCUUACACAUUAUGUUACUUGUGAUUAAUACUUCUGGUUCUUGAUAUAUUGGAAAUUAAGAUAUAUCAAUAAGUUAUGUUAAUAUAAGGCAAGAAAUAGAAUCAAAAAGAAAAAAGUUGUUGAUAAUACUUUUGCAUAUGAUGAAUCAUAUCAUAUUAUGAAUAGUGAGAAACCAAAAUAAAAUGAUGGUAUCAUUCUAAAAUUAGUUUACUAAAGAAACCCGAAGUUUUUGGAUGCGAUCCUAGUAAAAUCAAACUUACAAAGGAUACUUGAGAUUCUUGGAUCUAUGGUCUGAACACCUAAAAGUGUGUACCCAUGUGAAAUGAAAAGGAAAAAAGUAAAGUCAUAAUAUAAAAUGUACGACCCUUUACAUAUUGAAUUUCACGAAAAAUUGUAUAAAUAAAUAAAUUAUCAUGUGAUUGUUAGUGAACAAUGCACGAUAUUUGAUAUUUAUAUAAUAAAUAUGAUUAUAGUCAACUUAUCUUAUAUAAAUUUAAUACUAUCCUUGAAAUAUUUAAUUUGCUUGAAACAUAAUUCAAGUAAUAUUAUCAUGAUAAAUAGUAAAUACGUGAUGUACAUUUUUUUCUUUACCAAUGGUUUGUCCAAUUGAAUUUUUCUGAUAAUGUUUUUAACGAGACAAUUUUUGUAGCAUACUUAAAAGAAUAAAUGCAGUUUUUUUAUUUAUUAAAUUUUCCAUAGUAUUUUUUCUAAUUGCUUUUGAUGAGGUAUAUUUUGUAAUGAAUUUAUCCUCAAAAUAAUAUUUUGAUAUCCCUAUAACAUAAAAGAGGGAGUUUGUUUGUUUACUGUUAAUAGGAAUGCGUGCCUCUACCUCUAGCUCCACCUUUUUUUUUUCGUCAUUUAUAAUUAUUUUUGGAACGUAAAACGACAUCAUAAGAUAAUGUAGGAAAAAAACUUUUUUACUCGCAACACCCAUACAUCUGAGUACAGACACCUCACACAACCAUCAUCUCCAUUCUCUUCUCAGAACUACUAGAUCUUUUUAAUUCACCAGUUUCCCAGAAAAUCGUCCAUACUUCUCCUUCCUUCUCUCUUUUCUUUUUCUUUCUCUCAAGAUUCUCUCCAUAAGCUACGUAAUCUUGCCGGAGCUUUUCGAUUUAGAUUCAAGCCUCUAAGCGGAUGUAGGUAUUCUUGAAGAAUGGGUUUACAAGUGUUUCACUGACGGAGUGUUGAAUGAACUAAUUUUACUGUUUCUUUUUCUCUAUGUUUUGAUUUUGUUGGUUUGUAUUAUCUGUGGUGAAUGAUUUUUGUUUCUUCUUCUUGUUUUUUUUUUUCCGACGAUUGAAUUGAUGAUGCUUUUUGUCCUUCCUUCUCUUUGAAAAAUUGAAAUGAAAUCUUCUUCACUUGACUGAUAGUCAUUUUCUCAUUAGGAUUUAAUGGUGUACACUAAAAUGGGCAAAAUAUGUCUGCAGAACAGGAUGAUCAUGAUGAUUCGAGCUCAAGCAGUGUUUGGCACAAUACAAGUGGGUACAACAGAUGGGUAAAUUUCAUUUUUACAUUUUUUUUCACUCUGACUUAUUUGUUAAAAGUCUUUGAAUUAGAGUGAAAUAAAAGAAAAGUGUAUUAUUUAAAAAAAAAGGAGGAAUAGAGAAAUGGGGAAUGGAGAUAUGGUGAAUCGAGGCUUACGAUGAGGCCCCCAAAGGUUAAUUGAUUUGUUUCUUUCUCAAUUCUUUCAAUUUUAGUACUCUGACAAUGUUAGUUCCCAUCAUAUUUUAGAUUUUGGAAAUAUUCUGAAGAAAGAACAAAAAUAAACCACUAUUGAAUUUUUGAGAUUUCCCAAAAUAAAAUUUUAAAAAAGGUUUGUGUCAGAAGCAAACAAACUCUGAUUAGAAGCCAAUAUCUAGCAGCUUAAUCUGAUGAAGUGCCUGUAUGCAUGUUACCAAGUAGUGUAAUCAUAAAAGUUUACAUAUAAGAAAUUAAUCAAGGUUGAUGAUGAAAAACAACAAUUGCUGGAGAGUUGUAUAGAAAUCUUAUAAUGAUACUUCACAAGCUUCUUUGCCAAAUGAUUCCCAACCAUCGUCACCCUUUUUUCCUCCUGUAAAUAAUCAAUCCAAAAUUUUUACAUUUUUUGAAAACUUAAAUGAUCGAAAGAUAUUGUAGGAUAUGGAGCUGUGUUCAAUUACUAGAAAGUUGCACAUAGAAUUUUGAAAUCUGGGUAUUGCUUUAUUUUGGUGGAGAAAUGGGAAGUUCGAAUGAAAAAAGAGUUACUGCUGUGAUCAAUGAUCAUGAUGGAUGGACCUACAGAAGGUAUGGUUUUUGUUUAAAUUUUUUUAUUCUUUCAUCUUUAAUUAACUAAUUGUGCUAUGUAUGAUUGCAAUGUGGUAUUGAUUAGAAUUUGAUUACUCCUAGAUGAAAUAAUGAGUUCUUUUAUUAUAAUUGAUUAUAACUACUGGAAAUAUUUUAAUUUUAAUUAAUGUUUGGAUUGAAUAAGAUUACCCUUUUCUUAAUAUUAUUAUUGAUACUCGACUUUUGGCGUAUAAAAUUCAGGUAGAGAUGAGGACCUUAUGCUAAUCAGAGUAUUUUAAUUGUUAAGGCUAUACUUCGGUAAAAAUUGGAAUUGAAUCGAACCAGUCCUUUACUUGUCUUUUUAACUCAUUUUGGGACAUGGGAUAUGUGUUCUAUUGGUGGUAUGAAAUCAAACAGUAUUUUUUUUUUUUUUUUAAUUGUUCGAAGUUUAAUGUCAUUAGGAUUUCAUUGCCCUUAAGUUGGUUGUAGUCCAUUUAAGAGAGGUGCAUGUACUUAUAAAGCCUGUGCAUGUAUAAACCAUUGCUAGAUAGCAUUUGAGAUGCCCCAAUAAGUCUAAGCUAUUUGGAAACAAGAUAUCAUUCCGAUUGUGGCUCAAAAUUUCUUCAACUAUGUCUUCAAUUUAUUCAACUCUGGGACCCAUUAUGCCGAAUAUAUAUACUACAGCUUGGAAGUUGAGUGCCUAUGUAGAAAUUCUUAAAUUUUUUUUUCUCAUUUUAUGUUCUCUAGAUGUUUAAGAGAAUUGGUUUGACAAUACAAUUUGGUUUUAGAAUAUAUUCUCACUUCAAACAUAUUUAAUGAUAUAUUCUAAUUAGCCAACAUUGCGAUAGGUGGAAUUCAAAAUUUUGGGCAAUUGACUUUAGAAUUAUGGUCGAACAUAUCCCUGAUUGUAUGAUAGCAGGUGAAAUUUGAAAACCCAAAAUUAACAACUUUCAGUUCAAUGUUGACAAAAAGAGAAAGAAACUCAAGUUCCAACUAUAUAUUAUCUUGCAAUCGGGAAGGAGAAUGAGAGUGGGGGUAGGAGAGAAGAGAGUCAUUCAUGUUGUAGAGGACUCGGUUGCAACAAAAGCAAAGGUUAAUUAUACCCUUAUAACUCUUCUAGUAAAGAGGAAUUUUCUUUGCCUUGAGAAUAAUGAAUUAAUUUGAAAUAAAUAAUUUAGCAUAGUUAUUAGAAGCGAAGUUUCAAUAAUUAGUAAGAUCCUAUGUUAUGCAGCUAAUUUAAGCAAAAUUAAAUGACAAAGAGAUUGAAAGGAUAAGUGUCCAUGAAGAUGGGGAUGGAGUUAAAGCAACAAAAUCGACCUCCCACAUGUUUUGCUAGACUUCUAUGGCUUCUGACACCAGCAACAAUGAUGGAUUUUUUGUUUUUGUAGGGCUAUUGAAGAUUGUUUCUCACCUUAGGUUUGACAUUACUCUAUCCUUUUAGCAUCUUAUUGCUAACAGCAAGUGUAAUUUACUUUUAAGCUCACUCCAACAAUGGUUUAUGCAGAGUUUACCUACUCGGCACCAUAGGAACCCUCUUUCUCUCUCUCUCACACACACUCCCUCUUAUAGUAGUUUUGUAAUGUAAAUAGAAGCUGCUUGAGGCAGAUUAUUUUCUAUAAUUAUUAUGGAGAGCCAUAAUUUUUUGAGCUGGAACUCGAAUUGGAAUAUACUUUGAAAGAUAUAGGAAUUGGAACUCUAUGGAUCAGUUGGUAAGAAAAAGAGAGAGAGAGAGAGAGAGAGAGAGAGAGAGAGAGAGAGAGAGAGAGAGAGAGAGAGAGAAUAUGCUGAGAACAUAGGGUUUCAUCACCAGCAAAAUUAUGAAACUGUUAAAAAGUAAUUGCUUUUACUAUUAGCUUUAUUAUUUCUAGACAAUUCACCAGUUGAAAAUUCAUUUUGUAUUUAUAAUUUAUUCUCUAAUAAUAACCUAACUCAAAAAUUUGAAAAUGUGAAAAAAAUUAAACGGGGCAAAAAGUUGCCUUGUCCCCGCUCCAUUCUGUUGCCAUCCCUACUUGUACAGCUCUCUCAUGUGUGGGGAGUCCAUAGAAAAAAAUAAUAAUAAUAAAAAUUGAUAAGCCUCUUAUUGUGAGGGGACUAUACCAUGCUAUACAUCAAGCACUUUUGAAACUUAUUCCUCGGCUACAUCAUUUCAUUUUUCCUUUUUCUUUUUCCAAUCGCACAAUCUUUCAUAAAAUAAUAUUAUACGUAAAUCAAAAUUUUUUUAUUCUUCUUCAACCACUCAUUUUUUUCAAAAAAAAACAUUAUUCUACCAUUUUCAUUUCAAGAAAUGGGGUAGUAAGAUGAUGAUGUCAGAUGGACCUCAACUUGACAUCAUUCAGUUCAAACUCAUUUCUUUGGUACCUGCCAGCAACUGCAUUAAUGUCACAUUUUCAGUCUCUGCUUAUAGGUAGCCAAUAAAUUUGGUGGCCAUAUCAUGAAAAUAUAUACCUCCCUGAUUGUAGCCAAACGCCUAGUUUCUUGUUCAACUCGACCCAACUGUGCUUGAACUCUCUCCUUAACCUCCAUUUUCUUCUUUUGAAUCUCCUCCUCUUUAGCCCUAAAUGUCAAAAGAGCAGAUUUCAACAUUUCUUCCUCUUCUUUUGUCAUAAUCCCAGUGAAACUCAAACUUCCUGAAAUCUGCCCUGUUUGCAUCAGAGACUGUUGGGUUUCAACUGACCUCUGAUUUUGCAUUAUUUUUUUAUUUUUUUUUUAAAAAAAAAAAAUUUCUCCUCCUCCUUCUUCUUUUCUUUUCUUUUCUUUUAUCUUUUGCUUUUGCUUUUGCUUUGGAAUGACUAAUGAUGAAGGCUCCCACUUUGUUGCGUGUUUGCAGGUCUUAAAAUGGUUAAAAGUUUUCAGGGCAGGUUGGCUUUGGUAAUUCUUUGUGACCCACAGGAGAAGAAAAAUAAUUAAGAAGCCUUUCCUGGUUUGAUAAAGACAGUGUAUGUGUUGCUACUUGAGCAUCAGAAUGAAAUGGUCCAACUGCCAACCACUUCCAACGGAUAGAUUUGCAUUUGGAUAUGUUUAUUGAAAUAUGUUUACUGUUAGCUUUAAUUUUAGAUAUUUGAGUUUUUAUUAUUUCGGUCGAUUUUUAUUAGAAAGUAAUUGUUUUUAGAUAUAUAGGAGUUUUUACUGUAAUGGCAUAAACAACUAUUAAUUAUUAUGUUUCUAAAUUGAGGUUUUAUUUUCGCUUAUGCCCCUUUUGGACGAGCUCACCUUUUCUAUUCACCCAAACUCCUUAAUUUUACAUCUAUGUAUUUUUCUGUACCUGUGCUAUUACAUAGUCAACUACACCAUGUCACGUGCUUUGCACGUGCGUCUUACUCGUAUAUAUAUAACUCCUGAAGAGAUCAACAAAACCUUGUUUUAAUCAUUAUGUUACUACAAUUAUCAUGUUUUAUUCCAUUAGGUUUUCUUGAAAACAUUAACGUAUUAGAUAUCAAUAUUUAAGGCAUUGACAUACAAGAUGUAAAUUGCUUGGUACAAGAAUUGAAAUUAGGGGGAGUAAAUGUACUACUUUUCCUUCAAUCAAGUUUUGUCACAUUGUGUUUUCUUGACAAGGUUUUAAUGAGACAUUAUUUUACUACAUCAAAUUAUUUAUACUCUUUCUUUAUUUGUCGACAUUUUUGUCUCAUCAAGUUUUUUGUCAAACGAGGUUUUAAUGAGAUAGUUAUUGUAUAAAUAGUCAUUCAAGGGAGAAUGUUGUAAAUAUAGUGAAAAACCUAUCGUUCGACCCAACUAACACCUAGAGGGGGGGGUGAAUAGGUGUUCUUGCGGAAUUAAAAACUUUUUGAAUAAUUCAUGCAACAAGUCACACAAAUUAUAAUUUGUUCAGAUUAAUUCACGUGCUUUAUCUACCUAUGUUGGAUUACCAUUGACAAGUAAAUAAAUUAAAGCGGUAAAAACACAAUAAACAUGUUGACGGAGAAACCCAACUGGGUAAAAACUCCGGGCACAAGCCAGUAGAAAUUCAUUAUUGUAGAAACCAACUUACAGCACGCCAGACAUCAUUGACACUCUCAAUUUUCUGACCUCCUUGCUGUAUGAACUCAAGACCCUCCUGGAUUUUGUAGAUCCGUGCUAAAUCCCAGCCUUGUAUAAUUUCUACCUCCCGUGAAUCGCUACGCACUCCUGCUCUUCAAGCAAAUCCUUCCCGGAUCUUCAAACUGAUGAUCGUCUGGAAGUUUAAUUGGAGUUGUGAGACAGGUGUUUUGGUGUUUAUGGAUUUGAUGUUUUUACUCAACAAGCCAAAGAUUGGUAUGAGAACAAUGAAGGAUUUCUUUGGCUUUUGAUCCUUGGAGAGAAUGAUUUGGAUUUUUGGUUGCCAAGGAAUUGAAAGAAUAUUCAAAGUGUUUUCAAUGUGAAUUUUCGGGUUAAUGAACACGAAUCGGACGUUUGGUAUAUAUAGAGGUCGAUAUAUGGUAAUGUGGAGCGUCAAACAUUCACGAGCGUUUAAAAUUAGAAUUGGCUAGGUAACACGGUCGCUCGAGCGAGGUACUGGCGAGCCUCGAGCGACGUACAUUUCGCUCGAGCGAUGGCUCAGCGUGAGUCCAGCGAAGUUGGUUCUGCAAUUGUGGCUCGAGCGAGGUCAGGGCGAGACUCUAGCGAAAUCAAAGCACCGCUUGCAUCUUCGAGGCAUCCCACACAACCCUAGACCUAGCCUAUAAACUUUAGUUAAUUGCAACUCUAGACCCUGAACUAUUGGACAUUGACAAUUUGGUCCUUGGUCACAUAUUUGUCAAUUACAUAUUUUCCUAACAAACUCCCCCUUUGGCAUUCUGUGACAAAAACACAUUUGACAGUCAAGGAUAAAAAACAAAUUGACUUCAAACUACCAAUCUAUUCUAUCACAUCAGCAAUAUCUUGUUGAACUUGUUUCCUGAAAAACAAAACUCAAAUACCACGUGAAAAAGCAUGUGAAAUGGAAACAGUAAAUAUAGACAAGAUAUAAAUCAUAUAUCAUUAACCAGAUUAAGAAGCAAUAAUAAUGUAUGUCUAAAACACCAAAAACAGACAUUAAGAUUGCCAAAACAUCAAAAACUUAAUCUAGUUAUAAAAUGACAUAUAUACAUCAACUUUAUAUCACAGUUAUCAAAAAAUAAUUAUCUGCUCCAAUAUCUAUGCAGCUCCAAUAUCUAUGCAAUCUACUCCAUAUCUCAAUCUACUCCCCCUUUUUGUCACAAAGGGCCAAAGAAAAGCGAAAGCAACAAAAUGAACUAGAAGCAGCAUCUCCAGCACUGGAAGAAUCAGAACCACUCUCAGCACUCGUGCUCUCCUCCAAAUGAUCUCGAAUCCAGCUCAACUGACGCUGAUAGACAGCAAGAGCACGGUGAAACGUAGACAUCUCGGCUGACUGACGUCCGAAACAACACGUAACUGCAUGAUCUUAGCUAUCAUACGAGCCUGGUGCUCGAUUAGUGUAGACAUCUGACCUAUAAGCGUCACCAUGGUGUCAACGGGCAGAGAAGCCACCCCCGGAGUAGAAGUAGAUGUCGAAGCAAACGCAGAGCUAAGAGGCAUAGCAGAAGGAAAAACUGGACGAGGAGGGAGAAACACACGGGAGCCCCCUGUAAGAAUCUCAGUAAUAGGAUCAAAGGGCUCCGAAGGAUCAAAAACAUCAGGGGUCGCAGCCGGAGCGGUAGAGGAAGAUGACAGUACAUGAGAUCGACUCUAAUGAAUGGUUUGCUAUCCAAUCGGACGUCCUAUGCGACAAGUCGAACCCUCCGAAAAAGAGGCACCCAAAGACAACGCAACCCGAUGAAUCAAACAAGCAUAAGGCAACCCGAUCCGACCCCCAGGAGUACGAAAGGAAGCCAGAAUAUUCUGGCACACAAAACUAGAAAAGUCGAUCGAGUCCCCAUGAAGAAGGGCAUACAGAAAACGGGUACGUACCAUAGGUAGAGAAGAGGUAUGGGCAACAGGCCACAGGUUUGUGCACACUAUGCGCAACAAGACCUGACGAUCAGUAGGCAAUGACCCCGUGGCCAUCGCCGUAAGCCCACCGAUAGACGGGGUGUUCAAAAGCGUAGACCGAAUAAGAGUAUCGGCCGGAAUAUAAGCAGGUAAAAUAUAGGGGUACGUCGGAUGGGUAAUCUGAGGUAUACCUAAGGCAUGAACUAUAGCCGAUGGAGUAACUCUAAACAAAUGACCUCUAAGAGUAACCCUAAAGGACGAGCCGUCUAUAUCAUGAAUAUUCGCGUAGAAUUCCUGAACAAGGAGUGGGGGAGGAGGUGAAAGACCAAUAAGAAGGGGCUCCCAACCCCGGGAAACAAAAAUGGCGGCUAUAUCAACAGGAAGUCAGAUAAGAUUACCCCACGCUCCACGAGAACGGGGCGUAAGGAGAACUGAGAAGUGAAGACUUCCUGAACUGUAGCAGAAAUGAAUCUGGAACGACUAUACGACGUCGAACCACUAGCUGGCUGUGCAGAGGAUCGAGAACACUUACGGGCCAUCUGGCAUUCGCAGAGACAAAACUAAUAAGUAAUAUGAAGAAUGCACGUGAUUCGAUGCAAUGUGGAAUGAAACACCACACACACAAAAGAGGCACAAUAGAGAUGCAUCGACAAAUGUGAAUGACCCUAAGCACAAACGAAGUAAGAUGAAGAUAUAGACCAAAAACAUGUGUGAACACACCUAUCAUGGCACGUGAUGACAAAGAACCAACGACGGAAAGGAAAGAAAGAAAUGAGAUGCACAAAAAAAAAAAGGAAACAAAGAGUAAAAUAGGUAAGAAAUUUCAUCGAGCAUGUGGCGUGCAUCACUUUGUCACACAAUUCCAAGCACAUAUGAGAUCCAAUCACCCAUCCAAUCAUAGUCCCUCAAACGAGAAACGACGUACUUUAAAAUGAAACAAACCACACGUCAAACGGAUUAACGGAAUGCAAGAACGAACGAAUUGAAAAUGGAUGAAAAACAUGUAAAUCACAUAGUUCGAAGAAUGAAGAAAUCAACAAUGCAAUGGAAAUCGUGAUGCACAAUGCGGGAAAGAACUCCCAAUGAAACAAGGAAUGUCGAAGCCACUAUUAAUUAAGUAACAAUCAAGCAAGAAUACCAAAGUAAGCCAAACACACGACAAAGAGAAGGAAAACGAAAAAAGAAAAAAAUUACCUCCAUAUGAAGUUUGGCAAAGGAAAUCUGGAAACAAAUAUGUUAUGGACCGUGGAGUGAUAUUAUUAGAGGAAUAUGGGGAUGAAAUAUGGAGGAAAUCACGAAGAAAAACGAAGGAGAAGAGAAAAAGAGAAAAUGCGCGAAAAAAAUGAAACAGGGCCGUUUUAAAAUAGGCCUGUUGCUCGAGCGAGGGUCCAGCGAGACUCGGGCGACAGGCAAACUGCUUUUGUCGCUCGAGCGAAGACCAGGCGAGACUCGAGCGAAAUACCAAAUGUCAAAAAUAGCACCAAAAAUUUGAAUUGUGAGAAAAAUAACAUAAUCUUCAAGAAAUGACGAAAUUAGCCCAAAUCGUGAAAUUUCAAAAAUAAGUGAACUACGUAAUAGUGGAAAAUAAUCCAAAAAAAAUAAUAGCAUGAAAUCACAUAUGCAAUCAAAACCAACAAUAAGCAUAAAAUCACAAACCCGACCUCCAGCAUGUAGUCAAAUCGUUAAUCCACACAUAGUUCAGAAUCCUGUGUAGUAAAGUGUAUACAGAAUAUUACUGUGAAAAGUGCUACGUAGUCCAUGCAAGCUAGACUCAAAACCUUAAAUUAGUGAGAAAGGACACGUGAAAACGACCCGACAACGGUGAAUGUCGACCAAGUGACAGUCAAAUCCAAUUCCACGAGGACCUAUAGCAAAUACUAUGAUUGUCACAAUUUUACUCCCCCUAACUGUAUGAUUCCAAAUUUGUAUUUUUAUCUUUAUUAUUAUUAUUAUUAUUAUUUUUUUUUUUUUCACAAAAGAACCUAAGUGCAAUGCCAUCCCCAUUAGGCAACAUAAAUGACUCCUGUAACGAACUUUGGGCCGGUGACUCCCUAGUCAGACGACCAUAGGGCACCAGGUUAGAAACCCCUCAGGCUUAAUUGUUCGAGUCAAAUAGGCCCCGAAGAUAGCCAUAAGUUCAACAAAGAACAAAAGUAAAACUGGGGAAAGACAAUAUUGAUUAGGUUACACUCGUCCCAGAUCAAGUCAAAUGUACAUACAACCCCAAUCAUAGAAGAACACCAUCCCAAGUCUCACCCAUGCGGUCAAGACUCACUUACAGGACUACAGUGUGUGUUGUGUGAAAAUGAAUGAUGUGCCAUAUACCCAGAACUCCACAUUGAAAAAUGAACAAAGAUGGAUCCUCAGAUUCAUACACAUGUUGAAAAAAUAGAAUUUGAUCUUUAAUGCAAAUGCCAGAAUCAUUACAUAAAUGUUCAAAAAAAAAUUUAUUCUAUUUUAUUUUAUCUGAUUUUUUUUAAAACACACAUAUAACACAUAACAGAAGACUAAACAAAACAAAAGAAAUGCAUCACACACACACAUAUCACACGCAAGAUAUGAAGUGAUGAGGUACAUAUGUGAUGAAUGCAUGAACAUACAUGAAUCCAUGAUCAAAUAGGUGAGCAAACACCAACAGCCGUCCAAAGCGACUCAAACCUCAAUCCAUCUAGUGGUUUCGUAAGUAGAUCAGCCAAUUGAUUAUCAGUAGAGACAUGGUUAAGAGAGACAACAUGUGAUUCAACAAGCUCUCGAAUGAAAUGAUGUCGUAUGUCAAUAUGUUUUGUUCGAGAGUGCUGAAUGGGAUUCUUAGAAAUAUUUAUCGCACUCGUAUUAUCACAGAAAACAGUCAUUGUCCCUUGACUAAUCCCAUAAUCACUAAGCAUUUGUUUCAUCCAGAGAAGCUGAGUACAGCAACUCCCUGCAGCUAUGUAUUCGGCCUCUGCGGUGGAUAAAGAUAUUGAAUUUUGUUUCUUACUUAGCCAGGCUAUGAGAUUGCUACCCAUGUAAAAACAACCCCCAGUCGUACUUUUCAUAUCAUCUGCAUUUCCGGCCCAAUCGGCGUCAGAGUAUCUAGCCAAAUCAAGAUUGGAAUUUCUAGAAUAGAAUAUCCCUAGAUCCACUGUACCACUGAUAUACCUGAUUAUGCGUCUAACAGAGCUUAGGUGUGACUCUUUUGGAUCUGCUUGAAAGCGAGCACACACUCCUACACUAAAGGCAAUGUCAGGCCUAGUAGCUGUGAGAUAGAGAAGACUACCUAUCAUGCUACGAUAUAGGGAAUGAUCUACACUCUUACCAGAAGGAUCACGACCUAACUUUAAGCUAGUACUCAUCGGUGUCCUAGUAUGCUUCUUACUAUCUAACCCAAAUCGCUUAACGAGAUCCUUAUCAUACUUAGACUGUGAGAUAAACAGUCCAUCCUCUGUUUGUCAUACCUGAAGUCCAAGGAAAUAACUUAACUCUCCAACCAUACUCAUCUCGAACUCUCUCUGCAGACACUCAGCAAACUCAAACGCUAAAGACUCAAGAGGAGACCCAAAAAUGAUAUCAUCGACAUAAAUCUGAGCAAUGGUAAAAUUUUCUUCUAUAUGUCUAAUGAAUAAGGUCCUAUCUGCACCACCUCGAGAGAACCCAUGUUCUUCCAGAUAUGAUGUAAGUCUCUCAUACCAAGCUCUAGGAGCUUGCUUCAAACCAUAGAGUGCUUUGUGAAGUUUGUAGACAUAGUGGGGAAAUUUUGGAUCAACAAAUCCCUUAGGUUGUUCCACAUAUACUUCUUCCUGAAGAAGUCCAUUCAAGAAGGCACUCUUAACGUCCAUUUGAUGCAACUUGAAUCCUAAGGUACAUGCAACAGUAAGCAGAAUCCUAAUAGACUCAAGUCGUGCAACGGGGGCAAAAGUCUCAUCAAAAUCAAUCCCCUCAACUUGAGUAUACCCCUGAGCAACUAAUCUCGCCUUAUUCCUAGUUAUAGUACCUUGGUCAUCUGUCUUGUUCUUAAAGAUCCACUUGGUACCAAUAACAUUACAAUUUUCAGGUCUGGGAACUAAGUCCAUGAAAGUCUCUUUAUAAUCGAUGCCUUCUUUCUGUGUAAAGAAUUUUGCGACAAGACGAGCCUUAUACCUCUCUACAUCACCUUUCGAAUCCCUCUUGGUCUUAAAUAUCCAUUUGCAACCAAUGGGUUUCGCACCUUCAGGCAAUGGAACGAGGUCUUAUACGUCAUUGUCCUUCAUGGACUUUAUCUCUUCAUUCAUAGCAUCGAGCCAUUUUUGAGAGUUAGAACUUUCCAUGGCUUGACGGAAGUUGAUCGGAUCAUCUUCCACCAUUCCAAUGUCAACUUCAUGUUCUUGAAGAAAUACGAUGUAAUCAUUCGAAACCGUACUUUUCCUCUCUCUAGUGGAUCUUCUUAAUGGCAUUGGUUCUUGAAGGCGUAGAGUUUGUUCUUCUGGAACAAUUUGUUGAUCUUGAGAGGGAGGUAUGACAUUGUCUUGAUCCAGAGUUGCUUCUUGAACAAUAUCAGGGAUAGAAACAUGAUCAUUGUCAAUGGCAAUUGGAGGAAUUUCAACAUAUUCCUCCUCAAAGACAAAGCCUGUAACCCUUUCUCCCCCCACAAACUCAACAUCCUCAAAGAACCUAGCAUUUUCUGUCUUGAAAAUUGCCUUAGUUGUGGGAUCAUAAAACUUGUAACCCCUGGACCUUUCAGAAUAUCCAAUGAAAUAACAACUGAUGGUCCUUGCGUCCAAUUUCUUUCAUUUGGCUUAUAGGGCAUUGCCUCAGCUAGACACCCCCAAAUAUAUAUAUGCUUCAAACUAGGCUUCUUGCCCGUCCAAAGCUCAUAUGGGGUUUUAUCAGUGGCCUUAGUUGGAACUCUGUUGAGUAUAUAAGCUGCAGUCUUUAGUGCUUCACCCCAGAGAGAUUCUGGUAAGGUAGAAUGACUAAUCAUACUCCUCACCAUGUCCUUAAGCGUUCUGUUUCGUCUUUCAGCAACACCAUUCAUAGUUGGCGAACCCGGCAUAGUGUACUAUGGGACGAUACCGCAUUCCUCUAAGAAUUUAGCAAACGGUCUUGGACGCUGUUCACCUAAACCGUCAUAUCUGCCAUAGUAUUCACCCCCACGGUCAGAUCUGACGCUUUUAAUCCUUUUGCCGAGUUGGUUCUCAAUUUCAGCUUUAUAGUUUUUGAACACAUCCAGUGAUUGUGAUUUUUCAUGAAUGAGAUAUAUGUAGCCAUAUCUUGAAAAGUCGUCUAUGAACGUUAUAAAAUAUUGUUGACCAUUCCAAGAACCCGUAGGGAAUGGUCCACAAAUAUCCGUAUGUAUAAGUUCUAAGACGUCCGAAAUCCUAUUAGCUUGAAAUCUCCUUUUAUUGGUUUGUUUUCCCUUUAUACAGUUGACACACAAAUCAUAAUCUGUGAAGUCAAGAGGGUCGAGAAUCCCGUCAGACACAAGUCUCUCAAUUCUCUUUUUGGAGAUGUGACCUAAUCUCUUGUGCCACAACAAGGCAGAAUUCUCGUCGUUUAAUUUUCGCUUUACACCUCUAGUACUUACAUGCAAGGUUUCAUUAUAAGAAGUAAUUGUAUCAAUUGAAUAAAGAUUAUUGUAACCUGAUAAAGAACCGGAACCAACCAAUUUUGAAUCAUGAAACAAACUAAAUUUUCCAUUUCCAAAAAAACAAGUAUAACCAAAUUUGUCCAAAAUAGAAAUAGAAAUCAAAUUCCGUCUAAAAGACGGUACAAUAAAUGUCUCAAUAAGAUCUAAAUAAAAUUCAGUCUUUAACAAUAAUCUAAAUUUUCCUAUUGCCUCUACUUCCAUUCUAUUGCCGUCGCCAGCAUAGAUGUAUCUUUCACCAUCACUUGGUUUUCGGCAACUCAGGCAACUCUGCAUAGACAUACUGAUGUGAGUUGUUGCACCAGAAUCUAUCCACCAUGUAUGUCUAGGUACCGAAGUUAAAUUAACCUCAAAACAAACCAAAUGAAGAAGAGUACCUUUCUUUACACGCCAUGCGUGGUAAUUGGUUCCUUAUGCAGCUCCACAGAAGAAACAACCACCUUCAGUUGGUUCCUUAUGCUGUUUCUUUUGCGGUGCCGUACCUGCAGCUUUCUUAUUAAUCUUCCUUUUCUUGUUGCUUUUGUCCUUAGAAGUGGUGGCUAAAUAAGCAAUUUCUGUCUUUUCAUGCUUCAGUCUUUCCUCUUCCUGGACACAGUGUGAGAUGAGCUCAUUAAGGGACCAUGAGUCCUUUUGACAGUUAUAGCUCACCUUGAAUUGACUGAAAUGUACCUGAAGGGAUAUCAGAACCAAGUGCACUAACAAGUCUUUAGAUAAAUCCAACUUGAGUGCCUUUAGUUUUGAAGCAAUGUGAGACAUUUUCAUAAUGUACUCCCAAAUGUUUCCUUUCCCUUUAUACCUCAUUGAGACAAGAUUUACCAAAAGUGUACUUGUUUCUGCCUUUUCAUUUUUGGCAAACCUCUUCUCAAGGUCCUCAAGGAAACCCUUAGCCGUAGUCACCUUAUCGGAUAUAGUGCCCCGGAAUGCUUCUGGAAUAGAACGCUUCAUGACCAUUAAGCUUAUGUGGUUCGAUUGUUCCCACUUUUCCAUCUCCCUCUUGUCAUCAGAGGUACUCUUAUCAGUAAGUGCAGCAGGUUGAUCGACCCGUAAAGCAAGGUCUAGGUCCAUGACUCCGAGAACAAUCAUAACGUUCUCUUGCCAUGCCCUGAAGUUUGUACCAUUUAACAUUGGAAUUGAAUUGAUGCUAGCAGAAAUAUUAGCAGCAGAACCUCAAAUUGAAUUAGAGAACAUUUAUUAUGAAUAGCUCACAUGAAUAUCUUUAAUAUGCAAAUAAUAAUAAUAAUAAUAAUCUCAAAUAGUGGUAGGGCCCAUCACAAGAUACUAAGCACAACAUUAAUAUCCAGUCUUUGGACGGAGAUAUUGACUUGUAAGCGGUACUCUUGGCGUAGUGAUCAAACAUUGACGAUAAAACAACGUAUCAAUCAAUAAACCUUUCUUUGGACCGAUUUAUUGAUCACACAUUAAACCAAAUAAUCGUCACACGUUUAUCACCACAGGUGCAUGUGUAUUCGGCUAAAUAUUGACCUUUCUUUGGGCCGACCAAUAUUCCUAUGAAUAACACGUGCACAAACACUUUUUAACAUUCUAAGUUAGUCAAUUUUCACAAGAGAGGUUGCUUUGGCAACAUGUUGCUUCAAUUAACUAACUUUCGAAUAUUAUAUCUCUUUAAAAGAGUCUUUAAUACCAAAAUUUGAGAAAGAGAAUCACCAAUUUUGCAUAUUUUGUUUAGUUUUAAACUUUAGGGGCCUUAGGAUUAAUAAUUCAAAACUUUAAGGGGGCAAAAUUAAUUAAUUUCAAACUUUAGGGGUCGAAAUUAAUAAACUUAAAACUUUAUGGAUAAUAAUUAAUUAAUUCAAUACUUUAGAGGAUCAAUUAGAACAAUUUUAAAACUUCAGGGGCCAAAAUUGACCAAUUCAAAACUUUAGGGAUCAAUUUGAAUUAAUUGUGAACUUGGGGGCCAAUUUGAAUUAAUAAUUAAAUUUUGAAUUCUUUAAUUAUAAUUUCAGAACUUUGAUGGCCCGAAUUAAUUAAUUUUAAAACUUUAGGGACUGAAUUAUUAAAUUCGAAACUUAAAGGCCCAAAUCUCAAUAUAACUUAAAGGUUAGGGACUGAAAACUUAAUUUUAUAACCCUAACCCUAAUUGCAACUAAGGACCUCAAUUCUUCUAAUUUACAGGAGAGGCCCCCGCCUCCAAAAAUCAAAAACUGAAAAAACCUAAAAAAAAAAAAAAAUUUCUCUUUCUUUCCUUCUGGCGGCGACGCACUCUGGCGCCGCUCGGACUAACGUCGCUGGCAUGAGCCGGCUCCUGUAGCACACCCAGCGCUACUGUGAGUGCAGCAGCGCCUACUGCGCGCUUCUGCCUGCGCAGCGCACAGCGCUCCGACUGCCGCUGUCCGACUAAAUUUUUUUUUUUAAUCUGAAUCUCAAAAAUUUCGAAUUCCAAAUCUGAAUUUUCUAAACUAAUUAAUCCGAACGAAAAUAACAAGAAUUAUACCGCAAAAAUUUUCACAUUUAACAAAAUAUAUAACCAAAAAUUGUUAAAUCUGAAAAUUUCAAAAUAUAUUGCAAGAACCAAAUUAAAACCUUUGAUUCUCAAUGAUUCAACAUGAAGAGGCUCUAAUACCACUUGUUGGAUAAUUUAAUGCUUUAAAUUAUUGGAUCUUUCAUGUUAAAUCAUCGAGAAAUAUAAGAAUUAAAGCGGAAGCAUACCUGAAUCUGACAUGGUUAAUGCAAUAUGAAUUUCGCGGUAUGAUCUUCCAAAUCUACAUGCAGUCUCCUUUUCCUCUCUGUGAUAGGAUGCAGUAGAAAAUGAAUAAUACGUUGCAUGUGAUCUGGGGACCAUAACCUAUUUAUAUAGGGAUGCCCUUUGACCUAAUUUGGCCCACCAUAGAAUUAGGACUUGGGCCCAGUCUCUACACAUAUGUAAACCCAUACUUUAAUUUGAUACAUUAAAGUCCAAAAUCGAAACUUUAUUAGAUCACUUUAAUUGGGCUCAACCGAAUUCGAUAGCCUAUAAUUUAACACACAAUUAUUUACACAUAUAAGCCCAUCUUUAAUUAAAAAUUCUUACACGUAUUCAACCUAAAAAGCUCAAUUUGACUAUUUCUUGACCAAAUUUUAAAGGGCAAAAUUAUAAUUUUAUAUUUCUUCAAUAAAUUAAAAAAAAUACUAAGUAAAUAAAAUAGGAUUUUAACUAUUCAUCUUCUUCACAGAGCUCUCACCCAGCCCAGACCACCAAAGGAUUUUAUGUUUACUUGUAUGACCAUAAAAAUGAGUAAAUACAUGUUCUCAUUAUAUCUGAACAACACAAUCCAUACAAAGCUCUCAUUAUAUCUGAACAACACAAUCCAUACAAAGUUCGCACUAUAAUGAUCAACAUUUGUGUCUCAUGAGUAACUUCAGUAGGAACGAUGUUAACUCAAAUUCUAUUAAAUUCCUCCAGAUGAUAUAACAAACUAUGUAUCUAAUCUUGGUUAUACUCGUUCAAAUCUUCUACAACUUUUCAAAAUAUUAUUGAUGAGUUAUAGAGGCAAAUGAGAGCUCAUGCUCUAAAAUUGCAUGCAACCAUUUUAAAUUAUUGUCGUUUUACCUAAUACCAUGUGCAUUUGGCUUAUAUUAUCUCAUGUGAUCAUAAAAAUGAAUGAAGACACAUUCUAACUACCUUUUGACAUCACGAUUGAUACAAAGUUCGCCUAUGAUGACCAACAUGUGAGCCUCAUAAGUAAUUUCACUACACUAGGAAUCACGAUUGAUACAAAGUUCACCUAUAAUGACCAACAUGUGAGUCUCAUAAGUAAUUUCACUACACUAGGAAUGAAGUGAACUAAUAUUCUAGUAAUCCCUCUAGAUGAGAUAACAAAACUUAGCACCUUAUCUAAACUCAUCUAGAUGGCCGGUAAUGUUUGGAGUGAAAUCAGUAUUUCUUGUACAAAAAACACAUUUUUCCUUUUUUUUAACGGUCAGAUGCUGCUUUCACCAAAAUUACUUCUUUUUGUUUUUAUAUCCACUCUAAUGACAAUCAAAGUCAUAGAAAUAUAUUCAUAUUACAUAUAGAGACCAUAUAUGAUUCAAAGUUGUUAUGAACUUAGAGAUCAAUAUAGUGACAAGUGAGUAAGUAUUCCUGCCCUAACUAUGAAGUUAACUCAAACUUAAUUUAAUUCAUUAAUACAAAAAGUGUCAUUUUCACCAAUUUCACUAACUCUUUUAACAUUGUAACAAAAUAAUAAUGCGUCUUUAAAGAUGAAUUAAUAGAAAAUAAUGUUAUAGAUAAAAAAUUAUUGUUAACAAAUUAAACAACCCAUAAUAUUUUAUAACACCAAACAAGCAAUACCUCGUUCGCCUAAUCCUAGCAUGGAUAUUAAUAUAACGCAUUGCCCCCCGGUGCAUAGUCCAGUGGUGCAAAGGACAUGAGUGAAGUUAUCUCACGUCUUGCUGGUAGCUACAGUGUGGGGGUUCGAUUCCUGAGACAUGGAAUUGGACUCUUAUAGGCGCAGUGUACAGACAGCUCUUGUUCCCUGGCCUGCUGAGGCACAUCCUGCGAUUUACCUCCCUCACAAAGCUCUGGGGCGGGGCGGUGGGAGCCCUCAAGGUUGGGGUUCAACCUUUUUUUUUUUUUAAUAUAACGCAUGGAUUUAAAAUGUUGAAAUGAUGUUUUGAUACCUUGUGGAGCAACUAUGCAAACCAGGUAUUACAGAGGCUAGGUCUGACAUAGAGUAUGAGUCUCUAAAAGAUAGGAAACUUGAUAAAGCUAUGAUGUAGAGGUGAGGUUCUAGGCUAGAGGACGAGGCUCAAAAAGAUAGGAAACUUGAUGAAGCUGUGAUGUAGAGGCGAUGUCGUACCAUGGAAGAUGGGGAUCUGAAGGUAGGCAACUUGACGAAGAUGUAAGGCAAAGGCGAUGUGGCGUGAAAAAUGGAAUGUUGUAGCGUAGGUGAUUUGAAACCCUGAGAUGACCAGACAUUGAUUGAAAGGUGUUGUGUGUUUUCAAGAAAAUAAAUCGAGGCUCACGUGCAAGUUCAAGGCCAUGUGACCAGACAUAUAUUUAAGAUAUACUGCUUCAUCUAGACCUUUGCCUCAUCCGAACCUUUGAUUAGCUUUAAUCUUUCAUUUGAAUUGCUUGAAUGAGCUGAUGAAUGGAUGGCUAAGAUCAAUUUUGAUUUUAUCCAACAGUUGAAGUGCACAGGCCUUUCCCUUUCAUUUGCAAUUUCUUUACUCUACAAAAAAUUCAAAAUCGUAAUUUCAGCAAGAAAUUUCAAUUUUCUAACGACAUUCAUCAUCUUUAGUAGGUCUCUUACUAUAAAAGCCUUUUUCUAGUUAAAUUUGUUGGAAAAAUGAGUUGAGUAGCUGAAUUUGGUAGAAAAUUUGUGUGGGACCCGAUUGUUUAUUUUUGAAGAUCAAGAUUGAUUUGUGUUCUCCUUCGUGAGAACAUUAAAAUUAUAUAUUUACUUGUCAAAAUGAUGUUCGGGUAAAUGAGAAAUUGAAGCUCAAAGUAUACCAAUUGAAAGGAGUUUAUAUGUUGGAGAGAAACCAAUUAAGGUUUGUCCCACAUAGGAAAGUAAUGAAGGCAAAUACCACCUAUAUAGGAUUACACUUUGAAAGAGUGUAAUCAUGAGUAGUAUAGAGACUCUCUCCACGUGCAUGCGCAAGAGGGUGCAAAUCAUGGACCGAAAUAUGUUUCGGACCUUGAACUUGUGUGCGAGCUUGGCCUGGACACAUGAAUGUCGGACCGAAAGGACUGUAAUUGGCCUCUUUGGAGGGCCUACGUUUUGCUAAUUUUUUUCCUCAAUUGACCUUUUAAAUUUUAAAAUUGUUGAAACUCCAAUAAUUAUUGUCAUUAUAAUACAAGUUAAUGACAUACUUACGAACAUAAUUAACUUUACAUUUAUAGGGGUUAAGUCUAUAUAUGAGAGCACAUUUUUUCACUAUUCCACACAAAAAAAUACAGUUUCUGCAUAGUUUCUUCUAGUCUGCAUACUGCAUAGAUAUACAGUUCCUCGUCUAUUCGGAUUUUUUUUCUGUUUUGAUGAUAUUGUUCCGACACAAGUUCUGUUUGCCUGAGUGGUAUUUGAGAUACUCAAAUUCUACCACUCCUUUGUUGUAUCCUAGGACAGACGUCCGAACUAAAUCUCAAGCAAUUAUAGUGAGGAAGCGAAUCUGUUUUAAGAAAAUUGUGUUCAGAUAGAUCUCGUUUUCAAAUUUUAUUUGAUUUUUUCAUUACUUGCUUUAUUGUCAUUUAGAUUAACUCGUUCUACUUUAUUGUAAUUAACAAAAUUAUUUAAUCCGAAAGGACUCAAAUUGGCCCCUUUAGAGGGCCUACGUUUUGUCAAUUUGUUCUCCAACAGACAUCUUAAAUUUCAAAACUGUUGAAACUCCAAUAAUUAUUGUUAUUAUAAUACAAGUGAAUGGCAUACUUACGGACAUAAUUAACUUACCAUUUAUAGGGGUUAAGUCUGUAUAUGAGAACCCAUUUUUUCACCAUUCUACACAAAAAGCAAUACAGUUUCUGCAUAGUUUCUUUUGGUCUGCAUACUGCAUAGAUAUACAGUUCCUUGUCUAUUUGGAAUUAUUAUUAUUAUUAUUUUGUGAUAUUGUUUUGACUCAAGUUCUGUUUGCCUGAAUGGUAUUUGAGAAACUCAAAUUCUACCAUUCCUUUGUUGUAUCCUAGGAUAGAUGUCCAAACUAAACCUCAAGCACCUAUAGUGAGGGAGCAAAUCUGUUUUAAGAAAAUUGUGUUCACAUAGAUCUCGUUUUCAAAUUUCAUUUGAUUUUUUUUAUUACUUUCUUUAUUGUAAUUUAGAUUAACUUGUUCUACUUUAUUGUAAUUAACAAGAUUAUUUAAUUUGCUAAAUGUUAGCUAAUAUCCGGUAUCUAUGUUCAUUGCAUACUUGGUAUGUGCAAAUUUAGUAUUUCUGUAAACUGCAAAUCCGGUAUAUGUCUAUCCAGUAUUUGUUACAGUCACUAAUAGUUUCUCUAACAAGAUCUUAGUUUCAUUUUUAUUUUCUUCAUCCCUUUUGUUGGUUUUCUUCUUUAAAACAAGCACUAAUGAUGUUUGGGACUAUGAGAGGUUCUUUAGGCGGGAUGAAUGGAGAUGGAUUAGGUAUGGGCACUUCUAGUAUUAGGGAACCAAUUGUCCUCACCUUGAUUGAGAUUUUUUUGCAUCCUUUAGGUCGAGGGUGAAUACUUGGACCACUACUAAAAAAUAGAGUUUCAGGUACGGAUUUUCCGUUCCUAAAGCCUCAAUAUCCGUUGCUAAUAAUAUUCACCAAUGGAAUAUUUACAACCACAGAUCCAUUGGUAAUUUGAGGGUCGCUGAUAGUUACCAAUGGAUCAUGUCGUAGGUAAAGAGUAAACAUUUUACCAACGGAUUUUUCGUUGGUAAAGUGUGAAUCUUUUACUAAAUGAAUUUUCGUUGGUAAAAGUCUUAACCAAUACCAACCGACUUUCCGUUGGUAAAUGUCUACCAUUACAAUUGGUAAAAAUCAAUGUUGUAAAUAACCAUAUGGUAAAAAAAUUAUUUAUUUAUUUUUUAUUAUUGUUAUUAUUAUUAUUAUUAUUUAUUUAUUUAAUAAUUAUAAUUUUUAUUUUUUUUGCCAACUGAAUUGAAAGGUCAAAAUAUUGUUUAACUCUUUAUUGGACCACAAAUUUAUAGAGGGCAAAUACAAAGAUAUUGUUGUAAACUUCCGAUGUGGGAUAAGUGAAUUAUUUUACCAACAGAUAAUUCAUUUCUAAUUACCAACAGAAUAUCCGUUGCUGAAAGAUCAAAUUGUUAAACAGUUAUAUUAGGCACGAAAUAUCCGUUAGUAAAGAGAUAUCAUUUUUACUAACGGAUAAUCCGUUUCUAAUUACCAACGGAAUAUCCGUAGGUAAAAGAUCAAAAUGUUAAAUGAUUAUAUUAGGUACGGAAUAUCCGUUGGUACAAAGAUAUCAUCUUUACCAACGGAAAAUCCGUUGCUAAUUAUCGUAGUUAAAAGUGAAUUACUUUUACCAACAGAUAAUCCGUUUCUAAUUACCAACGGAAUAUCCGUAGGUAAAAGAUCAAAAUGUUAAAUGAUUAUAUUAGGUACGGAAUAUCCGUUGGUACAAAGAUAUCAUCUUUACCAACGAAAAAUUCGUUUCUGAUUAUUGUAGCUAAAAGUAAAUUAAUUUUACCAACGGAUUAUCCAUUUCUAAUUACCAACGGAUGCAAUCCGUUGGUAAUAAUAUCCGUUGGAGGAAGAGCCAAAUGUUAAAUGAUUACAUUAGGCACGGAAUAUCGGUUGGUAAAGAGAUAUCAUCUUACCAACGGAAAAUUCGUUGCUAAUUGUCGUAGCUAAAAGCGAAUUACUUUUACCAACAGAUAAUCCAUUUCUAAUCACCAACGGAUGCAAUUUGUUGGUAAUUUUUCGUAGGUGAAAAACUGUAUUUUAGUAGUGGACACUUUCCAUCGAGCCUAUAAACACCUCAAUUAAAUGAAAAUCCUCAAAAUUUCCUUCUACCAUGACUCCAGCCAAAAUUUAGACCAUUAAGGAACAGUUUAGAAUAUCUGAUAGCAUAUGGUUAAUUGUCCUCGAGAUUUAUGAACUAACAUAUUAUUCGAGGCUAGGGUACGUAGCUAUUAGCGAGGCCAUUCUAAAAGUCGCCCUUAGUUUACCUAUCCAUCGACCAUACUCAACUCGAACUCCUGGAGUCAAAUUGUUGGAUGGUGGAUGCUUUGGCACGAGGCGAUGCUAGUGAUGACAUGCCGUUCAAUGUCUUCCAACCGUCUACAAUCCUAAAGCCACUAACUUCUUGGAGGAUGCAGACCCCCUUUUUGUUUUAGGUCUUUCAUCCUCCAUUGAAGGGUAGAAAGAGUCUUGGUUUUGGAUCUCAAGUUAUUGGGAUAUAAUGGAAGGAGAUCGUACGACGUCUUUCACCAUCUCCACAACCUACUCCACACCUAGUUAGUCUUCAGAUUUGCAAGCUAUGCCUUAUUGUUUUCAUUUCUUAUACUUAACAUUUUUCUCCUUUGUUUGGAGGUACAUUGCCUCAGUUUGCAAUUUCAGAGGAACAUUGGAAUACUGUCUCCAUCAUGUGAAUAAAAAGAAAAUGACUGGGGCAUUUGGCUUCUUCUUUGGCCCCACUUUUUAGUUAGGGCACCUCCCCAACCUCUACCAUAGUGCCCCUUAGGGUAAGAUUAUCUGCAUUAGCUCCUCCUACUCAAAUUACUCCAUAGAAAUCGAAGGUAAAUGAGGCUACACCUCCCAAGUUGUAAGGAAAAAGACCUGCUAGCCCACCUUAGAGCAAAAAAGUCAAUAAUAUUGCGUAAUUAGUUUCUAUUUCAAAACUAGCACCGUUAGGUUUAAAAUUUGCAUUUGAAAAUAGAAGUUUUAGUUUAUUUCAAAAUUCAGUUAUUGUUGGAGAUGAUGUUUUAGUUGGUACUUUAUACAAACUUGAUUUGGAUCCCACUUAUGAAUGUAUCUUUUUCAACCUGAAUAGUAGUAAUAUUGACAAUAAACGUUGUAUGAUAAGAAGAAUUCAUCUGAAGUAUGGUAUAAAAGAUCGGGACAUAUCUCUAUAGAGACCUCAAAAGAUAAGUAAAUGAUGGAAUUUUACCGACUCCUGACUUUGCUGAUUCUGAAACUUGUAUUGAUUGUAUAAAGGGAAAGCUGACAAACAAGGCCACUAAUAGUGCCAAAAAUAGUUCAAACAUUCUUGAGAUUAUUCAAAUAGAUAUUUGUAGACAUUUUUUCACUCCUCGUCUAAAUGGUCAGAGAUAUUUUAUUGUAUUUAUAGACGACCAUUCAAGAUAUAUGUAUCUCUAUCUUCUAAAUCAUAUGGAUGAUGCACUAGAUGCCUUGAAGGUUUAUAACAUAGAAGCAAAGAAACAAAAUGAAAGAAAAUUUAAAAUUAUAAGUUCAGAGAGGGUGGAGAAUAUUAUGGACAGUACAAAAAUAAAGUGACAAAUGCCAACUCCAUUUGCUAAAUUUUAUACAACAAUAGAGGAUGUUAGGUACGCUGCAACAAAAAUGAUGUAGCCGAAAGAAAUUAAAAAAUAAAUAAAUAAUGGACAUGAUUAUGAGCAUGAUGAGACAUUCAACUCUAGUUAUAUUUAUUGAGUGAAGCAUUGUAAAUUGUCGUGUAUAUCUUAAAUAGAUUUCUAUCUGAGGCAAUUCCUAAAACACCAUUGGUAAGUUGGAACAAAUGAAAACCUAGUUUGAGAUAUAUAUAAAUCUGGGGUUGUCUGGUUGAAGUGGGGGUCCAUAAUCCUCACAUAAAGAAAUUGAACCCGUUGACAGUUGGUGGAUAUUUCAUAGGCUAUCUAGUGAACCCUAAAUGCUAUAGAUUCUAUUGUCCUUCGCACACUCCAAAAAUAGUCAAAGCUAGAAAUGUAAAGUUUCUAGAAUAUCACGUUGUGAGUGUGAGUGCGUUUUCUAUAAAUAUUGCUUUUCAAGAAAUUAGCGAAUUUGUUAGGUCAUUUUCCAAUCAUGGUAUAUUGAUUCUUACAAAAUAAAGCACUCAUGUAAAACUGGAAAAUGAAUCAACUAAAGAACAAUCAUUACUACAUGAGAAAAACACUGAACGAGAAUCACCACUCAAUGUAGAACAUGCAAAAGCUAUUACUAUUCAGAAUAUGCAAAAUCAAAAUAAUGUGGUAGGUAUAAAGAUAUCCUCAAGAAUAAGAAAAUUAGUAAUCUAUAGUUAUUAUGUCGAAUAUCUUCAAGAGUCCAAUAAUAUGUUGGACAGUACAAUGAUCCUAGCUCAUUAUCACAAGUUGUUGAAGGAAAAAACUCAAUCUUUUGUAUGAUGCCAUGAAGGAAUAGAUAAAAUCUAUAGCUAAAAAGCAUGUUUGGGAUCUCGUUGAUUUGUCAAAUGAACUUACAACCGUUGGUUGUAUAUGGGUCUAUAAGACCAAAAGAAAUGCAUCUGGCGCUAUACAACAGUAUAAAACUAGACUUGUAGCAAAUGUUUCACUCAAACGGAAGGAAUUGAUUACCAUAAAACAUUUUCUUCAACUUCUAAAAAAGAUUUGUUUACAAUUUUAAUAGUUUUAGUAGCUCAUUUUGAUCUAAAGCUACAUCAGAUGGACAUGAAAUUAACAUUCUUGAAUGAUGAUCUUAAAGAAGAGAUACAAAUGAAACAACAUGGAGGCUUUAAUAGCGAUGAAGGAAUCAAAUGAUUUACAAAUUAAGAAAAUCUAUAUAGGACCUAAAACAGGCAUCCCAUAAGUAGUGCUUGAAGUUAACCAUUUUGUUACUUCAGAUGGUUUUACAGAAAAUAUCAUUGACCAAUGCAUGUAUCUCAAAGUUAGUGGGAGUACAUACAUUUUUACACUCCUAUAUGUAGAAGACAUUUUACUUGCAAGCAGUGAUAUCGAUUUGCUAUAUGACACAAAACAGUUUGUUAGCCAAAAUUUUGAAAUGAAUGGUAUGGGUAAAGCCUCUUAUAUCAUUAACAUAGAGAUUCAUAGAGAUAUGUCUAAAUGGUCAUUAAGAUUGUCUCAUAAAGUAUACAAUGAAAAGAUUUUGAAAAGAUAGGGGAUAAAGGAUCGUGUAUCAUGUUGUUAAAAGUGAUAAAUUAAACCAAAAAUAGUGUACAUUAAAUGAAUUGGAAAGAGAGUACAUUGCUUCUAUACCCAAUGCUUCCACUGUCGGUAGCUUGAUGUAUGUACAAGUUUGUAAUAGACAUGACAUUAUAUUUGCAGUUGCUAUAAGGAUAGAUAUCAAAGUAAUCUAGGUAUAGAGCAAUAGAGAGCUGCCAAGAAAGUGAAAAGGUAUCUUCAAAGAACCAAAGACUAAAUUUUGUUGAAUGUGUAGACACAAGAUAGUCUAUUUUUCUUUUAGAUGGAGGAGAUGUAUCUUGGAGAAGCCUGAUUGCUACCCUCCUUCACAGCAUCACAACUUGAGACAAUUUGAGCCAGAAGUUCUUCAAUAAAUAUUUCCCACAAAAAAUGAUUGCCAAGUUUAGAGAUGAGAUCACUACAUUCUCACAACUUAAUUCAGAGUGCCAUUAUGAGGUAUGAAAACAAUAAAAAUGUUUGCUUCGAAAAUGUCCACAAAAAGGGUUGCAAAAAUGGCUAUAACUCUAGCACUUUUAAAAUAUCCUGACUCCGACUAGUACGAUAACGUUGACUUUGCAUGUGAUGGAUCAAUUAAAAGAAAGAUAGUGGAUCAGGUAUAUCAAAUCAGGGAAGAUCUAGCAUAUGCCAAUGCUCUAUGGUCAGCAGAAAGAUCGGGUGGAAAAAGAGCUACAAGAAUGCAUAAGGUUGACUCAAUGUUUGCCAUGGGCAGAUUUAGGGAUGAGCUGUACUUUGCUGCAUCCUACUGUUGCCCAGGCCCAAUACACUUUUUUUUUUUUUUUUUGCCUUAUGUUAAUUGUAAUCGGUUUGCCCACCAAUUAUUAAUUUCAAUGUGCUAGCCCACCUGCAAUUCCUCAAAUGAUUUUUUUGUUUCGAUCUUUGGCCCACUUAUUUAUAUAAUUUUAGGCCCAAUUUUUUACCACAAACUUAUUUAAUUUUUAUCAAUAGAUUCAAUACCCAUUUUUUCCCAUCUUUCUUCACGUAAUCACGUUUCCUUGCAAAACCAAUUGGAAUAAUUUUUUCAACUUUGGGGUUUAUUUUUGUUAUUCAAAAAAUGGGUUCUUAGUUUUUUGGGAUUUUAUUGUUUAAUUGGUUUGUAGGUGAGUCAUACCGUGCUACUUGCUAAGAAGAGGAUUCAAAAGCUGUUAAACUAGUUGAGGAGGUUCAAGGUUGGUUUCCUGAUUUUGGAUGAAAAAUCUCAAUUCAUAGCAAACAAUAAAUUGGUUUAAAGAUUUUAACUUACUAGUUAUUGCUACAAAACAUAAAGUAACUACUUUUUUGCAACACAUUUUGAUUCUCGAUAUAUUUAAUAUCAUCAAGUCAUUCUGGAGUGAUAGCGAGGAUGCUUCUUGCAAAUGAAAAGCACGCAACAUAGCAAAACCAAUAUUUGCUUUUUCUGUCAUAGAUUUUAAACUGCUAAUUUUUCGAAGUAGUUAAAUCGAUAUAGAAGGGAGAAAAAAGGAAUGGAUGAAAAACGAACAGUCAAUAACAAGAAUUUGCAGCAGAAUAAAUUUUAUGAUGUGGUUAGAAAAAAAAAUAUAAUCAUGUAACCAUAAUCUAAAACAAUGUCAAAAUGAUUAAAGUUUUUCAUUUUUUAUUUUUUAUUUUUAUUUUUAUUUUUGAUAAUUCAAUUGAUAACUCUGAAGAUAUACAUACAAAGGGCAGAUUUAGGACGAUCAGAGGUGACCAUAAAAUAAUAUGCACUGAUAGCUAUACAAUCUAUAGCACUCCCCAUAUCAUGCUAGAUAUAAUUACAAAAUCCAUAUCCAAAUAUAAUUAAUUGACUUAUCUUAACAUAUUCAAACAUUUUUAAGGCAUUCGGUGGAUUGAUACAUGUAAGUUGAAAGACUUCCAUAGCACGCGACAUUGGUACCUAAUAAAUAGGCACUCAAGUCAAAAUGUGCUCUCUAGUGGGUUUUAUCACAACUCAUUAAUACUGUUUAGGUGUCUUUAUUUUUGCUUAAAAUAAAACUCAUAUCUAAAUCUGCACAAUAAUUUUAAAUCCUACUGAGUUCACUCCGUGCAACAAAGAUUUUGAAUCUUAACAAUAUCUAUUUUUUAUUUGUCUCAUCAGCCGUUUAGUUAGAGUCUCUACCAGAUUACAUUGGUUAGAAAAUUUUCUACAUGGUGCCUACUUUGCUAAUGCGAAUUUAUUUAUUUAUUAUUUAGGCAUUAGAUAUGCUUGCGUGAAAAAAUUUAUGGCAUUAGCAAACCAUUUAACGUCUGCGAAUUCCUCACCGAUGUAAUCAAUGCGAGACUCUUUCUAGUUCAUGUGGUGAAAAAAUAAAAGACGUUGUGAAGAAGUCCAUCCAUAUCUAGGAGCCCGAUAAUAUUGUAGUCACACCUUUGGCCUUUCUUUCAAUUAUUGUCAACUUUCCUAUAAUAAAUCAGACAGCAAUUUUGUCUAAAGAAAGAAUGGAAACUAUGCACAUAUAAAUCUUUACAGUCAUAUUUAUCACCAAAAGUUUCAAUCCAUUUUAUUCUUUAAAUUGUUUGGAAGUUAUCUGUGUUUGUGAACACGACAGAUAUAAAGUUAGCAUUAAUUUGGUUGCUUGUCAGCGGCCAGCUUCAGCAAUAUUAUUUUAAUAAGUCUUUUAAAAGGGUUAAUGUCCAAAUCAUACAAUUAGAAAAUCAAUUAAAAUGAUUUCCAGAAAAUCUCGUUGUCUUAAUUUUUAAUACAUUUUAUUGUUUAAAUGGAUUACUAUUCAACAAAGAACAUAAAUGUCACAUUUUCACGUGUUAGCAUUUCAAAAGCUUGUUGAAAAAUGAAAUUUAUUAAUUUUUAAUAUCUUUGGAUAUUUAACUUGAGAACACUAACGUGCGAAGGAAUCUAUUUUACAAAUUUCCAUAUAUAUGUAUUAUUAAAUGACUUCAUCAUAUAAUUUAAAAUUUGAAGUCUUUCUUAACUAUAUUAAUUAAUCAUUAAUUAUUUUACAUAUUACAAUCGGAAAGGAUGUGGACGUUGACUUCACACAAAUUGUAUUUGGGAGUCAACUAGUCAUGUGCUAUUAAUUAAUUAUAAUCUAAACAAUUAAUUAUAGCCUGUUUGGUAAGUGAGGUUCAGGAGGGAAAAAAACGUAAAAAAGAAAGUAGCCAAUGACUUGAAUACAUCUAUAAAUUAACCCAACUAGCUAAAAGCAAAUUAAUCCGGAGUUGCUUGAAAAAAUGAGUCUCAAAUUUUGAAUCUUUCUCAUGUUCCAUCGACUAAUUUAAAGUUUUCAGAUAUAUAUUUGUUUAAUGGGUUUGAUUACAAGAUUUUUAAGUAUUCAAGGGGAUAAGUGUAGUUUAUACACUUAUUAGGACCUAAAAAUAUAGACAUUUAAUAGUGCUUUUGAUUAAUUACAACCUAAUUUAUUGUAUAUUUCUUUUAUUAGGUGAAAUUCGAUGAUCGAAAGUGAAAUUAAAAUACAGAAGUGAAAAAAAUGCAAAAAAUGGUGAAAUUCAAAGUUUGAGAACUCGGUUGCAAUUUUUCAAUAGUUUAUUUGAACCACAAAACGAUAAUUGAAGUUUGCUAGAAGUCAAUUAGAUACAAUUAAGAGUAAAAAAUGAGUGAAAAUAUAAUCAAAGUAUUUUCACAAAUCAAAUUUUGACCGCACAACUGAUGUUUUAGAUCUUUAGUUGGAGACUAAGACCCAUUUUUAGAAUAGUAAACGAUCGAAUUGGGAACAUAAAAUCAAAGUUUUCCUUUAUCUUAAAUUGUAGCCCAAAUACAAGAUAAAUUCCCAAAAGCUAUAUUUUGAAUAGCAUUUAGUGUUGAUGAAAUGUUAUUUGUAGUAAAGUUGUAGUCAUUUGAGUGGUCUCUCCAAUGCAUUUUGAAUCAAACCCUCCGAUCUUGAUUUUAUUGUCACUUCACUAUUGUAAUCGGCUGCAACCACCACUUGGUUCAAGAUUCACCAAUCUUUACUCACACGCACAAGUGUUUUCAAUUAUGGUUGAAGAACACGGGUUAUACUUUGAGAAACUUCACUAGAACAUUAGGCAAUCAGGACUCAUUGGAAUGGUCACAAGACUUUAAAACUUGAUGCUGCAGGUUUAUUGAAAAUAGAGAUUAUUCUUAAAGCAGUAGUUUGUACCUUUAUAAUUUUCUCUACUUAUGUAGAGACUUCUCCAAGGCACGAACAUAUCUUACCUAUAAUAUGGGAUUUAUAUACGGUAACAAUCAAGUAGCUUAUGGUUGAUAUGGUCAAUAAUUAAACUAAGGAAAGUUUUUAUUAGUUAAAAUAAUAUUUCUUUCUUUUAAUCAUUUGACCAAUCAAACCUGUCCAAGAUAGUAAGUAUAUAUUUCAAUAUAUGUUGUUGUAUGGAAAAUUAAAGAUUGCAUCUCAUGAAAACCUUAAAAUACAUAGCUAAGAAAUCUGUUUACCUGUAGUACCCUGCCAGUCGUGACUUAUUGGCAUUGACUGGCUAACCUAUUUGAACUUCAUAUUUUGGAUGAAAUAUAAAAUAAUAAAUAUUAAGUAGAUAUAAAGUAAUUUGGAUUUUUAAUGCUACUUUUGUGCUUGUGUGUAGAGUGCUUUCAAAGUAGAUUGCAUGAACUGCACCCUUUCAGAUAUUUCCUUUAAGCAACAUACCACUUCCUUACUUAAACAACUGACUCUGACUUUAUGAAAAAGCCAAUAUAUCAUAUAGUAUGUAGUUUGAGAAAGAACUAAGCAGAUAUGCAAUAUUAAUAUGAAGUGCAGCAUUAAUAUGAAACAAUACACCUGCAAACUGAAAAAGGAAUGAACUAAUCUAACAAGCUACCUCAAAUAUCAGACAAAAAAUUCAAGGAGUAUCUUUUUCUUUUCUCUCACCCCUUCAUGUGUACAUUAGAUUUUAAGACAUUGAGGAUAUUGUCUAAUUUAAGUUUUUGGGAUAGUGAAAAAAAAUGUAAAACAUUGAGUUUUUAGUUUUAUUUUUUUGUGUGAUUGAGUAUUUAUUGCUUUAUUUUAUAUGAGAAACUAGGAAAAAUGCAAAAAAUUUUAAAAAUUUUCCAAAAAAAUUCUAUUUUUUUAGUUUGCGUGUUUGUGUAGGUUAGAUGGCUUUGUUGACAGUGAUGAAUAUUAUUGGAAUUAUGUAUUUAUUUAUGAACUUUGGAUAGGUUACAUGCUUAAAUUAAUUUAUUCUUAUCCAUAUAAAACUUGGUACUCUUUGCACACAUGAAUUGAUUUUAGCAUUAUAAAGUAACGAGUUGAAUAGUAUCAUUGAUAGGUUGAAACAGGCAGAUUACGAUAUUCAAUCCCACAACCUAUUAUUUAUUACAUCCUCGAACCUUGUAUAGUAUAAUUUGGGGGUGCUUGAGCCGGUGAAAGAGAUGAUCUAAAAUGUGUUGGUUCCAUGCAUGUUGAAAAAAAUAUGUGUGACUUCAUCUUCAACUAUCAAGUAUAAACUAGGCAAUGACCAUAUUAUAAGGAUUUAAGGCCCACCUAUGUAUGCCUUAAAAAAAUUGAAAAAGGGCAUUGCAUUUGUUGGUUUUUUACCUCACGUCUUCACCCUUUUUAAUUCGAGUUAGGAAGUAGUUAGGGUAUCUUGAAAUUUGGUACCCUUUGAUAUUUAAAAAUUAUAUCAACUAAAAGCUCGUUACAUGGUUAAAGAAGAGAGAAAAAAAAAAGGUGAGGUUGAUCCUAAAAUGGAAAAAAAAAAUCAAAAUAAGUAAGUAAUUAUGCAAUUGUGCAAGUAGGAUCAAUUGUGGGAGCUUAGAUAACUAUUAGGUUUGAAUUGCUUAGUAUAAACUUGACUGCCAAUGCACUCAAAUUUUUGAUGAAUCAUUACAUGCAUAGAAUCUUGAUGUUACUGCUUAAACUCAAUCAAAUUAGAGCGGUGCAAGGAAUUAGUAAUUGAAAGUCAACCUUAGAAUAUACUUUGGGAAGAGAAUUAAAGAAAAUAAGUUUGGGGUGUAUAAAUUUUACGAGUGAAGAAAUGACAAAUUUGACUACAGAGAGUCGGGAAUCGAAACAACUUGCGAAUUUAUGAUGUUUAACUUAAUUCUUCACACACACAUCAGCUUCGCUUGGAGAGGUUGAUAUUGACUUUGGUAUUGUGACCUUCAAGCCUUUAAAUAUUGAUAUUUUGAAGUUCUUUUGAUUAGUAAUGUUUUAAUUCAUUAUAUAUUUGUUUAUUAGGUGAAACGAAAGAAUGGAAAAGGCGUUGAAAGAAAAAAGCGGGAAUUUACCAAAAAAGACAAAUAGUAAGUACAUAUAUUGCAAUAUUUCCAUAGUUGAUUUGGACCGAAUGAAGAUUGGAAAUGUUACAGAUUCAAUUGAAUGCAAAUUGAAGCUGAAUGACAAAAAUAGGUAGAAAGGAAAGUGAAGGGUCAAAAAAUUGAAGAGAGGAUGAAACGAAGGACCAAAACGCAGAUUUAGAUGCCUGACAUGAAGUUUCAAAAACAGUAGCUCAAAACAUUGCCUGGAUGAGCACUCGGGUUUUGCCUGGGCUUUCUAUCUAGGACUCAUGGCCAGCUUCCUUUUUCGUCCAAAAUUCUACAUGGAAAGCAAUUCAUUGCACAAUUUUUGAACUAAUUUCACCUCUAUAAAUACCAAACACAGUCAGCCAAUAAAAAUAACCUCAAUAUAAUCAGUUAUUAUCAUUAGAGGGAGGCGAAAUACAGUCUUCUGAUAGAAUUGAAGAGGACUUGGAAGAAUUCAAUCAAAUGAAAACUCAAUCUUGGUUUUUCGAAAAAUAAGAGAAGGCGCAAUUGAAGAUUCAUGAAGAAGCCAAUGAAGAUUCAAAUUUCAAUAUUCAUCUUCAUCUUUAUCUUCUCAAUUUAUCAAAAUAUGGAUUAUGUUUUUCCACUUAAACAUGUUUUCCUGUAAUGUUUCAAUGCCAUGCUAAGUUUUUAAUUACUAAGAUGUAGAUGAACCCUUAUUAUGAAGUUUUUAAUAUAAAUAAAAUAUUUUAACAUCCAAUAUAUGUUAUUCCUUGGAUGCAUGUUAUUGUGUUUAAUGCUUAUCAAUUAAUUAGCUACUAAUUGGAAUGAUUUGUGAAUUUUAUUGAUUUCGAGAGAAAUGAUAAAGUAGAUAGCACCUAUAACAACCAUUGUAAAAUUUAAUAGGGAAUAGAGAUAUACGCUAUGCUUUGCAUGAAUUCUAUAGAUUUUAUAAAGUUUCUAAUGAAUGCUAUAUAUAUAUAUAUAUAUAUAUAUAUAUAUAUAUAUAUAAUUAACAUCUAGAGAUGCUUUUAAUUAACUUAGAAACAUUGAUUAACAAGAAUGUGCAUAUAUUAUCAUGAUAUUGAAAAAAAAUUAUAAAUUUGCUCAAUGCAAUAGUUGAUUAAUUAGUUUUACAUAAAUUCUUCAACAAAAAUUUGCUAUUUGAUUAAGGAUGAAAUUAAUUCAUACUUGAUAAAGUACAUAGUCCUCGCAGGGAACGAUAUCUUACUUAUCAUUUAUUACUUGUUUGAGUCCGGUACACUUGUAGGAAAUCAAACGAUCAACUUACAAUCAGUAUGAUCCAUCUAAACUUGAGAAGGUGAAAAUUAGAAUAAACAUUUAACCUUGGAUUGCACAUUGGAAAAAGAGUAGAAAGAAUAAAUUUGGUGUGUAUGAAUCUCACAAUUAAAGAAAUGACAAAUUUAAUCAUUGAAGAUCGGAAAUUGAAACAACUUAUGAUUUUGUAAUAUUAUACUUGGAUUUUUCACACACUCACAUCAGUUUUGCUUUGAAGAAGUCGAUGUUGAUUCGGUAUUGUAACUUUGAAGCUAUUUAUAGAUAUAAUAGAAUGAUUCGAACUUCGACACGAAAUGACAGGUUAUCUAACCAAAAUGUUGUUGCGUGAUUGUUUAUUUUUAAGUUAAGUUAUGGUUUUAUUCGAGGACAAACAAAUGUUUAAAUUUGGACUGCUUGAUAAGUGUAGAUUAUAACCUUAUUUAGAUCUAAAAAUAUAGAUAUUUAAUAGUUCUUCUAAUUAAUUAUAGUAUAAUUUAUUGUAUAUUUUAUUUAUUAGAUGAAACUUUAUGAUUGAAAGUGGAUUUGAAAUAAAGAAGCAAAGAAAAGACGAAAAAUGGUGGAAUCUAAAGUUUGAGGACUCAAUUGUAACUUUUCAAUAGUUGAUUGAAGCCACAAAUGAUAACUAAAGAUUUCUAGGAUUCAAUUUGAUGAAAUUAGAAGUAAAAAAGGAGUGAAAUAUGGUCAAAGUAUUUUCACAAAUAAAAUUUCAACCACAAAUGUUAUGUUCUAAAUUUUAGCCACAUAUUGAGACCCAUUUUUGGCAUAGUAAACAUUCGAAUGAGAAAAAUGCUAUUUCGAGUAAUUGUAGCCUCUUGAGUUAACUUUCUAAAGCAUUUCAAAUUGCCUAUAUCAAAUAUCAGAAAAGAACUGUAUGACAAAAAUACCGACAGCUACAUGGCAACAAAAAUAUGAGCUCUCAAUGGCAAAUUUCUUAACUCAAUUGGAACACUUCUUGGAUUCAAUUUUGGAUGAGUUCUAAUUACUUGAUUACUAAUUAGAUUAAUUGUGAAUUUUACAGAUUUCAAAAGAAAAAAAAAAGGAUAGAAAACAUUUUAUAACUGUCAUUUUAAAGGUCGAUAGAAGCUAGAGACACAUUGCUAUGCUUUACAUAAUUUCUAAAGAUGUUCUAGCAUUUUUAAAACAUGCUUUCAUAUUCACGUUUUUUCUUAGAGUUAUAUAAAGAUCACAUGAGGGGAUGUAUUUAAUUGACAUUGAGAAAUGUUUUUAAAUAUCUUAUAAACAUUGAUCAACAAGAAUAUGCGUAUAUAGUCAUGUUAUUUAAUUGUAUUGAAACUAAUUAAUAAGGGGGAUUCGAGUUCUUAAUAACAUUUCAUCUAGAUUUACAAAAUCUUCAUAAUUUGCUCACUAGAAUGCUUAGUUUAAUUAGAUUAAUUAGUAUAAAUUCUUCAAAUACAAUUGGCUAUUCGGUUGGAGUUAGAAUCGAUUGAUCCUUCAUUAGUUACAUAGUCUUUGUGGGAGCGAUGUCCUACUUAUCACUUUAUUAGUUGUUCGUUGUACCGUACUCUUGCAGGAAACUAGACAAUCAUAAGGCUCAAUAAUACAAUUGACAAUAUUUUUACCAUUUUUACUUCAUAAACAUAGUCCAAUAGUGUACAUUUAAAUUGGGCAAAAUUUUUGUUGUUAGAUUUGAUGGUUGUGUAUACAUAUAUAAAACAUUGUUAUCUAGUUCUAGUAGUCUUAAGUAGGAUUGGACAUGGUUUGAUCCGGUUCGAUUUGAUUUUAAAGAGAACUGAAUCAGAUCUAAAAUUUUCGGGUAUUUAAAAAGUGGAACCGUAAGAUCCAAAUUUAAUUAUGAAACCAUUCGGGUUGAAUCCCAUUUGGUUCGGUUCGGUUUGGUUCGAUUACAUUCGGUGCACGGGUUUUGUACUAUAAUUAAAUUUGUUAAUAUUUACAACAUUACAUUGAUUCAAUUAAUGGCAUGUUCAAUUUAUCAAUUUAGCUCUUACUAAAUAACGUAGUCCAAUCUUAUAUAUAUCUUGUGCUUCUCUUUUUGCUAAGUUUUGUAUAAGAUUUGAUUGUUAAAAUUACGGAAAGAUGAAGAUAACGAGCUCACAAUUAAUUAAAAGAUUAACAGUCGAGCAUCAAUUCAAUUUCUCGAUACUAUGUUAGAAUAUCGAAUUUGAGUAAAACUUAGGUCAAUUUGAUUAAGUUGAUUAGAAAUAGGAAAACCAUAUCUUUGGGUUUGAGCAAAAUUAAUUAGUUAGUAAAUUUAUUUAAAAAAUAAAAUAAUUUAACUUAUUUAAAAUAAAUUAAUUAAAAAUAUUAGGAAGAUUCGGUUCUUAUUCAGUUCUUCGGCUCUUGAUCGAGAACAAAAAAUGGAGCCAAACUCGUCGGUUCUCAAUUUAAAUACCUGGUCUGGUAUUUAACUUAAGAAGAACCGCUCGAUUUGAUUCAGUUGAGAUCGGGUCCAGUUCGGUUCUGAAGUUUUGUCCGAUUUUAUUCUUAAGUAAAAGUCUAUGUGGCAGUGAGAUUUAUAGCCUAAAUUGGAUCAAAAAUAUAUAUAUAUUUUAUGUGAGUGUGUGAGGGGAAAGAAUGCAAUUGGACAAAUAUCAGAUAGAUAGGAUUUAUCGCUUUUUGUGUGUAUAUCCAUUAUUUGAUAAAUAAGUUCAUGAUGUGUUCCAAAAAUUAAAAUAAAUUUGUAAUUUAUGUGAAAUAUCACUAUUGAUUUAUUUAUACUAAGCAAUUGAGAUUAUUACAUAAUUUUCAAAAUAUUGAUUAGUAGAUUUGCUGAGUAGUACUAAGCACCCGUCUAAGUGCAAUGGAAUCCAUGCCUGCAACUAGUCAAAUGAUGCACACUUUUUUAUUCGAAGUAUUUAUAGGUAAUAAAUCCCAAUACCACAUAUAUGGGUAUUUAACGCCACUUAAACUAAAUGAAACCCCCCUCCAGACCCAUACCUUUUCCUUGUUUGGCAUAAAUUAAAAUUCAGAUUUUAAUUUGAGUCAAAAUCAAUAAUCAAUUUUUACCACAUAUUUUAUGGGACCCACACUUUUUCAACCAUACAUUUUCAUCAACUUUUAUAAAAAUCUAUUAAAAAUAUGAUUUUAAUCCCCUCCUAACAGGGCAUAAUAAACACACUCACACUCGACCAUCAACCUUAACAACUAAAUUUUUAUCAAGUUUCUCUCUCUCUCUCUCUCUCUCUCUCUCUCUCUUAUAUAUGUGUGCGCGCACACACACGCAUCCAUGCCUGCAAUUGGUCAAAUGAUGCACACUUUUUUAUUCAAAGUAUUUAUAGGUAAUAAAUCCCAAUACCACAUAUAUGGGUAUUUAACGCCACUUAAACUAAAUGAAACACCUCCUCCACACACACACAUUUUCCCUAUUUGGUAUAAAUUAAAAUUUAGAUUUUAAUUUAAGUCAAAGUCAAUAACCAAUUUUUAACACACAUUUUUUAGGAUCUACAAUUUUUCAACCACACAUUUUAGCAACUUCUAUAAAAAUCUAUUAAAAUCUAAUUUUAAUCCCCUCCAAACGAAGCAUAAUAAACACACUCACCCUCGACCAUCAACCUUAACAACUAGAUUUUUAUCAAAUUGCUCUCUCUCUCUCUACACACACGCACACACACACACACAUACAUACCCCUAUUUGAUGGUCAUUAGUGUUGUAAAUAUGAUAUUUUGAAUAGUGAUUUUUUUGAAAAUAUAUGGUUAAAGAGUGGAAAAAAGAUUUGGAUUUAUAAUACAAAAUAUUUUAUUGUGUAAAUAUAUGGUUGUAAAUGAGUAUGAAAAAAUAAAUUAUUUUGUUCUAAAGUGAAUCAAAUACGUGCAUAGAGAGAUUGUUACUAAAUAAUUCUCCAUCAGUCCGUAAAGAUGGACUUAACUUCCUUAGUCAUGUGCUCCAAAUUAUAGUCAUGUUUUUUUUUGUUAAGAUUAUAGUUGAUUUCUUAUUUUCCUAAUAUACCCCAAUUUAGUGUGUCAUAUUUAUCACAAACAUUAUUAUUUAAUUGUAGUUGGAAUAAUAAAUAAAACACCAAAAAAAUGCACAUUUCCAACAACUUGUUGAAAUUAGCAAUUUAUGUUUUUGGAGGUUUGGUAAUUUGUUCAAUUUCAUGUUAGCCAACCUUGCAUCGUUAAGUACAUUGAACCUUCCACUAAAGAAUAAUUUGUUCCAAAACUAAUUCAAUACUUCAUGGCCAUCUAGUUUCAAUAGAGUAACGAGUCAUCUAAUAUUAAUGUAGGUUUAUAUUAAGAAAAAGAUUAGUAAAUUUAUUGUUCCAACUAUAUGAACUAAUUUUUUUUUAUUUUUUAUUUUAUUUUUUGAUCUGUGUAUGAAAAUGGAAGCAAGCAUCUUUAAAGGGCUCACAGAGUUUAGAUGAGCCAUUUCAUCCAUCCAGGUUGUCAAAAAACUGUUAUUGAUGUACACAUAAGCAAGUGUUUAAAGCAUUAUUCCUAAGCCAAUGAAUGCAAAAACACGUAAACUAAUGAAUAAAAUGUAAUACUAUAAUAGAAUCAAUUACAAGUUAUCUCAUAGGAGGUUGUUAUUUGUCAUUUUUCCUAGAUGACCCAAUGUCCCUAAAGCCUUAAGGGAAGUUUAUAAACGCUCUUGCUUAAAAGCAUAAAAUGCAUGCAAAUUAAAAUAUCUCUCUAUCAAAUAGCAAUUUUUCCUCUUGUUCCAGUUUGAUCUUCAAAACUAGUGAUUUUUGGAGGUAAAAAUCCUAAUUAGGUGAGGAUUUUAUUGUUUCGAUUUGUACCGUCAACAAUUAUUUUAGCUACUCUUCUAGAUUCAGAUGCCGGUGUGGCACUUAUGUUUACUCCCUACACGGGAGAAUGAAAUAGCUCAUAAACUAUUUCCAUUAACUACUAUUUUGGGUGCCAAAAUGAACUUUUUAAUAGGUUUGUUUGCCGGUUUCUAUUUCGUCUGUCGUUUUGGAGAUUUGGCUCCUGUUUGGGCUCCAUUUUAAUUUAAUACAUUUUUUCUCUCUUCCAAAAUAAAAAAUAAAAAAUAAAAAAAGAAGAAAUUUUUCUCCGAGUUUCAAUUUUUAGGAUUAUACGUCUACCACAUAUAGGAGAAUUUAUGGCAACAGAGAAUUAAUUUAAGAAGAAAUUGUGGACGAAGCCACCAUGGAAUUUCUGCUAGAAAAUGUAAAGCAACUAAUUAUUUUCAAUGCACAUUUGAUUCUCGAUGUAGUUAGUACCAUCAAGUCAUUCUGACUGAUUAGUGAGGUACUCUUGCAAAUGAAGAGCAUGCAACACAGUAAAAUCAAUAUUUUCCUUUUCUGUCAUAGAAUUUAAACUGCCUUUUUUUUUCCUUUGAAUUAGUCAACGAGAUAUAGAAGGAAACAUUCUCAAUGAACGAAAAACAAACAGUCAAGAAGAAGAUUUGCAGCGGAACAAAUUUUAUGAUCUUUAUUCAUUUUAUUGUUUAAAUGGGUUACUAUUUGAUAAAAAGAAUGUCAGAUUUUCAUAUAUUGGCAUUGCAAAAACUUUGGAAAAAUGAAAUUAUUUUAGUAAAUAUAUUUGGAUAUUUAAUAUGGGAACACUAACGUGAGAAGGAAUCUAUUUUACGAAUUCCCAUAAACUAUCUUCACUAACUACUAUUUUGGGUGACAAAAUUAUUUUGAGAUUAAUUUUGCAGUAAAAAAAAUGGCUACAGUCAUUUGAGUAUGUGAAAUUUGAUUUUUGACAAAAUGUAUUUGGAAGUCUAACGAGCCUGCGUGUGAAUUGAGCCUGCAACUUGCUACUUUAAGGUAUAAGUGUUUCGUGGAUUUAACAUAAUAACAUGUGGUACGUGGUAAAGAAUAGAAGUUUUUGAAAUGUUGUGAGAUCCAUGAGAAAUGUGGUUAAUAUUGAUUGUUUGACUUUGAUUUAGAUUAAAAUCAGAUUUUAAUCAAAACUAAACAUGGGCUCAAUUUUUAGGAUUAUGCAUCUACCAUAUAGGUGAAUUUAUGGUAUCGAAGAAUUCAUUUAAGAAGAAAUGGCGGACGAAGUUUCCGUGGGACGGAGGAAGUAAUCUUUUUUAUCCACGUCUAAAAUGGAAGCAAAUAUCUUUACGGAACAUAGAGAGUACAAGUUAAUAUUUUUUUCUUAUUCCUUUAUAUUGUGUUCCCCCUUUUUGAUUUAUAUGGGCACAUCUCCUUUUAAGUUAAAUAAAUAAAUAAAUAAAUUUGUGCAGUUACAAGUAAUUUGGAUUGAAACAUUGGCUGUGAACAAACUUAAUUACAGGAAUAGAUGGUAAUUCUGAACGACAAGAAAUCUGUUGAGACCACGAGCUGAAAAAAUUCAAGGGUUUCCCACAAUAUUAUACACCUUUAUGGUGCUAGGAAAUACACAUCAUUCAUAUGGCAAGAGAAUGGAAUUAUUUGGACGAAUAAUGCUAUGUAAUCUCAUUAGGAUUAUAACUCCAAUCUAGACGAAGAUAAAUGAUGGGCUGUACGAGAUGUAAAAUUAAAUGGUUAUUUAAUGUCACAUUAACACUAUCUAAAUUAGGAUUAUAAUUCCAAUGAAAUUAGAUAUCAUUACUCUAUUUGGACUGAUUCUAAAUUAAAUGUUUAGUCUCCCCACAUUGGAGGGUCCACAUCGGAGGGACCCACUAAAAGAAGAAAUUAAGGACACUGUAGGAACUCAAUUGGACCAAAGAUGCAAAAGUUUGCAUAGAUUAUUGUGCAUAGAAAACGAUGCCCCCUUCAGCCUUUCUAUCAAUUUUGCUCCUUUCCCUGCAAUAAGGGGCGUUUGGGAGGAAUUUUUCACCUCUAAAAAAUUGAUUUUUAAUCAUUAUUUUAUUAUUUCGAUCGCAAAAUUUGAUUUCUUCUUUCACAGAUGGCCCCCACUUUUCUCCUAACGAUUAAAAAAUUAAAUCUCAAAAUCGCUCCCAAACAGGGCCUAAAUCUAUUAGUAGUUUAUUGGAAACAAAGAAUAGAAACUAUGCUCCAUAUAAAUCUCGAGCGUUAAACGUAUUUAUAAGGAAAAAUUGCAGCCAAGGUACCAAACCUUUUGUUUAUUAACAGACUUUGUCCAAACUCUUCAUUUGUGCCAUCGGAGGUACAAAACCUUUAAAAUCUUCGUAGAUGCAAUCCAAAAUGACAAUUUUCGUUUGUUUGAUCAUCAAAACCGUUAGUUGACUCCAGUAAUUAAAAAUUUAACAAUUUUUCCUAAGUAAGUGAAGGGCAAUUUUGACAUUUAAUAAGUCUCAAGUUCAUCUUCUUCAACAACCCCGCUACCUCUAACCUCCCCAAAUCAGAUCAGAAGAGUCAUCCCUAUCCCCAACCUCCCAAAAUCAUAUCAAAAGAUUUACCAUCGGCUACCGUCAACCACGAUGCGAUUCCUCCGACGAUGAGUGUUGUAUAUGUGUGUAAAGAUGCAAUUCCCCCCGCAUGCGAUUUCUCAGUUUCUUCAUUUUCCACCGUUUUCAACAAAAAUCACAUCUUCAUCACUAAGAUGUGUGGUGAGGGUUUCACUUGGAGCAUAUUGUAAAAGGACGUUAAUGUGUUAUCGAUAUUAAUUUGUAAGGAUAAUUUACAGUUUGCGUUUGAAUUUUUGAAGAGGGGCUGGAGAUUCAAAUUGAGUUGGGUGUUAGGAUUUUAGUGGGUGUAUACAUAUUGAUAAAAGCUUACCUCUUUGAGAAGUUCUUGAAGCCAUUUCAAAUGUACUGUGCGGUGGUCGGCAAUAUUUUAGUUGGUGUAUAGGGUAUAUUAUGGAUGGGAGACGGUCGAUAUUCCCUAUUUCUUUAACUUGGUUUAAUUUGCAGGUUAUCAAUUAUUUCUUCGCUAUUGUGCCGUCGGCCUUGCUGGUGUUGGAUAGCAGUGGUGGUUGUUUGAUUUUGGGAGGUGGGAAACGAUGUGGUGUGGGGGUGAAGAAGACAACCCUUUUAUUUUAUUUUUUUUCCUUUUCUAUUUCAUUUUUUAUUAUUUAAGGUUUUAGAAUUGUGAAGUUACUAUUUUGCCCUUAUAUUUGAUUAAAUUCUACUAUUUUGGUCAACUAACUGUUUUGGCGGUCAAACAGACAGAAACCGUCAUUUUGGACUAGCCCUACGAAUUUUUUAAAGGUUUGACACCUCUAAUAACACAAAUGAAAAGUUUGGAUAAAGGCUGCUAAUAAGCAAAAUGUUUGGUAUCUCAACUACAAUUUUCCCUAUUUAUUACCAAAAGUUUCGAGGCAUUUUGUUUUUUAAGUUGUUUCAAAGUUAUCAGUAUUCGCAAAUACAAUAAAGAUAAAGCUAAUAUAUUAAUUUGAUUGCUUGCUAUCGACUAGUUUAAAAAAUAUUGACAUUGAUAGUCUUUUGAAGGUCCCAUAUCAUGCAAUUAGAAAAUCAAUUAAGAUGAAUUCCACUCGUAAUCGAAAAUCUUGUUUUGUCGAAAGGUCUCAAUCUUUAUCCAUUUUAUUGUUUAAAUGGUAUGUCACAUUUUCACUUAUUGUAAGGAAUUACAAAAGAAGUUAUUUCAACAAAGAUGUGAGUUGAGUAGGAUUGGUGGAAGAAAUAUGAACCGAAGACGGAACCUUGAUAUACCCUAGAACAAUACAUUUUUGUUACCACGAGACAUAUUGGUAGCCGCUGAACAUUUGAUUGAAUUGAAAUUUAGAAUAGGUACACUUGAAUGAAUCAUUUGAAAAAUAAACGUCUUCAUUCUAUAGCGGAUCUUGCAUUUCAAAACUUUAGUUGAAAAAUGAAAUUUAUUAAUUAAAUGUAUUUUGAUAUUUAAUAUGGGAACACUAACUUGAGAAGGAAUCUAUUUUACAAAUUCCCAUAAACUAUUUUCACUACCUACUAUUUUGGGUGCCAAAUUGCACUUUUAAUUGGAUUGUUUGCCUGUUUUUACUUUUUCCAUAGUUCAGGAGAUUUAGCCCCCUUUUUGGUGGUCAUUAUUUAUUUAUUUGGGAGAAAACAUUGUUUUAAAUAGUGAAUUUUUCUUUUCUAUUUUCUGGGAGAAUGUAUGGUUAGAAAGGUAGAAAAAAAGGUUUUGGGUUUUUAAGUGUAUAAUAUUUUAUCGAGUGAAUGUAAUUAAAAAUGAGUAUAUAUAAAAAGGAGUUGUGUACCAAUAUGAGACAAAAGGAGACUUACCCCAUUUGGAAGUGAUUUUGAGAAUUGAUUUUGUUACCAUUAGGUGAAAAGUGGAGGCCACAUGUGAGAGAAGAAGUUAAACUCUACGAAUGAAAUAGUGAAAUAAUUAUCAAAAAAUCAAUUUUUUUAGGUGAAAAUUCACUCCCAAACACCCCCUUAAUUCAAUGAGAAGUUAAUUUUGCUUUAGAAAAAAAAAUGGUUAUUUGAGUAUGAGAAUUGUGUGACUUUUCACAAAUUGUAUUUGGAACUCAACGAGUUUCCGUGUGAAUUGAGCCUGCAACUUGCUACUUUAAGAUAUAAGGGUGUGUUUGAUAGCACACUAUUUUCCAUGGAAAAUGGAAAAUCAAUACCAUUUUUCAAUUUUUGUAGUGUUUGAUAGGUAAAAUUUUUCAUGAAAAACGAAUUCCACCUUUGUUGGCCACAUCACCAUUUUCCAUGAAAUCUAAUUCCAAUUCUCACCAAAAUGGUGAGAAUUAGAAUUCUCGGUUAUUGUAGCAUUUUUAAAUUUUAUUUUUUAUUUUUUUAAGCAAUGGAAAUAAAUUCUAAAAAUUAUUGUAAAAAAAAUAUUUCCUUUUAAUUGACAAUUUUCAUGUAAAACAAAGCCAAACGAACACUAAAAGAUAGAUGAUUUUUUAAAAAUUUUUUGUUAGCAAUGGAAAUAAAUUCUAUAUCCAAUACCAGUAAAUUCUAUCGCUUUAAUUGACAAUUUUUAUAUAAAACAAAGUCAAAUGAACAUCAAAAACACUUUUAUUUCAAUAUUUUUCACAUGAAAAAUUAUACUAAUCAAACACAAUAAUUUACAAUUUCCAGAAAAAUAAUUUUUAGGUAACUCAAUUCCCUAAAUUUAUUUUCUUUUACCCAAAUUUCAUAUUUUCAAUCAAACGUACCCUAAGUGUUUUAUGGAUUUAAUAUUUGGUAUGUGGUAAAGAAGAAAGAGAUUAUAGGUUGUCUUGAGUAGGCAUAUAAAUAAGCCUAAAGUUAAGUUCAAAUUCGUCCAAAAUUAAAUAAAAAAAUAAUUUCUCUCAGUUUCAAUUUUCAGGAGCAUACAUCUACUACAUAUAGGCGAAUUUAUGGUAAUGAAGAAUUAAUAUAAGAAGAAAUGGCAGAUGAAACUGCGUGGGACGAUGGGAGUAAUUCUUUUUAAUAAUAUUAAAUAAAAUUUCUUAAUACGUUUGAAAAACAAAAUCAACUUAUAUAAAUAAGAUAGAGAGAAUAAUUUUUUUGGAAAAUCCCAAACGACCCACGUCGUUGACACUUCGGGUGAUCGCACCCUCACAUGGCCGGCGUGGGUCCCCAAUGAAUAAAAUAAUCCUGACCUCCCAUAUGUUUGUAUUAUAUCAAUCAUGCGGUCAUCUGCGCAAAUUAUGUAGUUUGGUCCAAAUUUUUUUUGUACAUGUUAAGAUGGAAGUAAAUAUCUUUAUGAGACAUGAAGGGUACAAAUUAUGCACCCGUUUGGCCUCCAUUCUCAUUCUCUCUAUCUCUCUCUCUUAUUUUCAACCACACAAUCUUCCAUAAAAUAAUAUUACACGUAAAUAAAAAACUUUUCGUUCUUUUUCUUAUUCUUUUUUAUUUUUUUCAGCUUUCUGACUUACAAGUAAUUUGGAUUAAAACAUUGGGUUUGAACAAACUUAAUUCCAAGAAAAGAUAGUAAUUUUCAUCGACAAGAAACAAAUUUGAAAUUGCCCAAACUAUCUUCAUUAGUUACUGUUUGGGCGACAAAAUGAACCUCUAAUUAGAUUGUUUGGUAGGUGAACCGUGACUUUUCCCAAAACGUGCUUGGAAGUCAACGAGUCUCCGUUUGGUAGGUGGUAAUUAAAAGAAGAAAGGGAUUAUAGAUUGACUUGGGUAGACCUAUAAAUGAGCCCAAAGUUAAGAUCAAAUUCAUCCAAAUUUACAUGAAAAAAAAAAGAAACGGAAAAAAAAUUCUCACGGUUUCAGUUUUUAGGAAUAUACACAUACCAUAUACAGGCGAAGAAUUAAUUUAAGAAGAAAUGGCGGAAGAAGCUGCCGUGGGACUGGGAUUUCUGCUAGAAAACUUGAAGCAGCUACUUCUUUAUAAUGCACAUCUGAUUCUAAAUGUGAAGAGCUACGUCGAAUCUCUGCACAACGAUCUGCAAUUGUUCAACGCCUUUCUAAAAGACAUGGCAAAAAGGGACAACAACCCUGAAGUCCCAAAUACACUGGUGAAGCAAAUCAGAGACGUUGUGUACGAAGCAGAAGGCUGUGUGGACAUGUAUGUUUCUCGGUCAGCUAUGCAAAGGACUCGAAGUGGCCUAAUGAAAGUUGUCCAUAUAUUCGAUGAUCCGACGAAGCGUCGAGAUAUGGCAGAGAAGAUUAAGUCUAUAAGGGCCAUGGUCAACGAUAUAUUGGAUGAUACGCGAGAUACGGCAGUGGAGAAUAAGUCUAUGAGGGCCAAGGUCAAUUAUAUAUAUCAAGACAAGAAAUAUGGGUUUGAAGCCCAGCUAGUUGCUGCUCCUCCCGACAAAAAGGAAGAGGUAAAUUGCCAUUACUCUCUCCGAUUAGUGAUUUUAAUUGAUGAACUUGUUGAUUGUGUUUACAAUUUAUCAGUUCCGAGCAUAUUUGGCUAAGCAUAACAAAAACUUGGUAAUUUGUUCAAUACUGGGCAUCUUGAGUGAAUCUUGAUAUUAGAAAUCAGUGGAACGUUUCCAUAAAAUAAGGAAACGCCAGAUCUGAUGAAUUCAAUAAGAACAAAAUUUAAGUUGACAUACCUCCCCUGUUGUUUCGAGAAUUAAUUCAUUUUAAUACUAAUUUUAAAAAUGUAAUUUAAAGCCAGUUUGACGCACUUCUGCUACUUGUAGAAAAGCUCUUCUAUCCAAACAAAGCAAUUUGAGAAAACAUGUUUUAUUGUAGCUUCUUUAUAUCAGAAGUGGUUUUUAUCUUUUCAAAAGCCUUGCCAUAUAGAGCCUUACUCUCUAAAUAAUUCAUUGUAAUUUAUAUAUAUCAUUAAAAUAUAUGACUGAUAAAGUAUGUUUUAUAGUCCUGCUUGACAUCCUUUCCUUUAAUUUAAUUUAUUUCUCAUACUCAUUUUUAGCCAUACAUUCACACAAUAAUAUAUUCUACAUGUAAACUCAAACUUUUUCCUACAUUUUUAACCAUAUAUUCUCCAAAAAAUACUAUUCAAAACUAUAUUUUUUAGAUUAUAAAGAUGUCAAACCGGGGCUUAAUCAGGGAGUAAUACUAUCUAUUAUUAGUAGAUAUGCAUUACUAGUUAAUUAGGUGGCAAUGGGUCCCUUGCUUUGUUUUUUAAUGUAUUAAAAUACAUUACAUCUCUAAUGGAUCAUGAAUCAGGAUUUCAUCGCCACCAUUACCACCUAACUAAUGAUGCAGCUCUACUAAUGACAAAUAGCAUUAUUCUUCUGCUAUUGAUCCAAAAUCUUUCUUUUACAGCGUAUCUUCAAACAGUUGCACCACUAAAUAUCAUUAUAGGAUUUGAGUGAAGUGUGUACUACUAAACUAAGUUUGUUACAAUCUUGAAUGUCAUUUGGUCUCCAUUUAAUUUCAGUACUUUUAUAACGAUUACUGCUCAUAUAUAUUCAAGGCCCCAAUUUCACCUCAACUGAUUAUCGCUCACUGUUUUAAAGGCUCCCAUUGUGGAAGACAACGUGGUUGGCUUUAAAGAUGAGGUCGAAAAAGUAACCAAACUUCUCAUUGAAGGACCUGAGGAACUACAAGUUAUAUCAAUAGUUGGUAUGGCAGGUCUUGGCAAGACAACGCUGGCUAAAAUGAUAUAUACUGAUCCUAAUGUUAUCUUUGAAUUCUACAAUCGUGCAUGGGUUUUUGUUUCUAAAGAAUAUAGUAAAAAGGAAAUGCUUCAGGAUAUUCUACAACAAUUUACUAAGCCUAGUGAUGUUGACAUGAAUGAAGACGAAUUAGCCGACGAACUUCGUAAAUUUUUGGAGAAAGGAAAAUAUUUAAUUGUCAUGGAUGACGUGUGGACUAACGAGGCUUGGGAUGAUUUUAAAACUGCCUUUCCUGAAAACAAGAACAAGAGUAGAAUUCUACUCACUACUAGUAUUGAGAAAGUGGCUAACCAUGCCAACCCCAACAUUGAUCCCUAUAAGUUGCGUUUUCUAACUACUGAAGAAUGUAUGAUUUUACUCCGAAGGAAGGCACUUGGAUCAAUGGAGUGCCCGGAUGAGUUGAGAGAACACGAACUGCAAAUUGUUCAGAAAUGUGAAGGACUACCACUUGCAAUAGUGGUGAUUGGAGGAAUUCUGCUAGGAAAAGGUAAGGAAAGUGAAUCGUGGAAAAAAGUUGCUGAAAGUGUGGAGGCAUUUAUUAACAUGGACAAUGAGAAAAAGAUGGACCAUUUUAUAGAAAUGAGUUUUAACAAUUUACCUUAUCACUUGAAAACAUGUUUUCUCUACUUUGGGAUAUUUCCUGAAGACUUCCAAAUUCCGGUGUGGAAACUGCUUCGCCUUUGGAUCGCUGAAGGAUUCAUACAGCAAAGUGAAGGAAUGAACAUGAGUUUGGAGGAUAUUGCUGAAGAGUACUUGGAGGAUUUCAUCAGCAGGAAUUUAGUCAUGGUUGGGCAAAGGAGGUUAAAUGGCAAAGUUAAAACGUGCCAUAUUCAUGACAUGCUACACUUGUUUUGCAAGACAAGAGCUGCACAAGAAAGUUUUUUCGUCGAAAUUACGCAACUUAAUCAAGCUACUUAUUCAUCUCCCAACAUUGACUCUGAAAAGUGUCGUCGCCUUUCCAUCAAUUCCAGAAUUUCGAACUAUCUCUUUUCAAAACCAAGUGGUCCACGUGUUCCACGUGUUCGGUCUUUUUUGUGUUUCUCCCAUGAAGAAAUAAGCUUGCAAAAUGAGCAAAAUUCUUCCAUCCCUCGUGCAUUUGAAUUGCUCAGGGUGUUAGAUGGUAAACCCAUCCAUUUCACUCGUUUUCCUCCUGAUCUAACUCGACUUGUACAUUUGAGGUAUCUUGUUCUCUCCUGCAACUUCAAAAUACUUCCUGCAGCCCUUUCCAGCCUUUGGAACAUGCAAACUCUUGUAGUUGAGACAUCAUCACGCACCCUUGAAAUCAAAGCAGACGUAUGGAAGAUGAUUCGAAUGAGGCAUCUAAAAACAAACGUAUCCACAACAUUGAAAGGCCCUCUCGCUAAAUCAAGGAAAAGUAAAGAAGAUUCUCGGAACUUCCAAACACUUUCUACAAUAUCACCUGAAAGUUGUACAGAAGGUGUAUUUGCUGCUGCUCCAUGCCUAAGAAAAUUGGGCAUCCGGGGCAAAUUAGCUAAACUGUUGCAUAUCAAGCAUAAUGGAUCUAGUUUGUUCGAUUGUCUGGGAAAAUUGGAUUACCUCGAAAAUUUGAAGCUAUGGAAUGAUGUAUCUCCUCAACCACCUUCUGAAGGAAAAAUAAGCAGCCUUCCCCAAAACUACAAAUUCCCAUCGAACCUGAAGAAGCUAACAAUAGUAGAGACCAGGCUUGAUUGGAAGCAUAUGUCUACUUUGGGACUGUUGGAAGGCCUUGAGAUCCUGAAGUUGAAAGACAAUGCAUUCAUAGGAGACUUGUGGAAGUCCCAGGAUGGAGGUUUCCGUUCUCUGAUAGUCUUGCAUAUUGGAAGGACAGAUUUAGUUUAUUGGAAGGCUUCUGCUGUUCAUUUCCCACGGCUCAAGUGCCUUCAUCUUAAUCACUGCAGAAAGCUUGAUGAAGUCCCAUUCGAGCUGGCUAAUGUUCCAAGCUUCCAGAAAUUGGACUUGAAAUUUACCACGAGAGCAGCAGCUGUUUCUGCAAAAACUAUUUCGGAGCAUAAAAGGCAGCCUGGUGGUAGUGGAUUUGAGCUUUCGAUUUACCCUCCGGAUCAUUAUCAAUGAUCUCCAUUUGUUCAAGGCUCAAAAAUUCUACUUCAGAGGUAAUACAUUUAAAUCCUUGUUCUCUUUACUUGAUAUGUCUUUUCCUACUGAAAAUUUUGUUGGAAUUUGGUUAAGUAAAACAAAGAAAAGUUGAUUGCGUAUCAAUUUCGGCCAAAUAUCUGGACAUGUUCCGAUAGUCAAAUCACGCAACUGAAUACACUAACUUGUUCUACUCAUCGAGUCGAUGAUCGUAGUAUAUUUGGAAUCUCAAAACCAGUUUUGGAUGAAUAAGAAAUUGUUGUCCAAAGUUAGAAGAAAAACGGAAAUUCUAUACAUAAUAUCACCGCUCGAGCGGCAGCCUCACCUCGGGAUUUGGAUUUUCAUUUAUUUCAUAACGUUUGUUACCAACCUUUUGUUAAUUCCAAGCAAGCUUUACUUUAUUUAUUUCUUGUUUAAGAUUCAAUUUUGAUUAUCAAAAAGCGCACACACACACAUACACCAACAAACUUAAGAAACAUAUAUUUCAUGGGAAGAUCCAGGUUAGAAUUAUUCUUCCCGAAUAGUAGCACCCAGACAAGAUUGUUUUUUCUCCUCAAUCUAUUUCUUAAAAUACUUUGUGGAUAGAUGCUCUUUCCGCUAAUCCAUGAUCUGAAUCACAAAAACCUGAAAGAUAUGAAAUGGAAGUUCAAUCAAACAUGUAAAAAUUUAAUGAUAUGAUCAGCUUAAGGACUUGUAUAUUUGUGCAGGCAGAUAAUCAAAUGAACAAUGAUGUCUUGAAUGUUGAAGAAAGGAAGUUUAGAUGCAUGGAGCCAAUGUUUCUGUUCCCUGUGUUUUUACAUUUCGUUCAAUAAAAGGUUGCACCUUAUUUAAGUGUAUGUUGAACUUCAGAAUAUUUGUAUUUCUUUUUAUUCAGUGUGUUGUACUGCUGUAAUAAUUUUACCUUGCUUUAGUUUUUGAAUAUGGAAUUACUGCUGCCUUCAUUUUACUUACUUAUAAUUCUUCUUCUUGACAAAGUGGGCAAUUUUGAAGAGGCAAAUAGAAAACUGCAUGGUCUUGCACUCUUACUUUUUUGGACCUAAUGUAAUUUGCGUUUGCUUGAUGAGUAUGGUAUUUCUACUCGGAGCAGGUUUUGCCAAGUAAAUUAAACUUACGUAAUAUUUUAUUCUCGUACAUAUAUAUAUAUGGAGAGACUUAUUCUCUUUGACCGACUGGUUGUAAUAUUUCAGGAGUUCAGAAAUUGGAAGCUAAUGGAAGGAGAGACUUAUGAGUUAUGGGUAUACAAUUAGGAGUGAGUUAUAGAAAUUUCAACUACAAAUUGAGAUCUAUUGUGAAGUUUGGUAUAGUUGCAAUAUAACUCCAAAUCCUUCAUUGUCUUUAAAUUGGGUUUGGGUUUGGGUUUUUACAUCUUAUCCAUAAUUGUGUUAAAUACAUUGAUGAAUAUAUUCAUUCCUAUGUGUUUCAUCAAUUUAUUGUUUCUUACAAGCUCUAUCUAUUAUCAUUUUGGGAAGUUUCUCAGCCAUACUUACCAACUUAUCAGUAGUUACCCAUACUUACCAAGCCGUGCCAUAUGAUUGCGUGGCAAUCAAAAGAUGGUGUGUUUUUUAAGUCUGAAUGAUUUGGUUUGAGCCACACUCAUGAACAAAAAUUGGACCAAACAUAUGAUAUUGAGACGUCAUAUCCCAAAAUUCAUUGGUUGGAAGUUAUUAACAGAUCCAUCAUUUUUUUUUUCCGAGUCAUAUUAUCCUGAUCAGCAUCGUCCUACAAUAUAGGAAUUCGGACAUGGAGACCAUCAUACAUUACUAGUCAUCUAAUAUUCUAUGCAGAAUAUGAAGGGAAGCUUGAGAAUUUUUUAAAAUAUUGGAUUGUUGGAAGGGUUUACAUGAUGACCCCAAAUUCGGACAUAUUUUUUUUCAUAAAACGGAGUAUAAAACAUUCUGUCUUCAGGGAAAAGUUGUGGUAUCUUGACGUGUAAUAAAUGAUGUUACCGAUGGCUUGAUUUUGUAAACAGGGAAGGUUAGUUUCUGUUUAACAAAACGUUUGAAGACUUGUUUUAUGCAAAUGUUAAUUACUGUGAACAAGAUUGACACAUUACAUAAUUAGAGUUGUCAUCCUUACUUUGGCUUAACAUUUUAAACAAGUAAAGAUUUGAAAUUGGAUUAAUCUUUGUAAAAGGAAUGUAAUGUACAAGUCCCGUUUUCAUUGAGAAGUAUUGUACCCCUAUUAUGAAACACGACUUCCCGCCGGUCCACAAUAUAAAAGCACAAAAAACAUAAAGUUUUCAUACUACAGGCUUGUAUAUAUUAAUAAUCACAAUAAGCUUAAGCAGGUACAUAGAAGACGAUCAUUUUCCAAAAACAUAACUCAAGCAUGUCAUUUCUUAGUACAAAAAGAUGAUCAAACCAGUCCCUCAUAAGUUGCGAUCAAAAGAGGAGUCUAGAUUAAAACCAUAACACAUUCGGGGUGAUUAAAAACUUACUUUGAAAACCCAUUUUUUAGUGCAAAGUUUUGAAAACCCAUUCCCUCAGCCUUGUUUCUUUAAGACUUUAACAUCCCGUCCCAUGCUUUUACAGGCAUGCUGAUAAUGUAUUUUAAGCGAGUGCACUAAGUACUCCAUCCUCUUAUAAAGUUGGGUAACAAUAAUGAACUAGUUUUGCAAUCUUUUUUCCAUAAAUCAGAUUCUGAAGCAGUAGGUGACUAUCUAAUUUGCAUAGAAUGUUUUGGAAUUGUUCCGAGACUCAGAGCCUUCUAUAUAAUUUGUGAACUGUUCAUUAGGUUUUAAACUUUUUGCAUUCAUUGCUUGAGCCUUCUAGUACAAUCUAGCACCGCAGUCAACCUUGUCCUAUAACUUUUUUGUUGAAGCAAAGGAAGAUGAAUAAUUGUUGUUGUCGUUGGCAACCCAAGAAGAAAAGGAUAAACAAUCGUGGUACAUUGACACCGGUGCCGCCAAUCACAUGAGUGGCAACAAGGAGUUAUUCUCCACAAUAAAUGAGUUGGUAAAAGGAAAUAUUAUUUUUGGAGAUGAAGCUAAAAUUCCAAUAAAAGGUAAAGGUGAUGUUCUUAUUCGUGCUAAAAAUCGAAGUCAUCUUUUGAUUUCUUAAGUUUAUUAUUUACUUGCUUUGAAGUCUAAUAUUUUGAGUGUGGGACAAUUACUUGAGAAUGGCUACGACAUUAACUUGAAGAAUCGUUGCCUUACUUUGAGAGAUGUUUCUCAUAAACUGAUUGCAAAGGUGCCAAUGAAGAAAAAUAGAAUGUUUUUACUCAAUGUUAAUGUUGACUAUCCAAGUUAUCUAAAAGCUUGUGUUGAAGACAAUUCUUGGCUUUGGUACUUAAGAUUUGGUCAUUUGAUUUUUGGUGGCUUGAAGACCUUGACGAAUGAAGAAAUGGUGAAUGGGUUGCCAAAAAUUAAUCAUCCCAAUCAACUUUGUGAAGGAUAUGCCUCGUUGGCAAGCAAACUAGAAGAAGUUUUCCAAAGGAAUCCACCUCAAGAGCAACAAAGCCACUCCAACUUGUUCAUGCGAGGGCCAAUCAAACCACCCUCUCAUGGCAAAACAAAUUAUUUCUUAUUAUUUAUUGAUGAUUUUUCUCGCAAGACCUGGGUUUAUUUUUUGAAGACGAAAGAUGAAGUUUUUGGAGCAUUCAAAAAAUUCAAAGCCCUUGUUGAAGUUUUUGGAGUAGUAAGAAACCUAGUGUUUAUCAUUUACAUGUUUUUGAUAGUAUUGCCUCUCUUCUUGAAGGGCAAAAAGCAAUUGCGCGUGAAAUGGGUGUACAAAGUACAGAAAAGUACUUGAGGAGAAGUACAAGGCAAGAUUUGUUGCCAAAGGCUAUAGCCAAAAGCAUGUCAUUGACUAUGAUGAGGUCUUUGCCCUCAUUGCUCGCUUGGAAACCAUUCGAUUAAUCAUUUUCUUGGCAGCUCAAAAUAAGUGGAAAAUUUGUCAAAUGGAUGUCAAGUCCGCUUUCUUGAACGGAUACCUUGAAAAAGAAGUGUACGUUCAACAAUCAUUGGGUUAUGUUGUCAAGGAACAUGAAGAUAAAAUUUUGAAGUUGAAGAAGACGCUAUAUGGCUUGAAGCAAAAGCCUAGAGCAUGGUAUAGUCGGAUUGACAAGUAUUUUCAAUAUCAUGGAUUCAUCAAAUGUUCACAUGAGUAUGCUUUUUACGUUAAAAAGGAUGCAUUUGGAGGUUUUAUGAUUGUGUGCUUGUACGUUGAUGACUUGAUCUUCACCGACAACAAUGAAAACAUGUUUGAUGAAUUUGAGAGAAUGAUGGCUCAAGAAUUUGAGAUGAUUGACAUUGGGCUCAUGUCAUACUACCUCGAAAUUGAGGUAAAACAAAUGACAUUUUUAUUUUUCAAGAAGCUUAUGCAAAGAAAGUUCUUGAAAGAUUCAAAAUGAAAAAUUGCAAUCCUGUGAGUACUCUCAUUAGGUGUGGAACAAAAAUGUCAAAAUAUGACGAGAGCACGAAAGUGGAUCCAUAGACAGCUUGUUGGAAUCUUGAGAUAUUUGAUACAAGACCCGAUAUUCUUUAUGGUGUUGGUCUUGUUAGCCGUUAUAUGGAGACACCAACUUUAACUCACUUGGAGAUUGCUAAAAGAAUACUUCGAUGUAGGUUCCCUUGAUUAUGGCUUAGCUUAUUCAUCUUCUACAAAUUUCAAGCUUCAUGGUUAUAGUGAUAGUGAUUGGGCUAGUGAUAUUAAUGAUCGAAAAAGCACCACUGAAUUUUUGUUUUUCAUGGGUAACACCGCUUUCACUUGGUGUUCAAAGAAGCAACCCAUUGUGACCUUUUCUACUUGUAAAGCUGAAUAUGUUUUCGCUGCAUUGUGUGUUUGUCAUGCCAUUUGACUACGGAAAUUAUUGGAGAUGCUUUAUAUGCCUCAAAAAGAAGCUACACCAAUUUAUGUUGAUAACAAGUCAGCUAUUGCUUUAGGUAAAAAUCCUAUGUUCCAUGAUCGAAGCAAGCAUAUAGAUACGAGAUUUCACUUCAUUAUAAAGUGCAAUGAGAACAAAAAAGCUGGGCUUACUUAUGUGAAGACCAAUGAUCAGGUAGCAGACAUUUUCACCAAAUCAUUGAAGAAUGAUGAUUUUACAAGAUUGCGUACUUGGAUUGGAGUUAUCAAGAGGGAAUCAAGUUUAAGAAGGGGUGUUGGAAAUUAAACUUAAUCCAUGAAUGAUGAAAAAAAAAAUUUUUUGAUGCAUGAAUUAAUUUAUUUAAUAUUCAUGCAUUUAUUUAAAUCAUGUAUCCAAAUGGUUCUUUGUAUCCUAUUAUUCAUAGUAUGUAGGAAAAGUCAUUAAUUAGUCUCUUAAAUUCAUACAGUGUAUUUGGAAUCCUUUGUAUCUAUAAAAGGUCUUGAAACAAAAUCAAAAUCAACUUAUAUAAAUAAGACAGAUGAAGUAAUUUAUUUAUUUUUAAUGGAAGCAGAUAUCUUCCAUAAACUAUACUUCACAACUCAUUUAUUUUUCUUAUUCUUUUUUUUUUUAUUUUUCUACCUUUCUGACUUAUAUGGUUAAGUAAAAAAAAAAAAUUGUGCAGUUACAAGUAAUUUGGAUUGAAACAUUGGUUUUGAACAAACUUAAUUACAAGUAAUUUUGAUCGAUAAGAAACAAAUUUGAAAUAGCCCAUAAACUGUCUUCAUUAGUUACUGUUUGGGUGACAAAAUGCACCUCUAAUUGGAUUGUUUGGUAGGUGAACCGUGACUAUUCCCCAAACGUGCUUGGAAGUCAACGAGUCUCCGUUUGGUAGGUGGUAAUUAAAGAAGAAAGGGAUUAUAGAUUGACUUGGGUAGACCAAUAAAUGAGCCAAAAGUUAAGAUCAAAUUCAUCAAAGUUACAUAGAAAAAAAAAAAUUCUCCCAGUUUCAGUUUUCAUGAAUAUAAAUUUACCAUAUAUAGGCGAAUUUUUGGUACCGAAGAAUUAAUUUAAGAAGAAAUGGCUGAAGAAGCUGCCAUGAGAUUUCUGCUAGAAAACUUGAAGCAGCUACUUCUUUACAAUGCACAUCUGAUUCUUGGCGUUAGGAGUGACGUCGAAUCUCUGGACAAGAAUCUGCGAUUGUUCCAUGCCAUUCUCAAAGACAUGGCAAAAGGGAACAAUCAUCAUUACGUCCUAAAUGAACUGGUGGUGCAAAUCAGAGACAUCGUGUAUGAUGCAGAAGAUUGUGUGGACGAGUAUGUUUCUCAUUCAGCUAUGCAAGAGGCCCGAAAUAACUUUAGUAAACUUAUCCAUAUAUGCAACUACACGGCAAAGCUUCGAAAUAUGGCAGUGAAGAUUAAGUCUGUGAGGGGCAAGGUCGACGAUAUGUAUCAAAAGAAUAUGCCUGUGUCUGAAGCCCUGCUAGUUGCUGCUCCUGAUAUCAAAAAGAAAGAGGUAAAAUACCUUUACUCUGAUUAGUGGUUUUAAAGCUUUGUUAAUUGAUUAGCUUAGCUGAUUGUGUUUACAAUUUAUCAGUUCCGGGCAUGUUUGGCUAAGCAUAAUAAAAACUUGGUAAUACGUUUAGAAAAAAGUUCAAUAACAACAAAAAUGAAGUUGGCCUUCUUACUUCAUUUCUCCUUUGCUGUUUCAAGACUUAAUUCAUUUUAAUACUAAUUUCAAAAAAUGUAAUUUGGAGCCCGUGAGAGCUUAUGCUUCUUAUAAAAGAGGUUCACGAGGAAACUACUUUAUACCAAUUUCUUCUUAAAACUUCUUUAACCAGGCAAAGCAAUUUCAAAAAAUUAUCUAAACAUAUUUUAAAGUAGUCUUUUAGAGCAUUUUCAAAAGACUUUGUAUGUAUAAAGAGCGUCUAAUGCUUUAUAGAGAACAUUUUCAAAUUUAAAGAGACAAUUUUUAUGCACUCCAGCAAUGCUCUCUCUAUUUUGGCUAUUUAUUUCACCGUUCUCAAGAAACAUUUACUGAUUUUUUCUCAAAUUUUAUUUAAUAUAAUUUUUUAUAUGUUAAUGGUCAAUCAAUUUAAAUGUGUUUGAACAUUUUAAAAAGCAAGGUAUUAAAAUUUGUGAUUUAUUAAACUUAAUCAUUGUACAUUAAGAAUAGAGAGCAUGUUUGACCCUCUAAAUUUAGAGAGCUAAACUCACUUUUUAUUUUAAAAAGUUAAAAUAAAGUCUCUUUGGAACAAAUUUUUAAGCAUUAGCUUUAAAAUAAAGAGUAUUAGAAGUAGUUUUUAUUUUUAAAAAAGUGUCCCAAACAAGUCUUUAUUUUCUAAUGAAGUUUGUACCAAACUAAUUUUAUUACUAUCUUGAACACCUUGUAGUCUCCAUUUUAUAUCAGUACUAGAACGAUUAUUGUUCACAUAUAUUAAAGGCUCCCAUUGCACCCCAACUGAUUACUGUUCACUAUAUUAAAGGCUCCCACCGUGGAAGACAACGUGGUGGGCUUUGCAGAUGAUGCCAAAAAGGUAACCAAACUUCUCAUUGAAGGACCUGAGGAACUACAAGUUAUAUCAAUAGUUGGUAUGGCCGGUCUUGGUAAGACAACGCUGGCUAAAAUGAUAUAUAGCGAUCCUGAUGUUAAAUCUGAAUUCUACAAUCGAGCAUGGGUUUCUGUUUCUUAAAACUAUAGUAAAAAGGAAGUGCUUCAAGAUAUUCUAAGACAAUUUUCUAAGCGUAUCAAAGCUGACAUUAACGAAGUCCAAUUUUCUAGGCCUAACGAAUCUGACAUGAAUGAAGACGAAUUAGAUGACAAACUUCGUAAUUGUUUGGAGGGAAAAAAAUAUUUAAUUGUCAUGGACGAUGUGUGGACAGAGAAGGCUUGGGACAAAUUAAAAACUGCUUUUCCUAGAAACAAGAAGAGUAGAAUUUUAAUAACUACUUGUGAUGAGAAAGUGGCUAAGCAUGCGAACCCCAACAUAGAUCCUCAUAAGUUGCAAUUUCUAACUUUUGAAGAAAGUAGGAUUUUACUUCGAAGGAAGGCACUUGGAUCUAUGAAGUGCCCCGACGAGUUGAGAGACCACGAAUUUCGUAUUGCCCAAAAAUGUAAAGGACUCCCACUGGCAAUAGUGGUGAUUGGGGGAAUUCUGCUAGGAAAAGGUAAGGAAAGUGAAUCGUGGAAGAGAGUUGCUGAAAGUGUGGAGGCAUUUAUAAACAUGGACGAGGAGAACAAGAUGCACAAUAUUGUAGAAAUGAGUUUUGACAUUUUACCUUAUCAUUUGAAAAUGUGUUUUCUCUACUUUGGGAUAUUUCCUGAAGACUUCCAAAUUUCGGUGUGGAAACUGCUUCGCCUUUGGAUCGCGGAAGGAUUCAUACGGCCAAUUGAAGGAACGAAGAUGAGUUUGGAGGAUAUUGCUGAAGAGUACUUGGAGGGUUUCAUCAGCAGGAAUUUAGUCAUGGUUGGGGAGAAGAGGUCAAAUGGCAAAGUCAAAACAUGUCAUAUUCAUGACAUGCUACAUGUGUUUUGCAAGAAACGAGCUGCAGAAGAAAGAUUAUUUGUUGAAAUUGCAGAGCUUAACCAAGGUACUUAUUCACCUUCCAACCCUGACUCUAAAAAGUGUCGUCGCCUUUCCAUCAAUUCCGGAAUUUCGAACUAUAUCUCUUCAAAACCAACCGGUCCACAUGUUCGGUCUUUUUUAUGUUUCACCCAUGAAGAAAUAACCUUGCAAAAUGAGGAAAAAAUUCUUCCAUCCCUGGUGCAUUUAAAUUGCUCAGGGUGUUAGAAGGUAAACCCAUCCAUUUCACUCGUUUUCCUGUUGACCUAACUCAACUUGUACAUUUGAGGUAUCUUGUUCUCUCCUGCAACUUCAAAACACUACCUGCAGCCCUUUCCAGCCUUUGGAACAUGCAAACUCUUGUAGUUGAGACAUCAUCACGCACCCUUGAAAUCAAAGCAGAUGUAUGGAAGAUGAUUCAAAUGAGGCAUCUAAAAACAAACGCAUCCACAACAUUGAAAGGCCCUCUUGCUAAAUCAAGAAAAAGUAAAGUAAAUUCUUUGAAAACACUUUCUACAAUAUCCCCUGAAAGUUGUACAGAAGAUGUAUUUUCUGCUGCUCAAAACCUAAGAAAAUUGGGCAUUCGGGGCAAAUUAGCUAAACUGUUGUAUGUCAAGCAUAAUGGAUCUAGUUUGUUCGAUAGUCUGGGAAAAUUGGAUUACCUUGAAAAUUUGAAGCUAUGGAAUGAAGUAUCCCCUCAACUAACUUCUGAAGGAAAAAUAGUUGGCCUUCCCCCAAAAUACAAAUUCCCAUCGAUGCUGAAGAAGCUAACAAUAGUAGGGACCAGGCUUGAUUGGAAGCAUAUGUCUACUUUGGGACAGUUGGAAGGCCUUGAGAUCCUGAAGUUGAAAGACAAUGCAUUUACAGGAGACAUGUGGAAGUCAGAGGAUGGAGGUUUCCGUUCUCUAAUAGUUUUGCAUAUUGAAAGGACAGAUUUAAUGUUUUGGAGGGCUUCUGCUGCUCAUUUCCCACGACUCAAAUGCCUUCAUCUUAAUCAAUGCAGUAAGCUUACUUUGGUCCCGAAAGAACUUGCUAAGGUUCAGAGUUUCCAGACAUUGGAUUUGUACCGUACUACCAAAACAGCAGCUGAUUCUGCAAAGGAAAUUUUGGAGCACAGGGCAGGAUUGAAGCUUUCCAUUUACCCUCCGGAUCAUGAUCAAUGAUCUUCUUUUGUUCAAAGCUCAAAAAUGCCACUUCACAGGUAAUACAUUUUAAUCCUUGUUCUCUUCAUGACUUGAUGUUUCUAUUCCUAUUGAAAACUUUAAGGAACAUAUCCAAGUAAACAUGUUUGCUUCUAUCUUUAUAGUAUUAAAGAAUUAUGAAAAUUAUUUCUAGUGCAAUGGUGUAAAAAUUCAAUGAUAUGAUCAACUAAUAGAUUUGUAUUUUGUGCAUGAUCAACAGUGAUGUCGUGAGCGUUGAAUAAAGGAAGUUUAGAUGCAUGGAGCCAAUGUUUCUCUUCCCUGUGUUUUUACAUUUCGUUCAAUAAAAGGUUGCACUUUAUUUAAGUGUAUGUCGAACUUCAGAAUAUUUGUAUUUCUUUGAUUCAGUGUGUUGUACUGCUAUAAUUAUUUUACCUUGCUUUAGUUUUUGAAUAUGGAAUUACUGCUGCUUUCAUUUUACCUAUUUACAAUUUUUCUUCUCGACAAAAUGGUUAAUUUUGAAGAGGCAAAUAGAAAACUGCAUGGUCUUGUGCUCUUACUUUAUCGCACCUAAUGCAAUUUGCCUUUCCUGGAUGCUCAGUAUGGUAUUUCUACUUGGAGCAGGUUUUGCUCAAAUGUUACUUUGGAUUAGACUACAUCAAUUUAAGUCCGAUUAAAAGAAUAAUAGAUUAAUAGAGUUGAUGAGAGCUUGCAAUGUUAAUUAAGUAAAAAAAAAAAAUUCCUCUUUUCAUUUUUACCCCACGUGAUUUUUAUUUGAUAUGAAACUAAUAGUGUAAUACAAUUGAAAUGUUACUUUUAGAAACCAAGUCCAAGUUGAUCACGUGUCUUAUUUUCUAUGGAAUGAUAGUACCAAGAAACCAAUAGUAGUGUAUAAUGCUAACUCUACCAUUUGAACCCACUCUUAUCCAAUUUAUGGUGGUAGACGCCUUUUUUAUUAUUAUUGCUCUAAAGCUCAAUUUGUAAAUAUUUAUUUUUAUUAUAAAUACCCCAUGAAGUCAAGAGAAAUUUUCACCACAGAAUAUUUCUUCAUUGACACUGUCAGAGAGAGCUCAAGCAGAGAGAGAAAGAAACACAGGAAAAGUGUUUUCACGUGGAUUAUUUUACUAUUUGACAAAGAAUAUAAGAGUGUGUUUGAUUGAUAUAGGAAUGAUUAUUUUACACAUAUUGUCAUGUUAUUUAAUUACAUUGAAAUAGAUUAAUGAAGGGUGUAAUCUAAGGUUGAAUAUUCAUUAUUACUAGUUGCAAGUCAACACUUCAAUUAUUUGAUUGCUUCGACCGCCACAACUCAACUAGCUAAUUAUUCUUCAUCGAAAGUCAAAUUCCCUCAAAUAAGUGUUAGGGCUUAACCAAUGUAUUUAGUGUUUUUGCUCUUUUCAUGCACUUAUUUUUUCUGUUUUACGCAAGUUUUUUUCCCAUUAAACUUUCUAGAUAACCUUUGUAGUGAGCUUUAAGUCGAUGACUCUCAAAUCAGAUGAUUUUAGAGCACACCCUUACAGGCUCACUGAUCCGAGUAAAAAAGGCUUCGAAGAGAACCAAUUUUUAUUUCAAGUGCAGUUUUAUCUUUGAUUGCCUUCUAAAUGACUCAUGUAGCAAGUUUUAGGCCGAUGACUCCCUACUUAGACGACUUUAGGGUACCAGGUUUCAAGAUACCCUUGCAAGUUUAAUUACUUGAGUCAUGAAGACUUCAAAGAGAAGUUUGUAGAUUUCAAAUAUAUAUCUUGAUUAGUGCAAUGUCUCUCUCACACACUUAUUCAAACAAAUCGGCCUCAAACUUAAGACUUUCACAGAGUUUUAUCAUGUUAGUCUAAGACAAUCCACACAUAAGUUUCCACAUAUGGAAUCCAAAUUCAUAUCCGCAUCUUCCUACAACUGUAAAGUUACCCCUAAACUAUACUAACUUUGAUCUGAGGAUAAAUAAUUUACUAUAGUUUAAGUAAAGCAUCUAUAUCCAAUUAAAUCAAUCUAUAUAACAAAUGAUUCAACUCGUUUCAUCACAGUGUCAAACUCAAUUCUAGUGAAUUUAUAAUAUUAAGUUUUGCAAUGUUAAGUUUCAAUUAAUCUAGCAUGUAUCUUAUCCGCAGUUCAUAAAUCAACACCAAAUCUCAAAGUAAAACGUAAUUGUAAGCCAAACUAUCCAACUCACACAAAAAUUUUAGAUAAGCAAUUAGGCAAUAACAAUAAUACACUCCCCAAACUUAAACUAAACAUUGUCCUCAAUGUUAAAUAUAAAGGAAAAGGAGGAGGACUUCUAUGAAAUAUCAGUAUUGCCUAUGAUGUUGUAGUGCUUUGGCGUUGAAUUUGAUUGACUCUUCCACAUUCUCCCCCCCCCCCCCCCCCACCAAACNNNNNNNNNNNNNNNNNNNNNNNNNNNNNNNNNNNNNNNNNNNNNNNNNNNNNNNNNNNNNNNNNNNNNNNNNNNNNNNNNNNNNNNNNNNNNNNNNNNNNNNNNNNNNNNNNNNNNNNNNNNNNNNNNNNNNNNNNNNNNNNNNNNNNNNNNNNNNNNNNNCCCCCCCCCCCAAAAACUUGAGAUUUGUCCCAUUUUCUCCAUAUCCAUGUUGGUUUGAGUAUUUCGCGACAUCAUGUUCCUAAAAAAAUAAAUUUGAAAAAUUAAAAUUAUGAAACGUGAUUACUUAGCUCAAACAUCUAAUAACCAACUUAAAUACUCAAAGACAUAGGGUAGAAGGGGUAUGGGUGAUGAUUCUUGAAUAAACUAUAAAUUAAACUAUUAAGCAAAACAAAUAAAAUAAAAUAAAAGUUUGGGUUGCCUCCCAAAAAGCGCUUCUUUAAAGUCAUUCGCUUAACUUGUGGCCACGAUUGAUUAUGGUGGCUCGAACCAAAUUAUUUUAUCCUUGCACUUUGUGCAAUUCUCGUUUAUAUAUCCUUUCUUGGCUUUCCAUAUUUUGAUAUUUCCAUUUUUAUCCCUAUUACGAAGUCCACUAAAAUUUGAUUUUCCUUUCUUGCAACCUCGUUUAUCAGGUGGCUCUUCUUCAUCUACUCUACAACAUAUUUUGAUGUUGGGGAGUUGCUCAUAUUUGGUGUAGAUAUUGAAUAUCUCGUGCUUGCCAUUCACCCUCAAUAUUAGCUCACCCUUCUCCACGUCAAUCAAGGUUUGUCCUGUUGCUAAGAAUGGCAGACCCAAUAUAACUGGAAUGUCUCGAUCUUCUAAUAUGUCCAACACAAUGUCCACAGGAAAUAUGAAAUUUCCUUCUUUUACGAGUAUAUCCUCAACUUUGCCACGUGGCCUUGCGAUUGUUCUAUCAGCUAAUUGUAGUGUUAUUGAUGUUAAGUUGACUUCACCUAGUCCCAAUUUUCCUGAAAACAGAAUACGACAUUAGAUUGAUACUAGCACAUGUGUCACACAGUGCAUUAGUUGAACAGAAAUUUUCAAUUGAAAUUGGUAAAGUAAAACUCCUUGGAUCUUUCAAUUUAGGAGGCAAUUUUCUCUAAACUCUUUACUACUUUCCUCAGUUAAUGCCACAGUUUCAAACUCUGGAAGCUUUCUUUUCUUUGUCAACAUCUCUUUCAAAAAUUUCAUCUAACUUGCAAUUUGUAGUAUCGCAUCAAUGAAUGAAACAUUGAUCUUGAGUUUCUUGAAAACAUCGAGGAAUUUUUCAUAAUUUGUGUCUUGCUUGUUUUUCUUAAGCCCUUGAGGAAAGGGAAUUGUGGGCAUGUAAGCUUUGAUUGGACUUGGUACUUUGGUAGCAGAUGUUUCCGCACUUUCUUUAUUUUUAGUGGAGGUUAGUGUAGAUUUGUCUACAAUUACAACUUUAUCAAUCACUUCUUGGUCAUCUUUCCUAUCUGGUCUCCUUGAAGUAAUAUCUGGCAGUUGUACCUCACUCUUUGUAGUUAUAACAUGAAUAUUUUGUUCCAUCGACUUCUUUCGAAAUCUUUGAGGAAACGGAAGUGGAGGUACAUGUGCUUUAACUUUCACGGGGUUCUUGGGUGGAUCGUUCUCCACUACUUUAAUUGUCACCACAUGUUCCUUAGGAUUUAUCAUUAUAUUGCUCGGCAAUAUUCCCAGAGGGCGUUCUAUAAGUUGUUGCACUAUCUGACCAAUUUCAGUUUCUUGAUGGAUGCUUGUUGAUUUUGAAAGUUUUUGUAAAUUUGCUGAACUACCUUGUCCGUCUUCUGCACAUAUCGUUGAAACAUCUCCCUCAAAUUUGGUCUUUUUUCUUUCUAGAAAUUGUUUCUAUAUGAGUUGAAACUACGGGAGCCAUUUUGAAUAAAAUUUACUUGUUCUUCCAAAGAAGUAAGCAUUAAGCAAUUUUCUAUAGCAUGAUUUCUCUCACAGUUCUCACAAGCUGAACUGGCCAUCAGUGCAUUUGUUCCGCGUGUUUGCAAUUUUACAAGUGACUUUACCUAUUUUGUUAAAGCUGUUAUUUGUGCACUGGUAGAUGUUGUGCUGUCUAAUUCAUACAUUCCAGUUGCCUUUGGUGGUACUACUCUUUCUGAUGAAAAUAUUGAAUGUGUGGUGGCAAUUAAAUCAAACAUGUCCGUGGUCUACUGCAUUGAUUUCCCUACGAUUGAUCCACCAACAGAGGAAUCAAUUUAAGAUUUUGACAGUGAUGUAAGUUCAGUCUAGAAGUACUGCACUUGGGUCUUCAUCAAGGUCUUGUAUAGAAGCAAAGGUGAAGGUAGAAAUAACGGGCAUAAAUUUUGGGGUCCUUAUCAUUUUCACCUGUCAAAGAUAAGAAAAUGGAGAAGCCGAUUCCCAACCCCAAAAACUCAUCAACUGAGAAAGCUAAAAAUGCUACAAAUUCAACACUAGAAAUAGUAAAUUCCAACAUUGGAGCUACAAAAAAAGUUAUGAAAGAGGUGAAAAACAGGGCAGUAAAUGGGAUUGGUGAAAGAAGGGUGUCACAAUCUCCUCAUGAAUUGCUUUACACUGUGAGUAGGGCACAGACAUAGGAGAUGAGGAAGAAGACAUUUUUGCCUUAUAGACAAUUGUUGGGCUGUUUACUUUAGGAUCCAUUUCAAAGGGCUAUGGUGCCAUGAAUGAUUUUGCUAGAGCUUAUGACUCUGUGUCAUCAAGGUAAAAAAUGAAUUUUCAAGAAAAUGUGUAUUAAUUUCUUGAACAUGGGGUUCUUAAGUGCUAUAUUUGUAUAGAAUAUAUUUUAUUUUCUAAAUUUUGUUGUUUUUCGUUGCUUAUGUGUUUGCAUUUACUAUUAUUAUUAUUAGCUUUGCAUGGAGAAAGAGAAAUGAUUUCUGUUGAUUCUGUAAAAUAUAUUUGGAGAAAUUUACUUAGUAUCACUAGCUGCUGCUGUUGUGGUGCGUUGUUGGUGGUGGAAUGAUGGUGUUGCUGGUGUUAUCAUUUAUAUGUUAAUUGUAACUCUGUAACUAAAUCUGUCUUAAUUGUGACUAGUUCUCAUUAAAUCUAUAUUUAUAGUGAACGGUUGUAACCAAGUCAUUACAUGUGAUCAAAUUAAAUAUGACUUGGUUAUAUAGUUACAGAAAGUCAUUGAAGACAAAUUUGGUCACAAAUUAUAAUUAUGUAUAUGUGAUGUGAUUGUAUAUGACUUGAUUACAUACAAGAACAAAUUAAAUUGAUAUGAUUAUAAAUAGUCACAUUGAAGAUAAAUUUGGUAAUGAACAGAUAAGGUCACAUUUCAUACGUUACAAGUCACAUUUUAUGUUAUAAAUCACAGGGAACAAUUCACGGGUCAAAAGUCAAAUUUCAUAUGUUUUAAUAUGCAUAGGUCACGGAUCCAAUAGAAAUGGUCACAGGUCAUUGCAAAAAUUGUGAUUUGUGACUGAUUGUGACCAAUUCUAUGUUGAUUGUGACUUGAUCACAUUUCGUCACAAUUAAAAGAUUGACCUGGUCAUAGACAGUCACAAUGAAGGUAAAUUUGGUCACAAUUAGUCACAGAUAAUACGUGUUAUUGACUUGGUUAUAGACAACCACAAAUUAGACGGUCACAGAUAGUCACACUGAAUACAAAUUUGGUCACAAUUAGUCACAGAUUACACAACUAGUGACUUGGUUAUAUACAAUUAUAAAUUAGAUGGUCACAGACAAUCACACGGAAGAUAAAUUUGAUUACAGUUAGUCACAUAUAACAUAGAUUUUGUCAUAAAAAAAAAUUUCAUCACAUGUAACACAAGUCUUGUUAUAUGCAUAUUCAUCCCUCUUGAUUAGAUCACAAAUUCAAUAAAACUAGUCACAGGUCAUUGCCAAAAUAAGAAGAAAGGGGAAAAAAGGUAGUUGCCGGAGGUCAUCGGAAUAUUUGCCGUAGAGGUUGCCGGAAUUGUGACUAAUGAAUAAAUUGUGACAUACAAAUUUUUUGAUUUGUGAUAAAAAAAAAUAGUUUGUAACAAUUAAUUCAAUAAUUUGUAAUCAAAUUGUAUAUAUUUAUGAUUUUAAUAUAUUUAAUUAAAAAAUAUUUUUGAUUAAUUUUAACAGUAUGAUUUUUGAAAUUUCAAAUUUUAUUUCUUAAUUUUGAAAUUGAUCAUAUGCAAUAUUAUAAAAAAAAAAAAAAGGUGCAGCAUUAGUUGUCGGAACGGUCGCCGGAAUAUUUUUCUGGUGCUGAAAUCGUCACCGGAAUUCUCGUCGAAACCAGAGCGGUCGCCGGAAUACUCGUCGGAGCAGUCGUCGGAGAGGUUGCCGGAGGUGGGUGGGUCGUCGGAGCAGUCCCAGGAGUUGAGGUGGGGUGGAGAGAGAGAAUUGCUUGAAUUUAAAAUUGGUGGGGUGGGGUUUUGUAGUUGAUUAAUUAUAUUAUAAUUAAAUAUUUAAUUAAUUGAUUUAACACCUGAAUUUUGAAAUGCUUUAGAAAGUUUGUUAGUUUAGAAAUAUGAUUUUUAUAUAUAGGAUUCAUGUGUUCUUCCCUAAUUUCAAUGGGUUAGCCCACCUACAAUUCCUCAAAUGAUUUUUUGUUUCGAUCUUUGGCCCACUUAUUUGUAAAAUUUUAGGCCCAAUUUUUCACCAAAAACUUAUUUAAUUUGUAUGAAUAGAUUCAAUAUGCAUGUCUUCCCACCUUUCUUCACGUAAUCACAUUUCCUUGCAAACCCAAUUGAAAUAAUUCUUUCAACUUUGGGGUUUAGUUUUGUUAUUCAAAAAAUGGGUUUUUUGGGAUUUUUUUGUUUAAUUGGUUUGUAGGUGAAUCAUUUUGAAGUACCGUGUUAUUUGCUAAGAAGAGGGUUCAAAGGCUCUUAAACUAGUUGAAGAGAUUCAAGGUUGGUUCCUUGACUUUGGAUGAAAAAUCUCAUUUCAUAGCAAAAAAUAAAUUGGUUUAAAGAUUUUAACUUAUUAGUUACUGCUAUAAAACUUAAAGCAACUACUUUUUUGCAACACAUUUUGAUUCUUGAUAUAUUUAAUAUCAUCAAGUGAUUCUGGAGUGAUAGUGAGGAUGCUUCUUGCAAAUGAAGAGCACGCAACACAGCAAAACCAAUAUUUGCUUUUUCUGUCGUAGAUUUUAAGCUGCUAUUUUUUUUUUUUGAAUUAAUCAAAUAGAUAUAGAAUGGAGAAAAAAGUAAUGGAUGCAAAACAAACAGCCAAGAAGAAGAAUUUGCGGUGGAAUAAUUUUUAUGAUGUGGUUAGAAAAAAGUAUAAUCGUGUAACCAAACUUUGAAACAAUGUCAAAAUGUUUUUUUUUUUUUUUUUUUUUUUUUUUUUUUUUUAAAUUAUUUUGAUAACUCUAAUGAUAUACAUACAAAGGGUAGAUUUCGCACGAUUAGAGGAGACAAUAAAAUAAUACGGGCUGAUAGCUAUACAAUCUAUAGCUCUUCCCAUAUCAUGCUAGCUAUAAUUACAAAAUCCAUAUCCAAAUAUAAUUAAUUGACUUAUCUUAACAUAUUAGAGCAUUUUUAAUGCAUUUAGUGGAUUGCUAUAUGUAAGUUGAAAGACUUCCAUAGUACGAGACAUUGGUACCUCAUAAAUAGGCACUCAAGUCAAAAUGUGCUCUCUAGUGGGUUUUGUCAUGACUCAUUAAUAAUGUUUAGGUGUCUUUAUUUUUAUUUAAAAUAAAACUCAUAUCUAAAUCUGCAAAAUAAUUUUAAAUCUUACUGAGUUCACUCUGUGGAACAAAGAUUUUGAAUCUAGACCAAGAUCUUAACAAUAUCUAUUUUUUUUUAUUUUUCUCAUCAGCCAGAUAUAGUCUAUGUUAGGUUACUUUGGUUUAGUUAGAGUCUCUACUAGAUUACACUGGUUAGGAAUUUUCUACAUGGUGCCUACUUUGCUUAUGCGAAUUUAUUUAAUUUUUAUUUUGGCAUUAGAGAUUCCUGCGUGAAAAAAUGUGAAUUUUGGCUAGAUCGCAUUGACUUCCUUGGACAUGUGGUUACUGCUCAAGGAAUUAAGGUAGACUCGACUAAAAUUGAAGCUGUAACAAAUUGGUCUAGACCGACCAAUGUAGGUGAAGUUCGUAGUUUAUUAGGUCUAGCCGACUAUUACCGGAGAUUUAUUGAAGGAUUUGCUAAGAUAGCUAGUCCACUGACACAAUUAACUAGAAAGGGAGUAAAGUUCCAAUUGUCAGAUAAGUGUAAAAGUAGUUUUCAAGAAUUGUAACAAAGAUUUGUUUCAGCACAGUACUGACAAUACCAGACGAUUCAGAAGGUUUUGUUAUAUGCAGUGAUGCUUCUAAACAAUGUUUGGGAUGUGUGUUGAUGCAACAUAGAAAGGUUGCAGCCUAUGCCUCUAGACUAUUAAAACUAUAUGAGAAGAAUUAUCUAAAAUAUGACUUAGAACUCACAGCAGUAGUCUACGCUUUAAAGAUAUGGUGUCACUAUCUCUAUGGUGGAAAAUGUGAGACAUACACCAAUCACAAAACUCUCAAAUACUUCUUUACUCAAAAAGAGUUAAAUAUGAGACAGAGAAUAUGGAUGAAAUUGGUCAAAGACUAUGAUUGCACCAUUUUUUACCACCCAGGUAAAGCCAAUGUAGUUGCUGAUGCUCUUAGUAGGAAAGUAACUGGAAAGUUGACAUUUCCAUCCACUCAAGAAUAGAUAGUUAAAGAAUUUGAAAAUUUGAGGCUAGAAGUUGUUGCACCUUCUGUACAGAAACCAAUUGUUGCAGCUCUAGUGAUUCAACCCACUCUUAGAGAACAAAUUAGAGAAGCCAAAAAGAAUGACCCAUUUUUGUGUAAAAUCAUGGAUGGAGUUGGGACAGAAAAACGAAGAGGAUUUGCAAUAACUAACGAUAAGGUACUUUCGUAUAAUGGCAAAUAAUGUGUUCCUAAAGAUGAGAGUUUAAGGAAUGAAAUUCUUGAAGAAGCACGCUUCACUCCUUAUGCAGCACAUCCAAGCAGUACGAAAAUGUAUCAAGACCUUCGAAAUAUAUUCUAGUGGAGAAAUAUGAAAAGAGGGAUAGGACUCUUUGUAAUUAAAUGUAUGGUAUGUCAACAAGUGAAAGCAGAACAUCAGAGACCUUCAAAGUUGCUUAGACCGCUAGAUAUAUCGGAGUGGAAGUGGGAACAAUUACCAUGGAUUUUGUGGUAGGAUUUUCGAGAUUCGCUAAAGGAAACAAUGCUAUCUGGGUAAUAGUGAAUCAUCUUACAAAGUCGGCCCACUUUCUUCCAGUUAAGAGGACAUUCACCAUGGAACAAUAUGCACGAGUUUGUGUUAAAGAAAUAGUCAGGUUACAUGGAAUCCCCAUAUCUAUUAUUUCAGAUAGAGACCCGAGAUUCACGUAAAAAUUUAGGAAAUGUCUACAAAAUGCUAUGUAAACAAAAUUUAAAUUUAAUACUACAUAUCACCCAUAGACUGAUGGACAAUCUGAAAGAACAAUUCAGACACUCGAAUAUAUGUUAAGAGCUUGUGUACUAGAUCUCGGUGGCAGUUGGGAAACACACUUGCCUUUAGUAGAGUUUCCCUAUAGCAAUAGUUUUUAAGCAACUAUAGGUAUGGCACGUUAUGAGGCAUUAUAUGGUAGGAAGUGCAGAUCACCUAUCUAUUGGGAUGAGGUUGGAGAAAGAAGGAUCCUAGGACCCGAGAUCAUUGAUCAAAAACUACAAGCCGUGGAUAAGAUUCGAGAUAGAAUUAAGGCUGCUCAAGAUAGGCAAAAAAGCUACGCUAAUAGAAGGAGAAAGGAUCUCAAGUUCCAAAUCGGUGACAAAGUAUUUUUAAAAGUAGCUUCAAUAAAGGAAUUAAAUUUGGAAAGAAGGGAAAAUUGAGACCAAGAUUCAUUGGACCAUUUGAUAUAUUGGAAAGAAUCGGAGAUGUGGCAUAUAGAUUGGCCCUGCCACCAGAACUUUCAGCAAUACAUAGUAUUUUCCAUGUAUCAAUGUUGUGAAAAUACUUACGAGAUUCUAGUCAUGUGAUCAACCAUCAAUCUUUAGAUGUACAACAUGAUAACCUAUGAAGAGACGCCAAUGGAGAUACUAGAAAGAAAGAUUCAUGUACUAAGAAACAAGGAAAUUCCUUUAAUCAGGGUACUAUGGCGUAAUGAUGGAGUGGAAGAAUUAACUUGGGAAAAGGAAGAUGAGAUGAAAAUCAAGUAUCCCGAACUUUUCGCUAAUCUAAGGUAAAUUCCGAAAACGAAAUUAUUUUAAGGAGGGUAGGUUGUAGAAUCCCAAUUUUUUUUGUUAGUUUUGCAUAUAAUUUAUUUGCUAUUUAAUAGGAAUGCAAUGUUUAGUUAAGUCCUUAUACAAGUUAAUUUGUUAUCUCUAUAGUUAAUUUGGGUCCAUAUGGAUAUCUUUAUAGUUGAGGGGCCAAAGUGAAAAUAAAUAUCAAAUUUCAUACUUUUAUUAAAUAGGCCAAAUAGUUAACUGUUGAAGAAGUUAGAAUUACCCUAUCAAUAUUGGGCUCAUUUUGAAGCUUGUAAUAAAUUGCGAAUUAUAAAGUCAAGAAAAUUUUAAUUUGGAUGAGUUAAACCCGAGUUUUAGCCGUCUAAAGAAGUUGAUGGAAAAUUAUAAUUAAGGGAAUAUUCUUGUUAAUUAAGUAAGUAAUGAUGAUUCAUCAUUGGAUUUGUCAAGCUAUUGGUUUGUGAUAAUUAUCAGUUACUCUGUAAUGCUAACAUACUUGAAACUAAAUGUAAACCCUUAAUUACGUGGGAUUUGAAUUACAUCAGUUUUCUUUAAUAAACCUUAGUAUUAGAUUAGUUAGGACUCUAAUUAAUUUAAACUAGUUAAGUUGUGCAAAAAUUGAAUUGGAAACAUUCUGCCAUUUAUUUUGAUUUAAUCGAAGAUAGGAGAAUAAUUAAUUAUUUGUUUAAGUUGUUUGUAUUAGAAUAAAACAAGUAUAACACAUGUAAUUAGGAGACCAAAUUGCCUUACUUUUCCACGUGUGCACAGGAUGUGCAAUUAUUGUGUCUCCUUAUUAUAAUUGUAGUGGAUUUGGAACUUAUCAAAACCAGUAGUCAAUCUCCAAUCAAAUUAUAUCAAAUAGGAAUCUAGGAGUCCAAACCAAUUUCUGGGAAGAGUGGACGAAAUUUUAGAAUUUUAAUCCUAACUUGACUACCCUACGGUCACUGCCCCAUAUUUUCGUAUACUAUAUAUGACAGCAAACUUUAAGCAUUAUACAAUUAACUCCUUAUUCUGCAGUACACUUAUACGUGCCCGUUCUCUCUCCCUCUUUAAAUUUUCCUCUAUAUUUACUAUGGCUUUAUACCCAAAGCAAUCUACUAUAUUUUAUUCAAUCUCACAAGCAAUCAAGAGAAAAAUCUCAGCAAAACAAGUUCCCACAAUUUUUCUUUCCAAGUGCAUAUUAUAAUAUAAGAUUCAUUACGUAAGGUGAGAUGCUCAGUGCUAUUAGUGAUUUUUUUCCACAUCUUUAAAAUGCGCUGUUAUGUGUGAAUUUAAUUACUUCAGUUCAUGGUUCCUUGGGGAGAAAUCAUGAUACAUUUUAAGGCACAAUUUAACUUUUACGUUAUUUUUGCAAUGCUUGCUAGAUUAUUAUUUCUCAUGGUGUAAUUAUUCUCAUUUUAUGUUGGUAAGAGAAUUUAUGCAUAAUUUCAUAUUUGAUUUAAAUGUGGAGUACCAAGCAUCUCAUUGAGUAUAAUUCGUUAUUCACAUCCCUCUUUAUUUACAAGUUUCAGGUAAAAAUAAGUAUGAUGGACGACAAUGGAUGGAUAUGCUAUUAGACUAAUAGAUUCUGAACAUGAUGUACUUUAAUUUUUGAGAACAUUAGAAUUUUAAAUAACAUUUUAUUAUUUUAUUAUUUAUUAUUUUUUGUUUUUAGACUAAAUUGUGAGUGAUGUUAUAUUUUUCAAUUAGUCCUAAUUUCAUUGUCUGUUAGAACUAGUCUUUAUUAAUGGUUGAUGAAGGAUAUGAUUUCAAAACGUUCUACAUAUUUUAUUAAAUUUAAUUUAUCUUUUGUUAAAGGCUAUUCAAUUUUACUAAAUUUCUCAUUAUAUUAAAAUUAUUUGCUUCAAGCACUUGGAUAACUUCAUGUUUCGUAACGUUUCGGGUUGCUAGAAUUCGGGGCGUUACAAACAAGAAUUUCAUGUAUUGUCACGUUAUUUAAUUACAUUGAAACAGAUUAAUAAAGGGCAUUCGAGGUCUCAGCAACAUCUCAUGUAAAUUUACAAAACCUUCAUAAUUUGCGCACUAAAAUUCUUAGUUUAAUUAGAUUAAAUCGUAUAAAUUCUUCAAACACAAUUGGAUAUUUGAUUAGAGCUAGAAUUGAUUGACCCUUGAUUAAGUACAUAGUCUUCUUAAGAAUGAUAUCCUAUUUAUCACUUUAGUACGUGUUUGCAACACUGUACACUUGCACAAAAAAUCGAACAAUCAAGUUUUUAGCAUCGUUAUGGGAGGACUAUUAUAAUUAAUUAGUUUUAGUUACCUUUAGCUUUAAUUUGAAUUUUUUUUUCUUUUCAGUUUCAGUUUCAUAUUAAAAAAGUACUACAGAGCUUUAUCUUUUUAUUUUUAAGAUGUACUAUUCGAGGCACGAUGAUCAUGCUCAAUUUGAUCUAGAAAUCGAACGAAUAUUCAUGUUAAGAAGAAAAGAACGGAUAGAAGCACAACAAAAAUGGCAAGUAAAACUAGCGGCAAAAAAUAUACUAUAUCAAUUAGUUGUUGAGAUGAUUAUAAAUAUAGCACAUCCGAUCGUAGCUACGAGUAGUAAGAAUCAGAGACUAAUGAGAGAUUACAUUGUUCCACUGGUCGUGGAAAGCAGACCAGACAUAGCCUAUCCAGCAUUCAGGCAAGCAAAUUUUCACUUAAGGACGGAUGUAAUAAACAUGCUCCAAAUUGUGUUGCAAUUAUUUGGGAGACCAAUUGAUAAUCCAAAUGUUUAUAUCUCCAAAUUUUUGGAUAUGUGUGCAAUAAUUGAAUAUCCAAGGGUUUUUGGUGAGGAGACCAAUUAGUAUUAAUUUGGUUGCUUGCCAGAGGCCAGCUUCAGCAAUAUUAUUUUAAUAAGUCCUUAAAAAAGGUUAAAUCUACAAAUCAUACAAUUAGAAAAUCAAUUAAAAUGAUUUCCACUUGUUAUUGAAAAUCAAGUUGUCUCAAUCUUUAGUUCAGUUUAUUGUUUAAAUGGAUUACUAUUCGACAAACAAUAUAAAUGUCACAUUUUCACGUGUUAGCACUUCAAAAACUUGUUGAAAAAUAAAAUUUAUUAAUUUUUAAUAUCCUUUGAUUUUUAAUAUGGGACACUAACGUGAGAAGGAAUCUAUUUUACAAAUUUCCAUGUUCGCUGGCGAUUGAAGGGAUUGGGGUUGAUGAUUUCCACUUGUUAUUGAAAAUCAAGUUGUCUCAAUCUUUAGUUCAGUUUAUUGUUUAAAUGGAUUACUAUUCGACAAACAAUAUAAAUGUCACAUUUUCACGUGUUAGCACUUCAAAAACUUGUUGAAAAAUAAAAUUUAUUAAUUUUUAAUAUCCUUUGAUUUUUAAUAUGGGACACUAACGUGAGAAGGAAUCUAUUUUACAAAUUUCCAUGUUCGCUGGCGAUUGAAGGGACUGAACAUGAUGUACUUUAAUUUUUGAGAACAUUAGAAUUUUAAAUAACAUUUUAUUAUUUUAUUAUUUAUUAUUUUUUGUUUUUAGACUAAAUUGUGAGUGAUGUUAUAUUUUUCAAUUAGUCCUAAUUUCAUUGUCUGUUAGAACUAGUCUUUAUUAAUGGUUGAUGAAGGAUAUGAUUUCAAAACGUUCUACAUAUUUUAUUAAAUUUAAUUUAUCUUUUGUUAAAGGCUAUUCAAUUUUACUAAAUUUCUCAUUAUAUUAAAAUUAUUUGCUUCAAGCACUUGGAUAACUUCAUGUUUCGUAACGUUUCGGGUUGCUAGAAUUCGGGGCGUUACAAACAAGAAUUUCAUGUAUUGUCACGUUAUUUAAUUACAUUGAAACAGAUUAAUAAAGGGCAUUCGAGGUCUCAGCAACAUCUCAUGUAAAUUUACAAAACCUUCAUAAUUUGCGCACUAAAAUUCUUAGUUUAAUUAGAUUAAAUCGUAUAAAUUCUUCAAACACAAUUGGAUAUUUGAUUAGAGCUAGAAUUGAUUGACCCUUGAUUAAGUACAUAGUCUUCUUAAGAAUGAUAUCCUAUUUAUCACUUUAGUACGUGUUUGCAACACUGUACACUUGCACAAAAAAUCGAACAAUCAAGUUUUUAGCAUCGUUAUGGGAGGACUAUUAUAAUUAAUUAGUUUUAGUUACCUUUAGCUUUAAUUUGAAUUUUUUUUUCUUUUCAGUUUCAGUUUCAUAUUAAAAAAGUACUACAGAGCUUUAUCUUUUUAUUUUUAAGAUGUACUAUUCGAGGCACGAUGAUCAUGCUCAAUUUGAUCUAGAAAUCGAACGAAUAUUCAUGUUAAGAAGAAAAGAACGGAUAGAAGCACAACAAAAAUGGCAAGUAAAACUAGCGGCAAAAAAUAUACUAUAUCAAUUAGUUGUUGAGAUGAUUAUAAAUAUAGCACAUCCGAUCGUAGCUACGAGUAGUAAGAAUCAGAGACUAAUGAGAGAUUACAUUGUUCCACUGGUCGUGGAAAGCAGACCAGACAUAGCCUAUCCAGCAUUCAGGCAAGCAAAUUUUCACUUAAGGACGGAUGUAAUAAACAUGCUCCAAAUUGUGUUGCAAUUAUUUGGGAGACCAAUUGAUAAUCCAAAUGUUUAUAUCUCCAAAUUUUUGGAUAUGUGUGCAAUAAUUGAAUAUCCAAGGGUUUUUGGUGAGGAGACCAAUUAGUAUUAAUUUGGUUGCUUGCCAGAGGCCAGCUUCAGCAAUAUUAUUUUAAUAAGUCCUUAAAAAAGGUUAAAUCUACAAAUCAUACAAUUAGAAAAUCAAUUAAAAUGAUUUCCACUUGUUAUUGAAAAUCAAGUUGUCUCAAUCUUUAGUUCAGUUUAUUGUUUAAAUGGAUUACUAUUCGACAAACAAUAUAAAUGUCACAUUUUCACGUGUUAGCACUUCAAAAACUUGUUGAAAAAUAAAAUUUAUUAAUUUUUAAUAUCCUUUGAUUUUUAAUAUGGGACACUAACGUGAGAAGGAAUCUAUUUUACAAAUUUCCAUGUUCGCUGGCGAUUGAAGGGAUUGGGGUUGNNNNNNNNNNNNGGGGGGGUGGGUAUAUAUAUAUAUUAUAUUAUUAAAUGACUUCCUCAUAAUUUAAAGAUUGAAGUCUUCCUUAACAAUAUUAAUUGAUCAUUAAAUAAUUUACAUAUUACAAUCAGUUAGGGUGUCGACGGUGACUUCACACAAAUUGUGUUUGGAAGUCAACUAGUCAUGUGCUAUUAAUUAAUUAUAAUCUAAACAAUUAAUUAUAGCCUGUUUGGUUAGUGAGGUUCAAAAAAAUAAAAAAAAUAAAAAUAAAAAUAAAAAUAGUAGUCAAUGACUUGAAUACAUCUCUAAAUUAACCCAACUAGCUUAAAGCAAAUUAAUCCGGUGUUGCAUGAAAAAAUGAGUUUCAAUUUUUGAAUCUUUCCCAUGUUCCAUUGACUAAUUUGAAGUUUUCAGAUAUAUAGUUGUUUAUUGGGUUUGAUUACAAUAUUUUGUAGUAUGCAAGGUGAUAAGUGUAGUUAUUACACUUAUUAGGACCUAAAAAUAAAGACAUUUAAUAGUGCUUUUAAUUAAUUAUAACCUAAUUUAUUGUAUAUUUCGUUUAUUAGGUGAAACACGAUGAUUGAAAGAGAACUUAAACUAAAGAAGGGAAAAAAUGGUUAAAAUGGUGAAAUUCAAAGUUUGAGAACUCAGAUGCAACUUUUUAAUAGUUUAUUCUAACCACAAAACGAUAAUUGAAGAUUGUUAGAAAUCAAUUGGAUGCAAUUAAAAGUAUUUUCACAAAUCAAAUUUCAACCGCACAACUUAUAUUUCAGAUCUUUAAUAAGUGGGAGAUUGAGACCCAUUUUUAGAAUAGCAAACAUUUGAAUUGGGAAAAAUAAAAAAUCAAAGUUUUCCUUUAUCUUAAAUUGUUGCCCAAAUUCAAGAUUAAUAUUCCCAGCAAAACAUAUAACUUGAGUAAAAUUUAGUCUUGACAAAAUGCUAUUUCUAGUGAAGUUGUAUCCAUUUGAGUUGUCUUUCAAUGUAUUUUGAAUCAUCUCAAUUGGAUAUCCAAAAAAAAGGUUAUGACAAAAAUAUUUAUAGUUGCGCGGAGACAAAAAUAGGCGAGCACGAAGGCAACUUUCCUUAUUAGAUUUGAAUUAUUCUUGGAUUCGAUCUUUAAUGAAUAUUCAACCAAAUUUUGAGGCCUAUGAAUACAUAAGAUCAUAAUACAUUAAGGGGAACCUCUCAUACAUUAUUUUCAUCCAUUAUUACAAGAAAAGAGAAGCAAGAUUUCAAUUCUUUGAAGAUUCAACUUUGGUCAUUGGACGAAGAAGAUGAGAAACAAUUGAAGAUUCAUCAAGAAGCCAUUAGAGAAAUUCAAGAUUUCAAAAUUCAACUUAUUCCUUUUAAUUAUCCAUAAUCAGCAUUAUAUUCUUUAAAUUAAUUACAGUUUCUUAUGACUUUGUAAUGCUAAGUUGGGUUUUCAAUCACUAAAACAUUGAUGAACCCUUGUUAUGAUGAUUUAAUAUAAAGGCGAUGAUUUGACAUCCAAUAUGUAUUUUUUUUUUGGAUGAUUGUUAUAGAAUUUAUUGACUUCUCAAUUACUUGAUCACUAAUUGGAUUUAUUGAUUUCGAAAGAAACAAUACAAUAGAAAGCACUUUAUAAUAACCAUUGUAAAGUACGAUACGGGAUAAAGAUAUACUAGGGUUUUAAUGACUGCUUUCAUGUUCACAUUUUUCAUAGAGAUAUAGAAAGAACUCAUGAGAUAAUAUAUUUAAUUGACGUCGAGAUAUACUUUUAAUUAAUUUAGGAACAUUGAUCAAUAAAGGGCAUUCGAAGUCUUAGCAACAUCUUAUCUAAUUUACAAAAUCUUCAUAAUUUGCUCACUAAAAUUCUUAGUUUAAUUAGAUUAAAUAGUAUAAAUUCUUCAAUACAAUUUGAUAUUUGAUUAGAGCUAGAAUUGAUGAUCUUUGAUUAAGUACAUAGUCUUCACGGGAAUGAUAUCCUACUGAUCACUUUAGUAGUUGUUUGUGACACCGUAUACUUGCGCAAAAAAUCAAAAGAUCAAGUUUUUGGCAUCAUUAUGGGGGACUACUAUAAUUAAUUAGUUUUAGUUACUUUUAGCUUAAUUUGAUUUUUUUUCUUUAUUAGUUUUAAUUUCAAAUUAAAAAAAGUAUUACAGAGCAUUAUUUUUUUAUUUUUAAGAUCUUGCAUGGAAUGUUCGAGGCAUGGUGAUCAUGCUUAAUUUGAUCUAGAAAUCGAACGAACAUUCAUGUUAAGAAGAAAAGAACAGAUAGAAGCACAACAAAAAUGGCAAGCAGAAUCAGCAACAAAAAAUAUACUAAAUCAAGUAGUUGUUGAGAUAUUGUAAAUAUAGCACAUCUAAUCAUAGCUACGGGUAAUAAGAAUGAGAGACUAAUGAGAGAAUACAUUGUUCAACCGGUCGUAGAGAGCAUAUCAAACAUAGCCCAUCCAGGCUUCGGGCAAGAAAAUUUUCACUUAGUGACGAAUGCAAUAAACAUGCUCCAAAUUGUGUUGUAGCCAUUUUGGAGACCAAUUGAUAAUCCAAAUGUUCAUAUCUCAAAAUUUUUGGAUAUGCGUGCAAUAAUUUAAUAUCCAAGGGUUUUCAGUGAUGCAGUUAGACUGAGGCCCUUUUCUUACGCUCUGAGAGAUUUUUCGACGGAAUGGUAGGACACGUUCCCACUUCACAGCAUCAUGACUUGUGACAAUUUGACCCCGAAGUUCUUUAAUAAAUAUUUCCCACAAAAAAAUGAUUGCCAAGUUGAGAGAUGAGAUCACUACAUUCUCAUAACUUAAUUCAGAGUGUCAUUACGAGGUAUGAAAGAGAUAAAAAGGUUUGCUUAGAAAAUGUCCACAUCAAAGGUUACAAAAGUGGCUACAAGUCCAGUACUUUAAAAUAUCUGAACUCUAACUAGUAGGAUAACGUUGACUUUGCCUGUGAUGGGUCAAUUAUGAGAAAGACAGCGGAUCAAAUGUAUCAAAUCAUGGAAGAUCUAGCAUAUACUAAUGCGCUACAGCCUGCAGAAAGAUCAAGUGGAAAAAGAGCUGCAAGGAUGCAAGAAGUUGACUUAAUGAUAGCCAUGGGCUGAUUUAGGGUCCACUGUUGCCCAGGCCUAAUACUCUAAAUUUUAUUUUAUUUUUGUGGUUUUAAUUGUAAUCUAUUAGCCCACCUACAAUUCCUCAAAUGAAUUUUUGUUUUGAUAUUUGGCCCACUUAUUUAUAUAAUUUUAUGCUCAAUUUUUUGCCACAGCUUAUUUAAUUUGUAUCAACAGAUUCAACACCCAUUUCUUCCCAUCUUUCUUCACGUAAUCACGUUCCCUUGCAAAACCAAUUGAAAUAAUUCUUUCAAAUUUAGGAUUUAUUAUUGUUAUUCAUAAAAUAGGAUUUAUUUAUUUAUUUUUAUUUUUUUACUUAUUUAUUUUUUUUGGUUUAAUUGGCUUGUAGGUGAAGCAUUUUGAUGUAUUGUGCUAUUUGUUAAGAAGGGGGUCCAGGGGCUGUUGAACUAGUUGAGGAGGUUCAACAUUGAUUCUCUAACUUUUGAUGAAAAAUCUCAUUUCAUAGCAAACAGUAAAUUGGUUUAAAGAUUUUAACUUACCAGUUACUGCCUUAGCUUAGAGCCUACUGGUAAUUGUGCAUUCACAUGUAUUAUAUUGUUGUUUUGGAAAUCAUAAUAUUGUGCAAAGCAAUUAAGCAAAUCAUGGGCCUUGAAAAAUUUUAGCUUACUGGAUUGUUGGAAGUUGGACUUGGAAAUUCGGAAAGUUACCUAUUGGUAAUUAUUAAUUAAACAAAGAUAAUGUAUUGGUAACAAAAUCGUUAAGCAAUCUACCGUGCACAACUGUGAAAUUUGUGUUGAUGGUUUAUGGUUAUAGUUUUAUCAAUUAUAUUUAUACCUUUAUGGGAUAUUGAAGCAUUUUGAUUUUUAUGCUUUUAAAUUUAUUAUGAAAGAAGAUCGACCUUCUUCCAAGAAAGGAAGAACCUUGUCAUCCUCAUUUUCAAGUAACUACACUUUCUGAUUUAUGUCGAGAAUGGGAUGCAAGUAGAAGGUCGGAGAGUUAUGUCAUUUUGAUUAAAUUGAUUUGUUUAGUACUGACACUACUUGUUUCAACGGCGAUUGUGGAGCGAACAUUUUCAGCAACAAAACAUGUGAAGACGAAAAUUCGUAACAAAAUGGAUGAUAAUUUUCUUGCUGAUUGUUGAACGUUAAACAUUGAACGAGAAUUUAGUAUGAAUUUAGAUCUACAUUCUAUUAUAAAUAAAGUUUAUGUUGUAAAAUAUCACCGGGUACAACUACAAUAGGUAACUUAUAUUAACCCAACUACCUAAAAGCAAAUUAUUUCGGAGCUGCAUUAAAAAAAUGAGUUUCAAUUUUUUGAAUCUUUCCCAUAUUUUGAAAAAAUGAGUUUCAAUAUUUUAAUAAAAUUUAGUGUUGAUGAAAUGUUAUUUCCAGUAAAAUUUAGUCAUUUGAGUUGUCUUUCCAAUGCAUUUUGAAACAACUCAAUCGGAUAUCAAAAAACAAAGUUAUAACAAAAAUAUUGAUAACUGCAUAGAGACAAAAAUAGGCAAGCACAAUGGCAACUUUUCUUAUUAGAUUUAAAUUAUUCUAAGAUUCUAUCUUUAACAAAUAUUCGGCCAAACUUCGAGGCCUAUAAAUACAUAAGAGCAAAAUACAUUAAGGGGAACCUCUCAUACAUUAUUUUCAUCCUUUAUUACAAGGAAAGAGAAGUCAAUUCACAGAUCUUUCGAGAGAGGUUUGCAAGAUUUCAAUUCUUUGAAGAUUCAACUUUUGUCAUUGGAUGAAGAAGAUAAGAAACAAUUGAAGAUUCAUCAAGAAGCUAUUGGAGAAAUUCAAGAUUUCAAAAUUCAUCUUAUUCUUUUUAAUUAUCAAUAGUCAGGAUUAUAUUCUUUUCAUUAUUUAUGAUUUUUUAUGAUUUUGUAAUGCUAACUUAGCUUUUUAAUUACUAAGACAUUGAUGAACCCUCGUUAUGAUGAUGUAAUAUAAAUACGAUAAUUUGACUUCAGAUAUGUAUGUAUUUUUGGAUGACUGUUACAGGAUUUUCUGACUUGUCAAUUACUUGAUCACUAAUUAGAUUGAUUGUGAAUUUUAUUGAUUUCGAAAGAAACAAUAAGAAAGCACUUCAUAAUAACCAUUGUAAAGUACGAUAUAGGAUAGAAAUAUACUAUGGUUUUAAUAACUUCUUUCAUGUUCACAUUUUUCAAAGAAAUAUAGGAAGGGCACAUUGUUAUAAUAUAUUUAAUUGACGUUGAGAUAUAUUUCUAAUUAACUUAGGAACAUUGAUCAACAAGAAUUUACACCUAUUGUCAUGUUAUUUGAUUACAUUGAAACAGAUUAAUAAACGGCAUUCGAGAUCUUAGUAACAUCUCAUCUUAAUUUACAAAACUUCAUAAUUUGCUCACUAAAAUUCUUGGUUUAAUUAGAUUAAAUAAUAUAAAUUCUUCAAAUACAAUUGGCUAUUUGAUUAGAGCUAGAAUUAAUUGAUCCUUCAAGUACAUAAUCUUCAUGGGAAUGAUAUCCUACUUAUCACUUUAGUACUUGUUCUUGACACCGUACACUUGUGCAAAAAAUCGAACGAUCAAGUUUUUGACGUCGUUAUGGGGGACUAUUAUAUUUAAUAGAUUUUAGUUAUUUUUAGCUUUGAUUUGAUUUUUUUUCUUUAUUAGUUUCAUUUUCAUAUUAGAAAAGUAUUACAGAGCUUUAUCUUUUUAGUUCUAGGAUCUUGCAUGUAAUGUUUGAGGUACGAUGAUCAUGCUCAAUUUGAUCUAGAAAUUGAACAAACAUUCAUGUUAAGAAGAAAAGAGCAGAUGCAAGCACAACAAAAAUGGCAAGCAAAACUAGGGCAAAAAAUAUACUAAAUCAAGUAUUUGUUGAGUUGAUUAUAAAUAUAGCACAUCAAAUUGUAGCUGCGGGUAAUAAGAAUGAGAAACUAAUGAGAGCAUACAUUAUUCCAGUGAUCAUAGAAAGCAGAUCAAGCAUAGCCUAUCCAGCAUUCGGGCAAGCAAAUUUUCACUUAAGGACGGAUGUAAUAAACAUGCUCCAAAUUGUGUUGUAGCUCUUUGGGAGACCAAUUGAUAAUCCAAAUAUUCAUGUCUAAAAAUUUUUGGAUAUGUGUGCAAUAAUUUAAUAUCCAAGGGCUUCUAGUGAUGCAAUUCGACUGAGGCCAUUUCCUUAUACUUUGAGAUUUAGCUACGGAAUAAUUUGACACAUUCCCACUUCACAGCAUCACGAUUUGAGACAAUUUGAGCCAGAAGUUCUUAAAUAAAUAUUUCUCACAAAAAGGAUUGCCAAGUUGAGAGAUGAGAUCCCUAGAUUCUCACAACUUAAUUCAAAGUGCUAUUAUGAAGUAUGAAAUAGGUAAAAACGUCUGCUUCAAAAAUGUCCACAACAAUGGUUGCAAAAUUGGCUACAAGUCCAGUACUUCUACAAUAUCUUGACUCCGAAUAGGAGGGUAACGUUGACUUUGCUUGUGAUUGGGUCAAUUACAAGAAAGACAGUGGAUCAAGUGUAUCAAAUCAUAGAAGAUCUAGCAUUCACCAAUGCACCAUGGCUAGCGGAAAGAUCGGGUGGAAAAGGAGCUGCUAGGAUGCAUGAGGUUGACUCAAUGAUAGCUAUUUCAGCAUAGUUGCAGCACUAGCUGAAAAGGUAGAUAAUUGGGCAACCAAUCAAACAAUGAAAGCAGUUCAAACAGCUAGGCCAAGAUGCAAGUAUUAUAGGUGUAAUCAUUAAAGUGCGAAUUGUAAUGUGGGAAGUCCAUUUGUGCAAUCAGUUGAUGAUGUGAAUCACAUAAAAAAAAUUUCAGAGAUCACAUAUAAAAUUUUCAGAGAUAACACAAGAAUCCUCAUUCCAAUACAUACAAUUUGAGUCGAAGAAAUCACUCAAACUUUUCUUGGAGCAACUAUCAAUCUUCUCAAGGCACUACAUAUCAAAAUACAUCACUAGGUUUCCAACAACCAGAAUAAAAACCCUCACGGGAAGAAGCAUUGAGUGAAAUCGCAAUGUCAUCAACCUAUGGUUGAAGUAUCAACUAAAUUCAUACAACAAAUUGAGAAAAAUUUUCAAGUCCAACUGGAUGCUAUAAAGAUUUUGGAUAAUUAAACAGGACAAAUAGCUAAGACACUUUCAAAGAGACUACUAGAAGCCCAGUCAAGUGAAACUAAGACAAAUCCUAAACAGCAUGUGAUGGUAAUAAAAGUUGUGGAGAAUGAAAUAAUCGAGAAAUCACUUGUUUUUGAUAGGUAAUCGAGAAAUCACUUGUGAAAGCACUAACUCUAGUUCAGGUAAUUAUUACGCGGGGUAGGGUUCAACUACCAUAAAUUGUAGUUAAGAGAUAGAUAGUAUUAAAUGAAAAUGUAACUUCCACAAAUGAGGAGCAAGUGGAUAAAUCUGAACAACUAGCAAAAAUAGUUACAGAUUAGAAGUCGGAUAAUCUACAGGUUAGGCAACAGUUUCUAUCAAGACUUAUGUUCAUGUCCCAUUUCCCUAGAGAUUGCAAAAAAAGAAGGUCGACGAACAAUUUGAGAAGCUUUUGGAUGAGCUAAAGAAACUCUACAUCAACAUAUCGUAAAGGAAAUAAUGGAGUCACCGCAAAUGGAUAAUGAAAGCAUCAAAUAUCCAAGAGACAAAGUCGAUGAUGUACUAAUUAAAGCUGGAAAAUUGGUAUUCUAGAUGGAUUUCCUUGUUCUUGACAUAGAUGAAGAUCAAAAUAUUCGAACAAUCUUGAGUCGACCUUCCUAGCAACAUGUCAAAAUUGAUUGACAUGGAGAAAGGUGAGUUGGCCUUGAGGUUGAAGGAUGAAUAAGAAUUCUUUAAAUUACACAAUCUAUCCAAACGACCAUCGGACCUUGAGGUGUGAAACUAUAUUGAUGAAGACAAUCCACGAAGUAUUCAAAAGAGAAAACCUAAAGUUGGUGGAAUUCCUGUUUUAAUUCACGGAUUUUUCAUAGAUGUCACUAAAUUUGAAAAUCUACCAAAAUUGUCAUUUCUAUUAAUGGUGCUAAAAAUGACACUUUUUUGUGUGAGAGGUCCAAAUUACCCUUAAUGAUAUGUUUUUAGGAGCGUUUAAUGCUCGACUUGAAUGCCAUUAAUGUUAUGGUGUGAUGAUUUAAUUUGUAUACAUUGCACAUUGGAUAUACGUCUAUUAUAUUGGGUAAUAUGAAUUUUGUUCAUAAAAAAAGAUAAAAGGUUUUGAAAAGUAAUCAUAAACAAAUUUCUUCUAUCAUUAACAAAACUCAACUUCUUAACCAUCUUCUUUAUUCUUUCAUCAAGAAGACAUAGCUAUUGGAUUCAUUAUCCAUUUUGAGAGAUUAGUCUCUUACAAAUUGUUUAUAUGUUUAACUUAUAACUUACUAUUUUUGAAAUGUUAAAUAUAACAUGGUCGUAGAAGUCAAUUUUUAAUUUAAAAUAUAUGGCAAGUAAAAUAUUCACAAUCAUCCGACCAAAUCAGCCAGUCAUCUCCACAUAAUAAGAGCCAGAUAGACAACAAAAAUAUCACAACAUUACAAAGCAAAUGCUGGAUAAAAAGAUAACAAUGAACUUCUUCCACAUUACAGCAUUGGCUCUAUAAAAACAAGAAAAUGUUAGGUACAUUAUUAACAUAGGAUUGUGAAACUACCUUUACUUCUUAAUGCAGAGACGAUAAAGUAACGCCCAAUUUAUCUACGAGUCAAAAGACAUUUUCACUUGGAAGGCUGAACAUAAUCACCAUUAAGAAGGUAAAAAUACAUGAUCUUGUAAUAAUAAUCACCACCUCUAUUUUGAAUUUUUGAUGAAGUUCCCAAACUAAAUCUUACAUAUCAAAAACACAAAAAACAUAUCAAUUCUCCAAAGCAAAUUUACAAUUCACAUAUUGACAAAAUCAGAAAUUCAAGAAAGCCUCAAAAAAACCAACAGGUUAUAGAAGCAGACGAAUUCAACCAUUCAAAAAUCACAAAUCACAGGUUUUGAGUUUCAUAAAUUCAUACAUUCCCCGUUCACAAAGGCUGAAAUCAUAAUUAGUCGACCGGAGUCGCUGGUCAGGAAGAAAAAUUACUAAAUCAAAAUUGUUAAUGUACUAACCUUAUUACUAAGAUUAGGGUCUGAACUGCAAUUGGCGAUUUGACUGUGGACUACAGGAAGCAAGUAGCAAUGACGAUAGGAGGGAGCAGGCUGAAUCCUUUGCUGUUUUCCCUUUCCAAUCGUUUGCGAUUUUGCUGAUUGUGAUUUUUCCUUUCCAAUCCUUGAAUCGAUGGCAGGAGGGAGUCAGCGACAGGUUUUUCAGUCAUGUUCCUUUUAAAUUAACAAAUCAAAAAAUUUAAUUGGAUAGCUUGAUUCUAACAGGAUAUAAAUUAUGUGAGUUAGUAAAAUAAGUUUCGAUUGUCAAAAAUAAAUUCAGUUGCGACAUAUAGCCAGCAAGUUUUCAAUCACAUAUGCAUAGCCACCCUUUAUAACUAAUAUACACUGUACACAAAACUAAAACUUGAUAAUUUCGCGUUAGUGAGAAAUUCCUAUCUAUCUAAUCAGCAUCACAUUACGUACGCAUUUUUACAUAUUUAAGUAUAUCUUGUUACAGGGGGAAAUCAGGAGGAUCGAAAAUGGCGGAUAAGAGGUUUAUCAUAGAAGUGGAGCCGGCUAAGCAAGCCAAGGAUGGGAAGCCGUCGAUGGGACCCGCUUAUCGCAGCGUUUUUAUUAGGACUUGUACAUAAACGUACUGUACAUAGAUCAAUUUUAGUUAACCAGCUGGCACCUGUUUAGUUAGUUAGUUAGUCCAGCUCAUUUUCAUUUUGGCGUCAAUACUUGCCACUAUUUAUAGAGACUUGUGUGUUCAUUUUUCUCCAGAUUUUCAGAUCAAUAAAACAAGAUUCUUCAUUCAAAUAUCUGAUGUGGUAUCAGAGCAUUCUUAUAUUAGCAUUGAAUUGGGUAUGUACCAUGCUGAAAAAUCUAGGAAUGAUGGUCUUAGCAUCUGAUUUAUUCCUGAACAGAUAUAUCCAUGUAAAUCUAGAACAAUCAUCUACCAAGGUUAGAAAAUAAUUGUGUCCAGAUUGUGAGGUCACAUGGUAAGGUCCCCCAUAUAUCACAAUGUAUAAGAUCAAAGGGGUUGUUUGAUAACCUGUUAUUCGACUCAAAAGACAAAUCUGUAAGUUGCUACAGUCUCCGCGUGAAUUGUGCCUGCAACUUGCUACUUCAAGAUGUAAAUGUUUAACGGAUACAAUAUUUAGUUUGUAUCGUAGGUGGUAAAGAAGAAAGUGAUUAUAGAUUGACUUGGGUAGACUAGAGGAAAAAGUUAGGACCAAAUUCAUCCAAUGUUACAUAAAAAAAAUAAAAAAAUAAAAAAAGUCUACCAAAAUUUUUCAUUUCUAUUAAUGGUGCUAAAAAUGACACUUUUUUGUGUGAGAAGUCCAAAUUACCCUUAAUGAUACAUUUUUAGGAGCAUUUAAUGCUCGAUUUGAAUGCCGUUAAUGUUAUGGCGUGAUGAUUUAAUUUGUAUACAUUAAACAUUGGAUAUACGUAUAUUAUAUUGGGUAAUAUGAAUUUUGUUAAUUAAAAAAAGAUAAAAGAUUUUGAAAAGUAAUCAUAAACCAAUUUUUUCUAUCAUUAACAAAACUUAACCUCUUAACCAUCUUCUUUAUUCUUUCAUCAAGAAGACAUUACUAUUGGAUUCAUCAUCCAUUUUGAUAGAUUAGUAUAUUAGAAAUUGUUUAUAUGUUUAUCUUAUAGCUUACUAUUUUUGAAAUGUUAAAUAUAACAUGGUCAUAGAAGUCAAUUUUUAAUUUAAAAUAUAUGGCAAGUAAAAUAUUCACAAUCAUCCGACCAAAUCAGCCAGUCAUCUCCACAUAGUAGGAGCUAGAUAGACAACAAAAUAUCACAACAACAUUACAAAGCAAAUGCAGGAUAAGAAGAUAAACAACGAAACUUCCACAUUACAGCAUUGGCUCUAUAAAAACAAGCAAAUGUUAGGUACAUUAUUAACAUAGGAUUGUGAAACUACCUUUACUUCUUCUUAAUGCAGAGACCAUAAAGUAACGCCCAAUUUAUCUACGAGUCAAAAGACAUUUUCACUUGGAAAGCUGAACAUAAUCACCAUUAAGAAGGUAAAAAUACAUGAUCUUGUAAUAAUAAUCACCACCUCUGUUUGAAUUUUUGAUGAAGUUCCAAACUAAAUCUUACAUAUCAAAAACACAAAACACAUUAAUUCUCCAAAGCAAAUUUACAAAUCACAUAUUCAGAAAAUCACAAAUUCAAGAGACAAUCAAAAAACCAACAGGUAUAGAAGCAGACGAAUUCAGCCAUUCAAAAAUCACAAAUCACAGAUUUUGAGUUUCAUAAAUUCAUGCAUUCAUCGUUCACAAAGGCCGAAAUCAUAAUUAGUCAACCGGUGUCGCUGGACAGGAAGAAAAAUUACUAAAUCAAAAUUGUUAAUGUACUAACCUUAUCACUCAGAUUAAGGUUUGAAUUGCAAUUGGUGAUUUCAAUGUGGACGAGUGGAAGCAAGUAGAAAUGACGAUAGGAAGGAGCAGGCUGAAUCCUUUGCUGUUUUCCCUUUCUUAUCGUUUGCGGUUUUGCCGAUUGCGAUUUUUCCAUUCCAAUCGUUGAAUCGAUGGCAGGAGGGAGUCAGCGACGUGUUUUUCAAUUGUGGGCUACUGGGUCUUUAUGCAGCGUUAGGUAGUGGGAGGUUCCUCUCGUGAACAUUUUCUUGCCAUUCGUAGAAUCGCCGGCAGCAGGGAGUCUGAGACUGGGUUUUGAUCGUCGGGUUGGUGGGUUCUACUUCAGCGUUAGCAAUGAGAGGGGAGAGGUUCUCUCGUGAUUGUCUAUGGCAGGGGAUGGUUGCUUCAAUAAUUUAAUUGCUGGUCCAUCCCUGGAACCAUGGUUUGGUUUUGGGUUUGUCAAAAUUUUCCCCAAAAUUUUUCAAUAAUGCUGGUGGUACAUCAGCCACUACCUAAUGGUGUACCUAAUGGUGAGGUGACAAGAACUUGAAUAAAAAUAUCGUGAAUUUUGAAACAAGGAACUGGAGGUGGGGAUUUCAAAUUUUUAAAACAAGUUGGCCCAAAACUAGACCCGGCCUGAUUAUUUAAUAAUAGAUGAGAACCCUCAUUUCAAAAUUUCCCCAAAUUUGGACCCUCCUCUCAAAUAGAUUUUCCCCAAAUCUCUCCAACAACGAAAAACCUUGAAGGCGAAAAUCGAGUUCGAUGUCCAGAUUCCAUCGGCGACGAAAAUUUGAACGUCUAAAACUUUUUUCGUUUUCACUUUGAAUCCGAGCUUGAAGACCAGAAAGGUGCUGAGUUGAAAAAGUCAGCACGCAGAGCACUACCAUUUGAAUUCCUGACCUGCAAAUGUGGGUUGUUCUGAUGUGGAGUUGAAUUCCUGACCUGCGAAUGUGGGUUGUCUCGACUUCGAAAAAGUUAGUACCUGUUGAUAUUCUGGACUUAGCACCUUUAGGCAGAGCACCACACUCAACCGUGAACAAUACCACCUGAUUUUUACAGGACCAAAUUAUCGUUUUGCGUCUCGACAAUUGCUACUUCUUGGUAAUAUGCUUGACUUAACUGAUGCUUCAAACAAAAAAGUAGCUAGUGGAUUUGUUCAGGAGUUAUUGCAUGACCCCCGUUUCAUGAAAUGGAUGCCAAUGGAAUUGAAAUUGUCAUAGGAGAUGGUAUUAAUUUAGGUGGAAAGAGAGAUCGGGCUGCCAUAGAAUUGGCAAAAGUCACCUGCAGUUGCCGGAGAAUUUGAAAAAUUUGUGCUGGGGUAGUUGAGGAGCUUUCUCGGCCUUGUAGAGAGAAAACUGCAGACUGCAAGUGGUGGCUACACUGUCUUGCUGUGACUGCCCUUCUUCUGGAGAACAUAAAUUCUCUUGGUCCUAUUAUUUUGUCGUUAGUUUCCCUCCCUACCACUUGUGAUGUGUAGUAUGUAUUCUUUUAGGUGUAGUGUGUUGUGUAUGUGUAGUUGGAGUUCAGUUGGGUGACUGUAAAAUUGAGGAAAAAAUGUUGCUGUGGUGAAUUAGUGGUCCUAACUAGUGUUCUUCACUUUUGUAUGUGGGAAGAUACUGUAAUCUGAUUCACCAAUAUUAAUGAGACUUCAGUAUUUGUCCUUUGGUUGUUGGUGUUAAUUUUGGUGUUUAUUGUGCUGUUGAGUUUGGUGUUCAUUUGGGUGGCUGUGAAUGUGAACUUAUUAUUGUAGGAACAAUUAGUUUCCAAUUUUCAAUUAAAAUCAACCCAGGCAAAUUGGUGAUCUAAAUAUGUUGGUGUUGAUUUGAAUAUGCUGGUGGUGGUGAACUGAAUUGGCAAUACAACUGAAAUAAACACCUAAACAACUAAAAUGCUGUUGGUGCUGCUGGUGAGCUGAAAUGCUGCUGGUUUACUAAAAAAGCUGCUGGUAUACUAAAAUUUAUAUGUUUCUGGUGAGCUAAAAAUGCUGCAACUGUACUAAAAUAAUAACCAAAAGAUGCCUCAGACAUUAAGAAGGCAGAGUAACUACAAAAGUUAGUGGUCAUUUUUGUUCAGCCACAUAAUCAUAAUCAAAAUCAAAAGAUGCGGUCAUUCUAGUUUAAUUACAAAACCAAGUGCACAGGUUACAAAAAAAUGCCAAGUGCAUCGGUUACAAAAAAUGCCAACUGCACGGGUUACAAAAAAAAUGCCAACUUUACCUCUUGAUGGAUCAUUGCAAACUUCUUAUUACUUCCAUGUUAUCUUGUGUCUCACACACUUGUGAAAAUGCUAUGGUCAUCACUUGAGCCUCUUGCACUGGUAAGUUGCUUGACACAUUGUCAUUGGACAAACUACAUUUGUUCAAACAGGUCGAGUUCUGAGUCACCUGCACGUGUUGCAAUAUACUUACAUUAAAAUUGUGACAUAUGAAUAAUAGAAUUAGUGGUUAAUUAAUUAUGGCCUUCACAACAUACCUUAUUACGACUCCAACAAACUUUUCAUACGAAGUUUCUUUGGAGCGCCUUUACGUUUUGCACAUUUCGGAUCGAAAAUGUUGAAGCUUUCUACAUUCUCUCCUCCAAGUCCAUGUGCGGCCAAAUGAUUAUGUUUCGAUUUUAACAAUUCAUUCGUCUACAAUUCAACCCACUCCAUUAACUGCUUCGAACGGUCUUCAUUAAUUGCAACCAAGUCAGCUAUCUUAGUUAGAGCAGCACACAACUGCUCAUAUCUCAACUGCUCAUGAGUACUCACCAAACCAUCAUACGUUGUUACCACCCGCGUGUAAGGUCUACUCAUGUCUCUCCUCCUUCUUCGUAAAAUGUACUUUUCCGGAAGUACUGACACCUCAUUCCGAAUUAAAACUGAGACCGCGUGUUUGCAAACAAUGCCUCGAAACUCAAACAAAUGAUAGUUACACACAAUUUCGCAAUUGUCUUUACAAAAAGAAACUGUAAAUAUUUUUGUCUUCCUCCCUUCCUCAAGGAUGAUAUCUUCACGAACCUCGUACUUCGCUAUCCCCACAUAACUCCUUCACGGAUAGUACUUCACAAUAAACCUUUUCGGUGAAUUCUUUUUGAAACUCCUUGAAUUUCGAGAUUGUAUAAAUUUCUUGAAAUUGCUUUUCCAUCUCAUACUUAGUAGCACAAGGAAUCAUUUGCAAGAAUGAUCUAAAAUCAGCUUGAAAUUCUUUUUCAACUUUACUUCUCAGAGCCCGUUCGUAUUGCUCCACAAAUAGCUUUAAAGAUGUCUUUGAGCGCACAUAGCCAUCGGAGAAUGCGUUCAUACUCUCACUUCGUUGGGUGGUUGACAUACCCGCCCAGAAUGUAGUUCUCAAAUAGCAUGGUACCCAACGACUUUGGUUCUCAUAAAGUCCGUUCAACCAAUCAUUAUCUUGCAAAUGAAAAUGUACAAGCAUGUUCGACCAACCUUCUUCAAACUCCUCAAAACUAAUGUAUCGUACACUAAAUCGUGAAUGACAUACAGUAUUGCACCCUUUUCGGGAUGACCGUCGAACUUUUCUGGCAAUUUCUUUAGAAUAUGCCAUAAACACCAUCUAUGCUUAGUAUUGGGGAAUACAAUUGCAAUUGCAUUUUGCACAGCACGAUCUUGAUUUGUAAUUAUACCACCAGGAACUUGACCCCACAUGCACUCAAGCCAUGUCUUAAAUAACCAAACAAAUGUAUUUGCAUCUUCAUUCGAAACUAAUCCACAACCAAAUAAAGUUGAUUGCCCGUGGUGAUUCAUCCCUACGAAAGGAGCGAAUGGCAUAUCGUACUUGUUAGUCAAAUAAGUGGUGUCAAAAGUAACUACAUCAUCGAAUUCUUUAUAUGCUUGCCUGCAUCUAUUAUCCGCCCAAAACACAUUCCGUAACCUAGACUCCUCAUCCAAGUCUAUACUAAAAUAAAAACCAUGACUGCAUGCUUGCAUUUUCGAAAAGUAACUCUGUAAUGCAGCAGCAUCUCCUUCACCAAGUCUUAAAUGCCAUACUUUAUCAAUGAAAUUCCUACAGUCUUUUUCAACACAAGUCAUGUUCUGGAAUCCACCCGCCUCCACUACAGUUGAGUUAUAGCUUUUAUGCAAUGGGAUCCCUGCUAUGUCAUUGACCUCAAGCCGUUUUUUAACGUGUGCACUAAGUUCUCGAAUGCAUCGAUAUAACCUAGAUUUAGAUGGGCUUAUCUUAUGGUUAUGUUCUAACUGCACAACGUUUAUUUGCCAUAUUCCACGAGCAUCAGAACACGCUGUCAACCUAGCUCUGCACCCUAUUUCAAUCGUCGGUGGAGGAUUCAAAGAAGUACUUCUAUUAGUCUUCCGUCGACCUUCUCAACUACAAGUAAAGCUCACGUAUCGAACAACCCCAUCAUCACCCUUCUUAGAGUUUCUUUUUCUAACAGGGAACCCUAUUUCGUAAGCAUGCUUCUUCUAGAAUUCAAAUAACUCCUUCUCACUGUCAAAUUUCAUACCAACCUUCGAAACGAAAAUCUCAGUUUCUACUCCCAACCUAUCAUCAGGGAAACAAUCAUCACUAACGCACUCGGAUGAGUAAACCUCCAUUCCUAUAUUUGAGCAAUUAAAUAUCUCAUAUUCAAAUAUUUAAUUAACUAAAAUUUCAUACAGAUUGAAAAAUAUUGCAUUCCAAAUAACUAAUGUACUAAGUUACCACUUUUCACAUUGCAGUCUACCAUGUUAUCGGACGGAUGCUCAAUUUGUUGGUUACUUUCGGUCUGCUUAUCUGUAGCGGAGGAAGGAGAUGAAGCAAACGAAUAAAAAGGAAGAAGAACUAUUUCACAAGCUUGUUGAAAUAUAUCAAAACUUUCACAAAAAGGAAGCAAAGUUAUUUCACCAUUGCUGCAGUACUCACCGUGGAGUUCCUCGCCUCUGGCUCCCUCACCCUCGACUUCAUCGCCAUCCAUACUGGGUUGAAUCUCGUUGCUAGGCUUCCCUCUUCUACAGUUGUUUGUCGAUGUGAAUGAGGAAAAUGUGAAACUUGAAUAGGGAAAAUGUGAAGAGAACGAUUGGUAUGGCUUCCCUCCUUCUACAAUCGAUUAAUGUCGAUCUCCCUAAUGUUCAGCUUGAAGGAGGGAAAUUGGAAGGGAGUGAACUGUGAAUAUUACGAGGGUUUCCAUUUUCGGUUCAAUUUUUGCUGUUCUUUUUCCUUUUUCUUUUUUUUUUUUUUUGGAACAAAAAUUUCCUACACUUAACCAAAAAAAGGGGGAGGAGGAGAUUAUGGCAAAAUCUCCUCAAAAUCUCGCCAUUAGGUACAGCAUUAGGUAAAUGCUAAUGUACCACCAGCAUAGUUCAAAAUUUCUAAGUACAAUUGGGAGGUGAUUGGUUCUUUGAUUUUAUCCACUUUUUGUAUAACUUCUUCAUGUUGUCAGUUCAAGGCCAUGUAGGGUAUUUAAAUUCUGUAAAGAGACAAAAAAAAGUCCAAAAAUGACAAUCUUGUAAAGACUUUCAAAAUUGACAUUUUUGAAAAUGCAAAGCCAAAAAUUAACAUGUAAUGCAAUUUUCUCUUUUAAUUAUUAGGGUUAUAUAUGUUGCUGUAUAAGAAAUUGCAUAACAAGCUGCGAUGGGAUUCCAUCUAGAAAACAUAAAAUAACUAUUUUUUUGCAAUACACAUUUGAUUCUCGAUGUAUUUAGUAUCAUCAAGUCAUUCUAGAGUGAUUAGUGAGGAUACUUCCUGCAAAUGAAGAGCACACAACAAAGCAAAACCAAUAUUUGCUUUUUCUAUCAUAGAUUUUAAACUGCUAUUUUUUUGAAUUAGUCAAAUCGUUAUAGAAGGGGAAAAAAGUAAUGGACGAAAAACAAACAGUCAAGAAGAAGAAUUUGCAGCAAAAUAAAUUUUACGAUACGGUUAGAAAAAAUAUAAUCAUGUAACCAUUCUCUAAAACAAUGUCAAAAUGAUUAAAGGAUUUUUAUUAUUAUUUUAUUUUAUUUUUUUGAUAAUUAAAUUGAUAACUCUAAAGAUAUACAUACGAAGAGCAGAUUUCACAUGAUUGAGACGGCCAUAAAAUAAUACAGACUGAUAACUAUAGAAUUUCUAGCACUCCCCAUAUCAUGCUAGCAAUAAUUACAAAAUCCAUAUCCAAAUAUAAUUAAUUGACUUAUCUUAACAUAUUCGAGCAUUUUUAACGCAUUCAGUGGAUUGCUUUAUUUAAGUUGAAAAACUUCCACAGUAUGUGACAUUGAUACAUAAUAAAUAGGCCCUCAAGUCAAAAUGUGCUCUCUAGUGGGUUUUGUCACAACUCAUUAAUAAAACUCGUAUCUAAAUCUACAUAAUAAUUUUAAAUCCUACUGAGUUCACUCCGUGCAACAAAGAUUUUUAAUCUAGAUGAAGCUCUUAACAAUAACUGUUUUUUAUUUGUCUCAUCAGCUAGAUAGAGUCUAUGUUAGAUUACGUUGGUUUAUUGUACAUUUCGCUUAUUAGGUGAAGCUCGAUGAUAAAAAGUGAAAUUAAGAUAAAGAAGCAAAAAAAUGCAAAAAAUGGUGAAAUUCAAAGUUUAAGAACUCAAUUGCAACUUUGAAUAAUUUAUUCGAACCACGAAACGAUAAAUGAAUAUUGCUAGAUGUCAAUUGGAUGAAAUUAAAACUUAAAGAGGACUGAAAUAUAAUCAAGUAUUUUUAAAAAUCAAUUUUCAACCACACAACUUAUGUUUCACAUCAUUAGUAGGAGAUUGAGAUCCAUUUUCGCAAUAGUAAACGUUCAAAUUAGGAACAUAAGAUCAAAGUUUUCCUUUAUCUUAAAUUGUAUCCCAAAUACAAGAUUAAUUCCCAACAAAAGAUAUAUUUUGAGUAAAAUUUAGUGUUGAUGUAAUGUUAUUUCUAAUAAAGUUGUAGCCACUUGAGCUGUCUUUCCAAUGCAUUUUAAAUCGCCUCAAUAGGAAAGUUACGACAAAAAUAAUGAUAGUUGCAUAUUGACAAAAAUAGGCGAGCACAAAGGAAACUUUCCUUAAUAGAUGAAACUAUUCUUGGAAACAAUUUUUAAAGAAUUUUCAGCCAAAUUUCGAGGCCUAUAAAUACAUAAGAGCAUAAUACAUUAAGGGGAACCUCUCAUACAUUAUCUGCAUCCAUUAUUACAAGAAAAGAGAAGUCAAUUCAUAGAUAUUUUGAGAGAAGUAAGAAGUAAUUGCAAGAUUUCAAUUCUUUGAAGAUUCAACUUUGGUCAUUGGACGAAGAAGAUAAGAAACAAUUGAAGAUUUAUCAAGAAACUAUUGGAGAAAUUCAAGAUUUCAAAAUUCAUCUUAUUCCUUCUAUUAAUCCAUAGUCAGGAUUAUAUUCUUUCAAUUAAUUAUGAUUUUGUAAUGCUAAGUUUGGGUUUUAAUUACUAAGACAUUGAUGAACCCAUGUUAUGAUGAUUUAAUAUAAAUGCGAUAAUUUGACAUCCAAUAUGUAUUUAUUUUUGGAUGAUUGUUAUAGGAUUUAAUGACUUCUCAAUUACUUGAUUACUAAUUGGAUUGAUUGUGAAUUUUAUUGAUUUCGAAAGAAACAAUACAAUAGAAAGCACUUUAUAAUAACCAUUGUAAAGUAUGAUUUGUGAUUGAGAUAUACCAGGGUUUUAAUAAUUGUUUUCAUGUUCACACAUUUUUCAUAGAGAUAUAGUAAGGUUACAUGAGAUAUUAUAUUUAAUUGACGUCGAGAUAUACCUUUAAUUAACUUAGAAACAUUAAUCAAAACAAAUUUACACACAUUAUCAUGUUAUUUAAUUACAUUGAAAUAAAUUAAUGAAGGGCAUAACAUCGCAUCAAAAUUUACAAAACCAUCAUAAUUUGCUCACUAAAAUUCUUAGUUCAAUUAGAUUAAGUAGUAUAAAUUCUUCAAAUACAAUUGGCCAUUUGACUAGAGCUAGAACUGAUUGAUCCUUGAUUAAGUACAUAGUCCUCAUAGGAACGAUAUCCUACUUAUCACUUUAGUACUUGUUCGUGAUACCGUACAGUUGCAGAAAAUCAAACGAUCAAGUUUUUGGCGUCAUUAUGGGGGACUAUUAUAAUUAAUUAGUUUUGGUUAAUAUUAACUUUAAUUUGAAAUUUUAUUUUAUUUUUUGCUUUAUUUGUUUCAAUUUCAUAUUAGUAAAGUAUAACAGAGCUUUAUCUUUUUAUUUUUUGGAAUUUGCAUGGAAUGUUAGAGGCAUAGUGAUCGUGCUCAAUUUGAUCUAGAAAUUGAACGAACAUUCAUGUUCGGAAGAAAAGAACAAAUAGAAGCCCAACAAAAAAUGGCAAGCAGAACUAGGGGCAAAAAAUAUACUAAAUCAAGUAGUUGUUGAAUUGAUUACAAAUAUAGCACAUCAAAUUGUAGCUACGGGUAAUAAGAAUGAGACAAUAAUGAGAGAAUACAUUGUUCCACGGAUCAUAGAAAGCAGAUCAAACAUAACAUAUCCAGCAUUCAAGCAAGCAAAUUUUCACUUAAGGACGGAUGUAAUAAACAUGCUCCAAAUUCUGUUGUUGUUCUUUGGGAGACCAAUUGAUAAUCCAAAAUGUUCAUAUCUCGAAAUUUUUGGAUAUGUGUGCAAUAAUUGAAUAUCCAAGGGUUUCCAAUGACUCAAUUCGAUUGAGGCCCUUUCCUUACACUCUGAGAGAUUUUGCUAGGUUGGACAUGUUCCCACUUCACAGCAUCACGACUUGAGACAAUUUGAGCUAGGAGUUCUUAAAUAAAUAUUUUUCACAAAAUGGACUACCAAGUCGAGAGAUGAUAUGACUACAUUCUCACAACUUACUUCAGAGUGCUAUUAUGAGGUAUGAAAAAGGAAAAAAAAAAAAAAAAAGAUUUCCUUCGACAAUGCCCAUGAAAUCAGUUGCAAAAGUGGCUACAAGUCUAGUCUUCUACAAUAGCAUGAGUCUGACUAGUAGGGAAAUGUUGAUCUUGCAUGUGAUGGGUCAAUUACAAGAAGAAAAAUAGAUCAGGUGUAUCAAAUCAUGGAAGAUCUAGCAUAUACAAAUGCACUAUGGACAAAAGAAAGAUCGAGUGGAAAAAAAGCUAUAACGAUGCAUGAGGAUAACACACUAACUGCUAUUUAAGCAUAGUUGCAGCACUAGCUAAGAAUGUAGACAAUUGGGAACCAAUCAAACAAUAAAUGCAGUUCAAACAGUUAGGCCGAGAUGCAAAUUGCAGGGGUAAUAGUGAAAGUGUGGAUUGUAAUAUAGGGAUUCCAUUUGUACAAUCAGUUAAGGAUGUGAAUUACAUAUAAAAUUUUCAGAGAUAGCACCAUAAUCCCCAUUCCAAUACAUACAAUCUAAGUUGGAGAAAUUUCCCAAACUUCUCUUGGAGCAACUAUCAAUCUUCUCAAGGCACAACAUACAAAAUUCAUCACCAGGUUUCCAACAACCAUAAUAAAAAACCUCAUGAGAAGAAGCGUUGAGUAAAAUGGCAACGUCAUCAACCAACAUUUUCAAAAUGGCUAAAGUUUCAACUAAAUUCAUACAACAAAUUGAGAAAAAUUUCCAAUUUCAAGUGGUUGUUAUAGAGAAUUUGGGCAAUCAAAUGGGACAAAUAGCUAAGACACUUUUAGAGAGACUACCAGGACUCUAGUCUAGUGACAUAAGACAAAUCCUAAGAAGAAGCAAUGAUAGUAAGAUAUGUGGAGAAUGAGAUAAUCGAGAAAUCACCUAUGAAAGCACUAACUCUAGUUCGGGCAAUUAUUAUGUGGAGUGGAAUUUAACUUCCAAAAAUUAUAGCUAAGAGACAUGUAGUAUUAAAUGAAAGUGUACCUUCUGUUAAGAUUUAGGGUCCAUCUUAAUAAGGUCAAUCUUGUUAAGACGAGAGGCCCAAGAUCUUUAUAAAUUGGUCAUUAUUUCGAUACUUUAUCGAUGUGGAAUUUAUUUCUCUUAACAUGCCACUGCAAGAUGGUGGGUCGUUUGAGCAAACCAAUUUUGAAAUCAGUACGUUCAUUUUCUGUGUCUUAAUCGGAGCGAAUAGCUCGUUGGAGCUUAAUGGACUCUAAUACCAUGUUAAGAUUUGGGGUCCAUCUUAAUAAGGUCAACCUUAUUAAGAGAAGUAGCCCAAUAUCUAUUUAAGUUGGUUAAUAUUUCGAUAUUUAACCGAUGUGAGAUUUAUUUUCUUAACAUGCUCCUGCAAGAUGGUGGCUCUUUUUGAAUAAACCAAUCUUGAAAUCCGUGUGCUCAUUUUUGAGACUUAAUCAGAUCGAAUAGCUCGUUGGAACUUACUGGGCUCUGAUACUAUGUUAAGAUUUGGGGUCCAUCUUAAUAAGGUCAAUCUUGUUAAGAGCAGAGGCCCAAUAUCUUUAUAAAUUGGUCAUUAUUUCGAUAUUUUAUCGAUGUGAGAUUUAUUUCCUCAACACCUUCUACAGAUGAGGAGCAAAUGGAUAAAUUUGAACAACCAGCAAAAUAGUUACAAAUCAGAAGUCAAAUAAUCCACAGGUUAGGCAACAAUUUUUGUCAAUACUUAUAUGCUUCCUAUCCCAUUUCCUUGAAGUUUGCAAAAAAAAAAAAAAGCUCCAAGAAAAAUAUGAGAAGUUUUUGGACGUGCUAAGGAAACUCUACAUCAACAUACAGUAAAAGAAAUUAGGACUUGGAGAAGUAAAGGAAACAAUGGUGUUACUUCAAUUGGCUGAUAGAAGCAUCAAAUAUCCAAUAGGCAAGGUUGAAAAUGUACUAAUUAAAGCUGGAAAUUUGAUGUGCUUGAUGGAUUUCAUUGUUCUUGACAUAGAUGAAGGUUGAAAUAUUCCAAUAAUCUCGAGUCAAACUUGAUUGACAUGAAGAAAGAUGAGUUGAACUUGAGGGUGAAGGAUGAAUAAGUAGUCUUUAAAUUGCACAAUCCAUCCAAAAAACCAUCAGAACCUUGAGGUGUGCAACUGUAUUGAUGAAAACGAUCUACGAAUUUUUGCAGAAGAGAAAACCUAAAGUUGGCAGAAUUCCCAGUAAAGAUGAGAAUACAGAGUUCGAAAUUGAAGAACAAAAUGAGGAUGUAAGACUGAAAUUACUAGAAGUAGAAGGGAUGAAAAAUCUCUAUUAACCACCAUAUGUAAUCAUGUUUCAUAGUCUAGUUAAAGACAUUAAAUUAAGCCCUUAUUGGAAGGCAGCCCAAUUUUUUAUUCUUUUAUUUGUUAUUAUUUUUAUAUUUGCAUUGCAUGUAUUGUAUUAGGUUGCAUUAGUUUUAAGCAUGUUUUUAGUUAAAUAAAAAAGGGUUAUCAUAUCUACAUCAAGCAUAAAGAAAAUAAUUUAUUUGAGUAAAAAAAGUAGAAAAAGCAUGUGAUACGUUUUUCAAGGCCGUGUGGCAUAAAAAAUUGGCCAUCAUAUACACCACAUUCUAUCUUUUAAACUACUCAUAACUCUUUUAUUUGCUUUUUUCAUCUUUCAAUGGUAUGGAGAUAUCAAAUGAGAUGAAGCUUAAUAAACUAAAAAGGAAUGAAUUGAUUUAAUAAACUGCCUCAAAUAUUAGACAAGAAUUUGGGGAGUAACUUUUUCCUUUCUUUCAUGCCCCUUUAUGUCCUUAUUAUAUUUUUAGACGUUGAGGACAAUUUCUACUUUAAGUUUGGAGGUGGAAAAAAUAUUGUGUUUUUAGGUUUAUCCUUUAUGUAUGAUUGUGUGCUUAUUACUUUAUUAUAUAUAAGAAAACCAAAAAACCAAAAAAUAAAAUAAAAAAUAUUCUUUUCUUUAUUAUUAUUUUUUUUUGCUUGCUUGUGUGGAUUAGGUAGUCUGGCCAACAAUGAUGAAUAUACUUGAACUUAUGUGUUGAUUUAUGAAUUGUGAUUAAGGUAUGUGCUUAGAUUAAUGGUUGCUUGGUCAUGUAAGACUUGAUAUUAUCCGGGUGCAUGAAUUAAGCUUGGCAUUACGAAGUAAUGAGUUGAUUCAUAUGCUUGAUAGGUUGAAAUAGUAAAACUUAGAUGCCAAGCUCAAAAAUUACUAAAUUAUACAUCAUUUGACCAAAUCCAUCAUAGUUUGCUGGUGAUUUAACUGUUAUAGAAAGAUAUCAAUAUGAAUGGAGAUUCCUUUUGUAAGUUCUUGUAUGGAUUUUUUAAGAUCAAUGGGAUGAAAUUAGGUGAAAAUAUUUAGUAAGAGGUCGAUAUUUUUUAAUGAGUGUUUAAUGAAGGGCAUUACACUAAUCAUGAGAAAAGAGUGGGAAAAAAGUCAUCUUAUUGUAAAAUGUUUUUUCAUAACUUUUACGACUUGAGUAAUUUAAACCUACAAGGAUAUCUAAAACCGAAUACCUUAGAGUCAUCUGACUUGAAAGUCAUCGGUCAAAAGUUCAAUAUAAGGGUCAUUUAGAAAACUUAAUAGAGAGACGGUCGCACAUAUAAAAAGCAAAUUUGAAAAAGUGUGCAUGAAAUAGAAGAUCCACAACAUGCUUUGAUUAAGUCUCAAACACGUGUUUAUAAGAAUUAGACUUUUGACAAGGAAUUAUUAGCCAAGUUAAGUUUUAGAUGUUGAAGCAAUAAAAAAUUUAAAGAAUCCUUAUAUCUUAAAGUGUUGACUUAUAAUAAGUGUAUUUUAUACAUUUAUUCGAGUCUUUAAAUAUCAAUAUUUUUUAAAUUUUUUGAAUAAUUAUGGCUUAAAUCAUUAUAUAUUUUGUUUAUUAGGUGAAACUCGAAGAAUAGAAUAAGAAUUGAAAGAAAGAAGCAGAAGUUGGCGAAAAAAGACAAAAAGCAAAUUAUGGGGCCUAAAUUGCAAAUAUUUCAAUAGUUGAUUCAGACCACGAUAUAAAUAUUGGAAAUGUUAUGAUUCAAUUGAAUGCAAGUUGCUCUUGGAGGACCAAAAUAGUUGGAAUGGAAAGUGAAGGAUAUAAAAAUUGAAGAGAAAAUGAAACGAAGGAUCAAAUCCCAAAGUUUGAAAGACAUUAUACCUAGGCGACCACCCAGUCAUAAAAGCUGGGAACCUGCUCAGCGUGAAGUUUCAAAAAGUAGCUCAAAAUAUUGCCUAGGUGGUCACCUAGGACAAAUUGGAGACUUGUGGCCUGCUUCCUUUUUCUCCCAAAAUUUUAUAUAGAAACCAAUUUCUUGCACAAUUUUUGACCUAAUUUCAUCUCUAUAAAUUCUAACCAUGGGCAACCAAUAACACUAAACUCUCAUACUUCAAUAUACAUCAGUUAUUGUCAUCAAAGGGGUUUGAAAUUCAUAGCUUUUGUGAGAGAAAUAAAGGGGAACUUUGAAGAAUUCAAUCAAACGAAGACUUAAUCUUAGUUUUUGGACGAAGAAGAGAAUGUGGCAAGUUGAGCAACAUAAAGAAACCACUGAAGAGAUUCAAGAUUUCAAGAUUCAUCCUCAACUUCUCAAUUUAUAAAUAAUUCGAGUUAUGUCUUUCCACUUAAACAUGUUUUCUUAUAAUGUUGCAAUGCUAGGUUAAGUUUUUAUUACUAAGAUGUAGAUGAACACUUAUUAUGAAAAUUUAAAAAUAAAUUAAAUAUUUUGUUGUCCAAUAUGUGUAAUAUCUUGGAUAUUUGUUAUUAUGUUUGAUGCUUUGCAAUUAAUUGGCAACUAAUUGGAAUGAUUUGUGAAUUUUAUUGAUUUUGAGAGAAAUGAUAAAAUAAAUAGCACUUAUAACGACCAUUGUAAAGUUCAAUAGGGAAUAGAAAUACACCAUAAGGCAUUUUCUAUAGAUGUUCUAGCAUUUUUAAUGCAUGCUUUCAUGUUCAAAUCUUUCAUAGAGAUAUAAGAAGGUCACACGAGAGAAUAUAUUUAGAGUAUAUAUUUAAUUGACAUCAAGAUAUGCUUUUAAUUAAAUUAGGGACAUUGAUCAACAAGAAUGUGUACAUAUUAUCAUGAUAUUGAUUUGCAUUAAAAUGAAUUAAUAAGGGGAUUCAAAAUCUUAAUAACCAUCUAUAUAGUUUUAUAAAAAUCAUCAUAAAUUUGCUCAAUAGAAUAGUUAGUUAAUUAGUUAAUUCAGUAUAAACUCUUCAACAAAAAUUAGCCAUUCAAUUAAGGUUGAAAUUAAUUGAUCCUUCAUUAAGUACAUAAUUCUUGGAGGAACUAUCUUACUUAUCAAUUUAUUACUUGUUCACGAUCCCAUAAACUUGCGAGAAAUUAAACAAUCAAUUAUUUUUUGCUGUUGUUAGGAGACUAUUGUAGUUAAUUAGUUUUAAUUUAUUUUAGCUUUAAUCUGAAUUUUUAUUAUUUUAUUAGUUUAAUCUUAUUGAAAGUACUAAAACCCAAUUAAUUGAAUAAUUUGUCACAAAUAUAUGUUUCUGUUAGAAUACACCAGUCAGUCAAAAGUUCAUACAGAUAGUUUUAUGCAUAGUUCAGACUGAGAUAGCUAAACAGAUUUGUGUUGUACAAGAUAUAACCUAUUGUGAAAUUAAAUAGUAAUGAACACCAAAUAUAACGUGGUAAGCACUUAAGGAAAAUAUCCAUGGCCCCAUGCUUCGAGUAAAAUAAUACAUUAUCAAAAAUUCAAUAGAUUCGGCUUAGUAAUUUUUGUGAAAUUAACUAAAAAAAUCAAAAGUAAAUAAAUGACAACUCCUUCAUUUUCUUAUUUCUUUAGAUUUGCUGGAGAAGUGGAAUCAAACCCUCCGAUCGUUAUUUUAUAGUCACUUCACUAUUUUAUUCAGCCACAACCACCACUUGGUUCAAGAUUCAACAAUCUUUUUACUCACGUCAAGUAGCUUGUUCUUUGAGUAAGAUUAUAUAAUUCACUCACAAGUGUGUUCUCUUCAAUUAUGGUUGAAGAACAUGGGUUUUACUUUGAGAUACUUCACUGGAACAUUAGGCGAUCAGAUAUCAUUGGAAUGGUCUGACUUCAAAACUUGAUGCUAUAGGUUCAUCGAACAUAGAUAGAUUAUUCUUAAAGCAGUAGUUUGUCCCUUAAUCAUUUUCCCUACUUAUGUAGAGACUCCUCCAAGGCACGAACAUAUCUUACCUAUAAUAUGAAAUUUAUAUACGGUAAUAAUCAAGUAGCGUAUGGUUGAUAUAGUUACUAAUUAAACUAAGGAAAGUUUUUAUUAGUUAAAAUAAUUUUUUUUCUUUUAAUCAUUUGACCAAUCAAACCUGUCCAAGAUAGUAAGUAUACAUUUCUAUAUAUGUUGUUGUAUGGAAAAUUAAAGAUUGCAUCUCAUGGAAACCUUAAAAUACAUAGCUAAUAAACUUGUUUAUCUGUAACACCCUACCAGUCGUGACUGAUUGGCGUUGACUAGCUAACCUUUUUGAACUUCUUUUGGAUGAAAUAUAAAAUAAUAAAUAUUAAGUAGAUAUAAAAUAAUUUGGAUUUUUAAUGCUAUUUUUGUAUUGUGUGUAGAGUGCUUUCAAAGUAGAUUACAUGAACUACACCCCCUCAGAUAGUUCCUUUAAGCAACAUACCACCCCCUUACUUAUACAACUGACCCUGACUUUAUGAAAAUGCCAAUAUAUCAUAUAGUUUGCAAUUUGAGAAAGAACUAAGCAGAUAUGCAGUAUUAAUAUGAAGUGCAGCAUUAAUAUGAAAUAAUACACCUGCAAACUGGAGGGUUAUCUUGUGUACUACAAAAGUGUUCCCCCCUUUUUUGAAAUUAAGAAAGCCCACUUUAAAGGUGGGAGAGGAAACAUACCAUCCAAUGAGUGCAUGUGUAAUGCCGCACUCUUAUUUCUCGUGAUUAUCAUGUCUAUUUAAAUUAAUUGCAUUAAAAUUAUUUUUAUUUUGUCUUGACUAAUUAUGUUGUUGUUGUGGAAUAUUGAUGUAGGAUUAAUUGAAGAAGAAAAGCAAGAAGCAGAGAAAAAGCAAGAAGGGAGAAUCUGGAGAGAGUGGGAAGAGAGAUGACAGAGGGGUGGAAGGCAACAAUUUAUUCAUUCAUCAUCUGACUUUCAAUCCUCAUUACAAUAACAUAAAUAACAAAAUAAUAACUUGGGCUUGGGCCAAACUCAUAUACAAGCCCAAUGAAACAUAAGCCCAAAAUAAAUAACUAAAAUACAUAAGCCCAAAACAAAUAACUAAAAGAUAAAAUGGGGAUGAUGUCCGCAUCAACUCUAACGGGUGGGAGAAAAACUCGACCCCGUCGAGGAGGUAGAUCACAAAAGGCUGCUGUCAAUCUCCUAGUCACAAACUGAUCGGUUGAGCAAACUUCUUUCGAUGUCUAUAGACACGCAAGGGUGGUGGUCCGGGUAGAGGAAUAUCUUGUUGACUCCUAUAAUCCUCCAACAAGUCAGAAUCAAGCUGUUGAAGUGUCUCUUUGGGGAUCCAAGUACAAUCAGAAUCAGGACAGCCCUCCCAACGAACAAGGAAGCGCUAAAUGUCUCCAUCCUUGGUUAAUAUAGUCUGUGCAUCUAGAAUAGCAUCAAUUUUAUCUUUAUGUGCUGCAGCAGGUGGAAUUGGGGCAGGGAUAACAUGUUCAGGAUGAGGGUCCAGAGAUGGAGGUGUGAAAGGAUUAUCAGCGGGGUAAAAUUGACCUUUGUAAGCAACUAAGUCUUCAACAUUAAAGUUAGGGUGGUAGCCAAAAUGUGAUGGUAAGCCAAUGACAUAAGCAUUUGGACCAACACGCUUUAAAAUUUUAAAAGAACCAACACUACGAGCUUGCAAUUUAGAAGCAGGCCCAGAUGGACGGUGUUCCAGUCUAAUUCGAAUCAUAACAUAAUCCCCAACAUUAAAUUCAACAUUGCAUUUGUGCAAAUCAGCUCGAACUUUGUAUAAUGCAUUACUCGCUUCUAGCUGUUUAUUGAUCUCAAUAUGCAAGUCACGCAGAUGUUGUGCAAAAGACUCAGCUGACACAGACACACUAGCAUGUGGAGAUAUAAGAAUAAGGUCUAAUGGCUUCCUAGACUUAAAACCAUGAACAACCUCAAAGGGACUCAUACCUAUAGACCGAUUCACUGAACUGUUAUAUGCAAGUUGGGCAGUAGGAAGAAUCAAGUCCCAAUUCCUAAGAUUUUCCUGGACUAGACAUCUUAAUAGAUUACCAAGACUGCGGUUAACAACCUCAGUUUGACCGUCCAUUUGUGGGUGAUAUGCAGUAGAGAAUUUCAGUUUAGUGCCAACCAUACUCCAUAGGAUUCGCUAAAAAUGGCUAGUGAAACGAACAUCCCUAUCUGAGACAAUGGUCUUAGGGAGGCCAUAUAGUUUGACGAUCUCAUGGAAGUAUAACUUAGCAACCUUAGAUGCAUCGGAAGUCUUGCUACAAGGAAUAAAAUGUGCCAUUUUUGAGAAGCGAUCUACGACAACAAAAAUGAAGUCGUGUUUCUUUGGAGUACGUGGCAACCCUAGCACGAAAUUCAUACUAACGUCUUGCCAAGGACAACUAGGGAUGGGGAGACGAGUGUAGAGGCCUGUGUUUUACCUUUUGUGCUUAGAUCGUUGACAGGUGUUACAUGUGCCGACAAUCUUGGCCACGUCGGUCUUUAAACUGGGCCAAUAGAAUUGACGUUCAAUUUCCUCUAUGGUCUUAUCACUUCCAAAAUGUCCAGCCAACCCACCAGCAUGACUUUCCCACACUAUAAAGUCUCGCACUGAAGUCUUUGGGAUGCACAACUUAUUGGAUCUAAAAAGAUAACCCUCCUCCAAACGAAAACCAUCAGUGGUGUCCAACUCCCCAUUUCGCAAAGCUAGAAAAAUAUCCCUAAAAUCGGGACAUGACUCAUACUCUUCCUUAAGUUUUUCAAACCCUAGAACCUUAACACUCAUGACGGACAACAAGGAGAUGCGACGGCUUAAAGCAUUAGCAGCUCGAUUUUCAACACCCUUCUUAUACUUUAAGACAAAAGAAUAGGCUUACAAAUAUUCGAUCCAACGGCCAUGCCGAAAAUUCAAUCGUCUCUGGGAAUUAAGGAAACGAAGGGCCUCAUGGUCAAAAAAGAGGACAAAUUUGUGGGGUAAUAAGUAAUGUCGCCAAUAGCGUAAGGCUUGUACAACUGCAUACAACUCCUUAUCAUAAGUCGAGUACCGUUGCUUGGCAUCAUUUAAUUUCUCACUAAAAUAAGCAAUAGAAUGGCGUUCUUGACUCAAGACUCCACCUAUUCCUACCCCUGACGCAUCACAUUCGACCUCAAAAACUUUGAAAAAAUUUGGGAGUCGCAUGACAGGGGCCUCUGUCAUUCGCCUUUUGAUUAACUGAAAGGUCUUAGCCGCUUCCUGCGUCCAAUGAAAUUCUCCUCUCUUCAUACACUCUGUGAUAGGAGCCAUGAUCAUACUAAAUCCAUUGAUGAAACGACGAUAAAAGGUAGCUAAACCAUGAAAACUCCUAACAUCAUGUACAUUCUUGGGAUCUGGCCACCCAACAAUUGCCCGAAUCUUUGCACGAUCAGCAGAUACUCCAGUAGCGGAAACAACAAAUUCGAGAAACCCAAUUGUAUCCGUGAAGAAAGAACAUUUCUUCACAUUGGCAUACAAGCUUGUUGCACGCAAUGUAGAGCAAACUUGCGUGAGAUAAUCUCGAUGUUAUUCCCUUAUUUUGCUAUACACGAGGAUGUCAUCAAAGUAUAUGACAUGAAUUUGCCCAUGAAAGGCUGAAGGGCCUGUGUCAUCACCCUCAUAAAAGUACUUGGAGCAUUGGUUAGUCCAAAAGGCAUUACCAACCACUCGUAUAGGCCAUCUUUCAGUUUAAAUGCAAUUUUCCACUCGUCUCCUGGGCGGAUUCGAAUCUAAUGAUACCCACUCUUCAAAUCGAUUUUGGAAAAGAUUGUGGCACCGGCCAUCAUAUCUAGCAUGUCAUCAAGUCGAGGGAUGGGAAAACGAUACUUGACAGUAAUUUUAUUGAUAGCAUGACUAUCAACGCACAUCUUCCAAGAACCAUCCUUCUUAGGUGUCAGAAGGGCGAGAACUGCACAAGGGCUUAAGCUUUCAUGGAUGAAGCCUUUGUAAAGGAGUUCACCCACUUGUCUUUGGAGCUCAGCAUGUUCAACAGGAUUCAUUCUAUAGUGAGGCAAGUUUGGGAGAGAUGAACCUGGAACCAGAUCUAUAACAUGUUGAAUAUCCCGUAAGGGAGGCAAUAGAUCAGAGAGGUCGUCAGGAAAUACAUCCUUAGACUCCUGAAGGAGUGAUUGGGAUUCAGUAGGGGUCGCUAUUGGGGAAUCGAACGGGACUUCCAUAACAAUCACAACAAAUACGAUUAAGUCUUUUACGAUUGCCCGUUCAAAUUCUGUAGGGCUAAUCACAUGUAAUCCUUGCUUCUCGACAAUUUUUUUGGCUUGGUGUAAGUCAACAGAUUUUGGUGGUAAAGGAUUAAGGUGAAUUUUCUUUCCAUUAAAUACAAAAGAACAUGAAUUUGAUCGCCCAUGGAUAGUUACAUCCAGAUUAAACAACCAAGGUCGACCAAGAAUGACAUGUCCAACAUCCAUAGGGAUGACGUCACACCAUAUAUGAUUCUUAUACUCUAGGAACUGGAUAGGCACCAGACAACGCUCUUUCACAGCUAUAGAAGAAGUGUCAACCGAAGAGACAUUAUAUAUUGGGGGUGCAGGACUGACUUCAAUCCAAGACAGGAUACUAUGGUCACAGAUACCGUGUUGAUACAUCUUCCACUGUCAACAAUAAUCUUACAAUCCUUAUUAUUGAUCUUGAUGUAAGUAUGAAAAAUGGCAUGACGACGCCAAUCAUCGACAUCCUUAGGUUGGGUAAGGGUACAACGUACAACGCUCAACCGAGAUGUGUCGGGGGCUAGAUAAGUAGGACCUAGACCUAUAGGAAGGGUAUGAAGGCAACCUAAGAAAGUAUCCUCGUUAUCACCCAAAUCGUCAGACUCUUCAAAGUUAGGCUCAUAGAUUUGAUCUUCUAAAGGCUCAUCAACGACAUCCUUUCGCUCGUCAAUAACUAAGGCUCGGCUUGAACAUCUAGAGGAGAUAUAGUUGAAGCCCUUACAAUUAAAGCAUUGCAAAUGAGAAGAGGUUCUUGAAGUUUUCGAAGCUUUACCUUUAUUGUCUAAAGUAGGGAGUGCGUUAGACGGUAGGGGUCCAAGAAGAGAUUUGGUGGGAGGAGGUGGUGCCGAUGAAAUGGAUGGACGAUUAUCACUAUGCCUUCCAUAUGGAGUCUUAGUAAUCGACUCAUAAUCUCGAACUAAGGAAUAAGUGUGAUCAAGAGUGGUGACACCUCGAAGGACAAGCUCACGCCGAAGAUCAUCUCUUAGGCCUUGUCUUAACCUACUUAAAGUCAUAGCUUCAUCCUCGACGAUGUGGCAUCGCAUUCGAAACUCAUCAAAUUGAGUAACAUAGUCAGUCAUUGGACGGUUUCCUUGUGUGAGGGUAUUCCACUGGUCCAACAAGUUGCUCCUAUAAGAGUGAGGUAAAUACUUCUCUUGAAAGUGGCGCUUCAUUUCCUCCCAACCUCCAAUGGGAAGUGCAUGACGUAUCUCAAGAAGGUCCUCAACGCUUUCCCAAAAGAGUUGGGCAGUACCACUUAAUUUCAAACUAGAAAAUUGAACUCUUCAGUCCUCUGGGACUCCAUACCAUGAAAAGAAACAAUCCAUGUCUCUAAUCCAUUAUGUAAAAACUCUAGGAUCUAAACAUCCAUCGAAAGUAGGAGAGUCUAAUUUGAUGUUUCGAAAGUAACGUUCCUCAUAGCGAGGAGGUGAGUGAGUACCAUAAUGGUCAUGGUUUCACUCAUGAUUGCGCUCCUGUUCCCCAUUCCUUCGCCCAUGAUGAACACGUUGUCAACCCCCAUGUCGAUGACGAUAAGGUAUGUUAUGAGAUGCUUCAGAGUUAUCAGCGUCGGUUGAGGGAGAGUUUUUUCUAUAUUGUUCACCCUAGCAGCUAGUUCUCUGCUCUCUUCACGAGUGGCAGUCACCUCGGUUUGGACGGUUGCUAAUUGAGCACGUAGUUGAGAUAAUUGUCGAGUAAGGGCAUCCAAUUGAGAAGGGUCCAUCAUCACAGUAUUGAAAUUGGGUGUGACAAAACGACCACUAUGCAAAUGCAUGCAAUGUAACAUUAACUGAAUGCAGUAAAUGAUGAGAUCAAUAAACAACUAGUUCAAGAAAUGGAAAAUAACAACUUCAUCAUAUAUAUAUAUUUGGAAUUAUAAAAAUUCAAAUGUGUCAAGCUGAUACUACUGAUCUAUGUAAAAUAAUAAAGCAAGGGCCAAACACUAGUUAACGACAUAAGUACAUAAAAUAAAUGGGGGUGAUAAAGGUGAAAUUAUGACAAGGAGAGUUAAUCACGUGAAUUUUAUGUAAAGGCUACAGCACAAAAGCUAAUUGAUACAAUUCAAGAUAAACAACAAUAUAAACUUAGGAUGAAUAAAAACAAUGACUUCCCUUUUGUCUUUUGAAGAAGCUGUGUCCAAUCAACUGGAAUGAAAGAGAUACCUGAAAAUGAUGUUAAAAAAAUAUAAUAAUAAUAAUAACUUUUUUUCUUUUUUUUUUUUUUUUACAAACAAAGUUUCUAAACACUAUACAAACAAACAAGGCACGACCAAACCCAAAUCGCAAAUUAGGGUAUAUAAUAAUGGAGGUCCAACACUGUGAGAUAAAUCAUGUUGGUAGCAUCUAGAUUACCUGAUUUCUGGGACAAUCAGCUUCGGUUGGAGAUGGAACGCUCGAUUGGCGACUCUUAUGGUGAACUUUGAGAAGCGGUUCAGAUUAUUGUUGGAUUUCGUGAGUACACGGCUGCAAUUUGCAACGGUGGUUUGUGGAAGAGUAAGGUUGCUGGGAGCAACUGUGUAUGGAUUGUCGGCGUGGAAAUGGCGUUUUGACAGUGGUAGUGUAUAUAUGUGCCGGCGACAGAACUUGAGUGGUGGUGUGGGUGUUGUUCGGGGGUGGUGGGGCUGCAGCGUGGGUUUUCUGUGGUGUUGUAAAUGCCAUCAAUGAAAUUUCUAUGGAUUUUCAUCGAUGAUGGAAGAAAGUCGACCGGGGAUAGUCAGAAACGAGGAUGACUUUAUGGGCUCUGUAGAUGACGGUAUGUGGGUUGUUGGAUUUUGUAGCUUGGAUUGUGGUUGAAGUAUACAAUUACUGGUCAUAUGUCGUGGGUUACCAGCAAAUUGGUGGGGUGUGUGUCUUGAUUAUGCGUAACUGGGGUAGUUUUAGAAGUGGAUGAAGACGUGGGAAGUGCGAUCGGUUUUGUCGUGUUGAAGAUAAUGGUGAGAGUUGUGGUUUGCAGUUAUAGAUAUAUUGGACAAACAAUUACAAUUGCCGCUCUUUCUUAUCAAUGACCCCAGAUUUAUCUUAAUAACUUUAUAGAGUUUGCGGAAGAAGAAUUUAGCAGCCUACCGGUUGGUUUGGAGAGAUGCUAAUGCUAGGAAUAGUGGGAGUUUAACUGGUAUUAUUGAACAGCAAUUUCCAUAACUCAUGAUUGCAGUUGGCUUGUCGAACCAGGUUUGGCUCUGAUACCAAAACUGAUGUAGGAUUAAUUGAAGAAGAAAAGCAAGAAGCAGAGAAGAAACAAGAAAGGAGAAUCGGAGAGAGUGGGAAGAGAGAAGACAGAGGGGUGGAAGGCAACACUUCAUUCAUUCAUCAUCUGACUUUCAAUCCUCAUUACAAUAACAUAAAUAACAAAAUAAUAAUUUGGGUUUGGGCCAAACCCAUAUACAAGCCCAAUGAGACAUAAGCCCAAAAUAAAUAACUAAAAAAUAAAAUGGGGAUGAUGUCCGCAUCAAAUAUAAUUUGGACAUUGUAAACGAUCAACAUGACUAGUAAUUCUAAAUCGAAGAUAAAUAUAAUUUCAUUAAAUUUAUAAUAUAUUAUGUGAUAUUUUUAUUAUCUUUAUAAUCAGACUUGGAAUCUAAACAUUAUGGUAAUAAUCUAUUUUCUCUUUAUAAUAGUAAAUUAAUUUAAAAUUAAAUUGGUUACACCAAUUUAGGGGUGAAUUUUGGUUGAUGGAGCCUGUUAAAGUUUAAAUUUUUCUUUGGGAAUGGAAUAGGUAAAAUAAUAAUGUCAACUAAUGAAUCCUUUUAUAAUGGGACAUGUAAAUUGUUUGUAGUGAUUGUGAGUUGACCUUAAAAGUGGAGGAUGAACAAGAAGUUCUUAAAUUACACAAUCUAACAAAGCAACAAACAUACCUCGAGGAGUGCAAUUGUGUUGAUGAAGAUGAUCUAAAAAGCUUCCAGAAGAGAAAACUUAAAGUCAAUGGAAUUCUUGGUCGAAAUGAGAACAGAUAUUAUAAGGUGUGGAGAGCAAAAAGGGGAUGCAAGGCUGAAAAUUGCAAGGAAUGUAAGCAAUAAAUUCCUAUUUGAAUUGCAAUGGUAAUCUCCUACACAAAAUUUAGUUAAGAAUUUAAAUUAAGUGCUUAUUCGGACGCAACCCAAUUUUUUACCCUUUUAUUUAUUAUACUUUAUAUAUUGGCAUUGAAUGCAAUUUGAUAGGUUGCAAUAGUUAGGUAUAUUUUUGUUUGAAUAAAAAGGGUACAUCCAGUCAUACUAAGCCUCGUAAAAGAAAAAAUAUAUUUGAGACAAUAGCAAUAGAAAAUACACUUUGGCACGUUUUUCAAGGUCCUAGGGAUGUAAAAAGUGGUUAUCAUGUAUGCCACAUUCUAAGUGUUCAAAUUUUGACUCUUAGAACUGUCUUCUUCCAUCUUUCAAAGGUUCCAAGAAGGGAGCUUAGCAAGCUGAAAAUUGGAAUGAAUUGAUAGAACAAGCUACCUCGAAUAUCAUAUAGAAAAUUCAAGGAGUAUCUUCUUCCUUUCUCUCACCCCUUUAUGUGUAUGUUAGACUUUAAGACAUUGAGGAUAUUGUCUAAUUUAAGUUUUUGGGAUAGUGAAAAAAAAAAACCAAAAAACAAAACAAACAUUGAGUUUUUAAUUUUAUUUUUUUCGUGUGAUUGAUACAAAAAAUGCAAAAAACUUCCAAAAAAAUCUAUUUUUUUAGUUUGCGUGCUUGCGUAGGUUAGAUAGCUUUGUUGAUAAUGAUGAAUAUUAUUGGAAUUAUGUAUUCAUUUAUGAACUUUGGAAAGGUUGUAUGCUUAGAUUAAUUGAUUCUUAUCCAUAUAAAACUUGGUACUUUUUGCACACAUGAAUUGAUUUUAGCAUUAUAAAGUAACGAGUUGAAUCAUAUGAUUGAUAGGUUGAAAUAGGUGGAUUACGAUAUUCAAUCCGACAACCUAUUAUUUAUUACAUCCUCAAACCUUGUAUAGUAUAAUUGGGGGUGGUUGAGCCGGUGAAAGAGAUUAUCUAAAAUUGUGUUGGUUCUAUGCAUGUUGAAAAAAACAUGUGUGGCUUCGUCUUCAACUAUCAAAUAUAAAUUGGGCAAUGACCAUAUUCUAAGGAUUUAAGCCCCACUUAUGUAUGCCUUAAAAAAAAAUUGAAAAAGGGCAUUGCAUUUGUUGGUUUUAUACCUCAGGUCUUCACCUUUUUUAGUUCGAGUUAGUAAGAGGUUAGGGUAUCUCAAAAUCAGGUACCCUUUGAUAUUUAAAAAUUAUAUCGAUAAAAGCUCAUUACGUGAUUAAAGAAGAGGAAAAAAAAAAAGGGUGAGGUUCAUCCUAAAAUGGAGAAAAAUAAAUCAAAAUAAGUACGUAAUUAUGCAAUCAUGCAAGUAGGAUCAAUUGUGGGAGCUUAGAUAACCAUUAGGUUUGAAUUGCUUAGUAUAAACUUGACUGCCAAUGCACUCAAAUUUUUGAAGAAUCAUCACAUGCAUAGAUUCUUGAUAUUACCGCUUAAAUUCAACCAAAUUGGAGCCGUGCAAGGAAUUAGUAAUUGAAAGUCAACCUUAGAAUAUACUUUGGAAAGAUAAUUAAAGAAAAUAAGUUUGGGGUAUAUAAAUUUUACGAGUGAAGAAAUGAUAAAUUUGACUACAGAGGGUCGGGAAUCGAAACAACUUGUGAAUUUAUGAUGUUUAACUUAAUUCUUGACACACACAUCAGUUUUGCUUGGAGAGGUUGAUAUUGAUUUUGGUAUUGUAACCUUCAAGCCUUUAAAUAUAGAUAUUUUGAAGUUCUUUUUGAUUACUAAUGUUUUAAUUCAUUUUAUAUUUGUUUAUUAGGUGAAACUAAAGAAUGGAAAAGGAAUUGAAAGAAAGAAGAGGAAAUUGACGAAAAAAGACAAAUAGUAAGUAUUAGGGGACUAAAUUGCAAUAUUUCAAUAGCUGAUUUGGACCAAAUGAAGAUUGGAAAUGUUACAGAUUCAAUUGAACGACAAAAAUAUAUGGAAAGGAAAGUGAAGGAUCGAAAAAUUGAUGAGAUGAUGAAAUGAAGGACCAAAACACAGAUUUAAAAGACAGGCAUCUGCCUGUCUUGAAGUUUCAAAAAAAGUAGCUCAAAACAUUGCCUGGUCUGUCUAUCUGGGACUCAUGGCCUGCUUCCUUUUUCCUCCGAAAUUCUACAAGGAAACCAAUUUGUUGCACAAUUUUUGAACUAAUUUCACCUCUAUAAUUACUAAACACAGUCAGCCAAUAAAAAUAGCCUCUCAUAAUUCAAUAUACAUCAGUUAUUAUCAUCAAAGGGGGCGAAAUACAUAGUUUUCUGAUAGAAUUGAAGAGGACUUGGAAGAAUUCAAUCAAAUGAAGGCACAAUUGAAGAUUCAUCGAGAAGCCAAUGAAGAUUCAAAUUUCAAUAUUCAUCCUCAUCUUCUUAAUUUAUCAAAAUAUGGGUUUUGUUUUUCCACUUAAACAUGUUUUCAUGUAAUGUUUCAAUGCCACGCUAAGUUUUUAAUUACUCAGAUGUAAAUUAACCCUUAUUAUAAAGUUUUUAAUAUAAAAUGAAAUAUUUUAACAUCCAAUGUAUAUUAUUUCUUGGAUGCAUGUUAAUGUGUUUGAUGCUUAUCAAUUAAUUAGCUACUAAUUGGAAUGAUUUGUGAAUUUUAUUGAGUUCGAGAGAAAUGAUAAAGUAGAUAGCACCUAUAACAACCAUUGUAAAAUUUAACAGGGAAUAGAGAUAUACGCUAUGCUUUGCAUGAAUUCUAUAAAUGUUAUAAAGUUUCUAAUGCAUGCUUUCAUAUUCACAUCUUUUAUAGAGAUAUAUGAAGAUCGAAGGUCUUAUCCUCUUCCAUCAUAAUCUCUUCAAACCUAGCGGUCAACAUCUGCAACUUAGAAUUUUUAACAGCCUGAAUUCCCUUAUGUGUGGUCUGUAAAAUAUCUCAAACUAUUUUAGCUACCUCACACAUCGAUACGCUAUUAAACUCUUCAGGGGACACUUCCAUAAAUAAGACGUGUAAGACUUUAGUCUUUCAAUUACACUCAUCUAAGUUUGUUUUAGUCCAAUUAGCCAAGGGAGUGGGGAUGAUGACAUCAUUAAUGGUGCUAGAGGGGAUAGUCCAACCAUUAACUACACUCAACUAGAUGUGCUCAUCCAUAGAUUUUAGGAAUGCUCUCAUUCUAACCUUCUAAUAAGCAUGAUUGCUGCCAUCAAAAUAUAUGGGAUAUGUAAUGAAUUACUCAUCUAGGCAUUUAAGGCCAGACCACGAAUUUAAACUUUGAUACCAAUUGUAUGUUCUAUUUAAUCAAUUUAUUUUGACCUUACGUGCAGAAUUAUUCAAUUAAAAUUAACAAGUCAAAUUAGAUGCCGAAGAACUACAAUUGUUUGUUCUCUUUUCUUCCCUUAUUGUAAUGAACCUAAUGAUGGUUUCAAUCAUUUUUAUUUUUAAUUCCACAAUUUUGAUCAGAUAAAUAAUUGAUUGUUAGAAUGAACGAUGUACCUUAAGUUUAUUUUGUUUAAUUCAAUUGAUUUAAUGCUACUUUGAUAGUGCGUUAAUUGCUUAUUGUGUGUUUAAUUGACAGUCAAUGACUUGAUCAUCAAUUGCUUCAUUUAACGACAAUAUUGAGACCGAGAUGAUCUUUAUUUAUCUAGUUUGUGCAAUAAGUGAAAGAUUUUAUAAAAGAUCGAGAUAUAAUUAUAUCUUGUGCAAUCAUAAUUAAAUUAAUACAGUUAGAUAUUUUUACGUGUAUGAAUUUACAUAGAGAUAUCAAAAAUUUGAACAUGUGAAUAUGAUUAAUUUUACUCGAUAGAGAUUAUCAUCUAAAAUUAGUUAACUCAGUUGUUAAUACAUACGUAAAAAGGGCUUAAUGAUGUUGGAUUGAAUGAAUUUUAAAUAGUUUAAGUAAAAUCUUUAAUUCAUAAUAUUUAUUCUAAAUGCUCUUCACAAAUUUGAUUAGUUAGAUAAAUGUAGAAUAGUCUAUGAUAACAUAGAUAUAAAAUAUUAAUUGUUAUAAACUAGACUGAAAAAGAGAAGAACAUGGUGUAGUCAAUAGACUUUUAUGUUUUAUUAAAAACUAAAGUCCCAUAUAUAUAGAGAAGUAGGGAUACAAUGGUAAUAGAAUCUAGAGCUACAAAAAAUACAAUCAUCAUAAUGAUUAGAACUACAGGGGCAUAAAAUUCAUUCGUAAUUACAACUAUAUUUACAACACUCUUUCUUGAAUGACUAUUUACGCAAUAACUAUCUCAUUGAAACCUUGUUUGACAGAAAAAGUUAAUGGGACAAAAAUGUUAACAAAUAAAAAAUAAUACGAAAAAAUUGGAGUACUAAAAAAUGAUGUCUCGUUAAAACCCUGUCAAGAAAUCACCAUGUGACAAAACAUAAUUGAAGGAAAAAGAAUACAGCUACCCCACUAAUUUCAAUUCUUGUAUCAAACAAUCCAUGUUUUGUAUGUCAAUGUCUUCAAUAUUGAUAUUUAACACGUCACUGUCUUCAAGAAAUUCAGUGGCACAAAACAUGAUGACUGUAGUAACAUAAUGAUUAAAAAAAAAAGCUACUAUUAAUCUCUUUAGAAGUCCUAUAUGUGUGUGUGUGUGUGUGUGUGUGUAUAUGUAUAUAUAUAUAUGACUUUAUCAUUUUUCUAGUGUCAACAAAUACAUCAAGUAAUUGAUUUACAACAUUUUACAAAUAUAUGAUUUUUUCAAUAUCUUGCUCACAUUGAUUGUUGCGGAGAUCAAAGUGAGAUAGAGUCGUUUCAUUCCAAUAAAUUUUACUUUGCUUUUCAUGAUGAGGUUUUCAUUUCCUAAAGUUGGGAAAGUCAUUUUAUCAAAAUGACAAUUUACAAAAUGUACAAAAAAUAAAUCACCCGUUAAAAGUUCAAUAUACUUAUAAUAGAUGGUGAAUCAAAACCCACAUAAAUCCCAAAGUCUUCGUUAGGGAACUAUUUUAGUACAUUGUAGGGGUGAAAUAUGGACUUAGAUAGCACAACCAAAAAUUCAUAUGUAAGAAAUAUUAAGUUAUGACCAAAUGUAAGUUGCAAUUUGCAAAGGUAAAUAAUGAUAAUAGACAGUUGGUCUUAUACGAACCUAUAAUGCAACAUAUAAUAUGACAUGACCCAAAAUGGAAGUUGAGAGUUUUGUUUUCAUAAAUAAUAGUCUAGCAAGAAGUUGUAGAUGUUUAAUAAACAACACCGCUAAACCAUUUUGUCAGGAAAAUUCAAUGGAACAAAUCCUUAUUCAAAGAAAAAAGAGUACAUCGCAUAUUUACUCUCUCUCAUGAUAAUAUCACUCAAAUUAUAUUUCGAACAUAUUAAAUCCUUCAAGGAUAGUAUUAAAUUUAUAUAAGAUAUGGAUUAUAUACAUAUCAAAUUUCAUUACAUGAUAAUUUAUCUAUUUAUAUAAGUCUUCAUGACAUUCAUUAUAUAAAGAGUCGUAUAUUUUAUAUUACGACUUUACUUUUUACAUUUUCAUUUUGCACAAAUACAUAUUUUUAGGUGUUUACACUAUAGAUCUAGAAAUCUUAUAUUUCUUUAGUAAGUUCAAUUUUAAUAGGAUCGCAUCCGAAAACUUCAUGUUUCUUUACUAAAUUUAAUUUUAGAAUAAUACUAUCAUUUUAUUUUGGUUUCUCACUUGUCAACAACUUUUUUCUCUUCGAUUUUAUUUCUUUCCUUAUAUUGACAUAACUUAUUGCGAUAUCUCAAUUUUCAAUAUAUUAGUUACCAGAAUCUCUUCUCGGAUUUUAUAAUUUAUUAUGUCUAAAUAUUCUUCAAAAAUAAAUGUUUCUUUAAUAGGACCAUUUUCGCUAAUUGCUUCAUUUUCGUUUAGAGGUUUUUUAUUAUAUUCGAAUAUCAUCACGCUUCAAGCGUGCCUAGAUAGAUCAAAUAUAAUGAUAAAGAAUUGUUCUCCUAGGAUAUCAAUUCGCGUUGGAGCAUUUAAAGUUGGUGCAUGAGACGUUGAUUUCUUUGAUCAACAAAUUUAUUUAAAAAAAGUUAUCUUUCUAACUUCUAGUUUGAAUUAUUUUUGUGAGGAUAAUGUUGCAUUUGUACAUUAUUUCCAAUUUCUUAAUUCCUCCCUCUAAUGUUAAGAGAAUUUUCCAAUCAAAUUGACAAUCAUUUUUAAUAUAUUAUAAAAUAUCAUUGUUUGGGUUAAAGGUUCAAAUUACGCAUUUAUUCUUGACACUCUUUUAUUUCCAUCUCAAUGUAUUGUAGUGGAUCAAUUUUUUAUAUACUGUACCAUCAAAAUAAUUAGAUGAAAAAAUUAAGCUCUAAACAUAAGUCAAUUACAAUGAGGAAAACUAUGAUGUUGGUAUGAUGUAUAAUAACCUUCCCUAAACAAAAAUGGAAAGUUCUUUGUUCUCAAAUAAAUUAAUUGGAGGCACUUAUCAAGCAAUAGUGUUAAAUCGUUUAUCGAUAUCUCAACUAGCAUUUAUUCAAAUAUUGAGAUUUAGGAUCAGUAGCAUUAGCAAGACAUACCCUCUUGAUUGUGUAAAUUGAAAAUUAUGCUCACUAUUUAAAAUUUGACCAGUAUUUUCGCAAAUUUUAGGUUGCGAACAACGUGUAAUCUUCUAAUAUAUGUAUCAAAUUUAUUAAAUACAAAUAAUAUUUAGAUGGUCAACGUGAAGGGUGGGAGGCCCCCAAUAUACAACUAAAAUAUAGGGAUUUUCGGUCUCUAUUUAGCUAGUGAUGUUUAAUUUCCAAUAAUAGAGUCAUAUAUGAAUCCAUUCAAUUAAAGAAUAUUCUGAUUCUUUGUUGAAUGUCCAUUUAAAUUCUCAUUUCACAUCAUUACCGAUUUAGUAAUGGUCUAACUGGAUAUGCCAAACAAUAAAAUAUGAGAGUUAUUUACUUCUAGUUCAACACAAAAUCAUUUUGGUGUCGGAAAAAGAGUUUUGGGAUAUAAAAUAGGACUAUAAAUUUUGGGAUCAGAUUUGAGAAGAAUUUAGAAGUCAAGUUAAAAAGGUUUUUUUGAUAGUGAUUGGGGAGGUUGUGCUAAUGAUAUGAAGAGCACCUCCGGUUAUGUUUUUUCACUUUGUUCGGGAGUAUUUUUGUGGCUAUCCAUGAAGCAACAAACAGUCAAGCCUCAACUGAUGCUAAAUAUAUGUCAACCUCGAUUGCAACCUCACAAGUCAUUUGGCUAAGAAGAAUUUUAGAAGACACUGGGGAGAACGAGAAGCCACAACAUUAUUUUGUGACAACAAAUCAGCUAUUGUUAUACCAAAAAAUCCAUGUUUUCAUAUCGGACCAGACAUAUUGCAGUGAAGUUCCACUUCAGGAGAGAUGCAAUUGAAGAUAGAGAAGUUGAAUUCAUCUAUUGCGAGUCCGAAGAGCAAAUUUCUGAUAUCUUCACAAAGGCACUUCCAACACAGAUUUCAACAAUUAACAGAAGCACUUGGAGUUCAAGAAAAACACAUUAAGAGGGAGAAUGUUAAUAUAUAAUGCCUUUUUUAGUAGAAAAGUCGAAGAAAUUUAUAAAAUAAAUGAGGGCUAAAAAUGGAAUUUGUAGUCUGUUUUGAAGUUCGUAUAUGUAGCAAAAAUAUAUCUUAAUCGUAUAAUGAGAAUCGUGUAAGAAAUCUUGUAAAAACAAAGAAAAACUCGUAUUGCUCUCCUCUCUCUCGUUUUCUUCCUUUGUUUCCCCUGUUUUCUGUUGCUGAAUAUCUGCUGGAGUGAUUUCCCCUGUUUUCAUAUAGCUGAAACCAUUUUGUCCUACAUUUUCAUACACGUGAAAUGUGUGAAUUAUAAAAUUUCCCCUGAUUUCAUUUUUGAGAAACUAUAAUCUCAGCCAACAGAAAGGAAUAUAUUUGGCAAUGUAUUUAACACAAUUAUGUAUACUAUGGAAAAACCUGAACACUAUUUGGAGUUAUAUUGCAACUAUACCCCAAAAUUCACAAUCUAAGUUUCUCCUUCCAUGAGCUUCUAAUUUCUGAGAUCCUGAAAAAAAUUACAACUGGUCUCUCUCAUGAAUGUGUGGAUAAAAAGUGAUUUAUCGAUUAUAAACAGUUUAUAAAUAUUGGCCAAACAUGGGCUUUAUAUGUCUUUUGUAAGGAAGAAAAGUUGCAUAUCCAGAUACGUAGGAGAAUAAAAUCUCACAUAAAAGUAAGUUUAAUUUACUUGGCUAAACUUGCUUCAAGUAGAAUGACCAUACUCAUCGAGCUAAGGCAAAUUACAUUAGGUGCAGUAAAGUAAGAGGCUAAGAGCCAAGACCAUGCGGUUUUCUAUUUGCCACUUCAAAAUUGACAACUUUGCCAAUAAGAAGAUUAUAAGUAGGUAAAUCAAAGCAGCAGUAAUUCCAUCGUCAAAAACUGAAGCAAGGUAAAAUGUAGACAGCAGUACAACAGACUGAAUUCUGAAGUUCAACAUACGCUUAAAUAAAGUGUGACCUUUUAUUGAACGAAAUGUAAAAACACGGAAGAGAAACAUUGACUCAAUGUGUCUAUACUUCCUUUAUUCAACACUCAUGAUAUCAUUGUUCAUCUGAUUAUCUGCCUGCACAAAAUACAAAUCCAUUAGUUGAUCAUGCCAUCGAAUUUUUACACCAUUACACUAGAAAUAAAUUCCAUAAUUCUUUAGUACUAUAUAAGAUAGAAACAAACAUGUUUACUUGGAUAUGUUCCUUAAGUUUUCAAUAGGAAUAGAAACAUCAAGUCAUGAAGAGAACAAGGAUUAAAAUGUAUUACCUGUGAAGUAGCAUUUUUGAGCUUUGAACAAAAGGAGAUCAUUGAUCAUGAUCCGGAGGGUAAAUGGAAAGCUUCAAUCCGGUACAACCAGGCAGCAUUUUACGCUCCAAAAUUUCCUUCGCAGAACGAGCUGCUGUUUUGGUAGUACAGUACAAAUCCAAUGUCUGGAAGCUUGGAACCUUAGCAAGUUCUAACGGGACUACAUCAAGCUUACUGCGGUUUAUUAAGAUGAAGGCACUUGAGUCGUGGGAAAUGAGCAGCAGAAGCACUCCAAAACAUUAAAUCUGUACUUUCAAUGUGCAACACUAUUAGAGAACGGAAACCUCCAUCCUCUGACUUCCACAAGUCUCCUGUGAAUGCAUUGUCUUUCAACUUCAGGAUCUCAAGACCUUCCAAGUUCCAACUGUCCCAAAGUAGACAUAUGCUUCCAAUCAAGCAUGAUCUCCACUAUUGUUAGCUUCUUAAGCUUGGAUGGAAAUUUGUAGCUUUGUGGAAGGCUCCUUAUUUUUCCUUCAGAAGGUAGUUGAGGAAAUACAUCAUUCCAUAGCUUCAUUUUCAAGGUAAUCCAAUUUUCCGAGACUAUCAAACAAACUAGAUCCAGUACCCUUGGUAUCCAAUAGUUGAGCUAAUUUCCCCCGAAUACCCAAUUGCUUAGGUUUGGAGCUGCAGAAAAGACAUCUUCUGUACAACUUUCAGGUGAUAUUGUAGAAAGUGUUUUGAAGUUCAAAGAAUCUUCUUUACUUUUUCUUGAUUUCAAUGUUGUGGAUGCGUUUGUUUUUAGAUGCAUCAUUUGAAUCAGCUUCCAUACAUCUGCUUUGAUUUCAAGGUGCGUGAUGGUGUCUCAACUGCAAGAGUUGGUAUGUUCCAAAGGCUGGAAAGGGCUGGAGGAAGUAUUUUGAAGUUGCAGGAGAGAGCAAGAUACCUCAAAUGUACAAGUUGAGUUAGGCCAAUAGGAAAAUAAGUGAAAUGGAUGGGUCUACCAUCUAACACCCUGAGCAAUUUAAAUGCCUCAGGGAUGGAAGAUUUUUGCUCAUUUUGCAAGGUUAUUUCUUCAUGGCCAAAACACAAAAAAGACCGAACACGUGGACUAUUUGGUUUUAGUUCGAAAUUCUGGAAUUUCGACGAAAAAAACUUUCUUGUGCAGCUCGUCUCUUGCAAAACAAGUGUAGCAUGUCAUGAAUGUGCAUGUUUUAAAUUUGCCAUCUGACCUCCUUUGCCCAACCAAGACUAAAUUCCUGCUGAUUAAAUCCUCCAAGUGCUCUUCAGCAAUAUCCUCCAAACUCAUGUUCAUUCCUUCACUUUGCUAUACGAAUCCUUCAGUGAUCCAAAGGCGAAGAAGUUUCCACAUCGGAGUUUGGAAGUCUUCAGGAAAUAUCCCAAAGUAGAGAAAAUAUUUUUUUAAGUGAUACGGUAAAGAUCAAAACUCAUUUCUAUAAAAUGGUCUAUCUUUUUCUCCGCAUCCAUGCUAAUAAAUGCCUCCACACUUUCUGCAACUUUUUUCCACGAAUCACUUACCUUUUCCUAGUAGAAUUCCUCCAAUCACCUCUAUGCAGUGGCGGAGCCAACAUCCAACGAGGUGGCAUAGCCUCCCAUGCUGGCUCCGCCGAAAUUUACAGGCUGGAUUUUGAUAGAGGCUUUUUUGCAAUCGCCCGUUGUUGCAAAAUAUGGGAAGCUUGAAGCAAUGGAGGAAGGUGAGUAUUGGACGUGGGCCAAUUUUUUGGGGGGUAAUUAUAAAAUUACCCUUAAAACUGACGGCAUUUAGAAAAAUCAUGUCAAAAGUUUUUUUGAAGUGAAAUAUACGGCCAUUUUUGUCCACGAAUGUCCACUUUUAUUUUUCUUUACCAAUAGCUCUUGUUACUCCACACUCCAUUUUGCCACUACGACAUGCAACCUUCUUUCCUAUUAGCCACAAACUCAUCUCCAUACUUCUCCCUUGUUAUUAUUAUAUUUUAUAUUAGUCAAAUUAACAAUAAUCUAAUAUAGACGAAUUGAUGAACUAAAAAUAAAAUAAAAUUUCAAUAAUUAAUUUAAAUUAAAACAAUUAAAAUUUAGAAAUCAUAUAAAAUUUUCUGAAACAAAAUAGCAACCACCAUUGUAUUUUAAUUUUUUGUUAUACAUUUUAGAACGAUCAUUAAAGGAGAGUAGUGUCAUUUGUAGUUGCUCAAUACCGAUAAUUGUCCUCAAAUAAUUGAUGUAUCCUUAUAAUUAAAAUGUGACACAAACUAAAAAAAGGUGCCAUAAAAUUAACAAAGUGAUAGAAAAUCAAAAGAAGUGAUAGAAAUUUAAAAAGUGAAAAACACUCAAAAAGUAACAGAAAUUCUUAAAUAAAAGUUAUAGAAACUCGAAAAAAGUGAUAGAAAUUAAAAAGCGACAUACAUUCAAAAAGUUAUACAAAUUCAAAAAAGUGAUACAUUCGAAAAAGUGACGAAAAUUCAAAGCAAGUGACAUUGACAUACACUGAAAAAGUGACGAAAAAUCAAAGAAAGUAACACAAAAUUUAAAAGAGAGAGAGAGAGAGAAGAGUGCCAAAAAUAAAUAAAUAAAUAAAAAGAGUGAAAACAUUCCAAAAAUGACAAAAAAAUAAAGAAAGUGACAUACUCUAAAAACAAGUGAGACAAUUUCAAAAAAAGUAACAAAAUAAAAAAAAAUAAGUAGCAAACAUUCAAAAAGUGACAGCCACUCGAAAAAGGGACAAAAUAAAAAAAAUAAAAAAAAAUGACAGAAUUUUUAUUUUAAAAAAAAUGAAAGAUACAUAAUGUCACCUUUUAGAGUUAUGUGUGACAUACAAUGUCGUUUAUAUUUAAAGUGAUAUUUGUCACUAAAAAAAUGACUAAAACUUCGAGAAAGUGACAUUAAUUAAAAAAAGGGGGGGGGGGACAAAAAUUGAAAAAGUGAAUAUUAAUUAAAACAUUGGAAUCAAAUCAGUUCAAUGAAGUGACAAAAAAAGGUGACAUAACCAUCGUCUUUUCUAACAUGUCAACAUUGUUUGAGGAAAUAGUGGCCAACAGCCGGUUGACCCGACCAUUUUUCCAAAGAGGCCUUUGAAAGUUAAAAAAAAAAAAAAAAGCAAAAUUAUUUAAAACCUUGACAACCAAAAAAAAAUCAAAAGAAACCUAAUUUUACCCUUGCCUUUCGAAAAAGAAGCAGAAGCCAGUCAAGGAGAGUGGAAAAUUACUAUAGCACCGUCAAUCCAGUCACCGACAAAAAAGAAAAAACAGGAGACCCAGUUGAUCAUUUCUCUCAGAAGAAGGUAAGAUUUUUAUACCAAAAAAACCAUGUUUUUAUUUUUAUUUUUGGAAAAAAACAUGAUUUUAUAUAUAUGUGUUAAGAAAUCAUUGUGUAAAUGUGGAAUUUGGAUAAGAAUAUUGUAUGGGUAGGGAAAAAUAGAGUGGAGAUCGUCAGAAAUGGAGUUUUUCGGUGAUCUCCACGACCAAAAACGAUAGGGGCUGGCUAGGCGCGCCCAAAAGGCCCAGUUGACUGGGCCGUCUAGGCACCCCAAUUGACUGGGCCACCUAGGCACAGUAACACCCAGGUGGCUCAGUUGACCCAGUUGACUGGGCCGCCCGUUAUUUUGGGCCGUGGGCCUAAAUAUAUAUUUUUUAAAUUUUUGCAAUUAUUGAAGUUAAUUAAAUAAUUAUUAAUUGCUUAUAUUGUGUUCUUUAAUAUGUAAUUAUUUAUUUGAAUUGCUUAAUUUGAAUGUAUAUUAUAUAUUUUAAAAUUAUUUAUUGGAAAUGUCAGAUAUAAAUAUUUUAUUAUUUAUCGAAAUAUUUAUUAGUUGCUAAUUUAGAUUAAUUAAUUAUUUUAUAUUAAGUAAUAGUAAAAUAAUUAAAAGAAAUAAUAUAUCAUUAAAUAAGUAAUAUAUAUAUAAAGAAUUUAAAUAAAUAUUUAAACAUUUGUAAAAUAAUAAAAAUAAGCAAUUAAAUUUGAAAAUUAAAAUAGCAAAAAAAUUAAUUUUUUGCAAAGCAAUUAAAAUAAAUUUGUAAAUAUGAAAUAAGCAUUAUGCGUAAAGAAUUAAAAUAAGUAUUUAAAUAUUCAUUAAAAAUAAAAAACUAAAUUAAGUGUUAGGAAAAUAAUUAAAAUAAGCAAUUAAAAUAUCAAAAUAAGUGUUAGUAAAAUUAUUAAAAGAAAUAAUUAAAUAUUAAAUAAGAUAUAUAUAUAUAUAUAUAUAAAAUUUAAAUACAUAUUUAAACAUUUGUAAAACAAUAAAAAUACGCAAUUAAAUUUGAAAAUUAAAAUAUCAAUCAAAUUAAUUUUUUACUAAGCAAUUAAAAUAAAUUUGUAAAUAUGAAAUAAGCAUUAUGCAUAAAUAAUUAAAAUGAGUAUUUAAACAUUCAUUAAAAAUGAAAAAGUAAAUUAAGUGUUAGAAAAAUAAUUAAAAUAAGUAAUCAAAAUAUCAAAAUAAGUGUUAGUAAAAUAAUGAAAAAGAAAUAAUUAAAUAUUAAAUAAGAUAUAUAUAAAGAAAGGAGGAGGUCAAUCAAAAAAAGAAAUGUUAAUUAAUCAAAGGUCCAACUGAUCACCACGUCUGUAUUGUAAAUAUGCAGUUACGAAUAAUCCAGCCAAAGUAAUAGGUGAAAUCGAAUACAUGAAUGAAAGAAGCAAUGUUUUACAAAAUACUUCUUUUUUUCUCCGAAGAAUUAUUACAUUUCGCAAUUUAUUCAACAAUUGGAUCAUUGGAGUUAUCGGGUUAUUAGUCUAGGAUUUAUCUUUUUAACCAUAGGGAUACUUUCUGGAGCCUUGAUAUUGAAGAAAUGAUUUUAAUUUAUACAAGUUAAUAACUUGGGUUUGUGAUAAUUUGUAAAAUACAUAUGCCUGUGAUAAGUACGAUAAGUCAUAAAAAAUAUGUCAAUUUGUCUUACUAUUACUAAUAUUAUAAAGUGACUUUUUUAUAGUCGAAAUAAGAAAAUCUUAUGGAUCAUUGUACAUUUCAAUUUGAAUUAGGGAUUCCGUGUACAACUAUAAGUGGUCCUUAACUACAUAUCUGGGCACUAUCUCGGAGAGAGGCUCGGUGAAAUAGACAUGUUUGUGAAGAUGCGGACUACCUGCACCUGGACAGAAAGACCUUAUGAAGCUUCACUGUUCCCUGGGAUUGGGUUUGGGCCUUUCCUGCGCAGCUUAGGUGGAAGGCGAAGAAAGCCUCCUUUUUAUAUAUAUAUAUAAUUUAAAUACAUAUUUAAACAUCUGUAAAACAAUACAAAUACGCAAUUAAAUUUGAAAAUUAAAAUAUCCAUCAAAUUAAUUUUUUGCAAAGCAAUUAAAAUAAAUUUGUAAAUAUAAAAUAAGCAUUAUGCGUAAAGAAUUAAAAUAAGUAUUUAAACAUUCAUUAAAAAUAAAAAAAGUAAAUUAAAUAUUAGAAAAAUAAUUAAAAUAUUAAAAUAAACGAUCAAAAUAAGUGUUAUUAAAAUAAUUAAAAUAAUUAAUUACAUGUUAAAUAAGUAAUAUACAUAAAUUUAAAAAAAUAUAUAAACAUUUGUAAAAAUAAUAAAAAUAAACAAUUAAAUUAGGAAAUGAAAAUGUCAAUCAAAUUAAUUUUUUACGAAGCAAUUAAAAUAAAUUUGCAAAUAUGAAAUAGGCAAUACGCGAAAAGAAUUAAAAUAAGUGUUUAAACAUUAAUUAAAAAUAAAAAAGUAAAUUAAGUGUUAGAAAAAUAAUUAAAAUAAGCAAUUAAAAUAUUAAAAGAAAUGAUCAAAUUAGCAAAUUAAGUAUAUGGAAAAUAGUGAUUUAUGUUCAUUUUCUUUAUUCUAUUAUCGGUUGGUUAUUGCAUAUAGUAGCAGUGUUAGUAUAUUUUGUAAUAUUUUUGUUUAUCAAUUACCUAUGAACAAAAUUUUUUGUUUAUCGAACACCAUUUGCACAGGGUUCUAAUAUUUGAAAUUUUGCAGGAUGGAAUAUCAUCUGGACGACGCUGUCAGACAGAUCCUUGGUAAAGUUACGUCGAAUUGCAAUUUUACCAGCUUCGCUUUGGUAUUAAAUUUGCUGGAUGACGAUUACAUGGACAUAUUACGUCGAUCAUGCUUAUGGCCAUUGUAUUCGUUGCGUGAUGUAUAGUGGUCUAGGCAGUUACUCGAUGCGCUGCUAUGUCGGUUGCUGAAAUCAGUUGACAGAGACGCACUCCAUUUUGAUCCUAGGGGCAAGGUAGCCACAUUCUCCAUCUUUGAGUUUGCCCUCAUCACUGGACUGCGAUGUACGGACGAAGCAGAGGCGAGGGCUUGUGUUCCGAGGAACAGGAGGCUGUUGAAUGAAUAUUUUCAUGGACAGAUGACAGUUACUCUAGCACAGUUGGGAGAUGCAUUAAGGAGAUGUGAUCAGAUGUGUGAUAGGCUGAAAUUGGGCUUGGUGCUUAUCAUCGAGAGUGUACUCCGGUGUCAUUACAAGAAGACAUCGAUUGACAUUUUCCAUUUGGAGGUUAUUGAUGAUAUUGAUGCUUUCAACAACUACCCAUGGGGUCGGAAAUGUUUUCUUGAUACAUUACAAGUGUUUAGCAGGGGGUUUUCGAUACCAAAGGAGGAUAAGCCCGAGCACAAGUACGAUGCAUAUGGACUACUGUUGGCGCUGCAGGUAUAUGUUUAAGUUCAUGAAUUACCUACACUUUUUUUAUUGAAUUCUAUACAUAAUAAUUGUAAUUGCUUCAAAUAUGGGUGUACAAGACUGUCCCCAUCUUGACCAGCCAAUAUGCCGUCGGAGAGACACGCUGUUCUCGGAUGCAUCACUGGCGAGCACAAGACAAGCUGCUUGCCAGACAGUUAUCGGCUCUCCUCGACAAUCCUGAGGUACAUAUUAUACAAUUGCUAUUUAUGUUGUAUGUCCUUUUACAAUCUCAAUACAUAAUCAUUAACUAUGACAUGUCAAAAUGACAGCUUGAAGUUCUCACUGAAUUGGCACCGUCGAUCGAGGAGGAGAGUCAAUUUUAUAUUCGUUAAUUGCCUCUUCGGACUGCGCAUGGCAAUCAGAUGCCUGAGUCCAGGAUGGAUCGAGAUAGGGUAUGUUACUGUGCAGGAUUUGUUGAAUAUCGCUUUGAUCUUGUAAUUAAGUGCUUCACUUGUAAUAUUUAUUUUUUCAGGAGGAUCGUUCAGUACUACCUCCGUCGAGGAUGUCACCUCCGCUGAGAAGAUCACGUCCCGCUACGCCAGAGGUUCAGAUGCCUGAGUCCAGCAUUGAUUGAGAUAGAGUAUGUUACUUAAAAAUAAUUCUUCGAUUGUCGUUUUAAUUUAUUUGUUAGGUUAUUCAUCUGUAAUAGUUAUUUUUUCAGGAGGGCCGUCCAGUAUCACCUCCUGCACCUAGUCCCCGUGCUUCGACAAUUGAUUUGUUCGAACUCCUGAUGGAGAUGAGAGGAGACAUGGCAGAGUUACGGGAUAAUGUUGUGACACUACGAGUUGAGUUCGGGGACAUGGCACAGUUACGAUAUGAUGUCGCGAUGUUACGAGACGGGUUAGGAAACCUUCAUGCUGAGGUUGCAGCGAUACGGGGUGACACAGCAGGCCUGCAUGGGACGAGCAAUUAUCCAGAUGGAGGAGCUAGCGGAGGGACAAGUCACUAUCGAGAUGGAGGGGGUGACGGAGGGACUGGUGGCUAUCGGGACGGAGGGACUGGCGGCUAUCGGGACGGAAGGGGUGACGGAGGGGUCGGUGGUUAUCCGGGGGGAGGGGGUCAGAUGGGGUAUGUUGACUCAUCGUGGCCAUAAGUUGCUUCAUUUGAUUCAUUUUUAAAUGACAUGAUGGGGAUGGAAGAGCGAGAGAGGAUACCUGUGGUGGAGGGGGUGUCCGUGCAGGAGAUACUUGAGGACGUGGAGGGGGUACCCGAGGAAGAGAGGGUACCGGAGGUGGAGGUGGUACCCGAGAUGACAUCACCCCAGACAAAGGGGAUACCCGAGGACGUGGGGGUACCCGUGCAGGGGAUACUUGAGGAUGUUGAGGGGGUACCGGAGGUGGAGGUGGUACCCAUGCAGGGGAUACCUAGGGAUGUCGAGGGGGCACCGGAGGAGGAGAGGGUACCGGAGGUGGAGGUGGUACUCGAGAAUACGCCAGACUCGCCGGACGUGGUCUUUGUGUUGGAGGAGGUGGUCCCGAUAGUAGGCGAGGGGUCAUCCCGAUGGUUGGGAAGAUGGAGAUUUCCGAAACGCAUGAGGAGAGGACGAUGGCUGUUGACGUGCUGGAGCGAGUGGUCGACAAGAGGCCGAGGGUGCCAUUAUAGUACGUCGUUUCUCCCUUUAUAGCGGAGGCGAAAAGGAGAAGGUUCGUCGACGGGACGCAUCCAAAUUUAUUCAGAGAGGUGGACCACGCCAAGUGGAAAGCCUUUGAGACGGAGUGGAGAGCACUGAAGCCUGCGUAAGUUUUGUAUUUUAUAGAAUUAGUAUAGGACGCAGACGCUGACACAUGUAUACUUCUUGUAAUUAAAAAUUCUGUUCUUAUUUUUUCAGGGUCAGCCGUACGAUUGCUGAGAAGACGAUCUCAAAUGCUUACAAGUGGCUCCACGACAUCACCCCUUCGGGGGCUUGGCUCACCAACGAUGUAAGCGAAAUGAAAAUAUUGUUAUUUUUUAUGUAUGUUCAAAAUCAAAUUUUGAAUGAAAUUCAUAGAUAAACUCCUUUCUUUAUUGGUGUUUCUUGAUGUAGUACAUCGACUUGGCCAUGGAUUUGCUAUGAGAUCGAGUUGAAAGACAUCCAAAAUCGUUCAACAUUCCUGGUAGACUCAUAUUGAACACCGAGAUUAUCCGUGCCGUUGACAUUGAGUACCAGUCGUUCCAAGCUAUGGGUAACGAGUACACGGUGUCGGAAUAUAUGAUGGAAUGGGUCGUAGGGAUGUGGCCGAGUGUCGGAGGAAAGCCAUGAGAGGAUUGUACGCAUAUGUACAUGCCAGUAUGUGUGAAUCAUCACUACAUUGCAGUGGAAAUUGUAUUCGCCGACUCCACGAUGUAUGUGUACGACCCUGAUCAUUCAUACCUGACACAAGGUCAACUCGAGCAAAAUCUGGAGUCGGUAUCUAUGAUCGUUCUCAUGAUGGCUAGACGAGCGAACAUCACUGUACAUGACAGAUUGGCCACCGUGCGGAACACGACGACAGCGAGGCAGCAAAUAUCGUAAGUGUUUGUAAUUUUAUUUUUGUCAUUUACAUCUUAGGUUCUAACUAAUUUUCGAUGUGCUAGUACAACAUUGUUUAAUUGUAGGGGUGAUUGCGGCAUGUUCGUCAUCAAGUACAUAGAAUUUUUGAGUAUGACACAUAAGGUUGAUGCAAUCAACCAGCUAUGGAUACAAAAUUGGAGAAAUAAAUUAGCAUGUGAUUUAUUUGAAUUUAAUGAGAAUUCGUAAAUAAUUAUACAUAUUUUUACAUUUAUUUAAACAUUGUACAGUUCAUUCAUUCAUUUGUAAUUACGAAAGAAUUAUAAAAUGUUAAUUAUUUAUGUAAUAUUUAAAUAUUGAUUUUACAAUUUAUAUGUUUAUUUAUAAUAUUUGUGUGUAUUGUAGAUAACGUAGUGUCUAGAAAAAAUUUCGAUUUCAAAUACUUAACAUAAAUAAUAUGCAUAAAUAAUGUGUGUAACAAAUGAAAGUAACGAAUGAAAUGUUUAAAAAAAAACUAAAUCUAAUAAUUCACAUAAAUAAUAUGCAUAAAUAAUUAACAUUAAUAUUAUAAAUAAUUACAUUGCCAAUAGUUAUUAAAAUUAUACAUCCGUUACAUUGUCAUGUAGAGGAAUCUGGCUUGUACAAUAUCUUCUAGUAUGCCCUGUUGCACCGCACCUACCGCACUUACGAGGCUGGGGAAACUCUCGGUAGAUGGUAUUCUAAACGUACGUGUACGUCCAGGAGUACGUGGUCCAACUGCUGGUGGCAACAAGUUAUUCAAUGGGAGAAUGUGGUCGAGAACUUCCCACUCGACUUCGUUUGAUACAUGAAAUAUUGUUUCUGCAUAAGCUGCUCUCCAAUAAUCAGUCAUGUAAUACACACUACAUAAGGUGUGUGGUGGUAAUCCUCUAUGUAUAGCCAUUGCCACUGCAUGUGUACACGGAAAACUCUCCAAUUGAAACCGUCCAUACUUGCACGUGUUAUCAUUUAAGUCCACAAUGUAUUUGAAAUUAUGUGCACAUCUCACGAAGAAGCGAAACUGAUCCAGUGGUUCUAGAUAUACCUUUCUCGUCACAUCUAGAGUCUUGAAGAGCUUAUCUUCUUGAGCCGAGGUUAGUACACUUGCACAAUUCUGUGAUUCCUUACGUCGAUCAUGAAAUCACUGUUGUAGCUUAUCACGAAUGUUCUCAAUCAUUACGAGAAUUGGUAAUUCUCGAUCUUUCUUGAAUAAAGCGUUAAACGACUCUGCAUUAUUCGACGUCAUCAUGUUGUAUCGACGUCCUGGAAAAUGUGAUCGUGCCCAAUGUUCAAUCCCCAUCUCUGUUAGAUACUCCCAUGCAGCAUGCGAUUUACUGUCUAUUUCGACCAUGAACUUAUCACAAACUCUUCAAAACUGUAAGCCUCUGCAGCUCUCCUAAAUAACGCAACGAUGCCCUUGCCUCGAUACCUGGUCUUCAGGUUUCCCUGUAUAUGGUACAUACAAUAACCAUGAUGUGCCUCGGGGAAGGCUUAAGAGAUAUCAUUGACUGCCUUUGAUCGGUUAAGAAUGCAAGAUUUUCAACAUCCCCAAUUACUUUCCUCAAUUUCGUGAAAAACCAACUCAUCGCUACAUCAUUUUCUUCGUUGACUAUGCCGAACGCAAAAGGGUAAAUUUGGAUAUUCGCAUCUUGGCAUGUUGCAAUAAUCAACUUGCCCCCGUAUCUCGUCUUAAGGGUUGUACCAUUGACUAAGAUUAGGGGUCGCAUUGCAUUUCGAAAUCCUCGAACACAUUGUCCAAGGGUCAUAAAGAAAUAUUUGAAGCGAUUAUCGUCAUCCUUCUCAAUAAAAAAUGCCGACCCAGUAUUAAUUCUUCCCAUGUUAUAGCAAUACCUAGCCAAUGUAAAUAAAAAUAAUCAUAAUUUAGAUAAUCUAUUAAAUAAUAAAUGAACAUAAAAAUAAACAAUUCAAUUAAAUAGUUAAUUACAUAUAAAUAAACAAUUGAAAUAAAAUAAUUAAAAUUUAAAAUAACAAAGAAAUAAACACUUAAAUAAUGAAAUACCUGGCUAAUUUAGCAUAACUAUCCUCGGUCGAACCCAUCAAAUCCUCCAAUGCACAUUCUUCAGCCUUCCAAGCCUUCUGAUAGCUCAUGACCACCCCAUACUCUCGUCGAAUGUCAUUAAUGAUAUCUGAAGGUCUAUAGAUUGUUCGUGGAUCCUAAAAUUUGUGCAUUAUUUCUCGACCAAUGAACCAUGAUCGGGCCUGCCUAUGAUCAUUUCGACGAAUAUCCACUUCGCAAGUAUGUUCCCAUGCAUACUUACGAACUACAAAGAGCUCAUUCGUAUCCAUUUUAGUCGCUCGCAAACGCCAAUGGCAACUGUCGUCAACGCAGAUAAUUGUGUACAUCGACUUGUUUGAUUUCUUCACUUUAAACUCGAAGUUAUGUUUUAAAGCAAUCCGGUGCACAGCUUCUUGCAAUUCUUUCUUUGAUUCGAAUAGUUGCUCGACAUAUACAUCUUCAUCAUCGGGAACUACACGCGAACAAUUAGAGGACCGUGUACUCGGUCCGGUCUGUGAGCUCCCACCCGACUCAUGUCUCAUACGGGAUAAAGCAAUUAAAUCCUCGUUUGUAAAUGCGUUUUCAUUCUCGUUGUUGUCAACUAUCGAUGGAAUUCUGUGCGUAACAGUGUGAUCAUGGUGAGUAGCAGUGGUCUCGGGAAUAACCACAUCAUCUUCACGAACAAUCUGAAUUGUAUCCUAAACAUCAUUUACAUUACGAUUCUCUUCAUUUGAAACUUCUUGUUCACCCUCGUGAACAUUCUUCCCCAACAAAGUUACGCAAAUAGGAGUCGAUUUUCGGCUUUGGUUCAUUUAAUUAGAUGUUUCAUUUCCACUUUAGAAGUAACUUUCAUAGGUGGAAUUGGAAUGGUUGAAUGCUUAUGAAACAAAAAUCCCAAUUCCAUAUCGUACUGAGAAAGAUCGACGUUAAGCAUGUUUUGUAUAUCAUGGUACAUUUCUACAAACGAUGUACUCCUUGUUAUAAAAAUUAUUUUAACCCUAUCUCCUUCAUUCGUCCAUUUUCAUUCCCACUAAGCUUUUUCAUUCAUUUGAAAUUCACCGAAAUAACAAAUUGGGACACAUAUUGAUGCCAUAUCUGUCACGAAUUAAAAAUAAUGAAUUAAUAUAUAAUUUUUUAAAUUGUUCAUUUCGUAUUUAGUUUAAUUUUAUACUUUAAAUAAUUCAUUGAUUAUUUUAAUUGUUUCAAAAAUAUUUAUUUCAAUUAGUAUUAAAUAUUUAUUAAUAUUUAUUUCAAUAAACAUAUACUAAUGAACAAAUAAAUUAUUAAAUCUGAAAGGGGAAAAAUAAAAAUAGCCGGCCCAGAUUUUCGGGCCAACUGUUUAAUCUUGGAAUUUACGCUCGAAUUUUUAAUUUUUUCCCCUUUUCAACGAAAUAAUGUUUAAAUAUUUAUUUUACAGAUACCUAUAAAUUUUUCUUGUAAAAUAUAUACAUACAGAGAUGAAUUUUUUUUUUUUGAUUUUGCUAUAAAAAAAUUAUACAUCUGUGUUUAAAUACUAUAAAAUUCAUCUGCCUUUGUCAAAAAAAAAUUUAAAGAUUCAAACAGUAAAUUUAAGUAAAACAAAAUUAAAAAUACGUAUUUACACUUACCAAUUUUCAGUGCCGACUGUGAGCAUUGUUUCUUUGUUGAACCUUUGAUAAUAUUGGGAGAUUUCAAUAUUCUAGCAGAUGGAAGAAAAAAUUUCUUUUUUACUGUAUUGGAGAAACUGAUAAGUAAAAUUGAUUUUGAGAUUUACGUAUGGAAGUGACUGAAUUUAUUUAAACUUUUAAAGGUAUUAUUGUCUUUCAAAGAAUUGAUAUAUUUUUGUAAUUGCAAAACAUAAAUAAGGGCACAAUUGUCUUUUUAUUGACAAGAUGUCAAUGUAGUGAAUACAAAAAAAAAGUGGUCAAACUGCAAAAUUGAUUGUUUGACUAAGCCAAUUUAAAAAGUACCCUAUACUUUAUCCUAGUUAAUCUAAAACAAUGCCAACAAACUAAUAUUUAAUAAAAAAUAAAGGCAAUCAUAAACAAUUAAACUAUUAUAUGCCUUUUGCACUCCACUUAUUAAAUCCUCCGCAAACACAUACAAAAAGUGCGCAAACUACUUACAUAUCCAUCUAUGAUUUUCCAUUUUUGGGUUUUCUACCCACCCCUAUUUCAUAUUCACUAUCUAAUCCCAUAAAAUGAACGGAUAAGAUUUUUCCCUAUUUUUAGUCAUUACAUAAAUUCUUAAAGAAAAUUUUCAUUGUCAUUCAAUGCGUUUGAGUUUCCAUCAAUGUUUGUAAACCAACCUGGAUAAACUUUUCCUAUAAUUAUUACAAUGAAGAUUAAAAGUUUACAUUGUUCAUCGCUCCCUAACAAUUUCUUGGAAAUGUUGUUUCUUUUACAUCAUCUUCAUCAACAUUGUAAAUGGUGUCGCUGUGAGGUUUGGCGAUGGAAAUUGGAGGUCGGAUGUUGGAUAGGGGCGAGGCGAAGAAUGCGGAGUCACCCACAGGGAAGAAGCUCAAGACGGAGAAGUUUUCAAUUUCUUGGUGGGAGUUCGCGAUAGUGUUAUGUGUUCUCUGUAUUUCUCCUGGUAUUUUCUCCAAUCUGAUGUUUUCUUCAAUUUGCUCGUGGAGGGUGAUUUACAGAACUAUUGAUCAGUUUGGUGGCUUUGGAACUUGUUACGUAUUAAUUACGGUUAUGGCGGGUUUUAAUGUAUUUUAGUAUAUUAAUCUAAUUUUUUGUUUUUCUAGAGUAUUGAGCCUAAUUUCCUCAUUUUUUUAAAAAAAUGUGGGCCUUUUGUUUUGGGUUUUUUGGGUUGGAAUUGGGCCCAUUAAUUAUACAUAGGCUGCUUUGUAUUGUGAUUAGCCAGAGGCCCGUAGCCCAUAUGCUUCCUAAACUGAUUAAGCAUACAUUGAUGCUUGCAAGGUGUUUGACAAAAAGAUAAUGUGAAAAAGUGGCAUUCUAUCACUUUUUUCAAAAAAAAGUCACAGCAUUUCUUUUAAGCAAUUAGCUAGGUAUGCACGUGUGAGUUUUUGGAAAUUUGAACGUACAUAUUCAAGCCCUAUUUUCUGGUAAUUAACACAUGAGAAAGAAAACUUUAAACCAAUUGCAUUGAUGUUUGCAACGUGUUUGCUCAAAGAAGAAGGUGAGAAAGUGGCAUUUUGUCACUUUUCUUAGAAAAAGUGAUAUUUUGUGACUUUUCUCCAAAACAGUCACCAUUUAUCAUUAGACCAAUUAAUCGGAUGCAUACAUUUGUUUUUUUGAAAGUUUGAAUAUUCCAAUUCAUACCUUGUUUUUUGAUAAUACAUAUGAAAAAGAAAACUUUGAAUCGACUACAUACAUUUGCUUGGAAGAUGUUUGAUCAUGAAGAGUGACAUUCUGUCACCUUUCUAAAAAAAGUGACAUUUGUUACAUUUAUACAAGAACAGUCACCCUUUAUCAUUCGAACAAUUAACCGGAUGCAUACGUGUGCUUUUUUGAAAGUUUAAACAUACCAAUUCAUGCCCUCUUAUCUGAGAAUACAUAUGAAAAUGAAAAUUUUGAAUCAAUUACAUGGAUGCACAUGGAGAGGGUGACAUUCUGUCACUUUUCUUAAAAAAAAAAAAAGUGACAUUGUGUGACCUUUUUUCUCCAAUUCAGUCACACUUUAUCAUUAGAGCAAUUAACCGGAUGUAUACGUGUGCUUUUCUGAAAGUUUAAACAUACCAAUUCAUACUCUAUUUUCUGGUACUACAUAUGAAAAAAAAAACUUUGAAUCCACUACAUGGAUGCAUGUAAUGUGUUUGCUCAUGUAAUCCACUAUCACUUUUUUCCAAAAAAAAAGUGACAUUGUGUCACUUUUCUCCGAAAAAGUGGCAUUCUAUCACUUUUCUCCGAAAAAAGUGGCAUUCUGUCACUUUUUUCCAAAAAUAGUCAAGCAUUUUGGAAUUAUUAAGAUACAUAUUCAAGCCCUGUUUUCUAGUAAUAAACAUGAAAAAGAAAACUUUGAAUCAAGUACAUUGAUGCAUGCAUGGUGUUUGAUGAAUGAGAAUGUGAAAAAUUAACAUGUUGUCACUUUUUUUAGAAAAAGUCACCGAAUCACUUUUUGGCCAAAUAACUAGAUGCAUAUUACUUGGUCACUUAAAAAAAAAACAAAACUCACACAAUCUCUUUGUAAUAUUUUUGUAGGUAUGGAUAAAAUCAAUGUCUUCAUUUGUUAUGGAGGCAAGUGGACAUAAGCUAAUGAGUACACAAGUGACAAAAUGACUGGAAUUGUUGUCCCGAUGGAUUGCACGUACAACCAACUUGAGUGCAUGAUAUGUUCUGUGAUGAAAGUAAGUGCAUCAACUCAGAGAGUAAAAAUACAAUAUAGAGUGAAGAAAAACCUGCCUUUAAUGGAGAUUUCAGAUGAUAUUUCACUAACAUUUUAUUUGGAGUUGAAGAGAAAGGAUAAAGAUCUUGCAAGCUUUCCAUUGUGCAUAGAUGUGACAACGGUAUCAAAAAGUCACGAAACUGAAUUUGUUAAUAAUAUACGAUGUUUGGAGGCUGUCAAUUAUGAAAAAAAUGAUAUGCUAUAAUUGCAGUUUUGCGAAGCUGUAACUGAUAAUUCUGUGACAUCAGCUCAAAAAUUACCUAGUAUGGAAGAAAUUGCGAUUGAUGUAUACAAUAGUAUGUCGGAAGUUGGAGAAACAACGAAUGAAGGAGGAAGUGAUAUCAUUUCAAUGGUCACUAUGGAUGGAAUUUCAAAAGAUAAAGUGUUCAAGAACAAGACAUUGGUUAAGAGAAGUAUUUCGAUAUAUGCGAUACACAAUAAUUUUCAAUUCAAGGUUAGUAAGUCGGACAAGAAAGAGUAUGUGUUGAAAUGUAUUGAUGAUAAGUGUAAAUGGACUUUUAGAGCUUCAAGACUUGGUGGAACCGAUAUGUUCAAGGUAAGGUAUAUAAAAAAUGUCCAUAUAUGCUCAAAUAACAUCAUUUUGGGAGAUCAUUGUCAAGCAACCAGCUCAAUAGUAGGAGAAUUCAUCAUGUACAAGUAUAUCUCAACAAAAACAACAUACACUCCUGCAUACAUUAUAAGUGACAUGAUGAAUACCUAUGGAGUGUCAAUGAGCUAUGAGAAAGCUUGGAGAUCUAAGGAGAAAGCAUUGGAAUUAGUGAGAGGAGAUCCUACAGAGUCAUAUGAAAAGCUUCCAGAAUACUUGUACAUGAUAGAACAAACAAAUCCUGGAUCAUUUACAAAAAUUGAGACAUAUCAGGACAACAAAUUCAAGUACCUCUUCAUGGCAUUAGGAGCAUCUAUUCAAGAGUGGAAGUAUUGUAGACCAGUUAUAGUAAUAGAUGCUACAUUCUUAAAAGGCAACUAUGGCGGAACACUAUUCACUACAUGUACGCAAGAUGCCAACAACAGUAUCUUUAUAUUAACAUUUGGAGUUGGUGAUUUAGAAACCAAUGAUUCUUGGGAGUGGUUCUUAAGUAUGUUAAAAGAAGCAUAUGGUGAGCGAGAAGGUUUGUGUAUAAACGCAGAUGGACAUGCAAGCAUAAAAAAUACAAUUCACAAAGUGUAUGAGAAUGCAAUGCACGGAUUAUGUUCCUAUUACUUACUAAAGAACUUGAAGUCUUCUUUUGGUGGGAAAAAAAGGGGAAAGAAUAUUGCAGAACAUUUCAAUAGGGCUGUAAGAGCAUAUUCUAAGACUGAUUUUGAGUUCCAUAUGAAACAACUUGAUGAAAUCAAUACAGGAAUUCGAUCACAUUUGGUAUAUUCUCAUUGUUAACUUCUAUAAUAAUUGGUGUCACUUUUUGUUUAAAAAGUGACAUUCUGUCACUUCUCGACCAAACGGUGACCGAACGUCACUUUUUUUGUUAAUAGUGACAUGAUAUGUCACAUUUUGUUUGAAAAAUUUAUAUGUGUUGAUACUUUUUAUUAAAAGUGAUUUUAAAUAAAAAGUGACAUUCUGUGACUUUUCAACCAAAGAGUGACAGAAUGCCACUUUUUUGUUAAUAGUGACAUGAUGUCAAUUUUUGUUUAAAAAGUUUGUAUGUGUUGAAAGUGAGUCCAAAACAUGAUAGAAAGUCACUUUUUCUGUUAAUAUUUUGAAUUUUCUUUGUGCAGAAAGAUAUUGGUUAUGAGAAAUGGUCGAGGGCUUACAUGACAAACAACAGAUUUUCUACAAUGACUUCAAACAUAGUUGAAUCGGUAAAUUCGGUAACAAAAGCAAUGAAAGGUUGUCCAAUAGAGCCUUUAUUGGAAUCGUUAAGAUAUUUGUUACAAGAAUGGUUUGUGAAACAUAUAAAUGAUGUACGAGCAACCUUCACAAUACUCGCCACCAAGCAAGAGAAAAAACUGGGAGAAAAUUCUGUGGAGUCAAAGAAAAUGAAGGUAAAAAGUUAUAAACUUGCUGUUUUGUUAUUGCACAUCAAGAUUUCUAUUGUAACAUGAUUUGUAUCCUCUAUUCAUAUUGAAUUUUCACUUUAAAUCUUCCUUUCAUAUAAAAUAGUGACAAAUUUAUUGAUAGAUUAUUUUGUUAUAUUAUGCACAUAGGUAUCAACUUCAAGUUCAAUAUUGUACCAAGUUAAUAAUAGUUGUGCCUCAUAUUUGGUGAACAUGGAAGAAAGAACACGCACAUGCAACUAUUUUCAAGUGGACAAGAUUCCAUGUGCACAUGCACUUGCGGUUAUUGCAAAGAUAAAGGAGGAUUCAUAUUCAUAUUGUUCCGUAUUUUAUACAACAAAUAUGUAUAUUCAAACAUAUAGUGCAUCAAUUUUCCACUAGGAGAUCAUAAUGAGUGGAAUGUACCAGAUGAGGUAAGAGCAAGAAUAAUCUUGGCUUCUAACCCAAAAAGAAAAUCUGGACGACCUAAAGAAAAAAGAAUACCAUCAAAAGGAGAGAAAACUCAAAGCGCAAAAUGUGGAAGAUGUGGGAAUUAUGGUCACAAUCGUAGAUCAUGUCAAAAUCCGCCAAAGGUGAAAAAGAAACCACAAAAGAAAAGGAAGUUAGAAGAUAUAUGAAACUAGAUUAUUUGAUAUUUUUUGUUUUGUUCGUUUUUCAAUUCAAAUAUUCUAAGAAUUGUAAAAAUACUUUAAGCUAAAUGUCGAUUUUGAAAUUUAUUGUGUAUGUGAAUUUGUUAGAAAAAAGUGACAGUAGAAAUUGAUGGAUUUUGUUAAAAAAUUCUUUGUUGUAAGUAUGUGCACGUGACAAUGUAUUCAUACUCCAUUGACAUUGGAUCCACAUUUGGUUAAUUGACAAGUGACAUUAUGUCACUUUUUGGACAUACAAGAAACUAUUGUCUUUAAAGCUAUAGUCAGGCAACAUAUUGUUAAAAAGGUGACAUUAUUCCUUCCUCCAUUAAAAUUGUAAGUGUGUUCAAAAUUCCACAAAUAAAGCUGCUUUUGUUAAAAAAAUAAGUGACAUUGUUACAAAAAGUGACAUUAUGUCACUUUUCUGUCGAAAAAGUGACAUUUGUGUUUAAGUUAUUGUUAAAAAGGUGACAUUAUUUCUUGACAUUGCAAGUGUGUUCAAAAUUAGACAAAUAAUACUGCUUUUGUUAAAAAAUAAGUGACAUUAUGUCACUUUGCUGUUGAAAAAAGUGACAUUAUGUCAGUUUUCUGUCUCCAUUGACAUUAAGUGUGUUCAAAAUUCCACAAAUAAUGCUGCUUUUAUUAAAACAUAAGUGACACUGUUAAAAAAAGUGACGCAGUGUCACUUUUUUCCUGGUUACCAGCUCUGAGUGAGGCGCUCCUUCGCUCGUGCCCCCCACCCGGGAGUCACGAGCUUAAUUGCUGGAGUCACAAGCUUAAUUGCUUUUCUUUAGAGCUUAGUACAAGUUCUCUCAAAAAUAAAUCUAACACAAACUUAAGAUCUAACAAAUCUUCAAGCAAAAGCAAGAGAUCCAUAACGGUAAAAAAGUGACGCAGUGUCACUUUUCUGUUGAAAAAGUGACAUUAUGUCACUUUUUUGACAUACAAGAACUAUUGUGUUUAAAGAAUAAUAGAAGCUACAUCACCAAUCCCUGCUCCGUUGAUGUUGUAAAAGAAUUGGUCAUUAACAAUUGAAGUUGUCUACCACCAUUAACAUUGCGACUUUUCCCUAAAUCAGUUACUAUAUACAAAGCAUCAAAACUAAACUACCAGCCAAAUCAAAUCAGUCAUUACAAAUGAAGGCACGUCAUUACCAAAACAAGACAUGUUUCUUCACUUCCUCAAAAUCACCUACUUCUCUAUCACAUCAGGAUCACCUACUUCUCUAUCACAUCAGGAUAUAGCUACUCCAUUUCCUUUGACACCCAUUCAUUGUCUGUAUCAUAUUCCUCUUCUUGCUUCUUCUUUCCAUAAGCAUAUAGUUGAGCUGCCAAAUUUCUUCUAAGAUGUGGAACAUUAAAAGACUUUGGCAUCUCAUUUAGCAUUCCAUUAAUGAAGUACUGGGCAUACUUAAUUACAUAGAUUCCACAAUCUCCACUGCAUGAAAUAAUGAAAAGUACUUUAGAUAAUUACAUACUAGAAUGUCAGAUGAAAAAAAAAAAAUCUUCAAAAAUAAACUUACCCAUUAUUUUGUUGUGGAAGUUUUGGAACCAUUUUUACAACUAAUGGUUUCAAAGCUUCUUCUUCUGAAAUGCCCUUUCCCUCAAAGAAGCCAAUAUGAAAGAGAAGAUGAGGAAAAAUAUCAGAAAAUGGUUUAAUAGCCUCAAGUACUAAUGCCUUUCUCACAACCUUGUUGUACGAAUUAUAUACAUUAAGACACAUAUGUUGAAUGUCAAAAUGACACAAAAUCCAAUGAGCUGAAUUGGACAUUCUAAUUGGAAUAAGCACAUGGUCAACAAGGUUCCAAUUUGUGUUGCACGGCAUAUACAACCCAAUAACAUAUGAUAGAAGAGAAGUCUGCUUUUUUAGAGCUGACUUAUCUUGGCAAAAGUCGGCGUAAAGACCUCUCAUUUGGCUAUCAAACGGGAAAUCUGUGGUUGUAGCCUUUAUGUUUAUCCCUUCUCCAUAUCUUAACAACUUUCUUAAAUAAUAGAAACACACAUCAAUAUGCUACAAAAAAAGAGAAAAAUGACAAAAUCAACAAUAGUAAGAAACAAAAUAAUCUUAAAAACACAAACAUAUAAAAUAACUUACUGUAUCUUCCAAACAUUCGUUUGGAAUAAACAACUCAUACCACCAUUGUUUUGUAGAGAUUGCAAUGUCACAAAAAUAAAAGCAUGGAUUGAUAACGGAAUUUUCAUCAUUGAAAUGUUUUUUCCUACAUAACAAAAUGGAAAAAGUCACAUGAAAGUUACUGUACUGGAAAAAAUUCACAAACAACAUAUAUUAGUAACAACUUACUUAUUUUUCUUUACCAAUCCCUUGUUAAACCAAAGUUCAAAAGCAUCAACAUCAUGUGCCAUUGGAGGGCCAACACCAACCGGGAAUGCAAAAGUACCUUUAACAACACGUUUCUUAGUCCCCGAUGUAGAAUCAAAUUCAUUGACCCAGGGAGACUGAAGAAGCACUCCGGGUUUCUUUUGUCUUUUCAGAUGCAUGUCUGGGGUCUCAGCUUCAAUAUCAAUGAUUCGAGCAUUUCCCUCUUCAAUUUCAGUUUCAGCUUCAAUUGCAGCCAUUACUUCCACAACUUUCUCCCAAACAUCAUCCUUCAGUUCAACCUCCUCCAAAAAAUCAAUUCUGCCUUCAUUACAUGGUGAUACAACAUCCUGGGACAUGAACAAUAACACAUUCAAAUUAUAUUAAUGUAAAAAUAUGCACAAGUUAUGACGAAAAAGUUGAUAGAAUAAAAACACAAGUACUUCUUGAUUUUUUGCUAAACUACGAGCAACAAUAUCAUCAACUUUUAACCAAUCAUCUUCAUGAAAUUCUAUUUCUUCAUUCAAAUUCAUCUCGACCGCCUUAUCACUUUUUACCACUGCCCUGAGACUUUUUUCCACUGCUUUGUCACUUUUUUCAACUGACUUGUCACUUUUUCUGACAGGCACCUCUACAUCUUUUUCCCCACAACUCAAUUCAAACUCAAUACCUAAAGAAAAACUAGGGAAGUCAUUAUACACCUGGUCUGUUUCAUCAGGUAAACUCUCCACACCAUCCUACAAAAAAAGUCACUUGCUGAAAAGAAUGUAAAAUAAUAAGAACCUUUGAAAAAACUUCGAGCAUGGUGAACAGAAAAUAAUAAAAAGAAAAAAUACCCACAAACCUCAAUAAUCUUCCCUUUGUUUUUCUUUUCUGUAGACCUUCCAGUUCGGUCAACAGAUUUUGUUUUUCCUUCAUCUAUGAACUUUUUCAGGCCAACAAUAGGAUGCUCAAAAUUAUCAUCAUCCUGGUCACCACCCAAACCUUCAACAAAUAAACCAACCACAUACUCUUCUCCCUUCUCAGCCUCCAGAGGCACAAUUUGAUUCACAUCCAACUGAAAAAUAAAUAAUCAUAUCAAUAACAGCAAAAGAUAAACUAAAGACAUAAUAUAAACAAUAAAAGGGUAAAAAACUUACUUUAAUCAAAUCAAAAAUGGUCUUCCUUAACCCCACAGAUGUCACAUGUUGAUUGCUACUCCAACUCAACAUCCGAGGAUGCUGAGAUUCAUGCUUCAUGCAGUAAUUUUUCCGAGCAAUAGCAGGAAUUGUUUCAUAAAUCCAUACUUGAAACGAAACUAGGAAGCCAUUCAAUCUAUACUCCAAAAACUUCUUUUCCAUAAAAAUAUUCUUCAUUUUCUGAUUAAAUGCACUCUUUAGGGAUGAUAAAGUCAUACUAAAAAUUUCUAUACCCCAUAGAAAAGAAUUCAAAUCUUCAGACUCCACAAGGCAAAAAAAUGAGUCAUCAACUCCAUUAUGAUAGGAUGUACCAAAUAGAAAGGAUGUAAUCAAAUAAACUAUGCCUAUAUCCACAACAUCUUUAUCUACGGUGUCAGUAGGCAAAUUUAAAAACACUUCUUGAACCUCUUUUGUUGUGACACUUUCGUGAUCUUUAAAAUAUUGUUCUUUUAAACAACUCUUCAUUCUAUAUCGAGUUAGAUCACCAUUUCCAGUACACUUAAGCCUUGAUAUCAAACAAAACUCUUUGAUUGAAAAUCUUACCAAUUCAUCAAAGAUAUUAAACCACAUUUCAUUUGAAUUUGGCUGCUUAACUUGUCUGAGCAGCAACUGGUGUAUCAACUGUGGUUGUAAAAUUAUUUCCUUCAAAUCAAUGAAGGCACCAAAGCAUGUAUUUUUGAAUAAAGUCCUUUGAUAUGGACUAAGUUUUUCAUUCAAGUCUGUUAUCACCUCGUGUGGAGAUAACAACGUCACUUUUCCUUUGAACCAACAGGAUUGAGGGAUUAAUAAAUCCCAAUCCUACAAAAAGAAAAAAGAAAUAGUUAAAAUAAAAUUCAAGAAGAAGUACGUGCAUUAUGAAAGUCCAAAAGUGACACAAACUGUAAAAAAGGUGACACAAAACCAAAAAAAGUGACAAAACCAUCACAACGAUGCUUCCUCAUCAAAACACAACCAAAAAAAGUUGUAAUUUAUUUUAUUUUGUAGUUGGUAUUGCUUCAUAUGGAUGUCAGUAAAUGAGUACUCUAACUUGAGCUUUUGACAAGCUAAUUCAACCUUUAUGGAAAGUGGUCAUUGUAUCAAUUUUAUGACUAUUAUCAUUAUACUUAAAACAAAGUUUUGGAAAUUAAUAGGACAGCAGUAAGAAAAUUUUGAAGUUUACAUAUGAUAGAUAACUCAAGUGCAAUGGAUGGGCAAAUUUGUUCAUUGGAAAAUCAUAUAAACAAAGGCACAACCACCAUGCAUACAAACACAUCCACAUAUUUUUUUUCGUGCAUUCUGAAGCCACCAUGUAAGACCAACUAGAAACUAUGAAAACCAAAGUAGCAUUAUAGCAGCAAAAAAAUGUAAAUCAGUAAAAUUUACUAAAAUCAUUGCUAAAGAUACACAAUCUUCAUUCACUGCACAAAAUGUACAAAAACCAUUGAGAAACACACAAAAUUCGUAAUGAACAAGAGAAUGUACGCAAUAUAAGUCAAUAAAACAUAAAAAAAAAUGUUGCUACCUUCGGUUUAUAAGAAGAUGAGGAAAUUUUGGUCCUCUUCUUUAAGGAUGGUUCUUCGAGAUUUCUUUGCCUCUUCGAUCCACUUUUUUCAGCCAUUGCAAAAAUACGAGUUAAUUGUUGGAAUCGAAAUUAGAUUUUCGAUCUAGGGUUUAGGCUAUUUGGGAUUUAUGGUCAAAAUGAUAACGAGACAAGAAAUAAAACGAUUACGAAGGGAAAACGAAGAAGAAAUUGAGGGAAAAUGGGUCGAAAAUGGAGAUUUACAGUCGUAUGUUGCUGGACGAUUUCCACAAUGAUAACGAGACAAGGAACAAAACGAUUACGAAGGGAAAAUGAAGAAGAAAUUGAGGGAAAAUGGGUUGAGAAUGGAUAUUUACAGUCGACGAUUACGAAGGGAAAACGAAGAAGAAAUUGAUGGAAAAUAUUUUGAUUAGGGCUUGCCGUAGAAUUUCGUUUAGAUUUCGUUUUGAUUUUACCAAUUUAGGACGUAAAUAAUACUUCUUUAGAAUAUUUUAAUAAUUUAAAAGGUAUUAAUCAAAACAUUUUAAAAAAGGGAGUACAGGGCCUAAUUUCCUCAACUGAUUAAGCAUACAUAAAAUACAAACCGAACCCUAUCUCUAGUGCCUCCCGCUGCGCAGCCCGACGCCGAGUGAGUUGUGAGUGUUGUGACCUGUUGCCGGCUGCCAUCGAGUCACCGAUGUCGACCUCAGCCCUCCAACAUUGCCCGAAUUUUCUGUGUGAGCCCCUCUCUCUCUCUCUAUCGUUCUUGUAGUUCAUGAUUACGAUGGAUAUGUGAAUAAUUAAAAUUUAAGAGGCUGGGAUUAUGGGGAGAAGCAUAAUUUGAUUUAAGGUAAUUUCUAUGGGUUUAUGUGUUUUCCUCAAUUUGAUUUCUUUACUCGGACUUCAGAAGUUUUAACGGAAUGUGCAUGAUUUUUAGUGGUGCUUGAGUGUAUGGGUUUUGAAUCUUCUGCUGAAGUUAGAGCUGGAAGCUCUGAUUUGUUUGCUUUUGUUCUAUUUGUUGUUUAGAAAUCUAAAUGAUUUUAAGGCUCGUUGAAGGGAAAAGCUUUUGAUCGGUGAUGUGUUUAUGCAUGCUUACUCUAAUUUGUUAUGUUCUAGUGGAGUUGAACCAAGAAUAAAUGAUAGUAUUCUGAAAUGAAAAUUAUGGAAAUGACUAUAGCUGGGGUGAUUUUAAUAUGCUCUUCAAUAUCUUAUUUGCAUAUGAAUGCAAUUUUUUUUUUAGCUCACGGAUCAAGGUUGUAUCAUGUAUUUUUUUUUUUUUUUUAUAAUAUCAGGUUGUAUUGGAUUAUAUUUUCAUAUAUAUAUAUAUAUAUAUAUAUAUAUAUGUGUGAUAUAUAUGAUUUUACGUUUUAUUAUAUUUAUAUAUUGAUUGAAGAAUUUUUAAUAUUGUUGAAUUAAGUAUUAAUAAAUGAUGUCGCUAUUGCUGUUGUUGACGGUAGACAGUCAGAGACUAAACUAUCGCACUAGCUCACCUCAAUUUCUGGAUUUGCCAUUGCCAUUAUUGCCGGUGGUAGUCUUUUACAUUUCCGAACAAUUUGUAGUUCAUGGUCUCUCAACUUGUCAGGGCACUCCAUUGAUCCAAGUGCCUUCCUUUGGAGUAAAAUUCUACUUUCUUCAGGAGUUAGAAAUCGCAACUUAUGGGGAUCAGUGUUAGGGUUGGCAUACUUAGCCACUUUCUCAAUACGAGUAGUUAGUAAAAUUCUACUCUUCUUUUCAUUGUCGGGAAGGGCAAUUUUUGAAUUAUCCCAAGUGUUAUUAGACCACACGUCAUGGAUGACAAUAAAAUAUUUUCCUUUCUCCAAAAAAGUUCGUCAGCUAAUUUGAUUUCAUUCAUGUUAUAUUUACUAGGCUUAGUGAAUUGUUUUAGUCUCUUAGAAUAUCUUGAAGCACUUCAUUUUUAUUAUAAUAUAAUUUUGAGAAACGAAAACUCAUACACGAUUGUAGAAUUCAAACUCAAUAACAGGAUCGAUAUAUAUCAUUUUAGCUAGUGUUGUCUUACCAAGUUGUAGUUCCUUAGGUCCUUCAGUGAGAAGUUUUGUUACUUUUUCGGCCUCAUCUUCAAAGCCCACCACGUUGUCUUCCACAAUGGGAGCUUUUAAUAAAUUUAGCAAUAAUUAGUGUGGUGAAAUUAUAUAUGAGCAAUAAUCGUUAUAAUAGUACUGAUAUUAAAUGGAGACGUAAUGACAUUCAAGAUAGUAAUAAACUUAAUUUACAUGUGCAGAGCUAGAAAGAUUUGUUAGGGUGGGUUGAAGACAACUAAGUUUGUUACUAUCUUGAAUGUCAUUUAGUCUCUAUUUAAUAUCAGUAUUAUUAUAACGAUUAUUGCUUAUAUAUAUUAAAGGCUCCAAUUUCACCUCACUGAUUAUUGCUCACUAUAUUAAAGGUUCCCAUUGUGAAAGACAAUGUUAUGGGCUUUGAAGAUUAGGCCGAAAAAGCAAUCAAACUUCUCACUAAAGGACCCAAGUAACUACAAGUUAUAUCAAUCAUAGGUAUGGCAGGACUUGGUAAGACAAUGCUGGCUAAAAUGAUAUAUACUGAUGUUGAGUUUGAAUUUUACAAUUACCCAUGGGUUUUUGUUUCUCAAAAUUAUAUUGAAAAGGAAGUGUUUCAGGAUAUUCUAAGACAAUUUAAUAAACCUAGUAAAUCUAACAUGAAUGAAGUUGAAUUAGCCGAUGAACUUUGUAAAUUUUUGGAGAAAGGAAAAUAUUUAAUCGUCAUGAAUGAUGUAUGGUCUAACAAGGCUUGGGAUGAUUUAAAAAUUGCCUUUCCUGACAACGAGAAGAAAAGUAGAAUUUUACUUACUAUUCGUAUUGAGAAAGUGGCUAAGUAUGCCAACCCUAACAUCGAUCCCCAUAAGUUGCGAUUUCCCCAAGUGUACUAGAUCUAGUUUGUUUGACAGUCUGGGAAAAUUGGAUUACCUUGAAAAUUUGAAGCUAUGGAAUGAUGUAUUUCCUCAACUACCUUAUGAAGGAAAAAUACGGAGCCUUCCACAAAGCAACAAAUUUCCAUCCAAGCUUAAGAAGCUAACAAUAGUAGAGACCAUGCUUGAUUGGAAGCAUAUGUCUACUUUGGGACUGUUGAAAGGCCUUGAGAUCCUGAAGUUAAAAGACAAUGCAUUCACUGGAGACUUGUGGAAGUCCCAGGAUGGAGGUUUCCGUUCUCUGGUAGUCUUGCAUAUUGGAAGGACAGAUUUAGUUUUUGGGAAGGCUUCUGCUCUCCAUUUCCCAUCACGGAAGUGCCUUCAUCUUAAUCACUGCAGUAAGCUUAAUGUAGUCCCAUUCGAACCGGCUAAUGUUCCAAGCUUCCAGAUAUUGGACUUGAACUGUACCACCAGAGCAGCAGCUAAGUCUGCAAAGAAAAUUUCGGAGCAUAAAAAGCAGCCUGGUGGUAGUGGAUUUAAGCUUUCCAUUUACCCUCCAGAUCAUGAUCAACGAUCUCCAUUUUUUCAAAGCUCAAAAAUGGUACUUCACUGGUUAUACAUUUUAAUCUUUGUUCCCUUCACUUGAUAUUUCUUUUCCUGUUGAAAACUUAAGGAACGUAUCCAAGUAAACAUGUUUGCUUCUAUCUUAUAUAAUACUAAAGAAUUAUGAAAAUUAUUUCUAGUGUAAUGGUGUAAAAAUUCGAUGAUCUGAUCAACUAAUGGAUUUGUAUUUUGUGCAGGCAUAUAAUCAGAUGAACAAUGAUGUCAUGAGUGUUGAAUAAAGGAAGUUUAGAUGCAUGGAGCCAAUGUUUCUCUUCCCUGUG
rnacentral:lncRNA from 1 species